GAGGUACACUACCAUUUCAUUAGAGAGAAGGUCUUGCAAGAAGAUAUUGAGAUGAGACAAAUCAAUACAGAUGAUCAAAUUGCAGACUUGUUCACAAAAGGUUUGAGUACUGGCAAGUUUGAAAAGUUUCGUCGUCAACUCAGCAUGGAGAAAAGAAUGAGAGCUGACAUUGAGGGGGAGUGUUGAGAAUCAAUGUCAAGCCCAAAACCAUAAGUAAUCCACAACCCAAAAGAUUUUGUUCGCACCUCUAGGACAUUUCUGAAUUCUUUAUUCAAUUUUGAGGGGGAGUGUUGAGAAUCAAUGUCAACCCAAAAGAUUUUGUUCGCACCUCUAGAUUGAUGAUGUAAGUGCUUACAAUUGCAAAGUUAGGCAAAGUUAGGUUGUGUGUGAAAACAAAUAAUUAGGUGCAAUUAAUGUGUUUUGUGUGGUAGUAAAUAAUCUUAGUUUAAUUAAGUAACUUUCAUUUGGUUUGCUAUAAAUACCCAAGUCCCCAAGCCUUGUAAAUCAUCCAAGGAAAAACAAAGCCUAGAGCUAAAUAAGAAAAGCUUUGCUAAUUAGUUUGUUUUGUGAGCUUUCUUUAAGAGUGUGCUCUAUUUUUCUUCUUCUUGGGAUCAUUAGAGUUAUCUUGGAUACUCUUCUUAUUCAACAUUGAAUUGAAUGAAUUGUUUGAAGUUGAACAUUAUAUAUGAGCAAGUAUAGAAAUACUGACUUGGAUCGCGAACAGUGGCUUUGAUGGUAUAACCCUUUUGCAGUAAGAGCUUCACUAGCCAUGAUGCUAUGUAGCCAGACGCUCCUGUUACACAUACAGUCUUUGUUUCUCCGGUAUUCAUCUCUCUCUCUCUCUUUCUCAGUCUCUCUCUCGGCUCAGAAUUAACAUGCUUACACUGCACCACAAACCGCUUUUAUAGCAUUCAAUAAAUCCUAUAAAACUAAUAUACUAAGAAAGUUUAUGAAGACAUGUUGUGGCUGUCUGCAGAUCAAUCUAUGAAACUAAGAAAGUCUUGACAGAAAAUUUAUUCUUUAUUUGUUUUUUGGAAAAGUCUGACUAAAUUGUUCAAAGUGAGAAAAAAGAAGUAAUUUUUUGAAUUGGCCUUUCACCAAAUACUUCAGGUGCAUUCAGAAUUUCAGAAGAACACCCUCUCUAUUGGUGUUUAAAUAUUACGAUCGUUGUUCACCAAAUAGGACCUGAACUUAUUUACUCCAACGUGCACCCUCCCUAUUGGUGUUUAAAUAUUACGAUCGUUGUUCACCAAAUAGGACCUGAACUUAUUUACUCCAACGUGCACCCUCCCUAUUUGUGUGUAAAAAGCAAACAGGGCCCGUGCUUUUGUCAAAUGUCAUUAUUGGGAGAGAUUUUCUCGUAUCACUAAUCCAUCACCUGUCAAUCAUCUAUUAGUGCACUUUUUGAACACAUGACUCUUUAUUGCAUUUAUUGGAUGGUGACGCUAUCAAGAUUAAAUCUUAGUCGCAUAUGAGCAUUUCUCCAUUAUUGACACAAAUGUUUUGUAAAACAGUGGGAAGUCAGUGUUGGUACAAGCAAAGAACACGAGCAAAAUAUUUGGAGACCUCCUCGGGGAAGUGUCAAAGGAAUGCUAGGAACAAAAAGAAAAGCGACAACUGGAAUGGGAGAGGUCUGAGCCAAAAAGACGGCUCUUCAAGUCACCAAUUAAUUGGCUUAACAUAAUUUUCACAUUAAGAUGAGUUUUAGUGUUGUUGGAUUUUUGUCAACAAUUUGUGAUAAUUUAUAUAUGCUAAUAAAUAAUAAAUGCAAUAGGAAUUAACAGAAUAUAAACUAGAAUACGAAUUAUAAAAACAGACAACUUGAAGAUCGAGGCUUGCGUACCGCAAUGUCCUUGAAACAGAAAUUUCGUCCCUACUCUGUGCUUGUAGUUCUACGGACGUCUGCUUCACCAGGAUUCAACGAUCAAAUUAAAAUUCCAGCACCGGAAAAUUUAACUUCUGGCGAAUUUAGUGUGGUUCUCUCAGUAAGAAGGUUUAGGAAUGUAGAAGAUGAAGUUGAUUAUUUUCUGUAUUCUAAAUGUCAUGCAGAUGAAUGUAUAUAUAAUGUGAUUAUACAUGUUCGCAACAGGUAUGAGGAAGGGAUGCAUCUGUUGGGAGACAUCUGCUGAAAAGGGUGUUUUUGUUUCUGCGUUUUCACACUUCAGACUUCAUCUGAAAAGAUGAGUCUGUUGGCAAAAAUAAUUAAUUAAUUUAAAUUCGAAAUUAAAAAUAAUUAAUUAAUUCCGAAAAUAAAUAAAUAAUUUAAUUAUUAGAGCCCAAGGCCCAUCUUUUGACAAUUAAAUAUAUAUUAGUUAUAUAUUAAUUAUAAUUAAUUAUAUAUUAAUUAUCAAUUAAUUAGUACACCCCAAAGCCCAACCCCAAGGGUGAUCCCAAUUUUAGUCUCCAGGCCUAUUACUCCAAUCACUUUCUAUAAAGGAUAAAGCCUUAUAAAGUGAUAAAAUCUUUUGGGAAUGGCCAAUGUGGGACAAAGAAAUUUCUACUCAAACUACUCAAAUUUCCAACAAUACCCCACAUUUGAGUUGAAAUUUCAUUCAAACUCCAACAAUUACCCCACAUUUGAAUGCAAAUGUAAAUGCAAAUGGAUGACUAUGUUGCCUAAAACUGAAAGAGAAUAGGCAUGAUAUGCAUCGGGUGAAGUGUCUUUUGGGCUUGAACUUACCGUAGUGAAAACAUAUCGAGUUUACUUGGUGACGCAGUGGAUGUGGAAGAUCUUGAACUGUUCACCGCAGUAGUAAACCGAGACAAUAUGCUACACACAUAUCAUGUCUGCCACACGUCAAUUAAUACGGUUGUAUUCAUUUCGGCCCUGAACAGAUCCCGGAUUUCGUAGGAGCUUUAGAGAAUUUAGCCAUUUCAAUUCUCAUAAAUGCAGCCCCAUUUGCUCCUAUAUAGGUGACAUUAAUUAAGAAUAAUCUGCCAUAUUCCUCUUGAUAACAAGAUAUUAAUGUCAUUAAAUGUAUAAAACAUAACCCCUCAAACUUCAACAGACAACACACAUUUUAUCAUAAGAAUGGGUAAGUUGUGUGUUUAACUUUUGAAUCAAACUCAACCAGUUUGCCUAUUGAACCUAGACCAUGGGAUCUCCAAUCAGCUAGGUUAGGUUUCCGCCCAGUUCGAUUCAUUGAAUUGGCUUAAGACCCAUUCCCCUCGAUGUAAAUAAUAUUUGCUCUCUUGGUAGGCCUUUUGUCAAAGGAUCAACUAUAUUUUCCUUUGACUUUACAUAAUCAAUGGAUAUUGUUCCAUUGGAGAGCAACUUCUUAAGAGUAUUAUGCCGACGCCUAAUGUGUCGCGACUUGCCAUUGUAUACAUGACUUUUGGUCCUUGAUUGUGCGGCCAUACUGUCACAAUGUAUACAUAUAGCAGUUACGGGCUUUGGCCAUACUGGAAUAUCCUCCAAAAAAUGUUUGAGCCACUCGGCUUCUUCGCCAGCCAAGUCUAAAGCUAUAAACUCAGACUCCAUUGUGGAACGAGCUAUACAUUUCUGUUUAGAGGAUUUCCAAGAUAUUGCUGCACCUCCCAAAGUAAAAACAUAUCCACUUGUCGACUUAGAUUCUGUAGUGUCAGAAAUCCAAUUGGCAUCACUGAAGCCUUCGACAACAGGUGGAUACUUUGUGUAGUGUAAUCCGCAGUCAAGUGUAUUUUUCAAAUACCUUAACACUCUUACUAAAGCAUCUCAAUGCUCUUGUGCCGAAUUACUUGUAUCUACUAAGCCUACUUACUACAUAAGCUAAGUCGGGCCUUGUGAAAUCCCAUUAUUGGAUUUCACUGUUAUAAUCUACGUAAUUGUAUUAUUGAGAUUUAUAUUAUUUUUCGAGAAUUUAUAUUAAUUUACUUGAAAUUAGAUUUCAAUUAAACUAGUUACGAAGAGUGAAGUUUGGAAAAUUACUAUUUACUCGUUGACAUUUCGAGGUCACAAGUAACGUUUUCGAAUAGGUUUCGAAGUCACGAACGUAUAGGCGAAAGCCGUUUGCGAGUCCGGAUUAUAACGGUAUAGUUACGUAUGUUUGAAGUUGUGUGUGGGAGUGAUUUUCCAAUUUUACCCUCAAUUUGACAGCAAAAUGGAUGGAAUUAAUGGUAAGGAUAACAUUGAUGCAUGCCAUAUAGAAUAGGGAGGAUAUCGAUUGAAUAAAAAGAAUAGGGACUAAAAUCAGGAGUUUGGAAUAGUACAGGGACAAUUGGUGAUAAAAAGGCCGGAAGUUAUUUUAUCAAGAGGGGUUUUUUAUGCAUUUCAUCUUGGCUUACUGAUGAAGGUUUUCUACAUGAAUAGAACAUGGCUUGAGAUGGCAGCAGGAAAUCCAUUCGGAAAGGUAAGAAAGGAAAAGGAAGGGGGGAAAGACUUUUCUUGGGGGGGAGUCUCCUUCUCGUCUGACACUUUCCCCCAAGCUACACUACAUCGAUUCUCUAUCUUUGUCUCUCUCUCUCUCCCUCCGAUUCAUCACUGUUUUUUUUAUAUAUGCCGCGAUCAAAGAAGUCAGAGCCGCAGAUUCGACGGCCGCCAAGUAUCUGGAGAUCCCUCUACUUCUUGAAUAUUCAACUUCUUCAGGUAUUUCGGCCAACUCUCCUCCCUUUGGCUUUGAUCUAAUUUUCUGUUGUUUCCCAAGAAAAUGAUGGGACUGAAAAGAAUAAAGUUUUACUCCCUUUUGGGAUUUUUGAAAGGAAAAGUGGAAUUUCAGUUCAAAUUAAGAGGUAUAUUAAUCUUUUGAUUUCUUUUGGGAAUUUCAAAAAUAGAAAAUGUGUAAUUGUGCGACUGUUUAUAAAUAUAUGAUACCGUUUAAGAUUAGAGUAAUUAAUUACUGUUGGUUGAAUUUAAUGGGUGACUGUUGGAAUGCUGUUAUGGGUAAUGUAUUACUGUUUCUUGCAGAACUGACUAAUUUUACUAGUUACAAUGAAUUGUUGGGAAAAUUUUCUGCCUUCCGAUAAACUGAACGUCUUACGGAAGCCUUAUGGACCUUGGUUUAACGGAAUUUGGGUUAUCGAAAUUUGGUUUAUAUUAACGUUCUAUUGAUGUUGUGAAUUUGAACAAGAGGAAAAGCUUUGACCUUGUACGAUCACCAGCAAUUCUGUGUUUCUUGGUAUUUGGUACUGAAUCAAUGUGAAAUCCCGUUCCUGGAUUUCACUGUUAUAAUCUACGUAUUUGUAUUAUUGAGAUUUUAUAUUAUUUUUUUAGAAUUUAUUUUAAUUUGUUUGAAUUAAGAUUUUAAUUAAAUUAAUUACGAAGUUUGAAGUUUGGAGAUUAAUUAUUUAAAAUCCGUGGACCUUUCGAGGUCACAAUUUAUAUCGUUGAAUAGAUUUUGAGAUCACGAAUGUAUAGGUGAAAGCCGCUUGCGAGUCCGAGUUUUAACGGUAUAGUUACGGAUAUUUGAAGUUGUGUUACUAAUCUAUAUGUUUUAAUUUAUUUUAAAACUCCCACAUAGUGGGAGAGGGACCAGGGAGAAAGGGGAAUAAAAGGGAUCGGACAGAAAAAAGAAAGGGGGAGGAGGGUCUAAUUUUGACCCGUUUUUGGUCAUUUUCGACCAUUUUGACCCAUAAACUUGACCCGCUCAUAUCUUCUUCAUCCGAGCUCCGUUUUGGGUGAUCUUGGUGUCCAUGGAAAGCUCUUGAAAAGCCCUACGACCCUAUGGUGUUAGAUUUCCCAUUUUCUGAUCCACGUUUCCAGUUCGAGGCAGCAAAGUCCCGUGGGUUUUCCGGCGAUUGUGUCAUUUUUCCGGUGAUUCCGGCAACCAUUUCCUUCGAGUGAGGUAUUAAACUUCAUCUACUCUUCAUAAUCUCCAUGUUGGUAUGCUUGGUUUGUGCUUUCGUAUUCAUUUUAGAGUUGGGUGUUUAAAACCCUAGAAACCCGGUUUUCCCCGAGGAAUUUGGAUGGUUUCCGGUUAGAAUUUGUUGUUGGCCUAGUUGUGAAUAAUGUUUCCCUUGUUGAGAUCUUCAUUCUUGUAAAUUAUGAGAAUUUUUGGAAAAAGUCCAAUUUUUCGAUGUGUGGCAUUCGAUUUAUGAAAUGUUGUUGGUUGAGUAUAUUUAGAUAGGUCCACCACUUGGAUAUUCUAACAGUUGAAGAUACUUUAAAUUCUUAUAUUUAUAUCAUUGUGAAUAUGGCUUGGUGUUAUAAAUGUGAUUUCUAUUGAAAUGUGAUUUUAUAUAUUUAGCCGUAGUCAUAUGCUUAUUAGCAUGAUUUGGAUUGUGUAUUGAUGAUGGUUGUGAUAUAUGUGAGUUUAAUUAUCCUUUUAGUAAUGUGAAUGAUGAGUAUGAUUAUUUUCAUGACAAUUGUAGAUAUUGUUUAAGGACCUUAGGGACUUACUAGUGAAAAUCUAGUGGUUGGAUCUUACGGAGCAAGUGAUGUAAGAUCAUGGACCAUAUCUUUGAUCGACGAUCUAAUUCUCAUUAAAUGUCGUUGUGAGAGACUUAUGAGAGUUUUGAGUAUGUGAAUUUAUCGAGAGAAAUCUAAAUGUGGAGUUGUGCUUGUUUUAGGCGGUGAUAGAGCUUGACGCCUUGAAUUCCAUGCUAUAAUGUGUUAGUGUGGACCUAAUAUGAGUGAUUUUAAUCUGUGUGAUAUGGUUAUUACUUUGAAAUCUUCCGUGCUAAUAUACUUUGUGGUUACAUCAUAGAUUCUUAAAAUAGGUCUUAUGCUAAAUAAUUGUUGUUAUCAAGUUUGCCAUCUUAUGCUAAAUAAUUGUUGUUAUCAAGUUUGCCAUCGAUCUACUUAUGAAACAUUAUGUGACUUGGAUAUUUGAACUAUUGAUGGAUUGUGUUUCGAUAUAUGUAUUUGAUGGUUUGAUAAAUAUGAGGAAUUGUAAAGGAUCGUUACCUUAGUGUCAUGGGGUUAGGUGACACUCAGUCUCUCUAGCUCUAGUUUUGAGUGUAUCCGUGAAUUUUGGCUUCGAGAACCUUGAGUUUGAUUUAGAAAAGCCGUUGGAUGUCUGUGUGACUCAUUCGGAAUUUGCAAAGGUUUGGUAUUAAUUUCUUAUGAAUAAUUUAUAUUCAAAGUUUAUAAACCGUGAUUGAUGGUUGGUUUUAUCAUUAUUAUCACAUACUUUGUAUUAUUGUUGCUCACACGAGCUUCGUAGCUUAUCCGGGUUGUUGUUUGCCCGAUGCACCAUUUCCAUGAUGUAGGCACUCAUUUCACAUGCGACAGGUCUGGGUAAAUUAUGAGAAACUAUUUGAUAUUUUGGUUCCGUUGAGUAGUCCGGAACCCGAUAUUGUUGGAUUACGUUGAGUGGUUCGAAAUCCUUGCUCUUGCUGAUUUCCAUAGUGUUAUCUUAGAAUCCUAGAUUCGAGUGAAUGGAAAUUACCCACAAUGGAUCUUGUGAAUACAAAUUAGAAUUACCAUGUUAUUAUUCAUAACUCAAUUAGGGAAUUAUGUAGAGUUCUUUGAUUAAACUCGUGAAAUGAUGUGCUAUCUCACUGAUUGAUUAACGUAAUUAAAUAUUAAUAUUGUGCUUCGUGAUUCCCUGAUAUGUUACAAGCUAUGGAUAGAGAUAUAUUGUUGGAAGCAUAGGGAUUGGUAUGAUGUGGUGAAAUGUGAUUUGACGUGUGAAUUGGAAAUGGUUGUGUCAUGUAAUGGAAAUGCCUAUUGAAUUGCUUGGGAGAUGUGAGAUCUAGUAAUGGAUCGAUAACCUAUUGUGAUGGGGAUUUGUUGCUCAAUAUUAGUUCGUUUUGUUGAGUCUUCGUGAUUUGAGUAAAUUGAAUCCUAUCUUGUUCCUUCGAGCCGUAGUUAUGCUUCUUGGACUUCCGUUCGGUUCUGUUGAAUGGUUCGGAACUAAGUUCUGUUUGGAUUCCGUUGAGUGAUGUUCCGGAAUCCCUUCUAUUCUGUAUUCUGAGAUUCCGUUGAGUGAUGUUCCGGAAUCCCUUCUAUUCUGUAUUCUGUGAUUCCGUUGAGUGAUGGUCCGGAAUCAUAUGCUUGUUUGGAUUCCGUUGAGUGAUGGUCCAGAAUCCCCUUUGUUGCCUUGGCUCUGGUAUAUGGUUCGGAUUCUGUUGAGUAAUGGUCUGGAAUCCCCUUUUGUAUCUUGGUUUCGUUGAGAGGUCUGAAAUCCCUAUUUCAGAGUAGUAGGCUAGGCCUAAGGGUAUCACUCUAGCCUUAGUUUUAUAUAUAUUUGUGACAAUGGUUUGAGAAUCCUGUGAAUUGAGUUAGAAAAGAUGUUGAACGUCUGGCUGACUCCUUCGGGAUUCUCUACGAUUCGAUUAUGAUUUUAUCAAGUAUGAAUUUAGAAAAUAUGGGAAUGAUUGAUAUUAUUUUGAUCAGAUUAAUUAUUUCAUGUGGCUAGAGAAUGGUUAUGUGCUUCAUCGGUUAUUAAAUAUAACGUAUGUUGUGAAUAGCUAUGUGAUGAGACAUAAUGAAUUAUAUGUUGGAUGAAAGUGAAAUCAUGAUUUUCAUGGGGGUUUGUUAUGUAGCAUGAGUCCAAGAAUUCCAUGUUGUCGGGUUAUAGUAAAUGAUGGAGGAAUGCUAUACUUUUAUGCUUGAUUGAGUGUGAUAAAUAUUUGUUUUUGUGAGUGUUGAACUACGAAUGGCUUGAUCCCUAUUGAGGGUACGUAGGCAGUCUAACGAAGAGGUUGGAUGCAACCAUAAAUUGUACGAAAAAUGCUAUGAAAUUUGAAUCUUAAUUUAUGCUUUGUACAUAUCUCGGUGGCGAGGUAUGUUAGAUAUACGGGUACUUAGUGACGUCACAUGUCGAUCCUGGACGUAUGUCGGGAUUGGGGCGUGACAAUCAAACCAAUUUAUCUCUUUCUAAAGCUUUCGAACGUCUUUCAAGACUAUGGUUUUAAUGAGUUUUGUGCUCGCGAUUAUGCGUAUGUGCAGAUAUCUAGUUUUGAUCUUCUUCCAGAUGUUGGUAGCAUAUAUUGUCACAUUGUUAAUAUUAUGAUUAUUUUUAAUUGAUCAAUGUGGUUUGAGAAUAUUAUGUGCUUCGUUGGUUAUUCAUUAUGUUACAUGCUGUGGAUGGAAGUAUCGUGUUGAAAAUAUGGAAUUUAUAUGAUGGAUGGAAUGAGAACUUUGAACGGUAUGUUGGUUUGUUUUGUAGCCGGAACUUGGUAAUGUCAUGCAAGUCAAGUUCUAAUAAUUGAUUACAAAAUGCUAUGUAUUCCUGUUAGAUUGCAUUGGAAUAAUUAUCUAAAUUAGUGAACAAUGAACUACGAAUGGUUUGAUCCCUGUUUAGGGUACGUAGGCAGUCUAACGAGGAGGUUAGAUGCAGCCAUAAAGCUUAUGAAAAAUUAUUAUGCAACUUGUACCUUGAAUUAUGCUAUGUAUAUAUUCUGAAGGCGGGGUAUAUUCGAGAUAUAGGUAUUUGAUGACGUCACAUGUCGAUCCUGGACGUACGUCGGGAUCGGGACGUGACAAUUUUAAUGGUAUCAGAGCUUAGGGAUUAGGUCCUCGUACCUUUACCUUAGUGUUGGAACAAUUUUGGGUAAUGUCAUUUGUAACUCUGACGGGACGCUACUUAUGGGUUUGAUCUUGUUGGUUUAGAGUCUUGUGUUGCUUAUAUGACCUUGCUCUUGAGUGGUAUCGAUGUUUUGAGCUCAUGUAUUGUGCUAAUUUAUUCUGAGGCAGAGUAUUAGUCGAUGAAUGUUGAUAGUACAUUGAAUAAGUGGUUCGGUUAAUUUUUAUUUAAUCCCAGAAAAUGUGGUGUGAAAUUCACAUGCAUCAUUAUUACUUCAAAUGGUAGUUAGAAUGCCUUUCAUUUAAAUCAUGGUUAUGGAUGAUUGUGAAAUGGUUGUGUUCGUAUGAUGGAAUGGGAGAAGAAAAUUUUUAAAAUAUCAUAUUUCAUGUUAUAGCUUCAAAGAUGAGUGUUUGACUAAAGUCUCGAAUUAAUCUUGAAUUGGGUUGAUAUUAUGUUAUGCGGUAUUAAAAUUUUGAAUGUUAUGAUGAUUGUGCAAUUGUGAAAAGUAGAUAAAAAGGUCGUACUAUAUAUGUGCAAUUGAGAAAUGUUGUAUUGGGCGGUCAAGGCCCGUGGAUGUUAAUUCGGGCGAAUGGGCCCAUGGAAUGUGAGAAAUGGAUAAGUGGGCUCAAAGACCCAAUGUUUCUGGGGAGAAGCUCCAUGUGUGGGCUGUGAGAAUAAAUUAUCGAAGUGAUAAAUAUGUGUGAUGUGUAUUGUCCAGGUGUAUUAUAAUCUUUUCCAGAUUACUAGUUACUUAUGUGGAUAAAGAAGAAAGAUGAUGAAAUCGUUGUGUUGCCAAUGAUGAUUAUGGCUUGAAAUUUUCAAAUCUUAUGGCCAUGAUAAUUAUGGUUGGAAAUUAUUGUUUAUGAAAUUCAUGAUGAUUUUAUGAGCGGGAAUGAAUCACAACCCGAGGUUAUGAUUGGUUUAAGAUAUAGUAGUGAGUAAUUGUGAUUUGGAAUUCCAAAGAAUUUGGCUGGAAUCUCUGAUAUUUGAUUUGUCAAUUCUAAUGGUGUGGCUUGAAAAUCUAGUAUUUAUUUAGUCGAAGCGGAUUGCGGCUUGAUGUUUGAUAAUUAUUUUGCCAAUGUGUAUGGCUAGAAUUCCUCAUAAUUUUUCUGCCAAUAAAUGUUGCUGGGGAUCUAAGUAUAUGGGUGAGAAUCACGAUGAUUUUCGUUAAUUUAUUUAUUUUGAGCUUGAAUAAACUCAUAGACUGAGGUUAUGACUUUAUUCACUAUAAAUGGAAUGAUGGAGAAAGUUUGUGAUUACAAAUUUGGUUGGUUUGGUUGCCAGAAUCAUGAGUAUAUUGAUGAAUUCUUAUUAAAUGUGGCUUUCUUUGUGCUUGUACCAAGAUUUGGUGUUGAGAUCGUCUUGAAACGAGGAUAAUUGAAAUUGUGAGUUGUGGUUCGAUGUUGUCGAACUUGAUGAUAGUCAAAUUUAAGUAUAUUGAAAGUGUGAAUGUCAUUCUGGCAUCGUUAUCUAUUAAAUGUGGCAUUGGUGAAUAUGGAAUUGAUACUGAAAUUUCGAGGACGAAAUUUUUUUUAGGGGGGGAAAAUGUGAAAUCCCAUUAUUGAAUUUCACUGUUAUAAUCUACGUAAUUGUAUUAUUGAGAUUUAUAUUAUUUUUCGAGAAUUUAUAUUAAUUUACUUGAAAUUAGAUUUCAAUUAAACUAGUUACGAAGAGUGAAGUUUGGAAAAUUACUAUUUACUCGUUGACCUUUCGAGGUCACAAGCAACGUUUUUGAAUAGGUUUCGAAGUCACGAACGUGUAGGCGAAAGCCGUUUGCGAGUCCGGAUUAUAACGGUAUAGUUACGUAUGUUUGAAGUUGUAUGUGGGAGUGAUUUUCCAAUUUUACCCUUAAUUUGACAGCAAAAUGGAUGGAAUUAAUGGUAAGGAUAACAUUGAUGCAUGCCAUAUAGAAUAGGGAGGAUAUCGAUUGAAUAAAAAGAAUAGGGACUAAAAUCAGGAGUUUGGAAUAGUACAGGGACAAUUGGUGAUAAAAAGGCCGGAAGUUAUUUUAUCAAGAGGGGUUUUUUAUGCAUUUCAUCUUGGCUUACUGAUGAAGGUUUUCUACAUGAAUAGAACAUGGCUCGAGAUGGCAGCAGGAAAUCCAUUCGGAAAGGUAAGAAAGGAAAAGGAAGGGGGGAAAGACUUUUCUUGGGGGGGGAGUCUCCUCCUUUCGUCUGACUGACACUUUCCCCCAAGCUACACUACAUCGAUUCUCUAUCUUUGUCUCUCUCUCUCUCUCCUCUCCGAUUCAUCACUGUUUUUUUUAUAUAUGCCGCGAUCAAAGAAGUCAGAGCCGCAGAUUCGACGGCCGCCAAGUAUCUGGAGAUCCCUCUACUUCUUGAAUAUUCAACUUCUUCAGGUAUUUCGGCCAACUCUCCUCCCUUGGCUUUGAUCUAAUUUUCUGUUGUUUCCCAAGAAAAUGAUGGGAUUGAAAAGAAUAAAGUUUUACUCCCUUUUGGGAUUUUUGAAAGGAAAAGUGGAAUUUCAGUUCAAAUUAAGAGGUAUAUUAAUCUUUUGAUUUCUUUUGGGAAUUUCAAAAAUAGAAAAUGUGUAAUUGUGCGACUGUUUAUAAAUAUAUGAUACCGUUUAAGAUUAGAGUAAUUAAUUACUGUUGGUUAAAUUUAAUAGGUGACUGUUGGAAUGCUGUUAUGGGUAAUGUAUUACUGUUUCUUGCAGAACUGACUAAUUUUACUAGUUACAAUGAAUUGUUGGGAAAUUUUUCUGCCUUCCGAUAAACUGAACGUCUUACGGAAGCCUUGUGGACCUUGGUUUAACGGAAUUUGGGUUAUCGAAAUUUGGUUUAUAUUAACGUUCUAUUGAUGUUAUGAAUUUGAACAAGAGGAAAAGCUUUGACCUUGUACGAUCACCAGCAAUUAUGUGCUUCUUGAUAUUUGGUACUGAAUCAAACCAACUUAUCUCUUUCUAAAGCUUUCGAACGUCUUUCAAGACUAUGGUUUUAAUGAGUUUUGUGCUCGUGAUGCGUAUUAUGUGUAUAUAUGUGCUAGUUUUGAUCUUCUUCCAGAUGUUGGUAGCAUAUAUUGUCACAUUGUUAAUUAGGGUGAUUAUAAUUGAUCAACAGUUCCAAUUCACAAUCCGUCCGUCCGUGCGUGCGUGCGUGCGUGCGUGCGUGCGUUAGCGUUGCGUGCUUAGUUAUGACCAUUUGAUCCUAGAAUCCUAUUAGAAGUAUUCUGCAGAAUUUAUAUGCUUCCAUGGUAUGUUUGUUGGUGGCCUUGAGAAAUUGUUGGUGUAGGUGAUUACGUUGUAACCCAUAGGGGUUAAGUGAUGGGUAAGUUGGGUGUGUUGAAUUUUCUGCACUAUGUAGUUGUACAUUGAGUGGUCCUGCUUGGUAUAUCUGCGUUGGGGGACCAUAUGCAUUCUAGAAGUGAGGAGGAUUAGUUGUACUUGGUACAUUUGAUGGGGGAAUCAUAUGCUUAUUCGGAUUCCGUUGAGUGAUGGUCCGGAAUCCAUUCUAUUAUGCGAUUCCGUUGAGUGAUGGUCCGGAAUCGUAUCUAGCUUGUAUUCAUUCGGUCAUCGAUGGAGUGGUUUUCGUAUUUCAUAUGGUUUACUAUCGAGAUUCCGUUGAGUGAUGGUCCGGAAUCCCUUCUACACCACGAUUCCGUUGAGUGAUGGUCCGGAAUCGUAUCCUGGUCUGGAUUCCGUUGAGUGGUCCGGAAUCCCUUUGGUGUCUUGGUCCCUUGGAUUUGUUUUCAGCUUCAAGGAUGUAGGUUUCGGCCGAAUUGCGUUCCUCUAACCUAGUGGUCAAUGUACAUAUGAACGAUGGAUUUUGAGAAUCUUGUGGUUUGAAUUAGAAAAGUCGUUGGAUGUUUGGGUGACUCCUUCGGAGUUAUUGAGACUUGGCUAUGUAUUCAUAUUUAUGAACUUAUAUUUGAGACUUGUAACUGCGCUCGAUGGAAUUGAUUUUACAUACAACAGGUAUGGAUAGAUUGCAAGAAACCGAUUGACAUGGUGGUUCCGUUGAGUGGUCCGGAACCCGAUUUGGUUGGAUUCCAUUGAGUGGUCCGGAAUCCUUACUCUUGCAUAUUUUCAAAGGGUUAGUCCAGAACCCUAGAUUCAAGUGAAUGAGGAUUAUCCACAUUAGACCUUGUGAAUAUAAAAUAGAUUUACCAUGUUAUUGCUCAUAAUCCAAGAAGGGUAUUAUACAGAGUUCCCUGGGUUAAAUUGUGAAAUGAUAUGUUUCUACAUGCGUUGAUUAACAUAAUUAAAUGCUAAGAUCAUAUAUCUUUAAUUCAUGAAUUGAUUGAUUGACGGGAUUGUGGAAUGAACUUGGUUUUAGUUGUUAAUAUUAUGAUUAUUUUAAUUGAUCAAUGUGGUUUGAGAAUAUUAUGUGCUUCGUUGGUUAUUCAUUAUGUUGCAUGUUGUGGAUGGAAGUAUCGUGUUGAAAAUAUGGAAUUUAUAUGAUGGAUGGAAUGAGAAAUUUGAACGGUAUGUUGGUUUGUUUUGUAGCCGGAACUUGGUAAUGUCAUGCAAGUCAAGUUCUAAUAAUUGAUUAUAGAAUGCUAUGUAUUCCUGUUAGAUUGCAUUGGAAUAAUUGUCUAAAUUAGUGAACAAUGAACUACGAAUGGCUUGAUCCCUGUUUAGGGUACGUAGGCAGUCUAAUGAGGAGGUUAGAUGCAGCCAUAAAGCUUAUGAAAAAUUAUUAUGCAACUUGUACCUUGAAUUAUGCUAUGUAUAUAUUCUGAAGGCGGGGUAUAUUCGAGAUAUAGGUAUUUGAUGACGUCACAUGUCGAUCCUGGACGUACGUCGGGAUCGGGACGUGACAGGCCUAGUUGAAUUCAUCAAGUACAUUAGACUUCCAAUUACUUGAGAAUAUUCAAGUUGAGAUAUGACAUCGCCUUUAUUUUUCUCUAACUUGCAUCCAGCAUCAAAAAGAGUUGCAGCAGGUUUGCAGUCAAAUUGACCAAACCUUCGUAAUAUUUUUUCUGCAUAAUGGGAUUGUGUAAGGACAUAUCCUUCACUAUUUCUCUUAAUUUGAAUUCUUAAAAUGACAUCGGCUUGACCUAAGUCUUUCAUGUCAAAACUAGAAUUCAACAUUUUCUUUGUUUUGUUUAUUACAUCUUUAUUGCUUCCCAUUAUGAGCAUAUCAUCCACAUAUAAGCAAACAAUAACACAAGUUUUAUCAUUACUCUUAAUGUAGACACAUUUAUCAGAUUCAUUUAUUUUGAACCCAUGUGUCAACAAAGUAUGAUCAAAAUUCUCGUGUCAUUGUUUUGGUGCUUGUUUAAGUCCAUAUAAUGACUUAACUAAUUUGCACACUUUGCUUUCUUGUCCUUUAAGCAAGAACCCUUCAGAUUGUUCCAUGUAUAUUUCUUCAUCUAGUUCUCCAUUUAAAAAUGUUGUUUUUACAUCCAUUUGAUGUAUAUCAAAGUUGUAUACAGCCGCAAUCGUUAUUAACGUCCUAAUUGACGUCAUGCGAGAAACUGGAGAAUAGGUGUCGAAAUAAUCCAACCCUUCUUUUUGGCGAUAACCUUUGGCUACUAAACGUGCCUUGAACUUAUUAAUGGUUCCAUUUAUGACCAAUUGGUUUACUACCGGGAGGUAAAUCAACCAAUUCCCAUGUGUUAUUUUCCAUAAUGGAUUCCAUUUCACUUUUAAUUGCUUCCUUCCAUAAAGGAGCCUCAGAAGAAGACAUUGCUUCUUUAAAAGUUCUAGGUUCAUUCUCGGACAAGAAAGCAAUGAAAUCUGGUCCAAAGUUUUUAGAAACUUUGAUUCUUUUUCCUCUUCUUGGUUCCACAUCAUUUCCUUGGAUACCAGAAGAAGAGGCUUCAUCAUGACUAUGAUCAUGAACCCUCUUUGUAUUAGAACCAGAUUCCUUAUCUUUGUAAGGAAAUAUAUCCUCAAAGAAUUUUGCAUCCGCUGAUUCUAAUAAAGUGUUGACAUGUAUGUCAGAAAUCGAAGAUUUUACAACAAGGAACCUAUAAGCAGCACUAUUAUUUGCACAUCCAAUGAAUACACAAUCAAUAGUUUUAGGUCCUAGUUUCGUUCUUUUUGGUAAAGGAACUUGCACCUUUGCUAAGCAACCCCACACUUUGAGGGUUUUAUAAGUGGGUUUAUGUCCUUUCCAUAGUUCAUAAGGUGACUCGUCAAUCUUCUUUAGAGGAACCUUAUUCAAUAUGGUAUUUGCAGUAAGUAAAGCUUCACCCCACAAACUGUGUGGAAGCCUGAACUAUUUAACAUGGAAUUAAUCAUAUCCUUGAAUGUUCUAUUUUUUCUUUUGGCAACACCAUUUUGUUGUGGUGUGUAUGGAGCCGUUGUUUGAUGUAUAAUUCCAUGUUGUGCACAAAAAUCUGAGAAGGCAGUAGACUCAUACUCUCCUCCUCUAUCAAAUCUAAGUGCUUUGAUUUUUCUCUCAAGUUGAUUUUCAACUUCGGCUUUAUAUGUCUUAAACAUAUUCAAAGCUUCGUCCUUGCUAUGAAUCAAAUAAACAUAGCAAUAUUUACUGCAAUCAUCAAUAAAAAUGACAUAAUAAUUCUUUCCUCCACGAGUUGGUGUGGAUUUAAAAUCACAAAGAUCACUAUGAAUUAAUCCAAGUAAUUCAUUUGAUCUUUCCAGAAUUGACUUUCUCGUUUGCUUAGCAAAUUUCGAUUCAGUACAUGUUUCACACUUAUGAUUAAAAUCAAUUUCGAAUUUCGGUAAUAAGUCUAAUUCAACCAUUCUAUGCAUGGAACGAAAAUUAACAUGUCCUAAUCUAGCAUGCCAAAUAUUAGAAGACUCAACAAUAUAAGUAGAAGCAUUUAUUUUAUUAACAUCAUCAAUGGCAAUUACAUUGAGUUUCACGAGGCCAUCAGCCACAUAGCCUUUUCCAACAAACAUCCCACCCUUGGUAAGUACAAAUUUGUUGGAUUCCAUUACAAGUUUAAAGCCCUUAGCAAUCAGAAUAGGUCCAGAAACCAAGUUCAUCCUUAUUUCAGGAACAUGCAACACAUUCAGCAAGGUGAGACUCUUUCCAGAUGUGAAUUUGAGUACCACUUUGCCUUUGCCCUCCACUGCAGAUGAGGCAGAAUUGCCCAUAUACAGUUUUUCUCCAUGGGCAGCAGGAUGGUAUUCAGUGAAUAGAUUUUUGUCAGCGCAGAUGUGCUUAGUAGCACCAGUAUCCAACAGCCAUUCACUGACAUUUGAGACCAUGUUGACCUCGGACACAACAGCAGCCAAUUCUCCAUUGGUGGUUGCCAUGUUAGCAUGGUUAUUGUUGUUUCCGUUGGCAUGAUUUACAUCCUUGCGAUGAUAACAAUCUUGUGCCUUGUGACCAGAUUUGCCACACACAUAGCAUGCGCCCUUAAUCUUCUUCAGAUUCUUGCCUUUGGGAGCAAGGGCAGAUUGUACAAACUGCUUGGUUUUAGGAGCCUUAUUCUUCUUCGGCUUGGCCUUGGAGUUUCCUCCCUCAACAUAAUUUGCAUUGGCUUCAAUGGAAGCAAACCCUCCAAAACGGUCUGCCUUUCUGUGGUCUUCUUCCACUCGUAGCCUCAGGAUCAAAUCCUCCAUAUUCAUCUCACGACGCUUGUGCUUGAGAUAAAUUUUGAAGUCAUUCCACGAAGUUGGCAAUUUUUCAAUUAUUGCCCCAACUUGGAAAUGCUCAUUGAUCUCGCAUCCCUCGGAGUGCAGUUCAUAGAUCAAUUUCUGGAUUUCUUCGACCUGAGACAAAAACAGAUUUGGAAUCCACCAUUGUAUAUUUGAGAAACUUACCGAUAACAAAUUUCUUUGAACUGGCAUCAUCAAUCUUAUACUUUUUCUCGAGGGAUUCCCAUAACUCCUUCGCUGUCUUGCACAUAGAAUAAAUGUCGUAGAGAUUGUCAUCCAAACUAUUCAGAAUAUAAUUUCUGCAACAAAACUCGGAACGAUUCCAAGCUUCGAUUGCCAUGACAGUCUCUUUCUUCAUUGGAUUCUCAUUAGACUUCGAAGCUUCUUCCUUGACAACAUGAGCGAGAUUCAUUGUUGUCAGGAAGAACAACAUCUUCUGUUGCCAUCUCUUGAAGUCCAGCCCUUUGAACUUCUCAGGUUUUUCAGAUUAUUUUGGCACAGCGCCAUUCACAUUUACAGAUUGUUGAUCCAUAAAUUUCUAUUUCAAGAUUGUUGGAUUUUGUCAACAAUCUGUGAUAAUUUAUAUAUGCUAAUAAAUAAUAAAUGCAAUAGGAAUUAACAGAAUAUAAACUAGAAUACGAAUUAUAAAAACAGACAACUUGAAGAUCGAGGCUUGCGUACAGUAAUGUCCUUGAAACAGAAAUUUCGUCCCUACUAUGUGCUUGUAGUUCUACGGACGUCUGCUUCACCAAGAUUCAACGAUCAAGUUAAAAUUCCAGCACCGGAAAAUUUAACUUCUGGCGAAUUUAGUGUGAUUCUCUCAGUAAGAAGGUUUAGGAAUGUAGAAGAUGAAGUUGAUUAUUUUCUGUAUUCUAAAUGUCAUGCAGAUAGAUGUAUAUAUAAUGUGAUUAUAUUUGUUCGCAACAGGUAUGAGGAAGGGAUGCAUCUGUUAGGAGACAUCUGCUGAAAAUGGUGUUUUUGUUUCUGCGUUUUCACACUUCAGACUUCAUCUGAAAAGAUGAGUCUGUUGGCAAAAAUAAUUAAUUAAUUUAAAUUCGAAAUUAAAAAUAAUUAAUUAAUUCCGAAAAUAAAUAAUUAAUUUAAUUAUUAGAGUCCAAGGCCCAUCUUUUGACAAUUAAUUAUAUUUUAAUUAUAAUUAAUUAUAUAUUAAUUAGUACACCCCAAAGCCCAACUCCAAGGGUGAGCCCAAUUUUAGUCUUCAGGCCUAUUACUCCAAUCACUUUCUAUAAAGGACAAAACCUUAUAAAGUGAUAAAAUCUUUUGGGAAUGGCCAAUGUGGGACAAAGAAAUUUCCACUCAAACUACUCAAAUUUCCAACAAGUGUUUCCUGAAUAACAAUGGCCGGCACUUCCUCAAGACCAAAGACUACCUUGCAUUUUAUUUCACAAGCUCUGAAGUAUUAUUCAAAUCACCCCAUGAUGUUCACUUAUGAGCAGAUUGGGAUGAGAGAAUAUACAAGUAGAUAUCUCAUGAAUGUCGACGAUUUUGCUGACUAGCCGAACGACUGCGAGUUUCAAGGUUUGAAGUUCUUCUCCUUCAAACUUUCACAAGAAAUAUGUUGAAUAUUUCAUUACUUUAUUCAUCCUCUAGGGUUUACAAUAUAUAGGUACAAGACUUAAUUCUACAAGGAGAGUAAUUAUAAAAGAUGUUGGAUCCCUGACCACAAUGCAAAACAAAAUCAACUGCUUGCAUCCCAAGGAAUAUUAUUUAAACACAAAGGGGUGAAGUGGACCACUUAUGAGAUUACGAAGAAGCUCGACAGGGAGAUUAAGAGUUCAGUUGGCUAUAAGAGUGGACCAAUCGCAAUCCCUGGAUUCAUUGACGCCAAGUCAAUCCCAUUUCCUUCAGCAAAUUUUCAGGCAGCCUCCUCAGCUAAAGUUUUUGAGAGAGGAUACCAUCGCUGAACAAAUGAAGAAGGAAGUGCAUAUGAGUUUUUAGUUCAUCAUCAUGUACUGCUUCGUAUUGUGUUAAGCUUACCGCUAUGUCCAAUAUUUUUCAGUAGUAUGGGAAGUUGGGAAUAUACAUACCUUGUUCUUCUAACAAAAAAGUGGAUCCGAGUACCAAGUUUCAUCCAAAACCACAUCAGAUGCCAGAGGGGUUCCAGUCCCCUUUACUGAAGCAAUAGAUGAUGUUAAAACCACUCUCUUGACAGAGGGGAAUUUUGCGCACGAUUCAAGAACAUUGAGUGUUCCUUUCACUGCAGGCUCAACUAUUUCUGCCUGCAAUAUGGAGAGAACUGUGUUGGUUUUCUAGGCGUGCACAUGUGACAUGAUAAAAUAUUGAAAGUAUGAAGUGAAGGGACAAACCUGUGGGUCAGUGGCUGAGAAUUGUGCAGACAAUGCUGUAUGAAAAACACCUACACAUCCAUCAUCUACAGUAUCGAAAGCUCCUAACAAAUCCACUUUCAACAAAUGAAGCCUUUCUCUUGCUCCAUCUAGUGAGUACGUCUUCUGUUUUCUUUCGAUCAUCUGUGUUUUGCAGAAACAGAAUUAUUGAGGAGGUUUCAAUUGGCAGUUCAGCUAGGCCGAGCGUAGCACCUAAAAUAACAAUAAUAAUUGGAUGCAAAGGAGCUGUUAUUUGCACUCCAAAUAGUCGUCCUGCACUUCCCCUAAUGCUUAGAAAAAGAGCCGGGAGUGAAAUGUAAAUAGGAUGGCAGUUUUAUAUUAUAUGAUAUAAGCAAAGUUGAAAAUACUGACUUGGUUCACGAACAGUGCCUUUGACGGUAUAUCCCUUCUGCAGUAAUUAAGAGCUUCACGAGCCAUGAUGUUAUGUAACCAGAUGCUCCUGUUACAGAAUCUUUGUUUCUCCAAAUAUUAUGAUGGCGAUGUUAACCAAAUAGUUUCGAGCAAAUGAGGUUUGAUUGUCACUUGUGGAGUGCUCAUAAUUUGCAGCAAAUGCAUUUGACUACAGCUCCCUCGUAACCGAUGAGUGUGUUAGUCCUGUGCUAUUUGCAGUCAUUUCUCGCGACUAUAGUACUUUAAUUUAUUUACUGCGUUAACAUACAUUCUAUUUGUGUUUAGAAAGCCCGUGAGACAUGGCUAGAGUUCUAGUCACCUGCAUUUAUUAUAAGGGAAAAAGAUUAAACACGACCAAAAUAUUUAGAGACCUAGUAACAAGAAGAAAAGCAACUGGAGUGCGAGAGUCAAAGUCGAGAAGGCUCUUCAAGACACCAAUUCAUUGGUUUAACAUACUUUUCAUAAUAAAACUAACGAGUUUAAAUUGUCGCCAAACUAAAGACUACGUUACGUUCUGUUGCUCAUACUUGCAAGCAUCACUAGAGGUUGCAUAUGUGUUCAAUCUUUAUAUAAAAAUUGUAAUUUUUUAUUUAGUGCGAUUUUAAAAUUUACAAAUUACAUAUGACUAACAUGUAGCUGGAAGAUUGAGGCAGUCAAAUCUUGAUGAAGCCCUUCUCCUUGAGGCUUUCAAUAGUGUCCCUAAGACUUGUUUCCAGAGGAAGGAAAGUGAUUCCCAAACCUUUUGCUUUCUCCUGGGACACUUGAUACUUUGAGUCUGACGGAUUGACAGCCUCAGCAAGGGUCAAAGUAGGGUAGAGUUGUCGUAAAAUCUUUAGGGUAUCGAAUCCGUCAACAACGUGGCCAACUAAACAAUAUCUGCCACUAGCUGAAGGAACUUCAAAUUCUUGAAUAUGAGCAGAGGCAACAUCUCUAACGUCUACAAAUGGGUAAUUUAGAAACGGUGUUGGGGUACCUGAGCACAAAGGAGAAACAUCGCAAUCAAUUGCUUGCAUCACAAGUCAAGGACAACUGUUUAAACACAGAGGGGCCGGUUGAAGAUGUUCUACUGGCUAUCAACCCAACAGUAAUUAAGUUGCUGAAAUAUACCACUCAUGACAUUCAGAAGCUGCUCAACGGAGGUCAUAAGAGUUGGAUUUAAGAGUGGACCAAUACACAACCGAGGAUUCAUUGACACCAUAUCGAUUCCAUUUCCUUCAGCAAAUUUCCAGCCAGCCUCCUCGGCUAAUAUUUUUGAGAGCACAUACCAUAUCUGAAAAAAUGAACAAGGAAUUCCAUAUAUAUGAGGUUGCUGUUCAUGAUUCCAAGAUGUUCUUCUUAUAGAAUUAUAUAUUUAUUAUAGAAUUGCAACCUGAUACCUAUCUAACCUAACAAGAUUAGAUUUUGUUCCAACUGACAUUAAAAUAUAACAAAUUAACAGCUAACAAAAUGUGAGACUUGGAGAAAGUUAAUACGGGAACAUUAAUACAUGCCUUGUGCUCCUCACAAAAAAGUUUAUCCGAAUACCAUGUUUCAUCCAAAACCACAUCAGAAGUCAGAGGUGUUCCACUCAUCAUGACUGUAGCAAUUGAAGAUGUUAAAACCACUCUCAUGACACUGCGAAAUUUUGCGCAGGAUUGUAGAACAUUAAGUGUUCCCUUCACUGCAGGGUCAAUUAAUUCGGCCUGAAAUAUGAAGAAUGUAUCAUUCCGGACUUUUGACAUCAAAAGUCUUGAAAGUAUGUUGACUUUCUAUACAUACAAUGAUCCCGCAGAAUGAAUCUAAUUUUCUGGACUAUGCAAAUCAUGAAGUAAAUGGCCAAACCUGAGGGUCAGUAACUGAAAUCAGUACAGGGGAUGCUGUAUGAAAAACACCUUGGCAUCCAUCGACGGCAGCAUCGAAAGCUCCUUCUUCUAAUAAGUCUGCUUUGAACAAAUGAAGUCUUUCUUUUGCCCCGUCUAGUGAGCGCAAGUGUUCUGUUUUCUUUGGAUCCUCUGCAUGCAUAUACAAAACAGAACUGAUUAAAUUUAAGCAUACAAUAAGCAGACAUUAUUGGGACAUAUGAUAAAGGAUUGACUGCUCUGGCUGAGGCUGAAAUGGGCAAUUAAGUUGCCAAAACAUAGAUUAAUAUGUCCUUUGGUACCGGUACUACCAUUUCAAGAAAACCUCCCAAAUUAGUAAUCAACUAGUUUAAUCGUGAGGCGAAAUAUGAACAGCAUGAGAUACUACUUCUGCAAUGUCGCAUGGUACUAGUAUAACUUACUGUGGCGAUCGCUAGCCCAACAGCACCAGCAAUAUAUCAUAAUUUCCACUCAGUUCAUGCCUUAAUUCAAACUAGUUAGGACAAAAAUGGUUAGUUUUCUUUCUAGUUAGGAUUAUUUUUUUAAGAAAUGCUAAGAGUACGUUUAAUAAUAAUAACCAUUUCAGUUUUUAUUUUUCAAUUUUCACUUUUUUUAAUACUGAACACUUGUUCGGUUUUUAAGCUUUUAGAAUUAGUGAGAACCGGAAAUGAAAUGAUUAUCAAACGGCACCUAACUGGAAUUCAAACAAAACCACAGGUAAUUUCGUCUUUUUGGAUAAAUGUUUACAAAAACAGCUAAAGCCUUGCCGUUAACUGGAUUCCAAGAACCACACUUGAUGAAAGAUGAAUCAUAAUAUGACAAACCUAGAUCCUGAAAUUUUCUUCCGGAAAACAAAACUCGGAAUUCGAAAACGAACAAUAUUUAAUGAAGUGUUUGAAACUGACGAUUUAGAUGAUAUCAGCAAGUUAAAAAAUACUGACUUGGAUCACGAACAGUGGCUUUGACAGUAUAACCCUUCUGCAGUAAGAGCUUCACCAGCCAUGAUGCUAUGUAACCAGACGCUCCUGUUACACAUACAGUCUUCCCUUGUCCAGUACUCAUCUCUCUCUCUCUCUCUGGGCCUCUGGCAAUCUCAAAAGCUCACAAUAAGCUUUGGUGGAGGCUGACUCAUCUCUCGAGAUUUUUUAGUGAAUACGGUACGUCAUAUGUCAUUAUACAUGUUGGAACAAAUAUGUUUUUAUUUAAAUAUUUAAAUAUAUUUAAAACAGCCAAUUUAUUUUGGCCUUAUCAAUUAGAUAAGGAGUUAUCUCCUCUUAAAUAUAAAACGUGAGAUUCCUUUUCUAUAUAGAGAAGAUGAGCAUGUUAUUAAGCAUAUUCAAACAGUUUUGUCCGUUUUGCCGUUUUGAUUUGCUACGGUUUUGAAACCCAAUUACUCCCUCAACGUUUCUUUAUUUAUAAUAUAUAUAUAUAUAUAUAUAUAUAUAAGUCUAGUACGUCUCUUGACAGAUACAUAUAUAUAUAUAUAUAUAUAUAUAUAUAUUAUAGUGAUGUAAGUUAGGCGGGACCAGUGGAAUAACAGCAUCGAAGCAUGGUGAGAAAAGCUCAAGAGUGUUGAUACUGUAAACUGGAGAAAUGAAAGGUGGAGAAAGCAACAAAUCGGGAGGGUUGACAUCUAACGUUCUCUCUCGGUUGUUUCUCUCUCUUCUGUUGCGGGAUUAGAGUUAAAGCCAUUGCUCCGAAGCCGACCUUUCUCUUCCAAUCACAAGGAAAUCUGAGAUCUUUUUCGGUUCUUCUCAAUACUGGGAGCAAGCAAAUGUUCGUAGCCUUGUAUUUCAAUUGUUGGGCAUGUGAAGUGUGAAAGCGACGGAGACCAACAGAGAGAGAUUAACCCUCCGUCCUGCUCCUUCUCUCUUGCACGAGACCUGCUCGACGAAAUUCCCCAGAGGCAAAAAGCAAAUUCAAGGCACAGACGAAGAAGAAUAUCGUCUUCAGUUUGAGGUGCCUUGUACCUGCUCGACGAAUUGCUCCAGAGAAUCUCCCCUUUUUUUUUUUUUUUUUUUUUUUUUUUUUUUUUUUUUUUUUUUUUUUUUUUUUUUUUCAGGGCGCCCAAGGUUAUUCUGCGUUCAACCUUGCUCUAUGGUGUUGCAAAACUGAAUUAUCAUGGGCACAAAUAUCUUUUGUCCAUGGGGUUUUCUUGCAGAGACGGUUAUGCCGACAACUAAUAUGCCCCCCGCUCAACCACUUCUGAAGGCUAGGACUUUUGCUUCUGUGGUUUCCACCCCAAUUGAAGACGUCCAUCUCAGCCAACUUCCAACUCCGGUUGUGCGCGGGGACAAAACAUAUGUCAAGAUUAGCGAGGAUCUAUACCAAGAACAGUUGAAGUUGUUUCAAAAUAAUCUCCUUGGGCGUUUGCUCCUAAAAAAGGGUUCUACGCCAAUGAAGACCGGUGCUCUAAAAUCUUGUUUAGAAGAUGCAUGGCGCCCUACUGCACCAUGGAACCUGGUUCCUAUAGGUAAAGGCUAUUUUGAUAUCCAUUUCAAUAAGGAAGAUGAUAUGCGACGGGCAUGGGGUGGCGGUACGUGUACUCUCGCUACUGGUUUAUUCAGGUUAUCAAAAUGGACACCAGAUUUUAAACCAGGUGAUGUUCUCCCUCAAACUCAUGCUCAGGUAUGGAUUAAAAUUUUUGGUUUGAGUCAGGAAUAUUGGCAUCCUAGACACUUGAUGGAAAUUGCGAGAGGGGUUGGCACCCCCUUGCAACUAGAUUCAGCUACAAGGGAAAGGCAAUAUGGUUAUUAUGCACGUAUAUUAGUUGAUGUCAAUCUUGCAGGUGAUUUACCUACAUCUCUUAUGGUUGAAAGAGAAAGUCAUGGCUUCCCGGUUGAGGUGGUUUAUGAAAAUUUACCGCCCAAAUGUAGUCACUGUGGUUUGAUAGGGCACUUGGCUAAUAGUUGCAGACAACUCAAACAGAUGUCGAGAGGUCGCUCUCGUAGCCGGACGCGAAAGGGUGGUAACAUGGGGGACAACAAAACCGGAGAUCACUCUCGCAGUCAACUGCACAUGGAAUAUCGUCCCAAAAUAGAUACAACAAUACCAGUUAAUGUCUUUUGUGGGUCACAUGCCUCUGAACCUCUUCAACAGGUUGAUCAAUUGUUGCCUGCAGGUAUUGAGGCAGUGGAUGAUGGUAAUGAUGAGUCCCUGAACAAAGCUCUUGAACCGGUGGUUGAUGAGGCCUUAGGGACCAUUGCCCAAGCUGUGAAUAACUCUGAAUUUGAAGAGCAUGGUAUUAUUCAAUCCCCUGGGAUUUCUCAUAUUAGCAAUUCUAUGACCGGAUCGCUGUCUCUCCUGAUGGAUCACAUCAUCAGAAUGGUCUUUCUUAUGGUCAGCAUUUGGGCAACACCAAUGUGCCUAAUUUUCUUGGCCCACAUGAUCUCUGUGACGACUCUAGCACUCCUCCUGGCUUUGAUCAGGUCGAGACGGUAGCUCAGAAUAGUCAGCACUUGGGCAACACCGAUGUCCCAAAUAAUUUUGGCAUGCAGGAUCCUCAUGACAACCAUAGCAUUCCCCCUGGUUUUGAACAUGUUGCGACAUUAGCUAAGGAUGUCAUCGAUAUUGUCAAUCACAUAGAAGGCUGUGAUAUGGAUGGUUUUACUCCUGUGCUAUCUAACAGUCAAAAGAAAAAACAAAAGCAGCUUGCCAAUCUUGAUCAACCCUGUGAUAAACCAUAUCCGAGUAGGGUCCGUGGAUUACCGGCUCGUUAUAAAUGAAGGUUCUCUUCUGGAAUAUCCGUGGCAUUGGUAACGAUGACUCUCGGACGGAGCUCUCUAACAUCUGUCGGUUGCAUCACCCGGAUUUGGUUUGCAUUGCGGAGCCCAUGGUGACUUUUAAUUCUAUUUCAGCUGCUUAUUGGGAUUCUUUAAACUUAUCUGCUCUUACUUUUAACUCUAGAGGAACUCUUGCCCCCAACCUUUGGUUACUAACAUCUUCGGCUUGUGCAGACCCUUUAGUUAUUUCUAUAUCUGAUCAACAGGUUACGGUUCGCUGUACUUUUGAUCAUAUCCCAAGCCAGUUCACAUUUGUUUAUGCAAGCACCUCAUCUAUCAAAAGAAGAGACUUGUGGGCUGACUUUAUCUCUCUGCGCCCACAAACACACAAGUUCCAUGGAUGGCUAUUGGCGAUUUCAACGCUAUCCUGGGUGCCCACGAGCAGAUGGGAGGAGGCAGACCGUCCCAAGCUUCAUGUGCUGAGUUUGGUAACAUGUCUGACACUUGUAACUUUACCCACUUGAACACAUCUGGGGCAGCCUUUACAUGGUCUAAUGGCUGGAGGUCUCGUGGUCGCACUGAACGAAGGUUAGAUCGCUCCUUGUGUGAUAUAAGUUGGUUUGAUUCUUGGCCCCACUCUAACUGCAUAGCGUUGCCAAAGGUAGUCUCAGAUCAUAACCCCCUUAUUUUCUCUGGUUCUAGAGUUUUGCGCAAUGGUCAUCGUCCUUUCCGUUUUCAAUCAAUGUGGGUUCAACAUCCAUCUUUUCGAGAAACUGUAACUCAUUGCUGGAGCAAUACAGUUGUCUAUGGUUGUCCUAUGUUUAUCAUUCUGCAAAAAUUGAAAGCUCUAAAAACCUGCCUGCGCCAAUGGAAUUUUUCGGUUUUUGGUGAUGUUCAUAAUAGAGUGGCUAAUGCUCGGCAUAAUCUUUCUAUGAUUCAACAAAGAAUUUCAGUUGAGGGUAUAAAUAAUGAUCUUUUCGAGGAGGAGAUUGUUGCCAAGACUACAGUAAUGGAGUCUCUUCAAAUGCAAGAGGCAUUUUGGAAAGAUAGAGCUCGUGUUAAGUGGUUAACUAAAGGGGAUAGAAAUUCUUCUUUCUUUCAUGCUUAUGCUCGUAUUAAAUCAUCCAGCUCUCAUAUCAGUUGUAUUCUUGAUGGUAAUAAUCUUCUUACCGACCCGCUGGCUAUUGAGAACCAUAUUGUUAAUUUCUAUCAGACUGUGUUCGGCUCUUCUUUCAACCCUUCAGGUAUUGAUGAGGUUUGUGAGGUCAUCCAGCCGAUGGUCACAGACUCUGAAAAUGAUCUCUUAUCUGCAUUACCUACUGAUGAGGAAAUUAAGGAGGCAGUUUUCUCAUUAAGUGCUUCCAGUGCGCCAGGGCCAGAUGGUUUUCCAGGUUUUUUCUAUCAUCACUGUUGGGAUAUUGUCAGCUUUGAUGUCAUUCAAUUUGUGAAGCAAUUCUUUCAAUCAAAUUGGCUAUACCCCAAUACCAAUAGUAACUUCUUAGUUUUGAUACCGAAGGUGGAAGACGCUAUUUCCAUGACUCAUUUUAGACCUAUUGCUUUGGCAAACUUUCUCUUUAAGAUUAUUCCCAAAAUUUUGGCAGUUCGCCUUUCUCAUGUUGUUCAACGCAUUAUUUCUCCACAUCAAGCUGCUUUCAUACCUGGCCGACGUAUCACUGAUUGUAUUGGCCUAGUUUCAGAAUGUUUCAAUGUGCUUGACAAAAAAACUCGUGGUGGCAAUAUGGGAGUCAAAGUUGAUAUAGCUAAGGCUUUUGAUACUUUAGAUUGGUCAUUUCUAUUGCGGGUGCUUACUAACUUUGGGUUCUCCACUUGUUUUAUAGACUGGAUUUCUACCAUCUUACGAUCUGCUAAAUUGUCCAUCCUAAUCAAUGGUUCCCCGCAUGGUUUUUUCUCUUGUUCACGAGGAGUGCGCCAAGGGGAUCCUCUCUCUCCGUUACUUUUCUGUCUAGCUGAGGAGGCUUUAUCAAGGGGCUUGAGUCGUCUUCAACUUGAUGGGCUUACUAAGCCAACUUUUGCUCCAAGAGGUUGUAUCUCUCCUUCUCACGUUCUCUAUGCAGAUGACUUAUUCAUUUUCUGUAGAAGUGAUGGUGUCACCCUGCGUAACUUGCAAGGUUUCUUCGAUAGAUAUAGUAGAGCCUCUGGUCAAUUUAUCAAUAAGGCAAAAAGUACUUUCUACUUGGGCUCUACCUCAAGGCAUCGCAAAGCUGUGGUUGAGAGUUACUUGGGUUUCAAAGAAGGCAAAGCACCUUUUGUCUACCUUGGAGUUCCAAUCUUCUGUGGCAAGCCUAAAAGGAGUCAUCUUCAAGCCUUGGCAGAUAAAGCUAAAGCUAAGUUAACUGGUUGGAAGGGGAAACUUUUAUCUAUGGCAGGAAGAGUUCAACUCACUCAAUCAGUUUUUCAAAGUAUGCUCUUGCAUAGCUUUUCUGUUUAUAAGUGGCCUUCUUCCUUGCUAAGGUCUCUUUCACGAUGUGCUCGCAAUUUUAUAUGGUCUGGUGACGUAACCUCCAAGAAGUUGGUUACCGUUUCUUGGCAUCAGAUAUGUGCUCCGAAGAAUGAAGGUGGUUUGGGUUUGCGUGAUCUUGGCUCUCUUAACACUACAGCUCUCUUAAAGCUUGGAUGGCUUAUUAUUACUACUGAUUCCCCUUGGAGUAUUUAUAUUCGGAAACGUUUCAAGCUUCAUGGUCGCCUAUACUCUUGUAGUUAUAUGCGAUCUUCUAUAUGGCCUGGUAUUAAAUCCAUUCUUCAUAUCUUGUUUCAGAAUUGUCGUUGGGUGAUUGGAAAUGGUUCUACUACUUCCCUUUGGGUUGAUAAAUGGCUGGAUAAGCCUAUUGUGGAUGUCGUUGGUGCAACAGAGAUUGCCCCUUCUCUAUCUCGUACUAAGGUCUCAAAUAUUAUUCGUAUGGGACAAUGGGUUAUUCCUUCUAUCUUUUCUUCUACUUUCCCAGACCUAACUAAAGAGAUUUUAGAAAUGCCUCUUCCAAUUGAUGAGGAUAAGGACGUUUUAAUUUGGGAAGCUUCUACUUCUGGUGGUUUUUCUUUUUCCGAUGGCUAUGAAAUUGUUCGUCAUCGGUUUCCUGUCAAGAGUUGGGCUUCCAUUAUCUGGCGUCCUUUCAUCCCACCUCGUUACUCUAUUUUAGUUUGGAAGAUUCUUUUCAACAAGCUCCCAACGGAGGAUCAACUUCAGCGCCGAGGCAUCCCGCUGGCUCCAAUAUGCCAACUAUGUCACAAGAAUUCUGAAUCUAUUGACCACUUAUUUUCUAGCUGUGACUUUUGCACAAUGUGCUUGGCGUUGGCUAGCUACCCAAUUUGGCACUAUUAUUCAACCUAUGGGCUCCCUCUCUGAUCUAUGGCUUGAUUUUCUGUCAAAGCGGUUCUCUCCACAUCUUCGCAAUGUUUGGCUAGCUUCAGGGUUUUUCUUACUCAUGGCUAUUUGGAAGAUGCGUAAUAAAGUGAAGUUUGAAGGCAAACCUCCCUCAUUCUCACGUCUCUGCCACUCCACCUCGGCCUGGAUUAGGCAGGUUGGAGCUCUCACCCCUGGCCAUGUACGAGGCACUUUGGAUCGGCAACUUUUAGUCUCUCUUGGAAUAUCGCCUAACCCCUGUAAAGCUCCUUCUAUUGUCCCUGUUCUUUGGCACCCCCCUCCUUCUUCUUGGGUCAAAGUGAAUACUGAUGGCCUUGCUAAAGGUAAUCCGGGUCCUGCGGCAUGUGGCGGGGUUUUUCGAGAUUCUGCGGGUUAUUUUCUUGGUGGUUUCUCCCUAAGCUUGGGCCAUCGUACUUCUUUCUAUGCGGAGCUCCAUGCUGUCAUCCUUGCUGUCGAAUUGGCCCACGCGCGAGGCUGGCAAAAUUUAUGGCUUGAAAGCGACUCUUCGAGUGUAAUAUCAUGUUUUGCUUCUGGAUCUUUCUCUCCCCCUUGGUCGCUCCAGACACGCUGGAACAAUUGUACUCUCCUUUUGCAGAACAUGGUUUUUCGUUGCUCUCAUAUUUUUCGAGAAGGGAAUGCUGUUGCUGACAAAUUAGCCAAUUUAGGGCUUCUAUCAUCUUCACUUGUCUGGCAUUCCACUCCCCCAAUUGAGAUCCUCCCUCCUCUGCACUCAGAUUUCUUGGGCAUGCCAACCUACAGGUUUGUCUCCUCUUCUUGAUGUGUUUUCUCCUUUCUUUUCCUAACCUUUUUGGAUUCCCUUUUGUUUUGCAGUUUGUUUUGCAGGUUAUUACCUUUUAAGGUUUAUAGAGGGGUUUGGGCUUAUGUCCGCCUAGUCUUUUCCUUGUAUUUUCUUUUCCAAGAGGGGUACGGUCUAUGUCCCCCCCUCUUUUUCCGGCAUUUCCUUUCUCAAAAGGGGUAAGGUGCAUGUCCCCCCCUUUUUCUUUUGUAUUUCUUUUCUCUUGUUCUAUGAGGGGUUAGGUUUAUGUCCCCCCCUGUCUAGGUGUAACUUCUUUUUUCUUAUCAUUAAAAUUCCCUCGUACCGCCGAGGUUCUCCAAAAAAAAAAAAAAAAAAAAAAAAAAAAAAAAAAAAAAAAAAAAAAAAAAAAAGUUAGGCGAUGGUAAAGCAGAAAGUAGAUGAAGAAUUUUUUUUAAUAUAUUGAUUUAAAAAGCAACAUAUCGAAAAUGUGUAAGUUCGAAGGUUCUUUCGGUGUGCAAGGAAGAACUUUAUCAGAAGAAAGGUUAUGGGCUGUUUUAUCCUGGGGACGACGUGGUGUUUGUGAACUGCUUGCACACUUUGGGCAGAGCCGCGAAACGUCUUAAAGAGAGCGACUUAGUCCGCGACUCAUCCCAAGAAUCAUUCACCACUCAAAGGCUUUUACAUUUUCUCAGGUAACUUCGUUCCUUAUUAUUUUCAGUUUACAACAAUUUUAAGACGAAUCAAUCUGCCAUGGAAUCUGAAAAAUAUUUGUAUUGCUGUUAGUGUUACUCUUUAAGAACUUUGUUUUAGAUAUGUGGCAAAUCAUUGUGAUUAUAUAAUCUAAUAUCAAGUUACUAGUAUGUCAACUGUGAAUGCUUUUUGAGCUGCCUAGGUGCAUUCGCUGUAGGACGAGUGAAUUGACUUGGUGAAUGAAUCUAUUUGUGAUCUUUUUGCAAUGUGUGUUGAUAUUAUCAGUAGUCUUUUGAUGGAGAUGACUAGGUGGCUGCUGUGAUUUGUUUAAAUCUGUUUUGUGUACCAUUGUAAGCUUAUUCUUUGAUGUAAUCAUAUGUCAAAGUUCUCAUGUUUACAAUUCAAAAAAAAAAAAAAAAAAAAAAAAACAUGAAAAAUGGCGAUUUGUUUUCGGUUCUAGAAUGAACAGAUAUUUGUGGUAACCGAGUUGAUCUGAGCUUUAUUUGAAAUUGAUCUGUAAAUCAUGCCUUCUACUAACCGAAUUGUUUCUGGCAUAUCAUAUUUAUUCAUGGGGAUAUGCUACUAAUGGAAUGUUUAAAUUGAAUGUUGAUAAAAUGUCAUAAUUGAGUCACUUGAUGUGAUGCUCAGGUCAAUUAUGUCUUUUGGAUGGUUAAGGAAUAAGUUAUAAAUAUCAUAUUUUUAUUUUCUCUCCUCUUUCCUCUUUAUUUUUUUUUUUGGUACAAGUUUUUAUUCAUUCUUUUAUCUUGCUUGGUUCUAGCUCUGAUUUCUGGUUGAGGGCUAUUUUUUUUGGUUUGGGGAAAGUGCUUUUAUGUGUUUUUUUUAUCCACCCUCAGUGGAUAGAUGUACCCAAAACCCUCUUCAAGAUCAAGGUUUUUCUUUCUGAUUCUUUAUUUGAUUCUUGGAAUUGAAUAUAAAGAUUAGUUUUUUUUAGAUACCUAUUAUCUUAAUUUUCAAUUGAUUUCCAUUUGUGUGUAAAAAUCUUGAUGCUGAUUUUUAUGAGAAUAAAUUUCCUUUUAAUCUUCGAAAUAGUGGGGGUUCUAAUUCUUCUAAAAUUUAUGAACCUACUGUCAGAUACCCCUUGAUGGGAGAAGAAGCAGGAUGGUUGAGAUACCCCUUUAUGGGAGAAGAAGCAAGAUGGUUGAAAAACCUACUGUCAGAUACCCCUUUAUGGGAGAAAACGAUUCCAGUCGUAUACGGUCUGAAGAAAAUUUAGUUGAUCCUUUCACGAAAGGACUAACAUGAGAAAAAGUUUGGAAAAAUCCUUUGACGAAAGGACUAACAUGAGAAAAAGUUUGGAAAACCUCGAAAGGGAUGGGACUAAAGCCCGUAGAAAAUUGAGUCAUUUGAGAUAGCAACCCAACCUAUAGACUGGAGAUCCCAAGAAAUAGGUUCAAAGGGUAAUAACAAGUCACAAGUGAUAUGAGUGAAGUCUUGCUAAUUUUAAUUUGGAAUAUUAUUCCAUGUCCAUCCCUAAGAAGCAUGACAUCCUGAAGCGUUUUUAGGUUGAGAUUUUUUCUCUUAAUAAGGUCUAUACUCUAUGUUGAGUGAGAUAUCAAGCUACAGGAAUAUCCUUGAUAGUCUUACCUAUGUGAAUGUGGAAGUGAGGCCGCUUCCUAUGAAAUCUUGGGCAAGUUUCUAGAGCGUUCACUAUACUGGGAUACAAGCACAUGGCCGUAAUGUGCUGGCUUUUUAAACUUCACCUUAAUAAAGUUAUGUGUGUGGUGUUGUCAGAGAUAGAGUUCAAAACUAUAAGUUACUCUAGUAUAAUCUGGAUCACUAACACUAUGUACAGGUUCAAGUUGAGAAACACCUUUACUUAUGCAUAGCUUUAUGAUAUGUUGCUUGAUAUAUAGUUUUUUAAAUAAAAACAAGUGGGGGAUUGUUGGAACAAAUAUGUUUUUAUUUAAAUAUUUAAAUAUAUUUAAAACAGCCAAUUUAUUUUGGCCUUAUCAAUUAGAUAAGGAGUUAUCUCCUCUUAAAUAUAAAAUGUGAGAUUCCUUUUCUAUAUAGAGAAGAUGAUCAUGUUAUUAAGCAUAUUCAAACAGUUUUGUCUGUUUUGCCGUUUUGAUUUGCUACGGUUUUGAAACCCAAUUACUCCCUCAACGUUUCUUUAUUUAUAAUAUAUAUAUAUAUAUAUAUAUAUAUAAGUCUAGUACGUCUCUUGACAGAUACAUAUAUAUAUAUAUAUAUAUAUAUAUAUAUAUAUUAUAGUGAUGUAUGUUAGGCGAUGGUAAAGCAGAAAGUAGAUGAAGAAUUUUUUUUAAUAUAUUGAUUUAAAAAGCAACAUAUCGAAAAGGUGUAAGUUCGAAGGUUCUUUCGGUGUGCAAGGAAGAACUUUAUCAGAAGAAAGGUUCUGGGCUGUUUUAUCCUGGGGACGACGUGGUAUUUGUGAACUUCUUGCACACUUUGGGCAGAGCCGCGAAACGUCUUAAAGAGAGCGCUUAGUCCGCGACUCAUCCCAAGAAUUAUUCACCACUCAAUGGCUUUUACAUUUUCUCAGGUAACUUCGUUCCUUAUUAUUUUCAGUUUACAACAAUACAAGUAGAAGUUAGGUGCAGGGAAUUUUUUUUUUUUUCUUUUUCAAGUGUCCCUGCAUUUGUAUAAUAAUAUAUGACGUAUGUGCCUAUUGUUGAAGUUAAGAACUCAGAGAGGGAAAUUCAUUUAGAGAGAGAAAGAGAGAUGUAGAGAGAGAGUGAAAAAUGUAAUUGUAAUUCUCAUUAAUCAAUUGAAUAAUACACAUGGUAUUUAUACAUAAAUAUCCUAUCCCAAUAUAUGUGCCAGCUCAGCAUAAAGUAUAUAACUAAUCACAAACAUUCCAAGCAUAACAACCUAGUGAAAGAAUCUAAUCUGGUGGAGGUUGGGAUGCAUUGCUGCUGCGUGCCAAGCGUCAUGAUCGGAGGGUUGGAGAGGGCACUCUGAGGAAGAUUUGCUGGAGAAUUAGGGUUUGCAGGAGGUGGAGAAGGAGAAUCCGAAGAGGAUGCUGCCGCCGACAUAGCAAGAGGGGCUAAAUUGAGAAGGAAAAAGAAGAGAUCAGAGAAGUAGGGAUCUGUUUGGAAGAUCAGAAAAUGCAAGAACAGCAAGAAAAUUGCUAGAAGAGGGAAGCGCCGGAUCGGAGUCGGUUAGACGAUGGUGAUGAUACCAUGUUGAAGUUAAGAACUCAGAGAGGGAAAUUCAUUUAGAGAGAGAAAGAGAGAUGUAGAGAGAGAGUGAAAAAUGUAAUUGUAAUUCUCAUUAAUCAAUUGAAUAAUACACAUGGUAUUUAUACAUAAAUAUCCUAUCCCAAUAUAUGUGUCAGCUCAGCAUAAAGUAUAUAACUAAUCACAAACAUUCCAAGCAUAACAACCUAGUGAAAGAAUCUAAUCUGGUGGAGGUUGGGAUGCAUUGCUGCUGUGUGAGAUUAUACUCUUAACACCUGUGUCCCAGACGCAUUGAAAAAUCUAUCCAUGCUCUCAUCCUCCACCAUUCAUUUGAGGUAACAGGAAAGCAAUCUCCAAGUAUUUUUUAUUUCAUUUGUAAGCAAUCUGUUAGUUUCUUAAGCCUCUAAUCAAGGCGCAGUUUAAUAUAAAUUGAUUAAAACUAAUUUUUAUUCAAUUAAUACUUAAAAUCUUGACUUUCACUAAGAAAUAUCCAAGUCCUUAGCGUUGAAGGCAUGGAAAAGAAUCAAGACUUAGCUAGUAGCCUAGUACCCCACUCAUUGCACCAUUUCUUGAUUAGAAGUUCAAUAACGAUUGGUGCAAACAGUUUAAAUUUGUUUCAUUUUAAGUUUACAUAUAUUUUCUGUUUGGUACACCUAACAUUCCAAGUUCCAACAACACAACUUGGAACUUCUCCUGGCCUCCCAUUGGCUUUGGCAGGAACCUCUGAGUACAAGGGACUCCCCUCCUUUUGGGGCAUCAGUAAAUUGGUAGCUCUCUGUACCUUUUGAGAUUGUUAGAAAUAUGUUUGCCCAAGACAAGAGAAGGGAACGAAUAAAAACUGGUUUUAAUCAUUCCAUUAAUCACGAGAAAAAAGUGUAAACUUAGCAACUGAAAAGUAAGUAUGAGCAAAUACAAAUGUUGUAUAUGAAGAUACGUACACGUGAAAAGUGAAUGAACACAGGACAAAAGGCAAGAUAGAGGCAUCUCAGACAAGAAAUCUGUCAUAUCGAGCUAGAGAUAUGGGUAACGGGUUAAGAUGUGUGGUUUUCCACCAGAAUGAUGAUACUCAGUUGGGAAAAUGCGUCAACUGGUAAUCAUACUAUACAGAUUAUCAAAAGAGUAAACCAGAGGUGUAUUUGCCUAGUUUGGAUCUAGUGUUCUUAAGCUUUGAGGAAAAUGAAUUCGAUUGAAAAUUCAAUUAUCAAUUUUUUGCGAUGGUUGAAGGUCCUGAACUGUAAGAGUGCAUCCGGCGUGUUGUGUGACCGUCGUAGGCCACUGAAGCUCAAGGGAAAAUUUUAUAGGACGGCAAUAAGGCCAGCGAUGUUGUAUGGCACAGAAUGUUGGGCGGUGAAGCAUCAACACGUACACAAAAUGGGUGUAGCGGAGAUGAGGAUGCUUCGUGGGAUGUGUGGGCACACGAGAAGGAUAAGAUUGGGAAUGAGGAUAUCCGAGGUAAAGUAGGAGUAGCCGAAAUUGAAGGAAAGAUGAGAGAAAAUCGAUUCCGGUGGUUUGGACAUGUGCAAAGAAGGCCGACUGACGCUCCGGUUUGAAGAUGUGACUACGGGACAGAUGUUCAGGGCCGAAGGGGUAGAGGAAGACCUAGGAAAACUUUGGAAGAGACCCUAAGAAAAGACUUAGAGUACUUGGAUCUAACGGAAGACAUGACACAAAACCGAGCGCAAUGGCGUUCUAGGAUUCAUAGGCCGACCCUACUUAGUGGGAAAAGGCUUUGUUGUUGUUGUUGUUGUUGUUGAAGGUCCUGAACUACAUCUAGCUUAUAAAGUCAGAGAAAUCUGCCGUCCUUCAAGAGAGUGACUAAGGACAAUUUGAACAUUUAGAUUGGACCAGCUCUGUGUUAUCGCCGGAAGUUCAUAAGAAUUGACAGUUGUGCAUUCGAACAAAGGCAUGUUGCAUAGGCACUUGUGGCCUGAUGUCUUCAAGGGAGGACACAUUGAAGAACGACGAUAUUGGGGAAAGAAAUCUUAAUUUUCAAAAUUAAGAUUCCUUCGAAGACAAUAAAGUAAAACAAUUUCAACUUGAACUUUUUUAUUUAGAGUUAUUUUGAAACAUUACAAAUUACACAUGAACCAUAGACAAAGAUCUAAAAGCAAUUUCAACAGGAAAAAUAUUGUUGAGUUUUGGUUUCAAUAUUUGUUGUAUAUUUCAUUAUGAAGAUUACAAGAGAGUGAAGGCAACUCUUAUAGAGAGCCAAAAGAAAGCUACAAUAGAUUGUAGGAUAACUACACAAACACAAUCCCUAAAAUCUGCCAUAACAAGUGGAAAAGCAAAAACCAAAUUACAAGAAGAAGUUUUUACAAGCAACUAAGAAAGGUUGAUGUAAGGUGAAUGACAAGCUAUGGAAAGUGAUUGGUGAAUGACAAGCUAUGGAGAAAGGUUGAUGUAAGGUGAAUAACAAGCAUGGAGAAAGGUUGAUGUAAGGUGAAUGACAAGCUAUGGUAAGGAUGACAACUCAUACAUACAACCCAUUUAUACUUUCAAUACACCCUCUCAAGCUGGAUCAAGGGGAUUGAUUGAUCCAAGCUUCCACAACAAACGCUGAAACUGAGUAGAGUGUAGUGCUUUUGUGAAUAAAUCAGCAAGUUGAUCGUGGCUGCGUGUGAACACGGUGUCUAUCACCUUGGAUUGAACUUGAGCACGAAUUAAUGGCAGUCAACUUCAAUAUGUUUGAUCCUUUCAUGGAAUACUGGAUUGGAGGCAAUAUGCAUGGCAGCUUGGUUAUCACAAUACAAGGACAUAGGUGUCAUGCUUGUGAAUCCGAGCUCGAAAAGAAGACCUUUCAACCAUAUGAGUUCACAGGCUGUUGCUGCCACAGCCCUAUACUCAGCUUCGACACUAGAUCUAGCAAUAACAGUUUGUUUCUUGCUCUUCCAAGUGACAAGGUUCCCUCUAACAAAUGUGCAAAAACCUGUUGUGGAUUUUCGAUCAAGGGCAUUUCCAGCCCAGUCAGCAUCUGUGUAGGCCAAGAUGUGAUUUAAUCCAUUGUUCUUCAUAAUUAUCCCCCUUCCUAUUGAGCCAUUGAGAUAUCGAAGUAUUCUCUUGAUGAUUUCCCAGUGAACUAGAGUAGGAGAGUGCAUGAACUGGCUGACUAGGCUAACUGAAUAUGAGAUAUCAGGCCUAGUAAUGGUGAGAUAAAUAAGUUUCCUAACCAUUCGCUGAUAAACACUAAGGUCCGAAAGAGGUUCACCUUUUUCAUGUCACUGAAGUUUGCUAGCUAGGGGUGUCCGAGCUGGUUUACAUACCAUCAUGUUAGCUUCAUCUAGAAGAUCGAGAACAUACUUUCUUUGAUUCAAGAACAAUCCCUUUUAAGAGGUAGCUACCUCAAUUCCACGAAAGUAUUUCAAGGGCCCCAAGUCUUUAAUGGCAAAUUUUUGGUGAAGUGACUGCUUAAGCAUCUUGAUUUCACUUAUAUUGUCACCUGUAAUAAUUAGGUCGUCAACAUAUAUAAGCACAACCAAUUUGCCAGUAAUACUACUUCGAACAAACAAAGAAGAGUCAGCAUGACUCAUUUUGAACCCUGUAGCUUCAAGGACUGAACUAAGCUUUGAAUACCAAGCUCGAGGGGACUGUUUGAGACCAUAUAUGGCUUUGUGAAGUCUGCAGACCUUGUUGGGUUCAUUUUCUCUUGAAUGACCAGGAGGUAACUUCAUGUACACUUCUUCUUCAAGAUCCUUAUGAAGAAAUGCAUUCUUCACAUCCAUUUGGAAUAAGGGCCAUGCAUUAUUGACUGCCACAGACAACAAUACCCUCACUGUGUUCAUUUUGGCAACAGGAGCAAAGGUAUCCUUAUAGUCAAUGCCAUAGGUUUGAGUAAAGCCUUGAGCUACUAAUCGUGCCUUGUGUCUUACAAUGCUUCCAUUGGAGUUGAAUUUGGUCUUAUAUAUCCACUUACUUCCCACGACCUUCUUGCCAUUUGGAAGAUCCACCAUACUCCAUGUCUGGUUGUCAUUCAGAGUUUGAAGCUCUUUAGUCAUAGCAUCUUGCCACUCAGGCAUGCAUGUGGCUUCAUGAAAAUUCCUUGGUUCGAAAGUGUGGGACAAUUUGUUAAGGAAAAAAGUAUGAGAAGAUGAAAAUCUGUGAUAAAAAAUGGCCGCAGAGAUAGGAUGCCUUGCAGUGUAAGUAACAUACUCUUGUAACCUUACUGGUGGAUGUCUAUCUCGUGUAGGAUUUCUUCUUGGUGCACUUAUAGCUUGCUGAUUUGGUUGAGCUUCUGAUGGUCCAGAUGAGCUUGGCACUGCAUCAAUUACACUCUCAGUGAGUUGAGAAUUAUCAGUGUUGAUAUGAGCAGGAGUGACUUCAUGAAUUUCUGCUGGAAUAGGUAGUGGAAAUAGGUCCAUAAGAUCUUCCAUAUUUGCAUUAGUCUCCAACCCUUUGUGGAAAUAAGGUGAAUAUUCAUCAAAUCGCACUUCUCUAGAGACUGUGAGCUUCCCCUUGUUAGGGUUGUACACUUUGUAACCUUUUUGAGAACUGGCGUAUCCCAUAAACACACAUUUGGUAGCUCGAGGGUCGAGUUUGUCACGAUGGAGAGCUUGAAUGUGCACAUAACAAGUACAACCAAAGGUCCUGAGGUGAGACAAGUUUAUAGGCCUGCCCUUCAUGACUUCAAAAGGAGAUUUAGUAUUCAACACCCGAGUUGGCAGUCUAUUAAUGAUGUAUGUGGCAGUGAGUAGGGCUUGAGACCAAAAUUUCUUAGGAACAUUCAUUUGGAUCAUAAGUGAUCGAGUCUUCUUCAAUAAGUCUCGAUUCUUUCUCUCUGCCAGACCAUUUUGUUGUGGUGUACCAACACAGCUAGUUUGAUGCAAAAUGCCAUGAUUGCUCAAGUAAUUACUCAUGUUAUUGGAAGUGUACUCGGUACCAUUAUCUGAUCUUAACAUAUAUAACUUAGAUGAAAAUUGAUUGGUGAUUAGGUUGUGAAAGUCCUUAAAAACAUCAAACAAAUCACUUUUAAGUUUUAAAAGAUACAACCAGGUUACUCUGGAAUAGUCAUCAAUAAAUGUAACAUAAUAUCUAUACCCAUCAAAGGAUUCUACACAAGAAGGACCCAAAAUAUCAGAGUGAACAAGCUCAAAAAGUUUUCUAGUUCUAGAAUUAGAGGAAACAAAAGGAAGUCUAGUGGCCUUUGACAUUUGACAAGUUUCACACUCCAAUGUGUUUUUACAAAAAAAGGGAAACAACUUGGUCAUCACAUGUUCUGAGGGAUGGGCAAGGCGUUGAUGCUAGAGUUGGUGUUCCUGAACUUGACUUAAGUUGACACUGAGCUUUUUGAGAGAUAGUAGAGUCCAUUCAAGAAGAACCUGACACGCUCCGACCCUGAUAUUACCCGAAUACCAGGAUAGGCACAUGUUGGCCGACACCCGAGGGUGACGAAAGCCAUUAAUUGAUACAAAAGCUAGGAAUAAGAAAUAAAUACGGGUUAUGAAUUACAAAAAAAACAAUGAAUUAACAAAACGUGUUCAGAGCAUACAGCUAAACCUAGUCACUAACAAGAAUUAAGAUAAGAUUGAAUGAACAAAGGAGUGGGUCCUACCCCGAGAGAACUCGAAGAUGUCGCUGCGGAAGUACCUUGAUGCCGGGAUUAUGUGCCUUGAUCCUAAGUCCUGAAUGGGGGCGCAAAACAAGGGUGAGUGGACCAAGCUUGUAUAUAUACAUAAUACAAAAACAGUUAUGAACAUACUAACCCCCACAGUUUAUAUAAUGAAAACUACUAGCAUAAUAAGUGAUAGCUUUUCUGAAACCUCUAGCAUGCCAUAAAACAAUUCAUAUAUCUAUCUGCAAAUCAAUCUCAGAAAAUCAUAUCAUAAAUCAUAUCAGGAAGCAUAACACAAGUUGUGAUGCUAGUGAGUGCACUGAAUAAUAAUACUCCCAGCCCAAUGCCUGCACCUCAGUCUCUGUGCCCGUAGCCAGAGAUAUCUCCCUCCCGACCCAAUGCCUAUCUCCGUGUCCCUCAGCCUUUCGCUAGGGAUUAUAUCUCCCAGCCUCAAUGCUAACACCAGAUCCUCGCCCCAGGCGGCAUAGUGUUCACUAGGUACGCACAAAACAUAAUACAUCUCUAAAAUACAACUUCGUAGCAUAAAUUCAUCGAUCCUCUAUACUACGAAGAGGUGUUCAGAAAUCAUUUGAAACGCAUUCUUAGCAUCCUAUCAUCAUCGAUCAGAUAGUCUACCAGAAUGAGGGUUAUAUAGAAAAUAUGAUAUAAUGAAAAUAGUUUAAAAUAUUUAUAUAUUAAUCAUAAUUAAAUCAUCAUGCUUCCUGUAAAGUAUUCCUCAAAUCAAUAAUUCUGCAAGACAUGCUAUUAAAUUAUGCAAUUCUAUAAAUAAAACAUGCAAUUUUGAAGGUGGUCCACUCACAGAUACUUCGAAGCAGCAGAAUUGUGCGGAAAAUGAUUAAGUAAGUCUCCACUACUUCACCUAAGCACGAAAAUGUACAAUUUAAUAAACUACCCAAAAGAUAGAAUUUUAGGAAAUGGAAAUGGGUUUUGGGUUGAGUGGGUUAGGGUCUAAUAGGUGAGAAAAAGGGGUUUGGGCUUAAGCCUAAACCCAUAUUCACAUGCACUGCACACCCACACACAGCAUGCAUAAGCAUGCACUACACACACACACACGGCAUGCAUAAGCAUGCACAGUACACAUACAACACACACACACACACAGAGUCUCACGUCACAUACACAUACACAGCAUACACAACCCACGCCUACACACGCACACACGCAACACACCAUAUACGUGCACACACAUGCAUGCACACCGUACAUUCACACACAUACACACGGUACACACUCACAUCCACAACACACAUACUCACAUCCACAACACACAUACAUACACUCACACGACUCACGCACACACCCACAACACGUACACGCACGGCCCAACAUCCUACACCAACAUACACACACCUGCAUAGCAUGCACGGCAUGCACACACAUACAUAUAUAAUCACACACCUACACACAGUUCACACACCACUUGCACGGUAUGCACAGCAUGCACACACAUACAUAUAUAAUCACACACCUACACACACAGUUCACACACCCACUUGCACAACAUAUACAACAUGCAUAUACAUAUGCACGGACACACAUACACAUAUGCACUGCACCGCACAUGCACAUAUGUAUUGCACCACACAUGCACAUACAUAUACAUAUAUAAACACACACACACCGCAUGCACAUGCACAACAUAUACAUACACAUGCACAUGCACCUGCACACACACACACACUCACAGUACCACCAACAAAUAGCAAGGUAAAAUAACUACCUGGGUUUAGGUUCGAAGGGAUCCGUGCAAUCCACAGCAACAAACUCGCCGGAGUUCGUUGUCGGAACCGGGUUCUGGGCAUAGAGAAGAGAUAAGGUCAAAACCAUCGAUUUUGACCAUAAAACCAACACAACAGUGUGUGAUUAAACCCAGAAAUUUGAAGAAGGAACACACUUCUCACCUGGGUUCGAGUUUUAGAGCUUUAAAGCUAUCGGCUUCAAUGGCAGAAAAGUCCACAAUGCUCUGAUGGCGCAUGCAAGGGUACCAUUGAGUUCGUUAGGUCUCAAGGAUUCCAAAUAUAUAAAUUUUAGGCUUGAUUUGUUAUUGAUUCGAAGGGAAGAGGGGUUGGGAGUUCUCGGAGCUUAGAGAGUUAGAGAGAGUGAGAAGAAGAAACUGAAAAAAAAAAAAAAGAGAGAGAGUUCUGAGAUGAGUUUCGGAAAGAGAGGGAAGAAGAGAGAGAGACUAGAAACAAAGAUAUAAAAAUAAUGCGGGUCCCACGGUUCCAAUUAAAAACUAAAGAAGUCAUUUUAAUAAGUAGAAAGUGGGUGUGGUUGUAACAGAACCUUUCACCAAUCUUCUUCUGAGUAACUCGGUCCUGAAACACAACAUUGUGAGGGAAAAAUAUGGCAAGACAGUCUAAGGUUUUUGUGAUUUUUCCUAUUGACAAAAGCUGAAAAGGAAAAGAAGGUACAUAAAGAGCAGUGGAAUCAGUAUGCUCACUUAGCAAUCUAAUCUUUCCUUUCCCUAGAAUAGUUUCCAUUUUCCCAUUUGCAACAUAUACAUGAAUUGGAUCAAUAGUUCUUUGAAAAUCGUGGAGACUAGAGGGUUUAUUAGUUAUAUGAUCAGUGGCACCAGAGUCAAUAAUCCAAAAAUCAUGUGUAACAUUUGCAUUAAGAGCAGUGGAAAUGGCACUGAAAUACCUAGAAUAUUGCCUUUCGAUGUGUUCUCCAAGUCAGCCAAGAAUCCAGCAAAUUUCCCUAGCAUUGCGUAGGGUUUUUAGGUGUCAUUUCAUCAGGUUCAGUGCUUCCUUGCUUCUUUUGAAGAAAAACAGCAAACUCGUUGAUCAAGGACAUAGGAUUUGUUGAGAAAUUGGUCAUCCCAUCAGUUGAGGAACAAGCUGAAUGAAAUGCUUUUGGAGUGACUCCACCCUUCCCAUCUUUGAUCAUCCUGCCUUCCCUAUCAAACUUAGGCUUUAACUCCGGAUGAAGAAUCCAACAUUUUUCUCUUAAAUGUCCCUUCAUGUUGCAAUAAGAACAUUUCCAGUCUGCUUUCUUGCCAAGCACCCUAUCACCAGUUGCUUUGUGAUUUGUCGUGAAAACCCUAGCUUCAGAGUUUGAUUUAGGCUCAACGUUCAUCACUCUUCGUCGAGUUUCCUCUCUUUGGACUGCAUGACACACAUUGGUAAAAGAGGGCAGCUCUUGAGUCAUUAACAAGUGACUACGCAAGUCUUCAUACUCCGCUCCCAAGCUUGCUAAAAGUUGAAACACCUAGUCUUCAUCAGCCCUUUUGAGUAGCACAGCGGAAUCAGUCGUGUGUGGACGAUACAUAUCGAGUUCAUUCCACAUGGAUUUCAUACUUCCAAGGUGUUGAACAAAGGAGUGAUCACCUUGCUUUAAACUAGCCACACUCUUCUUCAGUUGAAAGAUGCGAACUGAGUUGUUUUGGCUGCCAUACAUAUCUUUGACAGACUCUCAUAGGAGAAGGGAAGACUUUGAGUAGCUGAAAAGCUCAGACAGUUUUGGCUCCAUGGAGUUAAGUAACCAGGACAUGACCAGCUGAUCAGUAGCAUGCCAUGCAUCGUAAGUUGGUGAAGUGGAUUCUGGGGGCUCAGAGCUUCCAUUAAUAAACCCUAGCUUCGAUCUUCCUCCUAGAGCAAGUGACACAGCUCUUGACCAAGGAAGGUAGUUGAACUCGUUCAGUAGCACCGAGCAGAGUCGUUGAUUUGGAUUGUUCUCAACCCCUUAGGUUAAGUUUGGGGAAGAGGAUGAGGCACUAUCGGCACUAGACACAUUUUCUUCUGCCAUCUCUAUCGAUGAUGAGCAAAUGAAGAAGUAAAAAAAAUAAACAGAGUCAGGACCCUAUGGUUCCUGCUCUGAUACCAUGUUGAGUUUUGGUUUCAAUAUUUGUUGUAUAUUUCAUUAUGAAGAUUACAAAAGAGUGAAGGCAACUCUUAUAGAGAGCCAAAAGAAAGCUACAAUAGAUUGUAGGAUAACUACACAAACACAAUCCCUAAAAUCUGCCAUAACAAGUGGAAAAGCAAAAACCAAAUUACAAGUAAAGAAGUUUUUACAAGCAACUAAGAAAGGUUGAUGUAAGGUGAAUGAUAAGCUAUGGAAAGUGAUUGGUGAAUGACAAGCUAUGGAGAAAUGUUGAUGUAAGGUGAAUGACAAGCAUGGAGAAAGGUUGAUGUAAGGUGAAUGACAAGCUAUGGUGAGGAUGACAACUCAUACAUACAACCCAUUUAUACUUUCAAUAAAUAUAACGUCCAGCAUCUCUUUGGAAUACUCAAGCAUAAAACAAACUUCAUUUCCCAAUUAUUUGAUCGCCUCGUGCACUAAAUUAAGAAAUUGCUGCAGGUUGCAGAAUUCAAAACUUGAGGAAGCCCUUCUCCUUGAGACUUUCAACAGUGUCCUUGAGACUUGUUUCCAGAGGAAGGAAAGUGAUUCCCAAACCUUUUGCUUUCUCCCUGGACACUUGAAACUUCGAGUCAGAAGGAUUGCCAAGCUCAGGAAGGCUCAAUGUGGGGUAAAGCUCUCGUAAAAUCUUUAGAGUAUCGGGACUGUCAGCAACUUGGGCAACUAAACAAUAUCUGCCACUAGCUGAAGGAGCUUCAAAUGCUUGAAUAUGAGCAGAGGCAACAUCUCUAACGUCCACGAAUGUGUGGUUUAUAAACAGUGUUUUGAUACCUGAGCACAAAAGAGAAACAAAACAGAAUCAACUGUUUACAUCACAAGGGUUAGUGUUUUAACAUUAAGGGGGUGAAUUGUACCACUCAUUAAAUCCAGAAAAUACUCGAUGGACAGAUUAAGAGUUGGCUGUAAGAGUGGACCAAUGACAAUCCCUGGAUGUAUUGAUACCAAGUCAAUCCCAUUUCCUUUAGCAAAUUUCCAGGCGGCCUCCUCAGCUAAAGUUUUUGAGAGAGGAUACCAUUGCUGAACAAAUGAAGAAGGAAGUUCUUAUGAGUUUGUAGUUCAUCAUCAUGUACUGCUUCGUCUUGUGUUACCUUACAUCUUUGUCCAAAAUUAUUCAAUAGUAUGGGAACGCACUUACCUCGGUCUUCUCACAAAAAAAUGGAUCCGAGUACCAUGUUUCAUCCAUAACCACAUCAGAGGUCAGAGGUUUUCCACUAAUCCCUACCGAAGCCAUAGAAGAUGUUAAAACCACUCUCUUGACAGCGGGGAAUUUUGCGCAUGAUUUUAAAACAUUAAGUGUUCCUUUCACUGCAGGAUCAAUUAUUUCUACCUGAAAUAUAGAGAAAAGAAAUAAAUCAUUCUUGUUUCUACAUCAUUUGUCUUGAAAGUAUAUCCAUUUUCUAUGCAUGCGCGAGCGCGUGCACACGAUGGAAAAUUUGAUGCACGGAUGAAGUGAAGGGACAGACCUGUGGGUCAGUGGCUGAAUAUUGUACAGGCGAUGCUGUAUGAAAAACACCUACACAUCCAUCAACUACAGCGUCAAAUGAUCAUUCUUCCAAUAAAUCCGCUUUGAACAAAUGAAGCCUCUCUUUUGCUCCAUCUAGUGAGAGCAAGUGUUCUGUUUUCUUUGCAUCAUCUGUAAAAGAACUAGGGAGUUGAACUAAGAAUACAGGAAGCAGGAAAAAUGGCAAACAUUUAGGGGUGGAUUUUUUUGCCAAAUUGCCGUGCCAACCGAAUUACCAACCGUGCCAUACCGAUUUUGUGCCAAAUUUUUUGUGCCAAUCGGUAAUGGUACGGUAUUGUACCGUACCGAAAUUUCUUGGUACGGUAUUGGUAAUGGAUAUCAUUGCCACGGUAUUACCUUACCGUACCGAACAUAUAAUAUAAUAUAUAAUUUAUAAAUUAUAUAAUAUAUAAUUAUAUAACACAUAUUUAUAAUAUUCUAAUAAUUUGAUAUGAUGAAAGAGGCUCAACCUCGGUUCAAGAUUCCAAAUAGGAAGAAGGUUGCGGCCAAUGUGUGGGAUUUAUAUGUGUUGGAGAAGUUUAAGUUAUUUGAAGCAAUGCAUAAUCAAAAGGUAAGUAUCACAACCGAUACUUGGACAUCGGUACAAAACAUUAACUACAUGGUAGUUACCGCUCACUUCAUGGAUAGUGAAUGAAAGUUGCACAAACGGAUCAUAAACUUCAUAAAGAUCACGGGUCAUAAGGGAGAAGACAUUGGGAAAGUUCUAGAGGUGUGUUUGAACCAAUGGAGGAUAGAGAAGAUCUUUAGCAUGGAGGAAACUUCUAUUUGUUUUGGUUCGUAACUUCUAUUUGGAUUGUAAGCUUAAUUUUCAUCAUGAAUCUUGAUGCAUCAUUUGAAUUAUUGUGUGUGUGAAUUGUAAAUGAUGAAUAAUAGAUGAAUUUAGGCUACAAUGUAUGAGAUAAAGGUACAAUAAAAAAGUUUUGCCCUUGAAUUGGGUUAAAAAAGCAAAAACAAAUUUUGUCCCAAAACAAAGUGGCAAUUACCAUUGCCAUACAAUGCCAACCGAACAUUUGGCAAUACCGAACUUCGGUAUACCGAAAGUUUGGUAUGGUAAUGGUAAUAGAUUUUACCAAACCGAAAGUUUGGUACGGUAAUUGGUACGAGGGUUUUGGUACGGUAACCGUACCGAACCCACCCCUACAAACAUUUACUAACUCGCUGUGAGGUUUCAAUCGGCACCGAAAAACAAGAACAAGAAUAAUUAAAAGAAAAUAAUUGGAUGCACGAGAGAUGUCAUUGGUACUCCAAAAUAGUCGUCUUGCAUACAAUCCUAAUGUAAAAAAAAAAAAAAAAAAAGGAUGGGGAGGCGUGCAUGGUGAUUAUUUGGAUACCCAACUUUUCUUUGGUAAACAAAACAAUAUGCAAAAUCCAGAAUUUGACAUUGUUGAAUGAAUUGUUUGAAAUUGAACAUUAUAUAUGAGCAAGUUAAGAAAUACUGACUUGGAUCACGAACAGUGGCUUUGACAUUAUAACCCUUUUGCAGUAAGAGCUUCACCAGCCAUGAUGCUAUGUAACCAGAGGCUCCUGUUACACAUACAGUCCUUGAUUCUCCGGUACUCAUCCUAUCUCUCUCUCUCUCUCUCUCUCUCUCUCUCUCUCUCUCUCUCUCAGAAUUAAUAAGCUUAAUUUCGUUCAGUACUGUGCUUUUCAUGGGGAAAAGUCAGCUGGACAUCAAAGGUCAAUGUUGCCAACUUGUCUUCUUCAGCUCUGAUUACUUUUGUAACGGCAAGUCAUUGUUUAUAGGUGUACCAACUUAUUCCAAAUAUUUGCAAGAAAUAUUAAGAGUCCUUUAACUGAGAUUUCUUUAAAAGUAGUGAAGUAAAGCACCAACUUCAUAGCAGGGAUCUAGUUUUACUCUAGCAAAAACAGGAUAUGGACGGACCAUCAUAGGGACUAUGUUAUACCGGUUCCUACAAGGGCUUUACCGUCCAGUUUUUGCCACAAUAAAAUGAGAUUCUUGCUUAGUAAAGUAAUAGUUUUAACUCGAACUUUUCAUUUAUAGUUAUUCAGAGACUUAACUAAUGAUUUACGUGCAGGAACUUUUCUUUUGGUAAACAAAACAAUAUGCAAUUCAUUCAAUAUAGUUUUCAGCUUUCAAUAUUGAGAUAUUCUCUCUUGCAAACAUUUCACCACAUGACAAAUUUUUAUUGUACGGUUGGUUUGUAUUUUACCUAUAUGAUGAACAUUGAUUUGCCGAGUCACGCCACUAGGACAAUGAAAUGGUUGUGAGAGAAAAUCUCUCAUUAAAACUUAUGGUAUUGCAAAUCAUAGUUUAUUAUGAAUGUUGACAAAACAAAACAGAAAAAUAUUAUGAAGGAAGAAGAAAUAUUAGUUUUGGCAGGAUAUUUCAAAUCCAAACACUGCAAACAUUUCAACACCUAAUCGGAAAUGGUUCAAUAAACCAGUUUUUCCAUUCCUUCCUAAGCUUAUUUAUCCAAUUUUAUAAGCUUGUUUGGUAAUAAGUAGAGCAACCAUCCACAUCAACAAUUAAAGUGUUCAUACUUUGAAAUCAAAUUACAUCAAUUGCCAUUGAAUGACCCACUCCUGUUGUGAAUAUUCCUGACGAUUCCUGUGGAUUAGCAUCCAAAUUUGAAUUUUGAAUUCAAAUGAAGCUAUGAGAACUAUAAGGAACAUCUCUGCAGAUGAUGAAAACAAACGUGACAAAUAUCUGGUUCGGGUUUUUCUGGUAUUUGCUACCUGGAUAACAGGUAUGGCACAUCCCCACGAUAUUUCAAAUACAUGAUUCGUGAUAUAUGUGAUUGUGUUAUAUAAGUAUUGUUCCAGUGGCUUUUGACAUUGAUUGUAUGUUAUAUAAGUAUUGCUCCAGUGGCUUUUGACAUGAUUCUCGAGCUUUAUAUGUGAUUGUGUUAUAUGUAUGACAGGUAGUUGAGAUUGUAAAAAUACUUAUAUGACAGGUAACUUGGAUUGUAAAAGAUCAACUGAAAUUUGGGUUAUGCCGACACUUAAGGAACCUGACAUAAGUAAUUAAAAGCCUCCCUAAAAUAGAUUGAUAAGUAUUUUAAAAUCCAAAAAACAUUAUCAAGAAAUCGGAAAGCAGAAGAUGAAAGAAACAAAAGAAUUACUCUUUUCUAUGAUGGAUAACUAAUGAUGAUACAAAUCUAAAAUGUGGGAAAUCUAUGGACAACGUUUAAAAGCUAUAAAAGGGUAGAAUAGCAAUCACAAUGUAAAAAAAUCAAUCUAAUAACAAAAAGUGCAGACAUAGUAUCCUAGUCAUCAGACCUAAAUAAACAAUAACUAAAAAUUGGACCAAUCUUAAUGUUGGGCCAUAAAAUUAGACCUAUUUCAAGUUACCCAUUAUUUAUUUUGGGAAAAAGAGUCGAAGUACAGUUUAAAGGGAGUUAAGUUUAAAGCUUUUGAAUUGGACGGAUGUUCUUACUCUUUUUUCAACAAUGAUGCUGAAAACAUAGUGGGAUGGUGCACAAACAUGUUAAGAUCCGAUUGUUUCAACGAAACUUGUUAGAAUCCUGUAUUCUGUCAAAUCACGAGAACAUGACUGAGAAUAGAUGUCCAUCAUGAACUACGACAGUAAGGGGAAGCAACAAAUUAACUUAUAGUGUACAACGAUUUAACGAGAUCAGAAACUGUUAGAAAAAUAGGGUCUAAUUACUAUAUUAAAUUACAUAGAUAAUUAAAAAAUAAGUCAUGCAAUUAUAUAUCAAAGUAAUACAAGCAUAUGAUCAAUCAAAUGAACAUGACAUAAUGGAUUAACAAAAGGUAUAAUCAGUCGAAGCAAAUGUUAGAUACUCUAUCCUUAAAACAAAUUUACGUCCCAUUACAGUACUUAUGGUUGAUCGGCACUUGUCUCCCAAUAUACAAAGAUCACGUCCUUGUAAUAGUAGCACUUUAAAAUCACAAGCUCUAACGAACCAGGAUUAUGUUGAAUACUUUGUCAUAUGGACUCUUUGGGACACUACAAAACUCUAACAAUAGUGCACUAUGUGUAUGAAUAUAUGAAUGUAAAAGUUAUAUAAUGAUUAUAGGGGUCUUUCCUAUUUAUAGAAUUUGACAUUGGGAUCUCCAGUCAACUAGGUUGGGUUUCCACUAUGACUGCUCUUAUUACGGGUUUUUAACUCAUUCCCCUCGAUGAUACAACUAACUCUCUAUUCAAACCUUUAAAUUAAAUUGGUACCAUUAGGUUGACUAUCUACAAUUUAUGCCCAUCGCAAACUUCAUAUCCAUGCGCGGAAAUUAUUUCCUUCGAGAGUAGUUGUUUAAGUCUUCCAAACAUAUAUUGGGACUAUCUCUUUCUAGAAGCAAAUUACUUUCUUUUUUCUUCUAAAGUAUAAACCAUUUCUCAAAGACAGCUAAGUCACCCCCACAAUUCCUUCACAUUGUGGUUUCUUUGAAGCCUAAUAACUAGUCUUUUCUAUGAGAAGCACUUAUGGUUGUGCACUAUUAAUAUGAUUAUCUUGUAGUGCAAUAGCAAUGACAUCACGGUAUAUAUGUCUCAUAUUACAUACCAUUAAAUGCAUCAUAUGUGUUCACUAGGACGCAGACAUGUAAUAUUAUGUAUGCCAUAUACACGAUAUCUCAAGCCUUAGUCAUCCUCUAUUAACGCACAUCGGCACAUAACCAUGCGUAAACUUUACAAGUGAAAAGAAACAUCCUUUCAUGAAAAAUUAUUUCACCUUUUCUCAUAUUUUCUUAUCGCCUCUAUAUCAUGCCAAGAGGCAAGAGAUAUCCAUUUAAUUUAUCAAAUACAACCAACUCAUGUUCCUUCAUAAUACCUCACAUACAUAUCCAUACCAGUUAAAAGUCAUGGCUGCAUUCAAAUCCAGUACUAAACUCACAAGGGAUAUCGUUUUAAUCCACUAAUAUUUCUUUAGGAAAUAUCGGGCACAACCAAACAUCGAAUUGCUCAGCAUUUGUCCACAAAUAUAUAUGGGAAAAAUCGUCGUUCAGGCUAUCGUGAGUCUCAACCAAUUGGUUGGAACAGAGACCAUGUAAUAGAUUUCCAAUUGAAACUUAUCAUGAUUUACACCCAAACCUUAUUUCUCUUCCAAUAGAGUUGUAACUUCAGAUUGCAAAAUCUGAAACAAAAAAAAAUGAUGCCUUUCCAGCCGUUUUUGUUAGGUUUGAUGAAAUGAUGGAACUUCCAGAGACACGACAGAUGGCAAAACACACCAAGCAUAUAGAAGACUCAUGCAUGUGUGUAUGCAGUAAAGAUGUUAUCUCAUUCUCAGGUCUUUUAUGUACCAGUCUCGUACAAUAACCAAGACCCCAACUGUGUCCUUUGGUCAGCCGAGGUAACCCUUACCAGGGUUGCAUUAGUUUCAAAAGACACUUUCAGACUUCUAGUUGAUCAACCGUAACCAACCAAGAAUCUAAUUCUCCAAACUUCUAAAGGAAAUUAAAGAAAAACUGCAAACUUAGAAGCCAACGUGUAAGAGAAACUUCCAAGUAUAUACAUAGAUUGUAGACAUAACUUCACAACAAUAUAUAUGCAAAGCAUAGAGUCGCAAGGGUUCAAGUAGUCGAAGUGUCGAAAUGUCAAAUUUGAUAAGGCAUGAUAUAUUAACCACCAGGAUUUGAAACAUUGAAUCAUGCUUUGCAAUAAACAUGCAUACCACAACCAUAUAUUAAUCAAGCUUUGAUCUCAUAUAAUCAAUACUAUUCAUAUUUUCAAUGAUAAACGAAUAUAUGUACCAAAAUGACAAAAACAUGUAAUUGAAUACCAUAUUUUCUGUCAACCUUCAAUAGCAACUAAAUUGAAACUUGUCUUUAGAUUGUUGGAAAAAUAGGGUCUAAUUGCUAUAUUGAAUCACAUAGAAAAUUAAGACAUAAGUCAUGCAAUUAUAUAACAAAGUAAUACAAGCACAUGAUCAAUUGAAUGUUAACUAAACAUGAUAUAAUGGAUUAGAAAAACAUAUAAUUGGUACAGGCGAACGUCAAACACUCUAUCGACAAGUUUACUGCCCACUACGAUGCUCAUGAUUGAUUGGCCCUUGUCUCCCAAGAUACAACGACCACGUCCAUCCUUGUGAUAGUAGCACUCCAAAAUCACAAGGCUCCAAUGAACCACGAUUGUGUUGAAAACUCUCAUAUGGACUCAAUGGGACACUACAAAACUCUCUAACAAUAGUGCACUAUGUGUAUGAAUAUGUGAAUGUAAAAGUUAUUUAAUGAUUAUAGGGGUCUUCCCCAUUUAUAGAAGGGGUGUGCUAUCCACACACCCCAUUUUACUUCUCACACCCUCUGUUAAUUUCUAUCUGUUGAUCUUCUUCAUUUCAUCUGAUCCGACGGCCAAAAAUUAAAAAGGUGUGUGAGAAGUAAAAUGGGAUGUGUGGAUAUCACACCCCUUUAUAGAAUUUGAGAUACCUCUUUAGAAAGCAUGUAACCAUUCAUGAAGAUUCAAAAGUUGAAACUAUGCAUUAAAAUAGACACAUAUUUUCACCCAAAGGCAUCACUUCUAAUUUCCAUUCAAUUAAUAAAUAUAAUAUAAUAAUAUUACUAUUAAAUUUUCCAACAGAAACUUCACUAAUGACCAUUGAGGCCCAGUCACCUAUGUGGCUGUCUACCGAUCAAUCUAAGGAACUAAGGCCAUCUCCAAUCAAAGGCUAGCCAAAUGGCUCGUUUUAGCCAUCUGGCUCUCCAAGAAAUUAAUAUUUUAAUGAACAGUGCAUGGCCAUAUUUCUUACCAUCUCCAAUCGAUGGGCCAUAGGGUCAUAGGCCAAACAUAGCCCUGUGACCAAAAACUAUCUCCAACUGAGGGCCAAAUGGCUAUAAGGUCAAACAUAAUUUAUUAUUUAAAUUUAAAAACUACAACUUAAAUUUAAAAAGGGUGAAAAUUAUGUGAGAAAUGAUGUAGGAAUAGUUUAAGUAUUUAUAAGAAAAAAAGGGGAAUUUAAAAAAAAAAUUGAUCCAAAAAAAAAAAAAGAGGACAAUAUUGUCGGAUAUAUCCGACACUAAAGAGGACAAUACUGUCAAAUAUAUCCGACAGAAAAAGUAUUAAUAAUGAAAAAUCCAGCCCGACCCAGGGCUAGCUAGAUUGAACCAGCCGGUUGGCCAUUUGGCUUUUUUUUUCUAGUGGGGCAAAUAGCCCGAACCCAGCCAGCUGGCUAGUGGGCCACACGGGACAAAAAAGGGCCAAAGGGCCAACUGACUGACCCAACCCAACCAACCCCAGGUAGGGCCGCUGAUGUCAUAUUUGAUAUUUUUUUUUUACAAAAUUUUUAAAAAAAAUUAAAAAUUCUAUUUUUUUCCUAUAACUUCCUAAGUCAUUAAUGACACGCCUGACCUCGAUAUUCCCCGAACACAAGGAUAGGCACGUGCUGGCCGACAUCCGAAGGUGACGAAGCCAUACGAACAUGCACGCAAAGUAAUGAACAUAAAUAAAACUUAUAAGAUUAACUAUAAUUAAUAUGCAAAAUGAGGAACGUGUUCAGAGCAUACAACUAAUCUAGAACACUAAAAAGAAUAUAUAUAAAAUUGAAUGAACAAAGGAGUGGAUCCUACAUCGAGAGGACUCGAAGAUGCCGAUGCGAAAGUGCUUUGACACUGGGAUUGUACAUCUUGAUUCUAAGUCCUGAAGAGGACGCAAAACAAAUAUAAGUGGACCAAGUUGAUAUAUAUAAUAUUCAAACAAUUAUCAACAUAUUAACCCCAGGUUUUAUGAAAACUCAACAGGUUUUCCGAAAACCCUAGCAUGCCAUAAAACCUGUCAAAACAUAACUCGUAUAUAGCGUAAUCACUAGUGAAUGUCCAGUCUCAACUCCAGGCCCUAUGCCCGCUUCUCGUCCUUGUGCCGUAGCCAGAUGAAAUUUCUUCAGACCCUAUGCCAGCUCCGUGUCUCUCAGCCCGUAGCUAGAGAUUAUUUCUCCCGACCCUAUGCCAACACCAUAAACCUCGCCCGUAGGAGGAAUAAGGACCACUAGGUAAGUACAAAACCAUUGAACAUAGUCUUUCCAAACAUAGGUACAUAAAUCUCAAAAACAUCUUCAUAGUAUAAAAUCAUUCAUCAUCUAUACUAUAAAGAAGUGUUUAAAAAUAUGUUCUAAAUAUUAUAUCGUCAUGCAUCAAAUAUUCUAUAAAGAAUAUGGGUUCGAUAGAAAAUAUGAUAUUCCAAAAUAUUCUAAAUGAGCACGAUACUCAUAAUAAGGUAAAUCCAAUUUACUCAUAAAACGUUAUCUAAAACAUGAUCAUUAAAUCAUGUUUUUUAUGUAUGUAUUUCUACUAUUAAAACAUGCAUUUUAGAAGGGGUCCACUCACCUUACACCGUUGGUGAAGAGUCGUGCAAACAAGUGUCUCAGUGUGUGUACAUGUUUGAUUGUGAAACCCAGCAACUGAGCAACAAAGAAAGAAGGAAAGCAAAACACCAUCCAUUAUUCUACAUCGUGAAAGCCCGUAAAUUCCAUUCAUGAAUGUGUUCUCUCCCAUGAGAAUCUGUGUAAGAAACAACCCAGAAAAUGGAUUGAAACUUACCCAAUAAUAUCACUAUCAACAACAACGUCAUUUCCUUCUUUAAGGAAAGAUUUUCCAGAAAACAUAAACUCGUCAUGCCUGUUUAAGCAGACCAAAACACCAUCGUCUGUAGCUCAAAUCGAAAAGCCAUCCUCAUGAAAGUUGUUCCUUAACUCAUGAUCUACAACAUAUCCAAAUUUGAGAUCCAUCGGAGCAGUACAACUCCAGAAAUUCAGGUAUGAUAUGUGACUGUUCAUCAUUUGUCUGUCAACCCGUCAGACCUGUUGUGAGCUUCGAAACUCCAUUUUCUUUUGCUCAGAUCAACGUACUUUCUUCAUCGAAGUUGUUCCUCAUCAUCUCUUCCAUAACAUAUCAAAAAUUCAUAACGAACUAACGGUUACAUACUUCCAGAACUUCGAAACACCAUGGCAGCUUUGAAAUCUGCAGAAAUCCGACCGUCAUGUUUGGAGCUUCAACACUCUAACUUCCCUUGCUUAAACAGAAACAGUUCCUUCUUGAAAGUUGUUCAUCUGCCCAGUAUCUAAAACAUAUCAAAAUUUCAGAAAGAGACAACGGUGCGAUUGUCCUAGAUGCUUGAAAACCAACCCAGCCUCCAUUUCCGCAGGAAACUGGACAACCAUGUUAUGAGUUCCAAAACCCCAUUUUCCAUGGCUCAGAUCGAGAAAGUUCCUCCACAAAAGUUGCUCAUCUGAUCAAGAACUAUAAAAUGUCCAAAAUUCAGCUCCACUGAAGAACAUAAGAAGUUGCAUAAAUUUGAUAGAAGAAAGGAGACGGAAGAGGGAGAGAGAGGGAGAGAGGGAGAGAGAGAGUUGUAGAGUGAUGAGAGAUGGGAGAGUUUGAGAUCAAAUCUUCUGCACCCAAAUUUGGCGUGGACUCUCUGUAGCCCCAAUAAGUGAUUGACACAUAUUAAAUUCAUAACAACAAAAUUUAGAAAAGUUAAGAUAAUAACUGCAUGUCAAUCAUUUAUUGAGACCACAGAGAUGCCACACCAAAUUUGGGUGCAAAAGAUUUGACCUCGACGAAAAUGGGGGACACAAAAACAGAAGGUGGCCCCUUGGCACACUAAUUAAGGUUUAAAAGCAACCCAAUUUAAAACAAACAUCCCAACAUUAGUGAAAUUACAAAAUACCACUUUUGUUCUGUAAAAUUCAGGAUGGGUUGUCACAAUUAAACAACAUUAAAUAACAUUAAGUAACAUAAAACAAUAUUAAAUAAUAUUAAACAAGAUUAAAUAACAUUAAACAACAUAAAAAUUAUACAACAUAUAAAAUAUUUAAUAACAUGAAACUUAAACAACAUUUUUAAAAACAUUUAACAACAUAAAACUUAAAAGCCUACUACAUGCUUAUUUUGGCCCAAAGAUAUGCAAUAAGAUUCUGUUAUAGGUACUUGUUGUAGUUUUUAAAUUUAAUUUGUACUUUUUAAAUUUAAGUUGUAGUUUUUAAAUUUAAGUUGUAGUUUUUAAUUUUAAAUAAUAAAUUAUGUUUGGCAUUUUGGUCCUAGGUUGGAGAUGGUUUUUUGUCACAGGGUUAUGUUUGGCCUAUAGCCCUCUGGCCCCUCGGUUGGAGAUGGUAAGAAAUAUGACCAUGCACUGUUCAUUAAAAUAUUAAUUUCUUAGAUGGCUAUAGGGCCAAAAAGAGCCCUCCGACCCUCCUUCGGUUGGAGAUGGCCUAAAAAAGUCCUGACAUGAAUAUUUUUUGGGAGAGGAAUGUACCGAAGUGACGCAUAACUUAAUCUCAAUGGAACGUGCAUGGCAGCUAGGCCAUAUUAUUUUCUUUGAAACAGGAAACAUAUGACUUUCAUCAUCUCUUUGGAGUACUUAAGUAGAAAUCAAACUUCAGUUGCCGAAGAUGAAUUGUUGUCCCAGUUGGAUAAAUCAAAUCUACAAGAAGCCCUUCUCCUUCAGGCUUUCAACAGUGUCCCUCAGAGUGAUUUCCAACGGGAGGAAACUAACUCCCAAUCCUUUUGCUUUCUCUGAGGAUACUUGAUACUUUGGGUCUGAAGUAUUGCCAAUCUCAAAUCUGCCAACAAUACCAAAAAUAAAUAAAAUAUCCCUUAGAAAUAGUUCUUGUAAUGGCAAUGUCGAGCUUUCGGUUUACACAAUUGAAAUUAUUUUUGUACAAGCAUCUGUAAUUCUUGUAAGAAAUUCCUAACUGUUGCAUAUUUCAUUUUCAAGUCCAAACGUUAUUAUGUCUACUCUAUGAAGGAACUUACCUUCAAGCAGAGUUGACCAUGUUUAAUUCUAAAUAAAGACAUGACAUUAUGUGUGGUAAAGUAAACAGGCACAAAUUUGUGGUAUUCUGCAUAUGAAACUUACUUUUCAGGAAGCAAAGUGGGGUAAAGUUCGCGUAAAAUCUUCAGAACCUCGAAAGUGUCUGCAACAUGUCCAACUAAACAAUAUCUUCCACUUGCUGAAGGAACUGCAAAUGCCUGAAUGUGAGCAGAGGCAACAUCUCUAACAUCAACGAAUCUGAAGUUUGAAACAGUUGGUUUGGUACCUGCACAAAAGAGAAACGUUAGACAAUCAACUGCCUGCAUCAAAAAAUUAGUGGAAAAUAAAAAUGGAAGCAACCGGCUGAUAAGGUCGGAUAAAUUUACGCAAAUGUUUUGACACAUGUAACUUAGUAACUUUACGAAGUGUACCAGUGAUGAGUUUCUGAAUCGGCUCCACAGUGAGAUUAAGAGUCGGCUGUAAGAGUGGACCAAUCACGAACCCCGGAUGUAUUGUAACCAAGUCAAUCUCAUUUCCUUUAGCAAAUUCCCAGGCAGCCUUUUCUGCUAAAGUCUUGGAGACCAUAUACCAUUGCUGAACAAAAAGAAUAAGGCAGACAAUACAAGCAUUGUUCAUCUCUUUUAUAAUUGCACCCAAACACCUAGUUUGGUCCUAAGAUUAGAUUUUGUUUCGACUGGACAUGGAAAUAUUACAAAUUAACAAUGAAAAAAAAAGUAAAAAUUGAAAAAAAGAGAUUAUCGGAACAUUCAUACAUACCUUGUACUUCUCGCAAACAAGUGGAUCGGAAUACCAAGUUUCAUCCACAACUACAUCAGAGGCCAGAGGUUUUCCACUCAUCAUUACUGUAGCCAUAGACGAAGUUAUAACCACUCUCUUCACGGUGGGAAAUUUCACACAUGAUUUUAGAACAUUAAGUGUUCCAUUCACUGCUGGGUCAAUUAAUUCUGCCUGAAAUAUGGAGAGAGAUAUCAUGUCGGUUUCUACAUCAUUUGUCUUGAAAUUAUGUCAGUUUUCUACGCGUGCACGCAUGUGUGAUAGAAUAUUUGAAGCACAAAGUGAAGGGGCAAACCUGUGGGUCAGUAGCCGAGAAUAGUACAGGAGAUGCUGUAUGAAAAACGCCUUCACAUCCAUCAACUACAGCAUUGAAAGAUCCUUCUUCCAGUAAAUCUGCUUUGAACAAAUGCAGCCUGUCUUUUGCUCCAUCUAGUGAGAGCAAAUGUUCUGUUUUCUUUGGAUCAUCUGUAGCAUACAUGAACGGAGAACUGUGAGUUGGACCAAGAAUACUACAACCACAUUAGAUGGGGAUAUGUGUGCAAGGAAAAGUAGCAAACAUUGACUACAGUCAUUGCCGAGGGUUCAAUUGGCAAUUGAGUUAUGCCGACCACAGCAUCCAUAACCGAAAAAAAAGAAGGCAAAUACGUGGUUCCUCCAAUUGCAAAUAUCGUCUUACUCACCUGCCAAUCACAAUUUCAUGUGUACAGAAAUUGUUCUUUAUGUGUUUGUAACGAGUUAUUUCUGCAUACUUGUCAAACUGUGAUUUAAGGGACAGAGGAAUGACUUCUUCCGAGGAAAGAGCCAAGAAGUGUCCAAAGAAAGAGAACACAAACUUGAUACGAAUUGUUUCAACUCUAUCAUUUAUGCAGGAAGUUUUGGCUAAAAAACUUGAUCACUAACGGCUAGCAAGAAUGUCAAAAACAGGUCAACGCCUUGCCUUAACUGGACUUCAAGAACUACACUUGAACUCCAGAUGAAGAACUACACCGAAAGAUCCCGAAACUUUCUUUCGGCCAAUGAACCCAUAUACAAAACCCGGAAUUUGAAAAAGAAAAUUAUCGAGAACUGCUUGAAAAGGAACAUGACGUAAGAAAAGUUUAGAAAUACUGACUUGGGUCCCGAACAGUGGCUUUGACAGUAUAACCCUUUUCCAAUAAGAGCUUCACCAACCAUGAUGCUAUGUAACCUGAGCCUCCUGUUACACACAGAGUCUUUGUUUCUCCGGUACUCAUCUCUCUCUCUCUCCUCUCUCUCUAGAGGUUAGAAUUAUAAGCUUAAUUUGGUUCAGUAUUGUGUUUUUCAUGGUGAAAAGUCAGCUGGACAUUAAAGGGUCAAUGUUGGCAACUUGUCUUCUUCAAAUCUGAAUACUUUUGUAGUGGCAAAUCACUGUUUAUUAUGAACGCUGACUAAACAAGUGUUGGCAGGAACUAAAUUUAAAUGGCCAAAUUGACGAUAUAUGUGUAGUUGCAUAUAAAGUAAAUAAGGCACAGUGUUUAUAAGGUUCGGCAAGUGUGCUUAUGUAUUUGAAGGAGCAGCAUUUGUUUCUUUAAGCUUUUCGAUAGGUCCAGAAUAAAGACGGCUCUUCAAGACACCAAUUAAUUGGUUUUUUAAGCUUUUCGAUCCAAUCUAAUCCUACAUUUGAAAGGUCUGCACUAUUCAUAAUGAGAUACUCCAAAGAGACAAUGCCAGUCACCCAUUCAAGGUUAACAAUAUACAAUCCUGUUGUGUUUGGCUCAUAUAAUUAUGAGUUGGCAACAAUUUUGCAUAUGUAACUUUGUGAAUGCUACAAGGAAAUGGCAGCAGCCAUUUGUGACUUUGUAUUUGGCUUUCGGUUGUGGCAUGGAAGUCUUCUUUCAAGAGAAGAUAUGGUGACUGCCACAAGCUAAGUUGGAAGCAAGUAGGUCUUGACUUUGUGUUUGCUUGCAUGCAAUUGUGCAUUCUUUCUUUUAUAUGCAUUAAAUGGCAAAUGGAGAAAAGGGUUGCACUCUAUAGGCUAGGUACAGCAAAGGGGUGCUGAAUAUGCCAUGUGAACUCAAGACUUUUUGGUCUUGGCAUAAUUGCUGGUGCAUGCCUAUAAGUGAAGGCAAUAGUCAUGCAUUGUAUGUGCACCCGGAGGAGAAUACAGAGAGAAAAUAAAAAGUGAGUGAGAAACUCUUGCAGUUUUAAACAUUAAAAUUCGGUUUCCAGUUUAUACAUAAGCACAUUCGGACUACUUUAGCCAAGGAGCAGACAAUCUUGCACACCAAGUCAUUGCCGCCAUGCCGACCACAACGAAAGUUCGAAGUGCCAUCACAUUCACAACCUUGGACAACAGAUUAUACAAAAACAAAGGCAAUAAUGGAUACAAAAAAUGUGUCCGGGAGUGUUUGUUGCUGCAUAUAUUUAUAAAUGGACUACUAGUUUAUGCGAGGGAAAGUUAUAAACUUAAGUUAAUUUCCCAACAAACCUGUUACAUUAGAGAUUGACAAACUUGUUGAUUUUUUUUCACCAACAUUUGUUGGUGUGCAAAUAAGUAAGAGUCGAGUUAGCCCACUCCAUACGUUGGGCGUACUUGGAUUGCUUCGAGUCCCUUUAUUGUCUUCCAACUCAGAGCGGUUGAGUUGGGAUUCUACUUAUACAUUUUCGACCUGUGAUGUCUGAAUGUUCAGGAUCCAAUACAAAGUCCAAACUUCAAAUUUCUCAGUAUUUAAAACGCAGUUGAAACAAAUUCCAAAGUACAAUUAAACUUCACAGAAAGGGGUCUCGAGUAAGAGUUUUGUGAAGCACCAAUUAUUUUCAGUAACAAACUUUUACAUAGUUGAUAAAAUAGGAUAACGAUAAGUCCAACGUGAUCCAUGAUUAGAAGAAGCUCUUCUCCUUCAAACUUUCCACGGUAUCCUUCAAAGUCACCUCCAGAGGAGUAAACUUUACGCCCAAGAUAUGGACUCUUUCCUUGGAUACUUGGUAAGUUGGUGUGAAUGGUUUGUCAUCUGCACGUCUGUGAAGAACAAAGAGACGUUAAAGUCCAAAUUAUCUGUUACACAAAUUAGCAACUACAAAGAAUAUGCACAUUACUCACUAUACUUCAGACCAUUUCACUUGCAGUUUGUACAUCAUGUUAACGAACAAGCGAGUUAUUAGAAGGUACUAAUUGCAGUGUACCUUCAUCUUAAACCAUUCAAAUAGCUCAUCUUUUAAACAAGUGAAGAUUCAGACUCAAACUGAAAACGGAAAAUCGAACAAAACAAAAAUACUGAAAACGGAAAAGAAUACAGGCAGGGAUUCCUUUAUGAAAUAUUUAAGUUUCUCAAAUGCUAGAACGAUAUAGGCUUGAUAAAGAUGUUGUAUAUUAUUAAUAGGAUGUUGUAGUAACCCAAAAUAUCCUCAGACGCGAAUAUUGCAAAUAAUAUACAAGACGGAAAUUUUAAAACCUCAGAUAGAAAGGUACCGAUAAUGCCUGUAAACCUGCUCCAUCCUUAAAAGUGCCUCUAAAACUUAGAAAAAGAGUAACAUGCAAAAAAUCGAUUGCAUUAGCAUAGCAACUUCUCUGGAAGCUGGAGAACAUGGAUGAGAUCCCGCAGAAUUUUCACUGUGUCAGAACAGUGUGUUACUCUUCCAACUAGACAAUAUCUCCCGCUAGCCGAAGCAUUCUCAAAGGCGAAAAUAUGAGCAGUGGCAACAUCUCUAAAAUCAACUCAUCUAUUAGUUAUAUUUGGAAAUCUUUCGGCUCGUGCAUCAAUUAAAUAUCAACAAUGAGACUUUCUUAGCAGAUUGUACGGUAUCGCAGAGAGCAUGAGAUUCAAACAUGACCUUUUAAUUUAUGAUCACUAUAUAUACACCUCCAUGAUACCCUUUCUCUUUUACAAGAAACUCUAAUAUAUAUCGCCAAUUCACCGUAGUCUUUAUCUCAUAUAUACUGAGUACAUUACCCAUGUAAAGUGACAUGUCAACGUAGUGACGAUAAUGCCUCCAAACCAUUAUUCAAGAUGUGCUCAAGGAUCAGUGCUUACAUAAUUGGAGACAAGGAUUUAAUAGUCCACUCGUCUGUAUGCACAAGUAGAAAGAGUAAAUCUCUAAACUCAUGAAAUUUCAUGGAUCCCUAUGAGGAGUUUUCUGCACUGAUGAGGAUUUAGUCGAAAAAGUGUAAUCUGUGUAUUAUGCUUCUCUUAUGUAGUGGAUCCUGCCCUCAAAAUGGGUUUUCCAGUAGGAAUGAUUACUUGAUCAAAUCAUGCAAUAUAUCAACAAGUAAUGAAAUUUUAUAAAUACUUGCUCAGGAGUACUGUUUACAAGUUCCAGAACACGUUCCACGCCUGUGUUCAGAGUUGACUGUAAGAGAGAACCAAUCACCAAUCCUGGAUUUAUUGUAACAAUGUCCAUUCUCUUUUGCAAACUUCCAAGCAGCUUCCUCAGCCAAGGUCUUUGAAAUCGGAUACCAAAGCUGUUGAAGGAAAAAUCUUAAUAAACACAAUGAAUAUGCACUUAAAGCAUGAAAUAUAUAAAUCUUACACAGUUAAAAUUAGUCAUUUACGUGAGGGUAUGCCAACAACUAGACCAGGGCCAACAAAAGAUGAGCAUCAAUUUUGUCACGACAAAUAAUUAUUCGUUUCAAUUUACAUCUAAAUAUGACAUAACAGGCUAAAGAACCCUAAAAGUGAUCAAAUUUAGGCACAUUACAAGGUGAAGUAAUAACUAAUGCAUCUUGGGCAAAGCCUAUUUUGUCACUAAAAAUAGAAUGAGAAGUGCACAUGGGUGACGACUCCAGUUCCCUCUCCUCCUCUACAUCGCCACAGGCGUUCCUCUUGAUAUCACCAACAAUCCAACCCUAGUCACUAUUAAUGUCGUUGCCCAGUUGCAUACUCAAGAGAUUUUUCAGUAUGUACGACUUGAUACAUCAAAUGUUAUAAUACAACUUGUGAAAAACUUAAAUAAAAAAAAUUAGUAUACCGAUGUGACAAAAAAUUUCUACUCAAACUCACCCUUCCAACUUUGGUUAGUGACAAAAAAUCCACUUCUUCCUCCGCAUUCCAUCCAGCAUUAGCCCAAAAGUCCCACGUUCCCUUUUUCACGCGUGAAGGCCACUUUCGCUCCCUACCCGCCAUCCAAAGGCGCAAAAAAUAUCUCCAUCCUGCAAAACUCCUCCCCUCUCACUCUCUCCCCCGCCGCCCCCCCCCCCCCCCCGGCACCGCGGCGCUCUCUCUCUCUCUCUACACAAUGGCUCUCUUCACUUCUAUCUCCUCCUCAACCCUCUGCCUCUCCACCUCAAUCCAUCCCAUCGGGCUGUCGAACACCUCUAAACGGUUCUCUCGUCCCAUCGCUGCUUCUUCUCUGAGCUCCCCACCGUCUCCGGAAUCAAAAUCAACGGCCCCAAAACAAACCGUAGUCUCCUCCUCCACUGAAACUUCACCAAACCAUUUUAAUGGUGCGUCCUCUAGACCCCCCGAGCCGGCGGGCUUCAACUACGCCCCUUCCAACGGCAACCCCUUUGUCCGGUUUGCCCGUUCCGCUGAGUCUUCCAUUGAAAGGGUAACUGAAUUUUAAUUUGUGUAUCAGUCACUGUACUUGCUUCUUAAUUGUUCUAUUGGGAUUUUUGGAAUUUGGAUGUGACAAAAGAGUGAACUUUCCUCUUUCUUUCUCUCAUUUUUUGUAGUUGCAGAGGAGGUUCUUCUUAAUUUAGGGGCCGUUUGAUACCAUUUCGUUUACAGUCUUCGAUUAUGUGACUUUUUUCCUCCAUAGCUUGUGUUACUUUUUUGAUGUCAUGUUGGGGUUCAUGUACUCUCUAAUGAAUUUCUUUCACUUUGAUUAAAAGAAAAAUAACAUAGGGGGUUUGGAUAGCUUAGAGGUCCUAGUUGUGAAUUUUUUGAUAAUUGACGGAUUAGUGUUUAACAGAUUGCUGCCAAGAAAUAAGAAGAAUCAAUAAGUUAGUCCUACUGAAGCAAAUGAACUCGUAGUUUCGUUCAAAAACUUGGGAGGCAAUCCCUCUUGAGGCUUAAACGAAUCAUGAUUGUUAACAAAUACUGUAAGCGGUCUAGCGUGUAUAAACGGCCUAUAGGAAACUAAAUAUGGCUAGGAAACUACCAAAAUGUCAUUUACCUCAUGUUCUGUUUUUGGUUUUUUGUUAUAGGUACCAACUGCAAUAAUUAAGAAACUUGUGCAUUUUUUUCUUUAUCUGUUUAAAUUUUUUUUUAGCGUAUAGCAAUCUGUUCUAAGCGUUCUUUAUGUGUCCAUUGUUGAACAGACAAUAUUUGACUUCCGGUUUUUGGCACUGUUUGCUGUUGGAGGUUCGUUGGCUGGUUCGUUGUUGUGCUUUCUCAAUGUAAUUUCUCUCUUCAUAUUGUGUAUUCCUACCAAAUGUUUAGUCUAAUGGUCAGACCCUUGGUUUGUUACCAAGAGGUCUGGGGUUCGACACCUCUCAAGGUACCCACCUAGCAAUUGCUAGAGUUUCUUGCCUACCAAAUGUUGUGGGGUCAGGCGGGUGGCCUAGUGAGUAGUCGGGUCAAAGACCCGGAGACACUAGAUUCAAAAAAAAAAAAUAAAAAAAAUAAAAAAAUUGUGUAUUCCUACCACGAAAAUAGACAUUCAAGAUCUGAUUACGAUUUCAACUAUAAUUUUUAUAUUACUACACAUAAUGUAUGACUACAUCUGUGCAUAUACUACAUUUGAAUCUGCAGGGUUGUGUUUAUAUAAUGGAUGCGUAUAAAGUUUACUGGACUAGUUGUGUCAAAGGGAUUCACACUGGACGUAUGGUUCUACGACUUGUUGAAGCUAUCGGUAUAAUUUUCAGAAUCCUAUUUCUAGAAUUGCUUUAUGUUUCUGUUUAUCGAAUAUGCUUUCAAAAGAUAAAUAUCGUGACUUCUGCGUAAGCAGCAUUAGUCACUCCUUUCUUAACAUGGUAAAACUCAUCAUAUGAUGUCCAUAUUUCUAUGUUUAUUUUCGUUGGUAUAGUCUUAUAUGUUGAUGCAAAUCUUCCGAUGCAGAUGUUUACCUUGCUGGGACAGUCAUGCUAAUAUUUGGUAUGGGACUGUAUGGAUUAUUUAUCAGUAAUGUCCCUCAUGAUGUGCCUUCCAUUGAUGAUCGUGCUCUUAAGGGCUCUUCUUUGUUCGGAAUGUUUUCUCUGAAGGUAAUUUUGCUUCCCUUCCAUAGUAAGUAUAAGCGGAAUUCACAUAUACAUUUCUCAAACCUGGAUAGAUAUAUAUUAAUAGAUGCUAAAACAAUCUUAUUGUAUCAGAACUAUUCCGGGUCUGUAUUUUACUUCUUUUACAACAUUACCAAGAUAAGUGGUUUCUGAUUCUGCAGGAAAGACCUAAAUGGAUGAAAAUUAGCUCACUUGAUGAACUGAAGACGAAGGUGGGACACGUCAUUGUCAUGAUUCUUCUGGUUAAGAUGUUUGAGAGGAGCAAGAUGGUACAGAUAACCACUGGUUUGGAUCUGUUGAGUUAUUCUGUCUGUAUUUUCCUGUCUUCAGCUUCUUUGUACAUCCUUCAUAAUCUGCACAGGGAAGGAUAAGGCUUUCAAACACAUUAAAUAUAGCGUAUAGUGUAUGUUAGCUUACACCUUCAAGUGAAUAUACGUCUUCCAAAUUGAAAUCAAAGUUUCGCUAUUUUGAUAUCGACUUCCAUCACUGGCCAAACCCUCCAUGUUUGAUGCAUGCGACUUAUGGAGAUCAAAUAACACUUCCUAAUUCUUACUGUUAUUUCAUGCACGAUGAACCUCGAGGUAGACUCAUUUUGCAAUUCCACUAAGGAGAUAUUCCCCAGUGUUAGACGAUGACCGCUGCGGUACAAUUGUAUAACUUGAUCCAUAAAUUUGAAGAUUUGAUUUCGCAGGGGUUUUGCAUAAAUAAUGUCAAUACCAGGUUGAGUAUAUGUUUUGAUAGAUGAACAGCAAAAGUGCAAUUGGACUCUUGCAACUUGCAGAGCAUCAUUGCUUCUUACCUUCUCCUUUAUCGAUUGAGGCAUGUAGGUAAGAUUUUCUACUGGCCUUGCAUGCAGGGGUGUCUCAUGUGAGCCGGCUAGAUUGUCGUUUUUGUUGAAAACAUGCGGUUUCUAUCGUCCAUCAAGAAUAAUGUUCAAAGUUCAUAGCUAGAUGUUGCUUGUAACACCAACAUUUGAUAGAGUUGUUAACCCUGCUGGGAGUUCAGGAAAAGAAUUACCGAUGCAAUAAGAAACCCCCUUCUUUUCUUGUUAUGUUAUGUACAUUUCUCUAUCUUCAUAUUUUGUUCAUCAAGCAAUAGGAAAAAUUAUACAAUAUACAAUUUUAGAUUGUCGAAAAUGCUAGUAUACUUUAACUUUGAUAACGCAAUUCCAUUAAUCUGUCGAACCUUCUCCCUUUAAAACUUUAACAAUCUUCCUAUCUCCUCAAAGGACUUAGGGGUCUCACCAUUGAGUCCAAAGUGUAAUCUCAAUACAUAUGCUUCAUCGCUCAGCGUCUUCAGAAGCUUCUUCUCGUCCUGCUUCAUUAGCUGUUUUGUAAGCAUCUUUUCCGGCAUCAUCUCCUCUGGCCCUUGCAUGAUCUCCUGCAGCAGAAUGCGAACUAAUAAAUUAAGAUCGACUAAUGAAGUGUAUAACUGAUGCACUUUCCAUUACCGUUUGAGCUGCAAAUGAAAUUGGCAGUCUGCUCCUGUCACAAACAAGCUUUACAGUUGCAGCAGGCACAUUGACCACUUCAGCGAUUUCAUCAUGAGUAGGCAGCCACUGGAAUCUUUGAUUGAAGGAAUUUUUAGCUUUUGUAAUUUUUUGCCAUCAUACCGCACAUGUUUACCUACACAAAUAAACUAACCAUACUUCUGUAAUCUUUCAAUCAAUGCAUUUCUAUCAAGGUUAUCUGGCAGGAGUCGCAUAAAGAGAACUAUUUAAUUACGUCACUAAUAUAAAAUCUAUAGCUCGGUGAUUAGGCAACCUCAAUCAAAAAGCGGAAGGGAACUAAAUGCAACUGUUUAAGAACAAUGGUUUGUUAGGUUAGUUUCUCACUGGUAAUCUGAUUAUUCUAGACUUGUUGUCUAGGGCUCUGAUAAUAGCUUGCCUGAUCCACCAGUAGACGUAUGUUGAUAACUUCCAUCCUCGCUCAUGAUCAAACUUCUCUGCCACUUGAACAAGCCCGUCGCUUCCUUCCUGCAGAAAUAGAUACUUAGUUUCUGGGAGCAACUUACGGAAAGUGUUGGACAGGAGUAAAAAGGUGUAGGAACCUGAAUGAGGUCUUGAAAGCUUAGUCCUUUGCCUUGAUAACUGCUGGCAACAGAGAUAAUGAGUCCCCGGUAGCUCCUGAUGAUCCUUUCUUGUGACUCUCUUUUCUUACAAAGCACCUUAUCUAUACUUCUCGUCUUCAUUCCCAUUGCCUUGGCUAACUGCUUUGAGGUCGGCUCCUGCUCUUCAGCUUCUACGACCCUUAAUCUUCGCAAUUCUAAUCUUGCUCCCUCCUGUGUCAUUAAGGUCAUUCAUAGAUGGAGAGCUAAAGUUAACUUUUCGGCAUUAGAAAACUCUGCAAACAAGUAGUUUGAGAACUGUUUUAAAACAAAACACAGUUCUAAUUAAAGCUGUUCCUAGUAAUUGCAUUGAAAACAAAAAGAAAAACUGCAAAUCAAAGUGUAAAUACAGAUUAGCAGACUUAAACAACUUUUAAGGUUUAUGCAACAACCAUCAAUUGAAUAAUAUCCGUCGCAUCAUUUACAAGGAGCAGCAGAUUCGAAGAAAAUUAAAACUAGAGGACGAUGAAUGUUGCUAACUGUAGUGAUCAUCAUAUACAACAUUUAACUGUACAGUUUAAGAAACAUACAGUGUCAUCUGGCAUUAAAAGUUAAAUGUUCGGUUCUACGAAUGCCUAUGAGAUGAGAAUUGCUUGUAAUAGAAAGGCGAGUAAGUGAACGAAUUUACAAAAUGUAACCCAUAGCAAAACUCUAUUUCUUAAAUAAUGCUCUUGAACUUGGUAAGAAUCGAUACAACAAAGUCUUAUCCCACUAAGUGGGGUUAGUUGUAUGAAUCCUAAAAUGUCAUCGUGUUCGGUUUUGUGCCAAGUCUUGUGUUAGCUCCAAGUAAUCUGUCUUUUCUUAAAGUCUCUUUCCAAGUCUUCCUAGGCCUUCCUCUACCCUUUUUUCCUUGAGCCUCUAUCUCAUGAUCGCAUUUUCAAACCGGAGCAUCUGUAGGCCUUCAGUUCACAUCUCUAUCUCAUAUAUUGAACCCAACCAAUCAUUCUCCAAACUCAAAUUGGAACAACAAAUGAUGCAUAACAAUAUGCAGUAGUCUAAAUCGAGAAAUAGAAGAACACCCAUAAAUAAUACCAUAGAGAAACAAAAUGGCAGUUAGGCUUUUCACAUGUAAGCGCAUAACAACUUUACACCUAAGAGAAACACACUUCAAGUCUAUACUACAAAAACACUCUACCUUUCAACAGGAGAGACACUAAAGGAAGUUCGUGCAGUAAGAAUCAGUUCGAACAUGGCAGAUGGCUAACACAAGGGCUUUUUCUUUAAUUGGGCGCGUUGUAGGCUACAUUUGGAUGAUGAGGAAUUUACAAGUACCAAACUUUCAAGUAAAUUAGAUACAAAUGAAUCACAAAACAUUAGAUGAAGGGAUUUGAAAUGCGGUACGUGAUGAUUACAAAUACAUUAACAAGGAUUCACAAAUGACGACUCCUUUCAAAUAGUCAUAUGCAUUCCCUUUAAACGUACUGUAUUUAUUCAUCUCAAACCAAAUCUUCUGCAGUGCAUUCUUAACCAAUUUAACCUACAUCCCUUGGUACUUGCAAAUUCCAUCUCGAAACAUAGCAUAAGCAUAUUUGUUUAAAACUUAGCGUUGUCGGGCUUUUGUAUAAAACUUACUAGUACAAAUUUGCCCUAAAAGAAUCAAGGAAAAUUGUAGUACCUUGAGACUGAGACAGAAUUCAUCUUCUUCGUUUGGGCUCAGAUGCCCACAUCUCACAUAACCAAACGACAACUUUCCAUCUCCAACACCCCUUCCCCUCUCCUCAUCCAAACCCUCCAACCCUUUUAUCCUUUUCCUCCUCCUCUUCCUCCUCACCGCCAACCCACCACUCCCAUUCCCACUCUCCCUACAACUCCAAGCCUCCACAAUCUCAUCCCUCACCGCCGCAGCAUCUCUGGCCACCUUCACGGAAGCCUGGGCCAGUGCCAGCGCCUCCGCCGUGGCUGCAAUGACCAAUGCGUCACUGGAGACCCAGUUGGCGCCAAAUUUGGAGAAAGAGGGAGGAGGGAAGUGGAGUUGGAGAGGGUGGUGGGUUUUGAGUGGUGGGAUUGGUGGGAGUGGAAGUGUUGGGAGAGUUGGAUGUUGGUUUGGUGAUGAACAUAUGCUGCCGGUAAUGGCCAUACAGAUUACAGAGUAUAUAAUACAGAGUCGAAGUGUGAGUCAUGGAUUUUCUUUCUGAGGAGAUAAAGAUAUUUGUGUGUUUUGCCAUGCAGAGAGGGAUAGAGGAGUCCAGUGAUUAAUUUUAGCCAUCUGUGGAUGUCAUUGAAUUCAAUCUCGAUCAUCGGAUCAUCGAUUCAAAUUCUACUCACUUUUAUUUUUUUUUUUUUUUGCAUUUAUUUUUGUUAUUUGAUUUUCGUCGAUUCAAAUAUCAUAAAUAAUAAUAUUUAACAUGUUUCAUAUAUUACGUUUUAGUUUUGAUUUUUGACGUUGGUGAAUUAUAUCACACUGUGAUGAUAAUGAUUACAAGAGACUGAAAUGUAUUUGUCAAUUUUUUUUACCCCAAAAAUAAUACAAUGUCGUAACGAAGUCAGUCGCUGUUUUUUUUUUUUUAUCAAAAAUAAAAUAAAAAUGCAUUUCUCUCUAAUUGCUGCGGCUUAUAAAACACAUACCCCACUUUUUCUCUUUUGGCGCCAAUUCUUCUCUCUUACUCUUCCCAAAGCCCUAGGUUUUUACUUACUUCCCCGACCCAAAUCGAUCACCACCUAGGGUUUCACAUAUUGACCACAAAACCCCCAAUUCCUCGAAGAAUCAGAAAGUAGCACUGCAAAGUUCAAGAAUGGCGGAGAGUCGCGCAAAGCGCCCCAAAAUUACAAGGUCUGGAGACUCGUUUCACUCCACUUUUGAAAUUGACUUUGAAAUUGACGUUCUUUUUAUGUUUUCUGGUAUCCAGUUCGUCAGAAUUAGGUUUUUUUUUAAUUCUAAUUGCAUUUUUUCUUACUGUCUGUUUGGUUACCCAGAAAAUUUAAUGUCUGUGUUUAUUUUUUGCUUUAUUAAUUAUUAUUAAAUGAAAUGUUUAACUUUUUCUUUUGUCUUCCAUUAUUAUGUUAAGAAAUUAAACUGAGGAUUAUGGAAUUCACCGUAAAACCUUAUUCUGCUUAACACAAUUUUAUUUUUAAUUUUAUUUUUUUCUAAAUGUAGUAGUAGUACAGUGGUAAAGAUAUAAAAUUUUGUCAUUUGGGACCUAUAGAAAUUCUGAGUCAAUGCUGAAGCAACAAGAUAUCUAUUUAGCUGUCUUGAACUGACUUCGUAGUGUGUUAAAUCAAGAAGAUACUAUUCAAUUUUUUCUGGUAUACAGAAAAUGUGAUAGUGAAAUUUAUUUCCUUUGUGUUGUUUUGAUUAGUUCAGCAAUGAUGUCAAGGUUUAAUGCUUAUCAUCUCUUUCUUUCAGGGGUGAAGAUGACUAUAAGCCAGGAAGCAUAACUAAGAUUGAACUCCAUAAUUUUAUGACCUUUGGUCACAUAAUGUGCAAACCGGCCCCUCGUCUAAACCUUGUAAUUGCACCAAAUGGGGCUGGAAAAAGUUCUCUUGUAUGUGCAAUAGCACUGGGUCUUGGUGGUGAGCCUCAGGUUAGUUAAUAUCAGGGAAUGUGUUUUGUUGCAUUUCUUAAGUUUGUUUUUGGUAAACAAUAUAUAAAGAAGAGGAGUUUGGUAACUACAGCUACUUGGAAGGGCGACCAGUGUUGGAGCAUAUGUGAAGCGUGGUGAAGCGUCCGGUUAUAUUAAAAUAACCUUGAGAGGGGACACCGAAGAGGAGCAUAUUGAAAUUAUGCGUAAGAUUGAUACACGUAACAAGUCUGAAUGGUUAUACAAUGGUAAGUAGUUUUGCAUGUGUAAAAAGUUAAUUAUUUUAUCAUUUCUCUUGAAUAUAUUAUGGACCAACAAACAGUGAUCUUUAAGCAAUAGCUUGAGGUGGCUUAUAGCCAUUAAGAGAAGUGUUUGUAUACUUGUUAGUAGCCCCUUAAAGUAUCAUGUUUAACUGACAUUUUCCCAGAGAACGGAGGAUGUUUAACCUACAUGCUCUGACCCGGGUUAUAGUAGUUUCUGAAAAUCAUCUUAUGCAUUAAUUUCCAUUCCAAGAAUUGUGCUUCCAUGCAUGUAGCUCCUAUUUUGCACUUAUUCUUGUCUUCAUUCAGCAUAAGUGAGGUACUUGUAUACAAGCUUGUUUUCUUUUCAAAUUGUAUCAGUUUUAACUUUUAAUUACAAGUCUGCAAGACAGUGGGAAAAGUGGAUGAUAUGUCUUGAUUCACUAUCAUGCAUUAUCAAGGGAAAUAAACUACUUUCCAAAUUAAGACUGUUUAUUAAGAAGGCACAGGAGUAAUAUCAAAUACUGAUUUAUCAGUUUUCUUUGUAUUUCAGGAAGAGCGGUGCCUAAAAAGGAUGUGGUUGAAAUCACUCAAAGGUUUAAUGUUCAAGUCAACAAUUUAACUCAAGUGAGUUUGUUUCUAAUAAUUAACUUCAGAUCAGGGCGUGCCUUAAUUCUGUAGCUUUUAUAUGUGGAUGCAAUAUGACUUUUGAUAUGCAUGCACAUGUUUUUGUUUGUUAAUAUUCCUUUUGAAUAUCUGGACCUUGUAAAUGAAUUUUGUGACUGUUGAAUUUAUAAGCUUAAUCAGUAUUCUUCAUUGUUUUUUAGUUUUUAGUAGAAGACAACAUUUUGAAGGUUAUACUUGCAUAGAAUAGGCAGUACUUUUACAAACUUGGUACUGUACAGUUUCAGAGUAUAUGUACAGACAGAAAAUUUACUUAGUAAGGACUGCAAUAGAUUGUAGAAACUGUUACUCAAUAUCCUCACAAAGUUGAGGCUUUAUUUUUUUGUAUUUGGCGCCUCGGUCUUUAAAAUUAUAGGAAGGAUGCAAAGUAUUUUCUUAAAGUUGAGAAAGAUGAGGAGUGUUUGCUCAUAUAGCGGUGCAUUGGUUCAGUCUUAUUAUAGGCAGUAAAUUAUUGGAAGAGACCUUUAUAUUUCACUUCUUCUGCAUUCCAUUGUUUGUACUUGCUGUGCUAGUAAAAUUGAGAUCCUUUGUUGCAUGAUCCUGUUUGAAAUGCCACUCCUUUUUUAUUUUGAUUAGAGCGUGCGCUAAAUAAUGGUUUAUCUAGGGGUAUACUUUUGUCUUUCAUCUUAAUUGAGCAUUCCUAUCCAUUCCAAAUUCUUCUGAAUGGACUAAUGUUGAGAAGAAUGGGUAAAUUAUAUGUUGUAGUAGUAAAGGUUGUCUGGGGAUGCACAUAUAAUAACAAUCUAGUUGUCAAGUUGUUUAUUGCGAGUGUAUUAAUGCAUGGAUAUGACAUUGUUUAUUUGAUUUCCUGUUAUUUGUCUCCCUCUUAGAUAUUUCAGUUUUAACUUAUUUUUAUGAUGCUAUUUGAAACUAUUGCUAACAAUUUUGGAGCUAAAUUAUGAAUUUAGGUCAGUAAUUUCCUCUCUUUCUUUCUUUUUUUUUUUAUCAUUUUUCUCCUUUUUAUUUUUGGGGGUGUGCUUGUAGUUUUUACCACAAGAUCGUGUCUGUGAGUUCGCCAAAUUAUCUCCAGUGCAACUUUUAGAAGAGACUGAAAAGGCUGUAGGAGAUCCUCAAUUGCCGAUCCAACAUCGUGCACUUAUUGAGCAAAGCAAGAAAUUGAAAAGAAUUGAGCAAGUGGGUUUUUAAUUUGUCCUUAUGUUAUACAAUGUUAAUUAGCUUUAUCACGUUAUUUAGACAUUUUGUCUUUUUGAUUUAGGCCGUUGAAAAAAAUGGAGAAACUUUGAAUCAGUUGAAGGCACUGAAUGCUGAACAAGAGAAAGAUGUUGAGCGUGUCCGCCAAAGAGAGGAACUUCUUGCAAAGGUUUGUCUUUUUGGUUUUGUUAUAUGAACUGAAUGACAGUGUAUUUUUAUGAUAAGAUACAAACUCUUAGUAAAGAUUUUUACAACACAUACACACACAAUGAAGUGGACAAGAUAUCCAUUGAGCGCUAGUACACAUACUCAAAUACAAUCAGAUUCACCAUCCACAAAAUAGCACAGAACCUCACAAACCAAACAUCUGAAGGAAAACACUGAAAGAUAAAUGUGGUUCAUCAGACCAUAGGAAGGAAAGCUAGAUCCCCAAAUGCAGGUGAAACUGAAGCCCAUAAUGGCGACAAUGAGAAUUCGACUUUAUCCCAUAAAUCCUCAUCCCAUCUCCCUUAUAGUUCUCAAGGUAGUAAAAAAAAAAAUUGAACUCCAUCUGACUCGAUAAUCCCCUCCUCAUCCCCCAAAGAGAAAACGCUCUUCUGCUUCCCACAUAAUUAAAUUGGAACUGAGAUUUCUUCUUGAUGUCAUCUACAGGCUGAUACCAUGAAAAAAAAAUUGCCAUGGCUGAAGUAUGAUAUGAAGAAGGCUGAAUGCAUGGAAGCUAUGGAGCAGGAAAAGGAUGCAAAGAAGAAGUUGGAGAAAGCUGCAAGAACUCUAAAUCAACUGAAAGAACCUAUUGAGUACGAUCACUUCAUUUAGAUGAUAUAUUCAUGCACAAUAUAUUGACAUGAGAUAUACAGUCUGUUUAUUGCAAUGAUUUGCUAUUAUUUUACUUUCUAGUGUAAUAAUGUUUUACCUGCUGCAGGAAACAAAAACAAGAGAGAGUGGUGAUGGAGUCUAAGAGUACAAAAGUAGUAAAAAACAUUAGUGAAAAUGCAAACAAACGAAUGAGACUUUUGGAAAAUGUGAACCGCUUGGUAUGAUAACAUGGUACUUUAUUUGCUUAAUGUGAUUUUAGCCCUUCCCUAGUUUGUAGUGUGGAUAAUUGAAUUUUUAUUGUGCUUCAAUUUCAUCCACAUGUUUAUAGGGAGUGUUAAUAAAAGAAAAAUACAACGAAAUGGAAGAAUUGAAGAAGCAAGAAGAAUCUCGUCAACAAAGGAUCUCAAAAGCAAAAGAGGAUCUAGCUGCUGCUGAACUAGAACUUGAAAAUCUGACUCCUUAUGCGGCCCCUACAGAUGAAAUUGUAAGUUAUGGAUUCAGUCUCAAAAUUUCAGGAUCUUCAGGCAGUCCCUGGUGUGAUUAACAUAAAUGGAUCAGAUUUUUAGCCAUUAACAUGAAUGAAACUACUUUUGUGCAAACCAGUUUUGAGAAGUCAUGGUUCCCUUGCCAAUGUUUUUCAAUCAAGUUUUGUUGGGUUAUUAGACUUUGGAUUUGUUUGCCUAGGAACAGUUAGCACACUGUUUAUUAGUCUUUUCAAUCAAAUAUGUGCCUAGUUUCUGGUUUUGUUUCCUAUGAACAUUGUAGCGCAAUUGUUUAUUAGAGUCAUUUGAUUAUUAUUCUCAAUUUUUAAAUUUGUAAACUAACAUGUUUCUUUUUUUUGCUGGUUAUUAGACUUAUGAUUUGUUUAAGUUCUUCCCUCCCGUUACUGAGUAAAUAUUGCUGAUCAGGCGAGAUUGCAUGCUCAAAUUGUGGAUCUAGAAGUUUCUGCAAAGGAAAAGAGGGAUAAGAAGUCGGAGAAGGAAAAAUUUUUAAAUCAAAAGAAACUUUCCCUAAACACCUGCCUGGAUAAGUAAUAUUUGCUUCAACGUCAAAUCCUGUCCACAUGCCUUUGUAUUGUUAAUUCAAACAUCGUUUACUGUAUCCUUUUCAGGUUGAAGGAGAUGGAAAAUAAAAAUGGUAAACUCUUACAAGUAUUAAAAAAUUCUGGAGCAGAUAAAAUAGUUGAUGCUUAUAAAUGGUUGCAAGAACAUCGUCAUCAGUUCAAUAAGGAGGUGUAUGGCCCUGUUUUGCUUGAGGUAUGUAUUUAAAUCAUAACAUUGUCGUGUUCACUGAAGAAUUUGAAUUUACAAAUUAUUGAUAAUGCUCCUCUGGGUGCAUGCAUACUCAGGUUAAUGUGCCAGAUCGAGUUCACGCUGACUACUUAGGUGGUCAUGUUCCUAAUUACAUGUGGAAGGUAAAUGCAUUUGUAUUAUGUAAUUUAUGUUAGAUUUUUUUAAUCUACUUGUAUUUACCUAACAUCAAAUGUCAGGCUUCUAACUCCUACGUGAUUAAGGGCCUGUCUGAAAAUGCUUUUGGAAGGGCUAAAAGUGCUUUCAGAUAGCCAAAAGCAAUAUUAAGUAACCAAAAGUGCUCCUGGCUUCAAAAAGCACUGUUUGGGGCUUUCUGGAAAGCACCUGGCCACCAGGUCUACCAGGUUCUUCUCCUAGAAGAGCCUUCAAGUGCUUUGUAUAAUAAAAAUUUUCUUGUGCUUCUGAUACAAGUGCUUCUAGUGGGCGCUAAAAAGCAAUCCCAAAUGGGCCCCUAGAAUUUCCAAGUUUGUUUGGUAUAAGGCUUAUACCUGUGUAUCUGUCAAUCUGAUCAGAACUUUGGUUUCAUAAACUGGGGGAGCUGCUUGGGAAGGGUACACAAAAGAAGGUAGAUGAAAGGAGUUACAACAGUUGUUGUCUAUACAAUUUUGGCCAUUUAUUAAUUCACAAAGUGAAGGCAAGAGAUGAAAGUAAUCAAGAUAACUUAAUGAAGGCUUAGUUUUGGGAUGAAAGAUCAUUUCAUUGGCAUGUCACAUAUCUUGGCUAAUCCAUGCUAAACCCUCAUAGGUGAGUUUGGAUGCAACAUUAAAGCCUUUACCCUAACUCUCCCCCUUCUAACCAAGAUUUAAAUCUCAACUUUCCCCUGCAUAGAACUGUGAAGCCAUGUGUUAACUACAUAUGUAAAUUAACUCCUUACCUAAGUUUGGGGUGCUUUAUAUCCUGUUUAAGUUUUUAAUAUAACCAUUCUACUUUCCAAAUCUCUGUUUGUGUAUGUGUGUGCUUGUGUUUGUGCGGAUGGUUGGGUAGAUGCCAGUAACCUAUACACUGUUGUACUUCGAAUUUACUUUGAGUCAGUAUAGUUAUGUGUUUUUUUAGGAGCACAGUAUCAUAAAAGAAUUCCACAUGUUACUCAAACAUGUAUUUAUUUGUUGGCUUAAUAAUACCUAUUUGUUGAUCUUACUUUUUCAUGUUUUGUAGUCUUUCAUAACUCAAGAUUCUCGUGACCGGGACUUUUUGGUAAAAAAUCUCAAGUCCUUUGAUGUUCCAGUUUUAAAUUAUACGGGAAAUGGAACUUGUCACAGAGAACCCUUUCAAAUUUCUGAGCAGGUGUGUGUUUUUGGUGCUAUAUUUUAUAAAAAAAAGUUUGAACUAGUCUCGUUAACAUUUUUAUUGUUUACUUCCGUGUUUUAUGAGCAGAUGAGUGCACUGGAGAUCUAUUCGCGGCUUGACCAAGUUUUUGAUGCUCCUACUGCCGUGAAGGAGGUUUUGAUUAGCCAAUUUGGCUUGGAUAGAUCAGUAUGAUUCCCAAGCUUACUCUUAUCUUAUAUACUUCAGGCAAAAGUUAUAAAAUUUAAAAUAAUGUGCUAAAUAUAUGUUCACAAUUUUAUGUGCACUUGUUGACUUCAACUACGCUAAAAUAUGUACAUGAUUCCAUUACACGACUUGAACCCAAGAUGUGGUUAACGGGUUUUGGUGACCAUUACUUAACACGAACCUGUAUGUUGUAUGAUAAGACAACUGGUAAACAGGUUGGGGUAGUGUCAAACAUGAGGAAAAUAACUUUUCCAUGAUAAGCCCGUUUUAGUUGUACUAUAUACCAAUAAGUAUUGUAUGAGUCCUUAUGUAAACUAUAAAAUUAUAGUAUAUGGUUUAUUAAUAAACCAUACUUAAUGGAUUCAAUUCUUUAAGGAAUGUAUAAGUGAUCGGGUUAAUUAGAAAUUAAUGGAACUUAGUUUCAAGUUUCUAAUUCACAAUAUAUCCGUAUCAUUCCAAACAGGACGUGAUAAAUAAAUGGGUGAGGUUAGUGUUUAAGUAACUUGACCUGAUCAAUUAGACGAGUUGGUGAUGAUUGACUGUAUUGUACAUAAACAAAAAUGACGAUUUGCCACGCCUAAGGUCAACCGUAUGAAGUUCGGUGUUUGAAAUUUGUUAGGUAGUGUUUUGAUUUUGAUAACUUUUGUGCAUGUAAUUUAUUAUAAAAAAAUGCUCAUGUAUUUGUGUUUCUUCCUUUUUCCUCAGUAUAUUGGGUCCAGGACUACGGAUCAGAGGGCUGAUGAGGUUUCGAAGUUAGGGAUUUUAGAUUUUUGGACCCCUGAGAAUCACUACCGAUGGUCAGUAUCAAGAUAUGGUGGUCAUAGAUCUGCCAGUGUAGAAUCAGUCACUCGUUCUCAACUCUUUUUGUGUGGUAUGUUUCUGCAAAUCCUUUUCUGUUUAGCAAAUAAUCCAAACACUUCGUUGGUAAAAGAUUUGAGGUCGUACAUUUUACUUUCAGGUUUGGAGACUGGGGAAGUUGAGUCAUUGAUGUCCAAAAAAAGGGAACUUGAAGAAUCUAUUACUGCUUUACAGGAUAUUGUUAGAUCACUUCAGAUUGAGGAAAGACAAGCAGAAAAUGAAGCAGCAAAAUUUCAGAAACAGAGGGUAUGUGGAAAUAAGUGUAGCAGGUGGCAUUCAAUGCUAUAAACAUAUAAACUAUACUUUAAUAUUAACUGGGUUUGGUUAGACAUGCAAUUCCUUUACUUAUGUGGAACAACGUAAUAUAUAUUUUAGGAGGAGAUUAUCAGAAAUGUACAGGAUGGGAAGAGAAAACAACGUGAAAUAGAAAACCGUAUUGGUAAGUAAUAAUGGUUUAGAAGUUUUCUCUUUAGAAGCUUUGUAUUUAAUUUCUUUUGUUCAUUUUACAUAAUGAGUAUACUCUGGUGAUAUCAGCACAAAGGAAAAAGAAAUUAGAAUCUAUGGAGAAGGAGGAUGACCUGGAUACUAGUAUGGCGAAGCUCAAUGAACAAUCUGCAAAAUAUAUGAUUGACAGGUUCCAUUCUGCAAUGGAAAUUAAGGUCAGGUUUUAGGCACACUUCUAAAAUUAAAUUCUUAAGGGGACAUAUUUAUUUAUUCUGUUCUUUGUUUGGUUUAAGUUGUACACCAAUGUUUGGGGUAGAUAUAAGUGUUUUAGGACUUGGUUACUUCAAACUUUUAACUCUGCUGUCUUUUUUUCAGAGUCUACUUGCUGAGGCUGUUUCUUUCAAACAAAGUUAUGCUGAAAAGCACAUGAUGGUCAUUGAGUUUGAUGCAAAGGUAUUUUCUACGAUGAUCCAGAACAUGCUGCUUUGAGAGUUUUACUAUUUUUUUGCAUGCUGAGUUUGCCUACAAAAUUUACAAAUAAGUUUACUUAAAAUCGUAGACAGUUUGUCAAAUACAAUCAUAAAACUCUUAAAAUGCAAUCAUAAAACUAAAGUGAAUGCUUUUUGUUAAGGUAGAAUGUAAUUUCCCCUUCUUUUAGGCAUGAAUGGUUUGAAACUUUUUCUUGUUCUUUUUUUACUCAGUUUGCAAACAAAGGUGGCGCCUUAUACUGUAAUGAAUUAUUUCUUUGUUAGAUUUAAUCUCUUUAGACCAUACGCCUUUUUAUGAUUCAUGUUUAUUUUUAUUGUAAAGCUUUUGUGCCAUGGGGUAUCUGAAUAAUAUGCAUUUGUUCAUACUCAGUUCUAAUUAAUUUAUUUAUGCUUGUUUUUCAUUUUCUUAGAUUAAAGAAAUGGAGGUUAAUAUCAAACAACAUGAAAAGGUUGCUCUUCAAGCAAGCCUGCACCAUGAGGAGUGUAAGUGGUUCCUUACUUUCACUUUGAGGUUCUUCCAUUCCGUGCGGUUGUUUAUACUGUCUGAUCUACACAUAAAGUUGUUUUUCACUUUUUUUGGUAGUGUAUAAUUGUGCUUUAAUUUUAGGACUUGGCUACUGUACAUGUAUUUUAUAUAUUCACCAUCUAAACGGUCAUAUAUGCACCAAAAAGAGAGAAUAUCAAAUCUAACCAUACGUGACAAUUAGAUGGUUAAUGUAUUAAAUACAUGCAUGUAUUGUAGCCACUCUAUUAUUUUUGUUCUAAAGUAAUUUAUCAUAGUUCUUUUGUCUUAAAAACAAUCAGAAUAUUGAAUUGGUUAUCUAAUCCAAUUCGUUGGUCCUUACGCACACUGAAGUAUGGAACUUCUAGAGAGGGAUGCCUUUGAAAGAAAGAGGAUAACAUUUGAAUUAUCAGUACAUGUAUAUGUCUUCGAUUUUCACCUGCUAAUAAAAUUGUUUCUUAUUGAAAAAAAAAAGAUUAAAGAUUUACAGUAGAAAACUCAAUGUCAGUAAUGCUAAUUAUUGCUUUUUUGCUUCUUGUCCAGGUAAGAAGGCAGAGGAGGAUUGCCGACAGCAACUUUUAGCAGCCAAGAAGAAUGCAGAAUCCAUUGCGAUGAUCACUCCAGCACUUCAGAAGGAAUUUCUUGAGGUUUUCUAUAUAAUGAGUUAAUUCUAAUGCAUGGAAAAUAUAACUUCUGCUUGAAUAUAAGGAGUAAAUGGCACAAACUAUAUAGUGUGGGUGGUGGCCAGUUAAUUCCGUGAAGUGAGUCGACUGGUUAACUGGUAUCAAAAACUUGUGUGCUAGGUGCUCAGGUGUUUUUGUUUUGCUGUAUAUAAUGUUCUGAAGUUAUUUUCACUUCCCAAAAGUUACAUCGAUUAUCAGUUUAGUGCCCAAUGUUCACAACUUAUCUAAAUCAUACCCAAAUCCAUAUAAUGGGCUUGUUGGCUGAUUGAUUGGCGUGUGUGAAAUGGACGAUAAAAGGUAGCAUUAUGUAGUAUUACAAUAAAUUUUGAACAUGAGGUCCUAAACUGUUAAUCCGUGUAAACUUUCGGGGUACUAAACCACUAUAGGAGUGUUCGUUGAGAAGAUCCGUUGACCUGACACCAAGAGAAACGUCUAGCUGCUUUAUUGUGUGAAAUUUCUUAUGUAUGAAGCCAGUAUUUGGAUACAUAAAAAACAGUAAGGUAAUCAAGUAGCUUCUUAGCUAGAUCUUGGGAGCUUAUGGGCUUAUUUGGUAUAACAGAACACCAUUCUAUGAAGCGCAAUUAUUAGGACUAAAUUUGAUGUGUUUCUUUUGUGAUUGAGUUGUACAUUGAUAAGGAGCUAUGGCCUUGAUCUGCUAUUAUGAGUUUUAUGGUUUUCUAAUAAUCUGAGCCUAUGGAUUUGUCCAAAGCUUACUUCCAUGCAUAAACUUUAUAAGUAGGACAAGCUGGGCACUGUGACUUAUCAUAUGAGCCCGACCUGGUUCAACCAUUGAACCAAUUGGAAUAUUGACAUGGGCCUCAGGAUUUGCACUUUCUAUUUCCUUAUAACAUUUAAGUUCCUCUCAUAUGAACAUGGCCCUAAUGGUCAACCAUGUAAAAUCUGUAGUUUAUCUAAUCUCUCUCCAUUUGCACUUUUAUUAUUUUAUUCAAAAUUUAACAGCUCUUUUGUAACCUAAAAAAAGUUGAUUUCUUUGUCUGUUUUGUCUCCAGAUGCCUACUACAAUUGAAGAAUUGGAAGCUGCUAUACAGGAAAAUAUUUCUCAAGCUAAUUCUAUUCUUUUUCUAAAUCAAAAUAUACUGAAAGAAUAUGAAGACCGUCAGCAGAAGGUAUAUUUUUGCCGUCUCUGGUAGCUGUUUUCCCCCUAGUUUCUUUUUUAAGUUCAUCACUCUUACGUACAAUUAUAAUACAGAUUGAAGAAUAUUCAGCGAAACUGGAAGCUGAUAAAACAGAGCUUAGUAGGUGUAUAGCUGAAGUGGAUAAUCUGAAAGUGAGUAAUGCUUUGUUUUAUUUUAUUUUUUCAUAAAGAAGGUUAGCCAAGUUUAGUUGUUACCUUAAUGAGUAGCUUAGCUGAAUAGCUGAAGUAGGUAAUCUGAAAGCAAGAAGGUUAGUGAUGCUUAGUUGUUACCUUAACGACUAUUUUGUCAAGUUGAUGUUGGUCUCCUCGAUGAACACUUAGACCACAAUACUUUGGCCGUUUGAACUAUUGCUUUAACCAAUCCAACCAGAGUCACCACAAUAAACUGUAGGACGCACUCAAUGAUGGAUGAUGGGAAUUGUUAAAUGGAUUAUGAUGGUUUCAGAAAAGCCACCACAAUUGACUUGAAAUUUUCUUUUGUUUAAGUUUAUUUAGGCCUGCACCCACUGUUCAUGUUUCAGGAUAAACAUAUCACAUUUGCAUUCUAUUACCAUAACAGCUUGUCUCUUAUGUUACUUGGAAUUCACCUGAGUUUUGGUCUUUGGCGUUAGGUUGUAAUUAUAUGCAUUUUACAGUCUCCAAUCUCCAUGGAAACAGCAGUUUCUUUAUGCUGCUAACCUCCUACAGUUCAUUAGUUUGCCACAAACGACAGAUUCCAAAAUAAUUAGACAAGUUUGGCCUUUGCCAAUACUCACUUGUAUUGCUAGGUCUGAAAAGGUCAUGUUGAAUAAAUUUUCAGACCAACAGCCCUGAACAGUUUUAAAAUUCUAAAUAUUUAUGUCAAACUACUUUCAUAUUCUUGUUUCUUCGUUUUCCUUUAUUUCCCUCUUUCAUGUCAGUAUGCAUAUAUGCCACUUGCAUUAGUGUAUGUUUUGCUAAUAAUCUUUGUUGUUUCCUGAUUGUAAAUUAUUUGCAGGGAACUUGGCUCCCAACAUUAAGAAGCCUUGUUGCUCAGAUAAAUGAGACUUUCAGUAGGAACUUCCAAGAGAUGGCGGUUGCAGGGGAAGUUUUAUUGGGUAUUUAGCAUUGCACUGUCUAGAAGUAUUUUUUUUAUUAUUAUUUUAUUUUGAACUUUUGUAAUUUCAUGUUUCUUCUCAGAUGAGCAUGAAAUUGACUUCGACCAAUAUGGGAUACUUAUAAAAGUAAAAUUCAGGUAAUUUCAAUUUUGUUCCUGUUUCUGUACUUUCAUGGUGCUACUACUAGUCGUUUUAAGUUGGGAAGUGUAAUUUAAUUUAUCAUAGUAGUGUAAUUUAAUUUAUCAUAGUUAUGUCGGAACCAGGACUAAUUCCAAGCCUGGUUCAGCAUAACUCUGAUAGAUUCCAAGCUUAGUAGUAUCUAUAUUGUUUUUGUUCUAUUGCACUAAGAUGAAAUCACAGUUGCUGAUUUGUUAUGUGUAACCUGCUUAAAAGUUAUGCAUUGCUUCUGUACACAAUUUCAUUCGUUUGACAUUAUGGCCAUCAGGCAAGCGGGGCAGCUACAAGUUCUCAGUGCCCACCAUCAAUCCGGAGGGGUAUUACACUUGCUGUAUUCUUGAGUUAUUGAUUUGACUACAACAGUUUUGCCUUAUUGUGGCCUUCAAAUUCCCAUUUGUAGGAGCGUUCGGUUUCAACUAUACUUUAUCUUGUUUCUCUUCAAGACCUUACAAAUUGCCCGUUUAGGGUGGUUGAUGAGAUAAAUCAAGGUUUGGUUGCACAGCAGAGUGUUAUCUUCUAUUUUUCGUCCAAUCAAUUUUCUUUAUCUCAAAAUAAAUCAUUGCUGUGUUUUUAAUAUGUUUUCAGGGAUGGAUCCGAUAAAUGAAAGAAAUAUGUUCCAGCAGUUGGUAAGAGCAGCAUCUCAACCAAAUACACCACAGUAAGAGCAACUAUGCAUAACUUGUGAUAAUUAUCUGUGUCUGUUUCUUGGUGCGAAUUAUUAUCUGUCUGUAUUUUGCUCUGUUUUAGAAGGCGACUUGAGAAACUAGAAAUACUUAUAUAAUGCGUCAUUAUUAAUUGGAAGUAGUGCAAAAUGAUGUUUUGGGUGUGUGGCAGCUCCCUUUAUAAAUUGGAAGGAUAACAUGUGUAGUCCAUCUCUCAUCGUGCACUUCUCUUUUAGCUGCUCCUAACAGUAGUGAAUAUCGAGGUUAACAAAAAGGUUUCUGCUUCUAGUAUGAACCAAAGAAAUUGCAAGAUUGUGUGACCAAUGGAGGACAUGAGCUUAUAUGAUUAUAUUGUCUUAUAAUUUGCAGUGGACAAAGCCAAUUGUGCUUAUCAUAUGUAAAAGGUCACUUAAGCUUUGGUUUCUGUCACUGUUAUUCAGGUGUUUCUUGCUUACCCCGAAGUUGCUACCAGAUCUGGUUUACAGUGACGAGUGCAGUGUUUUGAACAUAAAAACUGGCCCCUAUGCUGGUUCAUGGGCGAAUGGAGGUGAAAGUUCUACUUGAGAGUUAGCAGUCAGUAGUAUCUAUUAAUUUGUCGAACAUAUGCGAUACUCACCAAAAAUUCAUUCCUUUUUCUUAUUUCAGACUGGAGUGAGGGCGAUAGCUACAGAAACAUUCUUGGAAAAAGGGGACGCUGAAAUAACAAUUACCUUUCGAUGAGGAAUUUUCGUAAAGUUGCACUCACAUAAGCGUGGCUUAGUACACCCCGUGUUCAUCCCUGUGUAAAUUAGAAUGAUGGCUGUCUUGGAGGGUGACUGUUAGCUUUUGUGUACGUUUAGCUUUGUUUUUUUUUUGGCUUACAACUUAAUAGGAAGGAGAAAUGAUUCGUUUCAAAUGAUGGCUGGCUGCAGUGGCAUUGUUCUCUGGUUAAACAACCACCUGGUCCCGACUCUCAACUGAGAUCAAUAGCUCGAUACCUGAUAUACAUCGCAUAUACUCUCCUUAAUGUAAAUAAUAUCAUCGUUCAAAAAAAAAAAACAUCGCAUAUACUAUGAAAUUUCUCUCAUUCAUAAACAAGAAACCAAAGUGACGAGUUGAUAAUAUCGAUCACAAAAUUAGUACAUGGCCUUUCUCACUCAGAGUAGAUGAAACUCGCAUGCUCUGACUUACCCUAGAUACAAACGUAUCGAGGUCACCCUCUGCCUUCAUCCCUUACUCUCCCCAGCCGUCUUUACUAACUACAUUGGCAAAUAUUCGACAGUGGCAGCUAAGAGGCUGAAUGAACAAUAUAACGACAACAUGUGUACAGGUGGUUAGUGUUCUUCAAGCAUUUGUUGGAAGCUUGAAAUCGAGCAUCGCCCUUAUAUUUAACCGGAUGGAAGGCCCCAUUGACGAGCAUAUAUGUGCACUCUUCCAGUAAACACCUUUUGCACCUGGUGGUUUAUUUGCUUCUACCGAUUUCUGCCAGGUAAAAAAUAUAAGUAGAUUAAAUUUCAUGGCCAAGUGGGUGGAGUUCAGAUGGCAAUCGAAAUUAGGAAAUAAGAAGUGAAGAACGUACAACUGCUGCUAGCAAGUUCACGAGAAGGUCUUCUUCAGGAAAGUCGGCUUUUCCAAACCGCAAAUGAACUAUACCAGUUUUAUCUGCUCUAUAUUCAACUUUCCCCUGCUUGAAUUCUGCUAUGGCCUGAAACAGAGAAUACGAGUAAACCCUUUUAAUUCAGUAGGCUAAGAAAUCAAACUCCUUGUAAUGUUGCCCCGCCACAAGUAAAUCCAUUCCUGUACAACCAUGGAUGACCACCGUAGGUUGUCUUGAAUAUUAGACCCUCUUCUGUGUGUCAGUAUAUCAGUUUAUUCUUCUUACGGAUUUCCUCAUUUCAUUACUCUUACUGUGCCAGAUAUAUAGAUGCCACGCAUAUACAUUAAGGCAUCAGGAAAGAACUAAAACAAUAGCUAAGAUUAAGGGUUUAGUGUAAGAAAGCAUAUCCACACAAGUGCAGAAAGGAAACGAAAAUGUCGCAAAACAAACCAUACCUGUGGUAUAUUAGGCGUGACAGUACCAGCUUUCGGAUUUGGCAUGAGCCCUCGUGGUCCUAGAAUCUUUCCUAGGCUAGCAACCUGAGAACAGUAGCACAUACAGUAUGAAGAAAAAUUACUGGAGAUCAUAGUUUCCAGCCGAUGAAAACCACAGAAGCAACAGAUACAGAAAAGAAAUUGUGAAUUGCUUCACGUUAAAGAACAGUGACUCAAAAUAUGAUUAAAAGGUAAAAGUUAAGAAAGCAAGCUGGUAGAAUCCUAAAAGCAGACCCCGAAAAGUCAGUCUAACUUGAGCAGCUUUUUUAACUCCAUGUGAACAAGUCACAAGGAAAACUGGGCAGCACCUAUUGCUUUUACAUUCUUAUUUAUAAUUAUUCAGUCUUGGUGGGUGGUGUCUCAUUAUGAGAUAAUAUGAGCGCUUUAGGUGCCCGCAAGAUAUGUUUUCAGAUAUUGAUGCAAUUUCUUUGCUUUUAAUUUCACUUAUGAAUAACAUGAACUUUACCACAUCAACCAAAGAAUAAUCAUCCGCAUCCCAUCAUGCACAUCAGGAUUUAGAUCUGACCCAAAUUACUACGAAGCUGACAAGUUGUCUUCCUGAAGCAAAACUAGUUUUCUCAUUUCAAUCAUAUAACCCUAGUUCAACCAAAAAACAAACAAAGAACACAACAUUUUAGAUUUGACCCAAAUUAAUUCUUUACUUCUAUAGAUGCUAUAGAAAAUGAAAAUGAUUAACAUACUUCACUGUACACUACACAUAAUUUAAUUGAACAAGAUAAUGAAGGCAGCACCUUAGGCAUCAUAUCCGGCGAAGCAAUUAGCUUGUCAAAUUCCAUGAAUCCUUCUUUUAUCUGUUGUAUCAAAUCAUCUCCACCAACCAAAUCUGCUCCAGCAUUUUUUGCUUCGUCAAACCUUUCACCUGCAGAUAUUGAAGAAGAUAAUACGUGACAUGAAAUAUAUGAAACCAAAACCAUAAGAUAACUUGUGCACAAAUGGAUGCCUGCUUGUCAUAUAAAAUGAGCUCAAGGAGUUGCUAAGAAGCUUAAAGAACAUGAAUAUUUGUGCAUAUUAUGAAGGGUCACAUGAGAACCAGAAUAUUUCACUUUUUUGGAAAAGUAGAAGACAUUCAAACAAACUACAAUAUGUCUAUUGAGAGCAAACAAUAAAUACCGAAGGUGCAAAUUUAUUAGAUACAAACACAUUUUUCAUACUAGCUUAAAUCUAGAGAAUAUAUAUCUCUAAUUCUGUGUAUAUAAGCUAAAUCAAGCCAGUGGUACAUCUCCCACAUCCUAAGUAACAAAAGAUCAAGACUAAAUAUUAAAACAACAUGCUCCAUUUAUGACUACUCUUAAAAAGACUUAAGAAAAUCUUACAAUUCCUAAAAAACUUACAAAAGUUUUCCCUCUUUUGGACCCAAAUGACUAAGAGAUUGCCUUUUCAUCAGGAAAAAAUGCAAACGAAAAUAUAUAUUCAGACUACACCUUACAGGAGCAAUGAUACUGCUCCAAUCCAAUUUGAAGACCGAAAAGGGAAUACUAUACUAAACCCUCCAACUAAAUCAUUUGGAAAAAAUGCACCCUUGACAGAAAAUAAAACCCCACUUCAGCAAAGCAAGCAUUUCUUCUGUUUUUUUCAACCAAGGUAAAAGAAUUAGAGAACAAAACCCCUCUCAGUGAAGGUGACUCGUUUUGGCCUUCAAGGCUUAAUUAGCAAAACAAUUUACCUAGAGAGAAUUCAGAUAACAGUUUCAAGACUAAGGGCCACCUGCCUAAUACAUGCUAAUGCAGAAAUUGCCAGCAUAGUUAUGGUCCUCUACUUUUUAUUCUCUAGGUUGAAAUUCCCAACUUGUAUCCACUAGGUUCAAAUACAUGGUUAACUUUAUACAUCUCCUUAGCUCAUACUAAAUGACAGAUAUAAUUACUUUGAAUACAGAGGUGAGAAAUUGAGAACCGGAACUACCUUGAGUAAGAACAGCCACUUUAACAGUCUGUCCAGUUCCCUUGGGCAGGUUUACCUAGUAGAAGAAUUCCACAACAAAUGGACGAAUAUAAUAUAGUGCUUAAGCAUUGAUAAGACUAAACAUAUCUCUGACCGACAAGAUCCGAAAACUCACAGUUGCCCUUAGCUGUUGGUCAUUAUACUUUGGAUCAAUGUUGAGGCGGAAAUGGGCUUCAGCAGUUUCUACAAAUUUCGUACUCGUCAUUUCUUUCAGUAAAGCGAGUGCUGGCUGCAGCUCAUACUCUUUUUUGGUUUCCCUCAGUUUCUGAAUUUCCAAGAAUCUUUUGGACCUUGUCUGACAUUUUAAACAGAAGACAACUGAACGCUUGAAUCACUACCGAAAUCUUGGAACAACGUAAAACUAGGACAUUGCAGGAAUAUAUCUAACAACAUAAAUGAUAAACAUAAAAAUAAACUAGAACCAAAUUAUCAAACACAACUUCAGGGCAUUCUCCAAUCCAAAACAUGGGAAAUCCGUCAAACUUUAAGGAUGUAAAUAUCAAAUUUUGCAGAACCAGUCUCUUCUCCGAGAUAACGAAGUGACCUUAAUUACUCAAAUCAAUUCCUUGACUUUUAGAAUUUAAAGAACCAUAACAAACAAGUAUUCGCCGAACUAACCGAUAAUCUACAAAAGAAAAACUAAAUGUAAGAAAGAAAAACCCACCAACGAGAUAACCCAAAAAAUCAAAUUUCACCCUCAAAACAAUGAAAAAUCCGAACUUGCAGAAGAAAACAAGAAAAAGACUCACUCUGUCUCUCUUCAAAAGCAAUGCAGCCUUCCCUUUCUUGGGCUUUGAAGGAACAGAAACAGCAACAGCAACAGACCCAUCACCUCCUUUCACUCCUUCCUUCUCGUCCACAUCCUCCUCCACCUCUGCCUCCGCCGUCAGAGCCGCCGCGGCCACUCGGUGAGGCUCGGAAUUGGACCAUUUGCUUGGUUCUCUCUCUCGAGGCCUUAGAGCCAGCGGGCAGAGGCAGAAGGUUUUGAAGAGGGGCUUGGGCUGGAAGGAGACGAGAGAGGGAGUGAGGUCAUGUGGGUGCGCGUAAGAGGAGGCGUACGUUAGCAUGAGGGACGAAGGCGUGGUGCUUGUCGCCAUUGAUGGAGCUCUCUGCAAAUAAACGAUUUUGAGCAAUUGCUCUACCUAUCCGUUUAUGUUGGAGAUAAGAGCUGGCUGUCAUUGUCUGCCAUAGACCUUAUGGAUGGUAUGAUACACCGUAGUUACCAUCACCGAUAUUAAAAUACAAUAACGAAUAGGAAAAUGCUAGAGGGAUUUUAUUUUUUUGGAACUUUAAAGAAAAGCUACUGGUAUUUUAUGUUAACGAAAAAUUAUAUGUUUACAUUAAAAAGUUAAUUUGGUACUAUUUACUUUACCUUUUAUUUUGUCCUUAUCAUUAAAAUUCAAAGUUUUCAAGUCAUUUUCAUUAGUUUUUCUUAUUUUUAAUCAUAUUUUAUAGAUUACAUAAUACGAUGUUCUUUUUAGAGAACGUAAUAAUAUAACAUCAAGGUUAAGGUUUUCCACAGUUAGAAAAAGUGAGUAUAGUACUAGCAUAUUAAAAUUUUAUAUAGGAAUAAUAUUUUUACAAUAGGUCACAAAAUUUGAGUGUGAUACCAAUAUACUCAUUAGUUCGAUGGCACUUAGUACUAUUGUCUUAGGUUCGAUUCUCGCAAUAGACUUAGCCUUACAAUGAGCUAACAAUAAUGUGGUUCAAAUUCGCCUUUGGCAAGAAUCGAACUUAAAACCUCUCACUUAUAAGUACAAAUGAAUAUCAUUAGACUGUAAUACUAAGUGACUAAAAAAGUGUUUGCAGUCUCAUCUAAUAGAAUGAUUUUUAACUCAUGAGUGUAAUAUUAAACUCAUGAGUGUGAUAUUAAUACAUUAAACUUAUAAAAGUAUAGUCAGUGACGUAUCUAGCAUUUUCAAAUAAUGAAAUCAUAAUAUUAAUUAAAAAAAUUGUAUUCGGCCCUUUCGUCAAUCACCUACUAGACAUUUUUUAAUUCAUGUCAAUAUAUGCCGACAUAUGUCACUAAAAUAGUAGAAGAAAAUAGAAAAAAUAGGAGGAGGAGAUUGUAAUUGCCUUAACCGUUUAUAGAGAUCAAAUAUAAUUUACAAACAAAUAUAUAUUAAGUUUUUGAAGUUGUUAGAAUAAAAAUUAACCAAUGAUUUCAUGCUUGGUCCCCCACUGACUCAAGCUAAUGUUAAUGCUAAAAUACAGACCGUAGAAAGAAACAAGGACAUGGACGUUCAGUUAUUCAUUUCCCACAAAUUUAUUUGACUCCCCAGUUUAUUCUGUCCACAAUAAAACCCCAUUCAAAUCAUUUCGGCAAAGCAAAAAAAAAAGAGUAAAUUGUAGAAAUAGUCCUUCAACUUUAAUUAAAUUAAAGUAAUGGUCUCUUAAUUAAAAAUUUAUUACCAUUGAUCAUUCAACUCAUCAAAACGUGUAAUUAUGGUCAAUUUCGUUAGAAUUUUAUCAAAAUAAGUUAUGUUGGAAUAAUCAUUGCUACAAUUGAGAUUCCUCAACUCAUCAAAACGUGUAGCUAUAGUCUUUUUCGUCAACUUCGUUAGAAUUUUGUCAAAACAAGUUAUAUUGGAAGGAUCAUUGCUACAAUUAGAUUAAAGUUGAGGGACCAUCGAUUCAAUUGGGUUAAAGUUGAUGAAUCAUUUCUCUAGUUGAAUUAAAGUUAAGAGACCAAUGGUGAUGAAUUUUUAGUUUAAGAAACAUAGAUGCAUUUAAUGAGUUGAAGAACUAAUGAUAAUGAACUUUUAGUUGAGAAAUCGUUGUUACAAUUGAGUUAAAAUUAAAACACCAUCGCUGCAAUUUCCUCAAAAAUAAAGAAAGAAAGAAGCAGGAAGAAGACCAAGACCCAGUCGGAUUGACCAUCUACUCCUCCACAAUUCCUCCCCCACAAUUCCUCCCCCAACCAAAUCCCACCAACCCAUUUUUCCUGAACAAUCUUUCUUUCUGGUUCUCCCAUUCUCUUCUACUUCUUCAAAGAGGAGAGAAGAGAGAGAGAGAGGGAGAUACUGAAAGUAAAGCAACCAACCAGCAAUGGCGGCAGUAACCACCAUCUCCAACUUCGCCACCUUUCACUCUCAGUUUCCCCCUUCACCAACCAACCCCCACCAUUUCUCUUUAUCCCCAAAAAAACUUCACUCUCACCAUCGUCGCCCGCACUAACAUCACCGCAACUCCUUCCGUCCAACUCACCGCCUCUCGCUUCACCCGAUCCCACUUCGCCUCCGCCGCAUACGGCGGUGAACCCCCCGCAGGAGGAGCGGAGAUGGCGGAAGCGGAGGUAAUGAUAACAAUGACAGUGAUGGGAGUGGUGAUGGUGAUGAGGACCGGGAUCGGAACAAGGCGGAGGCCCUGGCGGCAAUGGUGGAGGCAGGGAGGUUGUCGGAGAGUCUGUCGAAGGACUUAGCGGCGGCCAUAAAGGCCGGACGGGUGCGGGGCUUGAUUGUGAAGAGGUUCUUUGAGCUGGAGAAGUCGGCGGUGUUCAGAUGGUUGCUUGGGUUUGAUGGGUUCAAGGAGCGGUUGCUUGCGGACGACUUGUUCUUGACCAAAGUUGGCAUCGAGUGCGGCGUUGGAAGGAAACUAUUGAAAAUGUCUUGAAAACUUUAAGUUUUAGGACAAAUUAAAGGAUAAAGUGAAUAGUAGUACCUGAAUUAACUUUUUAGUAUAAAAAUGUGGUUUUUCGUUAAAGUGAAUAGUACCAGAAACUUUUCGUUAAAGUUCCUUAUUCACUAAGGUCUCUGCUUUUCAUUUACUCUCUUCUUUUUAUUUAGGUAUAAUCUUUCUAAGGCUCGAUAUGAAAAACUUUUUAAAUGACUGAAAGUGUUUUUGAUGAGAGUGUUUUUAGAGUUAAUCUCGAUGAAAUUCGAUGAACAAUUUCGCUAAGUGUAGCAACGGUCUUCGUAAUAGAAAUUUGAUGAUCAAUUUGCAUGUGAUUAUUCUUGUGGACGCCAAAAAUAUAACGGUCAAAUUUCUUAAAUUUUUUAGAGGAAGAAAUCUUGACCGUAUUGUGGCAUCAACUGUUCUUAUUUGGCGCCUCAACAUGAGAGUAACUUUUAUAUAGAACGAGUUCAUCGCCACAUGACAUUCUGGCCCAAUAAUACAUUGUUAUGUGGAGAAAAACUUGCACAUGACAAUGGAUUAUUGGACAAGGGACGCCACGUGCACAUGUUCCAUGUAAGUCAUUCGCUGCCAACAGAGUUGGCGUCCCUAUUAUGCAUUGGAUAUCCUUGACUUUUGAAUUGAAGUACCAUUUGAAGUAUCUCUUAGUAUGGAUGUAAAUUUGAGUGUAAUAACAAUAUACUCAUUAGUUCAAUGUCAGUGUGCCACUUAGUACUAUAGUCUUAAGUUCGAUUCUCGCAAUAGGCUUAGCCUUACAAUGGGCUAACAAUUAUGUGGUUUAAAUUUGCCUUUAGCGAGAAUCGAACCUAAGACCUCUCAUUUACAAGUGAAAAUGAAUAUCACUAGACCGUAGUACUAAGUGGCUAAAAAUGUGUUUGCAAUCUCAUCUAAUAGAAUGAUUUUUAACUCAUGAUUGUACUAUUAAACAAAAGAGUGUCAUAUUAAACUCAUGAGUAUGAUAUUAAUAUAUUAAACUUAUAAUAGUAUAGUCAGUGAUGUAGUCAGAAUUUUCAAAUAAUGAGAUCAUAAUGUCAAUCAAAAAAGUUUUAUUGUGCCCUUUCGUUGAUCACCUCCUAGGCACUUUUCAAUUUCUAUCAACAUAUGCUGAAAAUUUAUGCCGACAUAUGUCACUAAAAUGGUAGAAGAAAAUAUAAAAAGUAGGAGGAGGAGAUUGUAAUUGCCUUAACUAUUUAUAGAAGUCAAAUACAAUAUAUAAACAAAUAUACAUUAAGUUUUUGAAGUUGUUAAAAUAAAAAAUAAAGAAAACUAAUGAAAAUGGUUUGAAAACUUUGAAUUUUAACGAUAAGAACAAAAUAAAGAGUAAAGUGAAUUGUACUAUAAUUAACUUUUUAGUGUAAAAAUAUAAUUUUUUGUUAAAAUAAACAACAUCAAGAAGUUUUCGUUAAAUUUUGUUUAAAAAUAACCAAUGAUUUCAGGUCCGCCACUGACUCAAGCUAAUGUUAAUGCUAAAAUACAGACCAUAGAAAGAAACAAGGACAUGAACGUUUAGUCAUUCAUUUUCCCACAAAUUUAUUUGACUACCCAAUUGAUUCUGUCCACAAGGAAAACCCCAUUCAAAUAAUUUCGUCAAAACCAAAAAAAUAAGAGUAAAUUGUGGUAAUGGUCUUCUAAUUUUAAUUAAAUUGAAGUAAUGAUCUCUUAACUAAAAAUUUAUUACCAUUAGUCCUUUAACUUAUCAAAACGUGUAAUUAUGAUCAUUUUCGUCAACUUCAUUAGAAUUUUAUCAAAAUAAGUUAUGUUGAAAUGACCAUUACUACAAUUGAGGUCUCUCAACUCAUCAAAACGUGUAGCUAUGAUCAUUUUCUUCAACUUCGUUAGAAUUUUGUUAAAAUGAGUUAUGCUGGAAGGAUCAUUGCUACAAUUGGGUUAAAGUUGAGGGACCAUUGAUUUAAUUAGGUUAAAGUUGAGGAAUCAUUUCUCCAGUUGAAUUAAAGUUAAGGGACCAAUGGUGAUAAAUUUUUAGUUUAGAGACCAUAGCUGAAUUUGAUGAGUUGAAGAACCAAUGGUAAUGAAUUCGUUGUUUCAAUAAUUUUUAAUUGAGGAAUCGUUGUUUCAAUAAUUUUUAAUUGAGGAAUCGUUGUUUUAAUUGAGUAUGAUCAUUUCUACAAUUUCCUGGUAAAUAAAGAAAGAAAGAAAGAAGCAGGAAGAAGACCAAGACCCAGUCGGAUUGACCAUCUACUCCUCCAGACUUCCUCCUCCAACCAAAAUCCCACCAACCCAUUUUUCCUGAACAAUCUUUCUUUCUGGUUCUCCCAUUCUCUCUCUACUUCUUCAAAGAGGAGAGAGAGAAAGAGAGAGAGGGAGAUACUGAAAGUAAAGCAACCAACCAACAAUGGCGGCAGUCACCACCAUCUCCAACUUCGCCACCUUUCACUCUCAGUUUCUCCCUUCACCAACCAACCCCCACCAUUUCUCUUUAUCCCCAAAAAACUUCACUCUCACCAUCGUCGCCCGCACUAACAUCACCGCAACUCCCUCCGUCCAACUCACCGCCUCUCGCUUCACCCGAUCCCACCUCGCCUCCGCCGCAUACGGCGGUGAACCCCCCGCAGGAGGAGGCGGAGACGGCGGAAGCGGAGGUUAUGAUAACAAUGACAGUGAUGGGAGUGGUGAUGGUGAUGAGGACCGGGAUCGGAACAAGGCGGAGGCCCUGGCGGCAAUGGCGGAGGCGGGGAGGUCGUCGGAGAGUCUGCCGAAGGACUUAGCGGCGGCCAUAAAGGCCGGGCGGGUGCCGGGCUUGAUUGUGAAGAGGUUCUUUGAGCUGGAGAAGUCGGCGGUGUUCAGAUGGUUGCUUGGGUUUGAUGGGUUCAAGGAGCGGUUGCUUGCGGACGACUUGUUCUUGACCAAAGUUGGCAUCGAGUGCGGCGUUGGAAUAUUCACUAAGGUCUCUGCUUCAUUUACUCUCUUCUUUUUAUUUAGGUACAAACUUUCUAAGGCUCGUUAUGAAGAGCCUUUUAAAGUGACUCAAAACGUUUUUUAUGAGAUUGUUUUUGGAACUAAUUCCGAUGAAAUUCGAUGAACAAUUUUGCUAAGUGUGGCAGCGGUCUUCGUAAUAGAAAUUUGAUGAUCAAUUUGCAUGUGAUUAUUCUUGUUGACGCUAAAAAUAUAACGGUCAAAUUUCUUAAAUUUUUUAGAGGAAGAAAUAAUGACCGUAGUGUGGCAUCAACCGUUCUUAUUUGGCGCCUCAACAUGAGAGCAACUUACAUGGAAUGAGUUUACCGUCACAUGGCAUUCCGCCCAAUAAUACAUUGCCAUGUGGAGAAAAACUUGCACAUGACGAUGGAUUGUUGGACAAGGGAUGCCACGUGCACCUGUUCCAUGUAAGUCCUUCGCCGCCAACAGAGUUGGCGUCCCUAUUAUGCAUUGGAUAUCCUUGACUUUUGAAUUGAAGUACCAUUUGAAGUAUCCCUUAGUAUGGAUGUAAGCUCUUUACAUGUUGCUCAUUUUUCAGACUGCUGCAGAAUUGGAGCGACGCCGAGAAAAUUUUACCAAAGAGCUGGAUUUUGUUUUUGCUGAUGUGGUAUGUCUCUUGUAUAAAUAAGAGAUUUGAUUUCAUUGUGCUAUAUAAUGGAAAGCUAUCAUCUCAAAUCAAAGUAAUUUCCAUCUGCUUCAUAGAUGAGCAGUUUAUAUAAGUGGUGUAUGUUAAAUUAGCGCAACAGUGUAAUCCUCUGAAACGCUUUGGUGGAAUCCGGGAUAUGACAUACGAUAUAAAGUUAGAAAUAAAUAAGUUGAACUGGGACAUUCUGCCUUUCAGUCAAGCAUGGUCUUUAUAUUGGGUCAUGAAAUGGAAUGGAUGCAGAAAACUUUCUUUGUUCGUUUUGUGCUCAAUGCGAACUCUUGGUAUGCAAUUUGUGCGCUUCCAAAUACAGAAUCAUUGAAUCAUGUUCAUGUAUUUGGUAAUAUUUACUCUUCUUUUCUAUUUUCUUCUUGACCUUUUGCUUUUUCAAUCAAUAGGUUUAGCGUUUCUUAGUUGGCCUUUACCUGGUAACUGUGCUCAAGGGUUUUCCAUGGAAUUAUCAACUUUGUUUUAUGAAGUUGAGUUGGAAAAUGCAGAGAUGACUUAUUAUUUCAUUUGCGGUUUUUAGUUGGACCUGGUAAAAUGUUCUUCGUUUGCAUUAUCUGAUUGUUUGACUACUUGACUACACUUUCAGAAGGUUUAUUUAUCUCAAGGGAAAGAGUUUUCGAUUUUUAGUCAUAAGUUGUAAUAUAUGUCAAGCUAUGAGUUGCUUAUAGUGGAAAAGCUCUGCAGCGAUCCUUCAACUUUCUAGCAGAAGUCUUUUGGUUACCAAUUUCAAUCUAUUUGUUCUUUCUUCUUUUUCUGGUAGUGUUUCUGUUUUUGGUUUGUUCCACCUUUUGGCAGCCUGACCCUUAAACAGAUAUUUUUUAUCUUUUCCUUUUAAAUCUUAGGUGAUGGCCAUCAUAGCUGAUUUUAUGCUUGUCUGGCUUCCCGCUCCUACUGUUUCGCUUCGACCACCUCUUGCUGUCAGCGCAGGCCGUAUUGCUAAGUUCUUCUAUGGGUGUCCGGAUAAUGCUUUCCAGGUUCUUGCUUGUUUCAUUACUUUUGGCUUUUUCAAGUUGCCACUGUAUCAUGAGUAUAACAUCAUGGGAGGCAUCAAUCUUGUCUGCAGGUAGCUUUGUCUGGAACAUCUUACUCACUCUUACAGAGAAUAGGUGCAAUAGUGGUAUGUGAUAUUGUGUUCUGUGAUCCAAAAUUAUUCAGUCUUUACGUUCAUGGUCAUUGGAGUUUAUAGUAUUUUGAUUGUUUCAGAGAAAUGGAGCUAAACUAUUUGCAGUUGGGACUGGUGCAUCUCUGGUAAGUGAAACACCUUACAUGUUUCAAAAUGCCUUAGCUUUAGCUUUUCUGAGAAUUAUCUGUAACAUCUACGCAAUGUAAAACAUUGUGGCUCUCCUCUCCUUUUUCCAUUUUAUCAUGAACUUUUCGUGUGACAUUACAAGACCUCAAAGCUGGGCAAAACUUCCCAUAAGUUACUUGAUAUUUGUUCUAUCUUGUUUGAAACAAUGGAAUUUUCAGCUAUCACCAAAUACUUUUUAUACUUUUUUAAGCCCCUGUAGUUAUUAGCAUCAUGCUAUGCAGGAAAAACUACAUCAGCUUUUGUUCGGCAUGUAAGCUAACUCUACUAGCAUUUUGUACUAAACAUGCCGGUUACUUAUGCAGUAUAUGUCUAUCAAAAUUUUCUUUCUUUACCACUGGUUGUUUGAACUUUGCUCGUCUAAAGUUAAAUCUAAUUAGGACUCGGUUGUGGCAAACUUAAAUUAAGCCAUUGGUAGAACUCCAGUGAGUUUAACAUUGUAUCAAACUCCAUUGAGUUUAAUGUUGUAUCAACAUCCAAGAAUGGUAAAGAUGCAAAUUCUUUUUCUCCAAAUAAUUUACAAAGGCACAAGCUUCUUCGACGGUCCAACCACUCGUAUAAAUUUAUUCGCCAUUCUGAGGGUCUAGUGUGCUUUAUUGUUAUUGAAAGUUACUUUCAUUUUUUCAAUUUCUGUCUGCAAUAUUAUACGCAUUCGGAGAAAGAGAUGGUAGUUUUUGGUACAUUACGAGAUUGUUUUGGUCCUAUGUUAUAGUUUUCAUUGCAGAAUGUACAUAUGAAGUCUUCUUCGAAUUUUAUUUCUCUUCUCUUAUUCCACUUUGUUAUAUAGUUGAAAUUGUUAGUAGCCGUUUGGUGUCAUACGAUGGAUAACAAUUUUUAAUAAAAAUUGUUUCAGGUUGGUACGGGUGUGACAAAUGCAUUGAUUAAUGCACGAAAAGCUCUCGAUAAAUCCUUUGCUGGUGAAGCUGAGGAUGUUCCCAUAUUAUCAACUAGUGUAGCCUAUGGAGUUUAUAUGGCAGUUUCUAGCAAUCUAAGGUACAAGGGCUAUUUUCAGAUUGAAGUUUUCUAGUUAUCAUUUUUACUCUAACCUUCACGAACUGUUAGCAUAGGCCAUUAACAAAAAAAUUUAGAUUGAAUGUGCGUAAAGAAGCUUGAGACUGUGAAUAGUAACUGUCAUUUCAUGGAGAAUUGGAUAUGUCCAACAACAACAACAACAACAACAAAGCCUUUUCCCACUAAGUGGGGUCGGCUAUAUGAAUCCUAGAACGCUAUUGCGCUCGGUUCUGUGUCACUUCUUCCGUUAGAUCCAAGUACUCAUAAGUCUUUUCUUAGAGUCUCUUCCAAAGCCUUCCUAGGUCUUCCUAGAAUCGGAUCUGUUCCAAAAAUAAAAAAUAAAAAAUAAAACCAUUUGUGGCGUUUCUAGGUAGGACUAUGCCUUUUUGGUUAUCAUGAAGCCUUUUAUAUAGUCUCCAAGAACAUGGUGACGGAAGAAACCGUUCAUAAAAUUCUUUCAACAGCAAUUUUGUGAAAGGACACAUGCUAUAAAUAUGUCUUAAAAAGAAAAGCUGAGCAGCUUUGACUCCUCAACUCGCAUCUUGAAGAUGCACGUUUAUGUUUGUGUCUGAAUAUGGUUAGUAAUGUGUUUGAAGAAUUCUGGAAAUUCAUCGCAGCUUAAUUAUUCCAACAAUGUAUACAAGCUCUGCAGCAAACUAAGGACCUGCGUAGUACAUUACAGUUGGGAUAGAUGGACGGAUGACACCUUGAAGCAAGAAAUCUUUUUGCUUACCAUUUAUUUAGCUUUACUUACCAAAUUUUAUGUUUUUCGAUUUCUUUCAAAGGUACCAAGUUCUCGCGGGAGUAAUUGAACAGCGACUUCUGGAACCCUUGCUGCACCAACACAAGCUUAUACUGAGUGCAAUUUGCUUUGCUGUUCGAACUGGCAACACGUUCUUGGGUUCCUUGAUGUAUGACCUGAGUUCUCCUUGAAUGUCAUUAUAUUCGUUCGUUGUGUAUCCGUCUUCAAAUUCUCAUAAUUUUUUGUAUUGUGCAACAGGUGGGUCGAUUAUGCACGUUGGAUUGGAAUUCAAAAGAUCCGAGAGUAGAGCGUACGGUAGAUUACUAAAGUUACAUGAUUGUUUGUGUGGAUAUUGAUUUCAUUUCUGUUCUCACUGUUAGACAAACGAAACAAUCCUUUCGCUGAAAGGCAGUGAACGAAACAAUUCACAACAUGUAUAAAAAAGUAUCUUUCUUUGGCAGGCCAGGGUACAAGUAAUCUUUUGCUCACAUUUAGUCCUUUUUGCACCACCGUCGCCACCGCACUAGUGCUGGCAUUGAGUCCUUUUUAAACUCUCGCACGAUGUCAGCGCCAGUGCGGGAGACUCGAUGGUACUAUCCAUACAUCGUUUAUAUUAUUGAUUCUACCGAUGUUUCAAAUGCAAAAAGAAGCCAACUGUGUAUUUCCUUCUAUCUAACAAAGCAGUACAGGUUGGUAGGAAGAACCUGCUGCCAAACAAGUUGUCAUACGCCUCAAAUAUGAUAACUUUCGACACCAUUAGCUGCUCAUGCACAUAGCUUUUAAGAACUGAAUCAAACAAUAACACUGUGAGGGAAUGGCUAAUGAGCGUGGGUGCAAGAAGAAAAAUUGAAAAUUUACCAGAGAAGCCAAAGAGAUACAAGGGACGUUGGCGACCGCGGAGCUGGCGGCGUCAAGCUCGUCAUGUGAGCUGCAGCAGACCACCAUGGGAAACCCCGGACGCCGACCUGCCACGCCCAGUAGGUCCAUCAACGUCUCCUGCCGAAUUAAAUUUCCACAACUUUUAACUUCAAUUAGUCAAAAAACUCCAUUGUUACGCAGAUGGGUGCGGAGAAAUUUACCAUCUUGAACUGGUAUCUGUCGACGGCGAGGUAGAAGUGGUAGUUGCAUCCACCUUCAUGGAGGAGGUUGUCGGAGAGUCUACCGAAGCACUUGGCAGCGCCAAAAGAUCACACGCGAUUUUUAUAGAACGGUGAACAACUGUUUUUAUGGUAAUCAUGCAAUGUCACAUGAAGUGAAAAAUAAAAAGAUAAACCAUUGUAUUUUUAUGUUAAUCAUGCAAUGUCACGUAAAGUAAAAAAUACAUACGGGCGUUGUAUUGUUAACAUAAGACACCACAAUGAGGGUAUUAUCUUUCAACAACAGUGAGGUGGCUUGAGUGACAACACAACUCAACAUAAGAGUCCUACUCUUCCUGUGGAGAACAAAAUUCAAUAAUGCAGUAAGUCAAAGACCCAAAACAAUGCAAUGACAUGGCAGCACAAAAAGAAUAAACUUGGGUUACCCUUGACCAUGUUAGUGGAUCAUUUAAUAUCGACAAGUACAUUGAUGUUAUAUUAUCGCCACGUAGUUACUUAUAUAAUUAAUGUUAUCGAUACUUUAAUUAUAUAGUUGUCAAUAUCGUAAUAAUAUAUAAUUGCCAAUUAAAGUCCUUAAAAGGGCUACUUUCUUUUUAGUUCAGUGGUAAGUAUCACUGAAUGAUCAAAAAAAUUAACGGUUAGAUCUUGUAUAAUAGAUCUUUGCAACAAUUAAAUCAUGUGUAAAACUAAGUAUCACCAACUAUCUACCAUUGUAACCAGUCUCAAAAGAGUGCUACUAGACCUACCCUAGUAUCUUAUUUCCACACCCACAUUAUAAUCCCACCCAAUACAAAGAGUUAAAAACUUGAAAUGUUAUCUUCUCAUCAACUGUUAUUUCUAAAAUAAUCUUUAUAUUGAAAAUCUUUAUAUUUUUAUUUUUAUUGAAUAAAACAAAAUCUAUAAAGACACGAUUCAAUCGAUCAAGAUGCACAACGAGGAUUGCAUCUAUACAAUACAUUUUACACAAUUCCCAGCGUCUUCUCCAUCCUCCAGCACGCCACCCGCCCCGAAAACACCAUGUUCCACUUCAUAUGCGCCUCCCACAACAAUUGGUAUGUGGAUUGUGGAUAGACAAGCUUUUAUCCUAGUUUUCAAGGCUGUUUGCUGGUACUGACAACAAAAACAAACAUAUCAAAUUAAAAUGCCCAAAGGUAUUGAGGACUUUAUUUUUUGAAGAUUUAGAGAGGUGGGUUGUUCUAGAAGAUGGAGAAGAACGAACCUAUCAACCUAGAGAGCAGAGGUUUUUCUUUUCUUUAGUCUUAGAUGUCAUUUUACAAGAGAGUAAAUUUGAUAUCAAAAUUUUUAUUAAAAGAUGGGUGAAAAAUAAGACAGUACGGUGAGUUUAUCACCAUUCUCUCAAAAAGUGAUAGAAUUGGUGGUCAUUUGGGCCAAAAUGUCCUAAGUGGUGGGCUUUUGUGCUCUCUCUCACUAGUUUCAUUUCGUUUCGCCGACUGUUCAACAACCGAACUCUAAUCAAAUCCACCGAAAUAUCAGAGCAGCAGCGCGGCAGCGAAAGGAGAUGUUGAGGGACGAGUCGACCUGCAAUACCUACAACUAUGGCGACGCCCUCUACUGGGACGCCCGCUACGUCCAAGAAGGUGGCGCCUUCGACUGGUACCAGCGCUACUCUUCUCUCCGCCCUUUCGUCCGCCACUUCAUCCCCACCUCCUCUCCUGUUCUCAUGGUCGGCUGCGGCAAUGCCGGUACUCUUUUGCCACCCACCCAUUUCCCUCAUUCUCUUUUUAUUCCCUUUCCCUUUUGUUUUCUAUAUGUGUAUAUAUAUAUAUAGCUCCCUUCCGACUCUCUGCUUUAAUUGCUCUGUUUGAUUGCUGAGAAACUCAGAGGAAAGUACAGAAAAGAUAAUUUUUUGACGUGGGAAUUUGGGUCAUUGGGUGAUCUUUGUGCUUGUAUUAUUUGAAUGAGACUUUUGUUAGAGUAUUGGUUCCCGAAAUUCAGUUGUUCCGAUCAUUCCCGUUCCAUUCUAGCUAUUUUUUUGGUAAUUUUGAGCUGGGUUUUUGUAAUUAUUGCUAUUCUGUGUUUGGUUGAACAUUGUGCUACUCAAAUUUGACCCCUUUUAUUGCUGGGGAUUUUGGCAUGAGUAUGAAUUCCCCAAAUUAAGGUUCUGUUUUGUGUUUUCCUUCUGUUGUGGUUGAUACAUAUAUGAAUUGCCACGGCGGAUGCAUUCUUUGUAGGCCCUAGAAUGAAAAAAGAAGUUGCGAAGUAUCGUUUUAUUUCCCACUAAUUAGAAAAUUUGAUGUUGAAAGUAAUAAUGUACCUGAUGCAAUUCGGGUCCCUAAACUUGGCAUUGUCCUUGCCAUCCAUAGGAGAAAGAUUUUUGAUGCAACAAUCAUGCGGUGUCCAGCAAAAGGAACCUGACAUCUGUAAUUUCGUUGGUUUAAGAUACUUUAUAUGGUUCUGUGUACUUGUUGAUUAAGAUAAUGAUGGAAAAAAUGUUCUCUGUCCCAGUUAUGUCCGAGGACAUGGUCAAGGAUGGAUAUGAAGACAUAAUGAACAUUGACAUUUCGUCAGUGGCUAUCAACAUGAUGAAAAGAAAAUAUGAGCACAUACCUCAGCUGAAAUGUAUCCUUUUGGAAAUUUACUUCUUUAAAAUCUCUAGUACAAAUUUAAAUUUUCCUUUGUAACGAUUGGGGACACUAGGCAUGGUUCCUAUAUGAAUCUUAUAGACAUGCAAAUGGAUGUCAGAGAUAUGAGUUUCUUUCCAGAUGAAUCAUUUGAUGGUGUCAUUGAUAAAGGUAAGAAUCUAUUUCUCCGUGUUACUCAUUUUAGAAAUAUACAAUAUUGUAUACUAAUUUUCUGUCUUGUCUUGAUAAACCUUGUUUGCUUUCAUCACUUUUUGCACCUGUGGUCUGUCAAAGGAACUCUUGAUUCACUAAUGGUACGAUGCAUGUUCUUAUGUUCUAAUUACUCCUGCUACUCAUUACUGGGCACACUCUGAUUUUCUCAUUUGUGCUUAUGUUUUUAGUGUGGCAACGAUGCUCCAAUUAGCUGCUCAAAUGCUCGGGGAAGUGAGCAGGUUUUAGACUUUAAAACUCAAUUUACAGCUGCAAUUUCUUAUACCAGUUCACAAUUUCUCUCUCCAUUCUAAAGUAAUUCAAUAUCAUUUAGUUCUAUAUUCCUUCACUAAUAUGGUUGUUAUUUUGCUUGUAGGCUUCUUAAACCCGGAGGGAUCUAUAUGUUGGUAAAUGUGCAACCUUAAAUUGGGUUACAUUUUUCAAUGCUCUUUCUUUAGUUAAAAGCUCAAAAUGUAUCUGUUCUUACAAUGCUGUAUAGCAGAUAACCUAUGGUGAUCCUACAGUAAGAAUGCCUCAUUUGAGCCGGCCAGUGUACAACUGGAAAGUCCGUUUGUAUGUUAUACGUAAGUUUACUGUCCUUUCAUAAUAGUUCAUAUUUUUCUUGCUGUUCAAAUAUCUGCAGUUUUCUUCAUUCAAUUAGCUCUCCAGAAGAUUUUGCUUCCAUGUUAUUAAAUUCUGUUUAAUAUUGCUAGAGAUUUUUGGUUAAAUUGCAUUUUUCAUUUCUUUUCGAUGCCAAAUGUUCUCAUUUUUUUAGUGAGUUUAAGUCAAUUUUAACACAUGGUGAACAUCCGUUCAAGUAUAAUGGUACAAGAUUUUUGUUGUCCCACAUCUAAAGUGGUGUCAGUUAAGAAAAUAUCUAAUUUCCUUCACCAGCUUGAGAAGUUAGUAGCUAUUCACAAUCUACGAGUUAAUAUGAUUGACAAAGCGAAAAUGGGAGCUAGCGAUGACCUCCAAAAUUGUCAUUUAGGAGUUUAAGAUCUUUGGAUUCCAUGUGCAGGUUGUAUUAUUCAACUUGUUUUUGGUUUUUGUUUUCCGUUAAUUGGUAUUUGGGUUAUUGGUUAGGAAGUUCAGUCCAGAUUGUCCAAGCAUCAGAUACUUGUUGCUUAUGCAUAGCGUACAUGCAAGCUGACUAUUUUUCAACUAUCGCAAACUACGUUGUACCCACCUUUUCCUGGGAUCUUUCUUAGAUAGUCAUAAGCAGUCAACAGAGAUGAUAGUUCUAUGAAUUUGUUUCUUCCUGUUUUCUAGCCCAUAUACAUUCAGUUUUUGUUAGUUCAGUGUUUACGAUUCCUGAUAGAGGUGUCUUAUCUAGAUUUUGUAUCCUUUUGGCUAUUGUUUCACAGCCAGACCAGGAUUCCAAACGCCUGAAGGCUGUGGUUCGUCAACAAAGUCAGAUUUGGAACCUGUUCCUAUCACUGAGAAGGGCUUACUUCCGGCUGAUUUUGUUUUGGAAGAUCCAGAUUGUCACUUCAUAUAUGUGUGUAAAAAGGACGAUGCGGAGCUAAGUAAUCCACCAACUGAUGGAUUGAGUCGAUUGACAGUUGAUGGCUUAUAGUAAUUACUUGCAGUGCAGUGAAACACCGAUGAAGGUACCUCGUGCCCUGUAUACUAGCAUUCAAAUGCUUAUCGUCGUCAUUUGUAUGAUUAAUUGUUGUACCACCUGCUAAUUGUGAUCGUGGUUGGGGUGUCUGUAAGAGAGAGGAUUUUGUUCAAUGUAUCUGCCUAGAUCUUUGGCAUGAAAAUCUAAAACAAAUAACUCAAUGAAACAAAAGCCUCCAUGGACACAUUGGUUGGCCCCAUCCUUUGAUUUAUUGUAUUGUAUCAGUCAACACUGAAGUAGCUACCAUGAACAAUUACAAAAUAAAUCGUGAUAUUAGUUUAUUUUUUGGAACAUUUGUACUUAGUUUCCUCAAUUGCGUGAUGACUGUUUAUCGUAUGCAGUGUUUAAAAUAUUGAUACUGGUAGAAAUAUUGAAAUGUAAAUUUAUGAAAAUAUCGAUGAGUAUAUCGAUAUCAGUUGCCUUCAAUGGAAAUUAUAGAAAUUUGCAAUGAGUCAAGUUCUUCCAAAAAGAGCACUUGGGAGAGCUUCUCGAAGAAGCAUUUGACAAGUGUUUCUCAAUAAGUGCCUCCAAUACCCAUAAACACUUUUAACGCUUUUUGACAAACAUAGUUAGAAACGUUUUUAACUGUUAGAAAAAAAAGUAUCCUUUUUUCUAGAAGCAAUGCUAAACACGCUCUACCUCAACCCUUAUAAAGUUUAUCUUAAGGGCAUUUACCCAAUUACCCUCAUACCAGAAGUUAUUGUGUUUGAUUCUCUUUUAAUAUUGCUUGAUAGUCCCCAUCACAACCAAUAAACCUAGGCUGAAUAAUCAUUUCACCUCAACAAAAGUUGUACACAAUUAUAUUUUGUAGCUAAAAAAUCAUUUGAUUCAGGGAAAAGAUCUUUUGCAAGCCAAAUUAGUAAUGAGACCCUUCCCAAUUUAACCAUUACAGAAAAGAAGAGAAGUUCUUUUACAAAAACAGAAAAAGUGCUUUUACAAACAAACUUGGCAACUCCCAAUUCUCUAAAAUUGGAAGUAAUUCAAAAGUGCUUUUUCAAACAAACUAGACAAUUCCCAUAUGCUCCAAAUUUGGAAGUUGCUUUACUAAAUGUAUCACUUGGAUAGUUGCAAUGUAACCAAAAACUUCUUAAUGUGGUAAAUAGAGAUUCCCAAAGUGGGCUCCACAACACAAAUGUGGCAAAUUGGAUAGCAAGGGCAUUAGAGGGGCAUAUACUCUCUCCCUCCCAAAACAGAAAAAAAUACACACAAAACAAAAUGCCCCUCUCUCUAAUUUUGGCAGAGGAUUUACUAUUUCUAGCACUAAAUAUUAAACUACCAUGUUUAUGGCACACAUAUAGAUAAUACGAUAAUUCACACUAAAUUUAUUUAAAUUAUAGUGAGAGAAGAGUUUGGACUGAAGACAUAGUGUUAAACAAAUUAACUGCAUCUGUCACGGCAAUUCAAGACUUACAUAAUGAAAGGGAUCCUCUCUGGAUCCCUUCCUCUUAAUCCAUCAAGUCUGGGGAUUCGGACCGUUGAAAUUUGAUCAAACGGCUAAAAUUAUUAUAACUUUUAAAGUGGACCCCUAUUUGUAGCCGUUAGAUCAAAUUUCAACGACCCGAAUCCCCGGACUUGAUAGAUUAGGAGGAAGGGAUCUGAAGCGCUUUCCGUUUUGAAACGGCCAAGUGGGACCCGUAAGCAAGACCGACAAAACAGUUUCCAACUCGAAAUACAAUAAAUAAUAGGUAAAAAAUGGUUAGGAAGUAAAAGUGGGAUCCAGAAUGCCAAAUGUGGGAAAGCAGAGUCAUGCAACCACUCUCUAAAUAGUAAACAGAGCCAUGCAAACUUGCCGUUUCCAAGCUUUCGCCAUUUGGGGUAUAAACGCUUUCUUUCUAUUUCUCUCUCACACCAACACACACGCCCCUUUAUCUUCUCCCCAAUCUAAUUUUGGCAACGCCCCCUUCCCCCUUCAUCCCCACCCUCUCUCUCUCCCAAAGAACCAAACCCUCAGAACAACGCCUCCUAGAGAGAGAGAGCACACAACUCUUUUGGACUUUUAGUUUUAGAGAGAUAAAUUUUUUAAUGGUAUUCAAGUUUUUCUGCUAAAGUUGGUGCCUUUUCUGGGUUUUUGAGCAUUUGGGUUUUUUUAAUAUAUUUUUUGUUGGAGGGGUUAUUGAGAAUUUGGGAGAAAUAAUGGGAAGGGGGAAGAUUGAGAUCAAGAGGAUUGAGAAUGCAAAUAGCAGACAAGUCACAUUCUCAAAGAGACGUUCUGGGUUGCUCAAAAAAGCUCAGGAAUUGGCUAUUCUCUGUGAUGCUGAGGUUGCUGUUAUUAUCUUCUCCAAUACUGGAAGGCUUUUUGAGUUUUCCAAUGCUGGGUAUGUCUCUGAAUUUUUUACCUUUUUACUCUUUAAAUUCUGGGUACAAAGUUUUCAUUUUUUUUCUACUUCUGAAUUUUUUGGUUUCAUGCAUGUGUUUCUGAUCAUGUUUCUCUGAUGUGUUUUACUUUUUUUGGAUAAAGAUUUUGUCUUUGAAUAUGAAUUUAUCUGGGGUUUUGGUUUUUCCAUUUUUACUGUUGAUUUUUUUUUCUCUUCAUUUUUUAUUGUUUUUAUUUUAUUUCAGGGACCAGUGGAUGCUUCUGUUCCCCUUUUCCCUUUUUCUUAUUUGGGUUUGUGUGAAUGUCUGGGAUGGUCAUUUUACUUAUGAAGUUGGGUUUUCUUUUCUUAUAUAUUCUUCCCUACCCUGUUGCCUACAAUCUUAUAAUUGUUGAUCUGGGGGCGAUUUCUCCUAUGAGCAAAUUUUGAAUUGGUUGUGCAAAUAUUUGAAUAUAUAUCUUGGUUAACGUUGAGUUUACAAGUAUUUUUUGAGACUUUGAGUGAAGUCUGUUCCAACUUUUAUGAUGUUUGAUCAAUUGGAUCUGCAAUGGACCUUGGUAAGCUAUUAGUACCGGUGAUGAUUCUGAACUAUCAGAAAGGCUGAUUUCAGCUAAUAACUCUGGUUAAUUUAGUGCUAAAUCCGAUAGCAGAAUCGAAAGAACUUUCACUUCCUUUUGAACUUCUCAAAGUUGAAACUGCCCUGUUUGGUUGUUGCUCCUUUGUGCAUCUUCCAAAGUUAGGCAGUGGUUUAUUUUUGGGAUUUGAAUAUCCAGAUGCUGUUUUCUUUUUGUAGUAUGAUACGAACUCUUUCAAGAUACAACAAGUGUUUAGAUUCGUCAGAAGAUGCACCAGAAGAAGGCAAGGCAGAGGUAUUGUUCUCACAAGUUUAUGCACUUGCCACUAGGUGAUCUUUUGUGUUGUAGCACUUGAAAUUUUAACACGGACAAUUUUUUUUUAUUUGUUGUCCUAUUUUGAUUCUUCCUGCGUUAAUUUGUAUGUCCUCCUGUUGCAUGUCAGUCUUAUUCGUACAGAACUUUGACAAAGUAAAAUAUACUUUUGUGCCAAUUUUUCCUGUGUUCAAAUUUUUUUCGUUUCUCCUAUGUAAAUUAUGCUAACCUCCUUUGGAGCAAGAACCUCACAUAACGUUUUCAGAAAGAAUUGCAGCAACCAUUGUUUUUUCGUGUUCGUAGAUUCAGAAGCAAGACUGCAAGGAGCUGGAUAAUCUAAAGGAUGAAUAUGCAAAGCUACAAAAGAAACAAUUGUAUGUAUUUACUCAAUUUUCAGAUCUAAUAAUUUUAGAUUUUUGGAGUACUGCGUGUAAGAUUAUUAUUUUCUGAUUGUGUAGAAGGCUGUUGGGUAAGGAGUUGACUGAUUUGAGCUUGAAAGAAUUGCAGCAUCUAGAACAGCAAUUAAAUGAAGGAUUAUUGACAGUGAAGGAGAGGAAGGUACAAAUUAUAUUUUUCCCUUGUUUCGUUUUUUUCUUUUCUUCGAGGUAUUCAGUAGGGAUGUCAGAUGUAGUUCAGAUUAAUAUCUACUCAUUUCUGCAAUCUGUAAGGCCUAAAUAGAUGUUCUAAUAUUUCAGGAGCAAUUACUGACGGAACAACUAGAGCAAUCAAGAAUACAGGUAUGUGGAAGUACCGAAGUAGCACUGAAUCUUACUUGAAGUUUAAGAUGUAAGCAGUAGCACUAGCAUCACUAGCAUUGAAUAGUAAGUUGAAGUAUCAGUUUUCUAAAUGAAUAAUAUUCAUUCCUGAAAACAUAUGAGAUAUGGAAUUUCAGUUUCAGUUUACCUAAUAUAUUAUUGUUCUAAAUAAGCUACUUUUUCUUUGAGUUUUGAACUAAGGAUACAAAUAAUGAUUUAAAGCAAAAGACGAAUAGAAAGAGGGAUAAAAAUGAUACAAAACACAACGUUCUACUGCAAAUUGAAAAGGAGACAGGAGAAGGAAAAAAGUGACUAAUCUAGACUGGAAAGUUUUCCAUUUAUAAAUACUUCUGUUGUGGUUUAAAACUUUGGCUUCAUGGUAAAAGUUGCACUAUGACCUUCGUCGGUAUGAAUUGCAAAGACUAAUGUUGAUUAAAUUAGUGCCAUAAAAAGGGGCAACUCUGGUUUUAACUUGUCAUCUAUUUUGUUUCCUCCAGGAACAGCGUGCUGUACUUGAGAAUGAAAUGUUGCGCAGACAGGCGAGUUACAUUCUUCUUGCUAUAUGCAAAUUUUGUCAGUUUCACAAUACCUGGCCUUUUGAGUGAUUUCCUCUUACGCAAUGUCUACUUUCGCAUAUUAUUUCUAUGUAGGUUGAGGAGCUUCGAUGUUUGUUUCCACAAACUGACCGUGCAGUCCAAUCGUACUUGGAAUAUUAUCCUGUGGAGAAAACCAAAUCCCUUGUAAACCAUGGCGUCACAAGUAGUCCUGAUUUGGUCAGUAAUUUUGCAUUUGAGAACGGCGAUUCUGACACCACCUUGCAGCUAGGGUACUCUUCUUUCCUUAAUAACAAGCUUAACCUUUAAAAUAUUUCACUGUAUUAUCUAAUAUUCGUGCUUGGUAUUCUUUCAAAGAGUAGAAACUCAUCUGUGAUUAGAAGUAAUAUGCUCAAGUUACAUUCUAAACUGAAAGGCCUCAAACAAAUACUGGGGAUGGUUUGUUGUUAGGAUGAGCCAACCGAAAUUUACCCUAGCCCUGUUAAGCAAAAUAUAAAUUUAGUUCCUCGUACAGUGUUUUGUUUUACAAAUGAUUUGAAAGAAGUUUCUCAAGUGAAAAUAACAUUGUCCUCUUACUCUGUCGGUUUUACUUUUACUUUAUCGUUUUGCUAGGCUGCAAAGCAAUGCUUAUUCUGGGAAGAGGAAAGCUCCAGAAAGAGAAGCCAACUCCAAUGACUCAGGGAGCCAAUUAGGUCUGUAAUUGUUUAUGAGGAUCUCUUUUCUGUAGAAUCAACAGAUGCUAGAGAUGAGGUUGAUACAGUCGAGAGUGUAGCGUAGUACCUUCGUUGAAAGGUCAGUAACUUGUAAAAGAGAGCGUAGAAUUGUUAGGCGACCCCCAAACAUAGAAGUUCCUUUGUUGGGAAGGUUUGGCUGAUGAAGAGGAAAAUGUCCUCGUUAGUUUUUUCUAGUUUGUUUUGUAUUUUCUUUCAGGUCAGAGAAAAGAAACAAAGGAAAAUGUUUAUUUGUUUUCGUAAUUGCAAGUUUUAGCUCCCCUUUCGUAGCCGGUCAAGAUCUUUAGAGCACCUAAGUACUUGUUGAAGUUUCUUAAUCUCAGGCUCUCGGCCAUUAUUUGAAAUUGAAAGGUUCAAGUUAUGCAUCAAUGUUAUGGAGAAUACCAAACCCUUUAUCUAUCCAUAAACAAGGGCAUGCGUUUAUGUGAAGUUCGAAUUGACUGAUGUUGAAGAAUUAGCAGAUGAGUACACCGCUUGAACUCAGAGCGAGCUGAUUCUCGCUGAAAUGAACCAAAAACAAAGAUGGCUUAUAAAUUUGGUCUACCUAGCAUUACUUGUAGUUUUAUUGCUCCUUGCUUACAAAAUCUCUCUUAUCGUCUCACCAAAUAUCGGGCUAAACUUCAUGUUCCGGGUUCUACAUUUUCAAAAACAAAAUAAAUAUACUGGUUUGAUUAUUUGAAUGUGAAUUUUGACUUCAUUUUUACCAUAUACAAACUCUGAUUUACAAACUAAAAUCAAUAAAAAUACAACAAUGUUCUGUACACAGUGAAUUAUACAAUUGAUCUACUAUUUCUUUUGCUGUGGAAGGGCAUUGAGCAAUUGAUUUCUCCCAGCCAAAACCUUGUCAAAGACGGAAUCCACCUCCUUUCCCAAACCGUCCACAAACUUCUCAAACACCUCUAGUUUUCUUCUCAAUUCCUCAGCUUCUGCUCCGCUGUUCUUUCCAAUUCCUAUUGCCGCAGCAAGGCCCGUCACUGCAUCAUUAAGCUCCUUCACCUCCUUCAAACCACCAUUUCUCUCCAUUAUUUCACUCACUCCCGAAUUCAACCCCAAAAGCAACGAGUCAACAAACCUUCCACCCGAAUUCCUCACCUCCAAGUAUGGCUCGGGAUUCCCGGCUAAACCAGACAUCAAAAUCCCACCUAGCCAGAAUACCAUUCCCUGCAUAACCUCCAAAGCUUGAUGAAUCACUGUUUCCUUGCUAAUCAAGCAACUUCCUUUCCCAACCUCUUCAUUUCCUUGGAAUCUGAUUCCGUUGCUCAAACCCUUUGGUUGGAAUUGGACUGCCUUCAGAUGCUCCAAAGCCGAAGAAGGCGACGAUUUCUCCACAAGGCUCAAACCAUGAGCCAGGGAAACCUUAGCCUUCCCAAGAUUAGACAGAGAAGAACUGACAGAAUUGCAAAGCUCCAACAAACUCAAACUGUAUUUGAGAUACUCAUCCACAGAAGCAGCUUCCCAUCUGCUCAUGGGAAAAUCUACUUCCACAACCAGCUUUGCAAAAGCACUUUGGACGACGGUUAGCAGCUCAAAGCACUGUAGAAUCCAUGGAAAUGAUGGAAUAUCUGACCCUGCAGAUUUUGAUGAACUCAGAGGCAACAACUUUUUCAAGGAGUUUGAAACAUGGGUUUGGAAGGCAUCCAGAGAUGCCGAUAAGGCGGGUUCCGACGGUUGGUGGUGGUUGUGGUGGUGGUGGAGGUGAUUAUCCAGCUUGGAGUAGAUUUGGUUAAACUUUUGCACCAAGAGAACCAUUGCAAAGUAAUGAGGGUUUUGGUAUGGAAAUUUGGUUUGUGCCUUGUGGUGAGUUUUUGGAAAAUGUGGGUUUGUGUGUUAUAUAAGUUGUGGGGUUUGCGUUGAAAAAGUCCACAUGGCGUGUUCGAGUUGGCUGAACAGAUGGACACAGAAAAAGAGUUGAAACCAGGUGCGUGUGCCAUUAGGCCCGUUACCAAUUGAAAAUUGUAAAAACCGAGGAGGGACAUUGGCGGCGGUCAAAUGUUCUUAUCUUGUUCGUUUGUACUAAUCCUUGAAAGACACGAUUUGGAGCAAUGCAAUUGGAUCCACUUGUUGUUGCCUUCAAAUGCAAGCUAACAUAUAGGAAGGAUCGAGGAUGGAGAUUGUCUAUUAUUUGUCUUGCAAAGUUGAGCAUCUAAGUAAGUAAUGUUCUUCAAUUCCGAGCAUGUUUCAUAUUAGUGAUGUUACUCAGUUUAAUACGUGAAUAACACAUAUUAAAUGAUAUAGAAGCAUAUAAUGUUGAAUCGAAGUGAUUGUUACAUUUCCCUUUUCACAACAUGUGUUCUAAUUUAUUUCUAAUCUUAAGUUUUGAGAAUUCAAAUAAAAUUAAAAGACAGAAACAAAAAACUAAUGUAGGAGGAGAAAACGAUAAUGAAAGCUACUAUUGUUACUUGAGAGUAGGAACAAUAUCACAUUAGGAUGCUAGUGUCCAACUCAAAACCACUUGUAUCAUGACAUGUAGUGUACCGCCUUGUGUUCAGAGUACACGAAAAAACUCUCCAGAUGCAGCACAUUGGUUCCUUUAUAUAUGUUUUUAUUGGUCGCAGUUGCAGCAGCGGCACAUUGGUUUAUAUAUAUAGUCGGUAGCUUAAACCGUAAUAUUACUUGUAUUGUUUCACGGCUUUACUAUAAUAAGAUUACUUUCUCAAUGUUUUUGCUUUGUUUGUAAAGGUCCUCUCUAUUGCUUGCCAUCAAUUUUUUAUUGCCAAUUAACUGGUGACUAUGAAUGUUCAUAUCAACUAAAAGUUUUAAACGUGUGUGACAAUUUACUCGUUUGCAUGUUAUUAUUUACUUUUUAUUUUUGUUUAAAGUAUGUUUUAAAUUUUUGUUAUUUAAAAAGUUAAAGAAAUUAACAAAAAAAAAAAUGGCCCACUGCGAGUUUUGUUUUGGUUUAUGCCACCGCAGUACUACAAAGCCUCAUUUGUUAAUGACGAUUGACUUGGACAAAACAAGAAAAUUGACAUUCAUUUCUUCCUUCAAAAUACUUUCAAUACAUGAAUAUCAUAUCCAAGUCAAUCCUCUCUAACAAACGAGUCCUGAGUGUUUUUUUGAAAGUUUACGUUUGGCUCAAUCAGUGUUUAAAAUUUCUUCGACAUUGUCGAUAUUUCCAUGAUAAAUAAAAAAAAAUCAAAGAAAGACAUGAAAAUGGGGGUGAAGUCUAAACUUCACCUCAUAUCGGAGGAACUCUUAAGUUUAUGGCUUUUAGGCUAAAAUCGACAAAUAUCGUUAAUAUUUCUUACACAUGUUAAAAAAUGGAGACUUUCUUAUAUUUCGUUCAAACCAAUGUUUGACAAUCUCUAAAACUUCAUUUUAAAUUUCUAUCAUUUCAAAUGAAAGCAAUAUUGAUAUUCGAUAUAUCUGUCAAUAUUUUUUUUUUAAUUUGUAUGUCGAAAUUUCCACCGAUACAGAUAUUUUAAACACUGAGUUCAGUUAGAUUGGUACUAAUAGGAAACGUGGGAAACGGUCAAACUCAUAAGUCCUGAGAGAAGUAAAGGGUCAUCAGAACUCCCAUAUGUAGGGAAGGAAGAGUCUGGAACGAAGGAAAGGAAAGACAAAUUUUAUUCCAUACAAAGUAAAUACUAAAUCCUAAGUCAACGCACGGUGUGGAAAGUGCGUUUACUGAUUUCCUAUUCUAUCCGGAUCUCUUUCACCAAAGUUACCAAAUCAAGUAAUCCGAGCCUUUCAAAUUUCAUUCAACGGUCUACAUUGUAAUAAUUUUUUGUGGUUGGAUGAAAUUUGAAAGAUCCGGAUCACUUAAUAAGAUAGCAUUGAAGGAAGAGAUCCGGAGAGAAUCUCUUUCCCACUUAAAUAGCGUGUAAACAUGCUUCUUCCAAUUUUUUAAAUUACAAUUUGCUACCUGUAGUUUAUAGAAAAGUAAAUUAUUUAAACUAAAAGCUCCCAUUGUCUGAAACACAAAAGAAAAACAAAACAAAACAAAACAAAAAUUUAAGGCUUUUUAGUCAACAUGGUUGAUAUAACUUCUCAAUUUGAUCUCUCAUUAUGAAAAUAAAUUCAAGUGGUCAUUGUAAAUUAUUUUGGUUCUUUCGUGAAAAAUCUAUCCAUAUCCUUGUUAAAUUGUCGCAUGAAUGACCACGUAACAACCUUUUUAGGGUUUUGUGAACCAACCCUGCCACGUAACGAGGAUAUUGGCAGAUUUUUCACGGAAUAAACAAAAUGAUUUACUUAGGACUACUUGUAUCAGUUUUCAUUGUUAAGGAGCAAAGUGAAGGGUUAUGACAUUUUCAUGAAUCAUUUUGACUAACAGGCCAAAAUAUAGGAAACUGUUGCAGUCAUAUUUAGAAUAUGAAUGUGAUUGUAUAAAUCCUAAUGUAUUUAAGGGUAUCUUGGAAUAUUUCCUUUAGUAGAUAUUAUCAUAUUAGAGUUGCAAUCCUAUUAUGAUAAAGAUUUAAUCUAUCCUACUACUAUAAAUAAAGGCAUAAUGGGGUGAAAUACAACACACCUCACAAUUAAAUCUCUCCCUUCUCUCUCUUGCCGCUGGCUUCUCCCUCUCUACUCCCUUAGAAUAGUUCAGUCAAUUAGACCUACAAUACGUUAUCUGCACGCUCUUGCCAAAAGCUAAGGAACUGAAGGAUCGUAGGAGGAGGCUUUCUGCUACAAAUUUCAAAGGCUUUUAUUUAUUUUCUGCCAAUAAAGUACGCUUUUAUUUAUUCCCCAUGAUGCAUGAACCCCCCUAUAUUUAUAUUUUCCUUCAUAUAUAUAUAUAUAUACACACACACACACACACACGUUUCAUGCAUUACGCAACUAUUAUUUUGCUGAGUGGAAUUUGUCAGUCAAAGCAUACAAAUAAAUUAGAAGCAAUUUAGGGUUUUUUUCACACCCUAGAGGUGUCGAAAUAAGAAAAAAAUUGGGAAAUAUGAUGCAUGGCUACGACUUGCUGCCACUGGCACCACCGCUGACCACCGCAGCUAGUCUGCAGCUUAGCCGUGUGGAGCACGCCGUUAGGAUGACGUCGUUGUGAUGUCUAGACUAUGGCAGCAUCCCUUUGGGCUUUGUUGUGCCUACAUGGACACCAAGCUUCGCCUUGGUAAGGGUUACCAUGGGCCUGCAGCCCCUCCAAGCCCAAAACCAAAACUUUUAAGUUGCUGAGCUUUGUCCUAAGUCCUUGGCCCAAACCUGCAGCAAGCUCGCUUGCAGCAAUCCCGUAUCGCUUGCUAGGUUUUGUCUAAGUCUCGGCCCCCUUGCCCGCAUCUUAUGUUGCUGGGCUUAACUUGCCCCAACCCCAAAACCCUGGAGACAGCCUCGGCUGGGCCUCCCUACACCAACCUGCGAGCCUGCUUUAGGCUGGGCUUGCCUCGUGCCUUGUUUUUGGCCCAAACCAGCAACUUUUGCUGCUGGGCUCACCCAGAUCACAUGACCCAGAGCCUUGUAGCCCUCUCACGACCUAAUGGCCUACAGUCGUGCUGCAGGGCUCGUACCCACAUCACAGCCAACCUAUUUUAUGCUGGGCCACGUCACAUUUUUCAACCCAAUGCUAAUUUUUGGCAUUCCCGCGUUAUAAAUCAUACCUAAAUAUUUUUUGGGGUACUUUGGUUUACGCUAAUUAAUUCUAAUUUAAUUAUCGCUUGGUUUAUCACCAACCGAAGCUAAUAUGACCCGUCUAUCAUUAUUUUGCUUCCACGAUCGACCCCGUUUGGUCCCGAUAUAUUGAAUUAAUUAAAAAUGACCAGCAGUUCAUUAAUCUGAUAAUUAAUUCAAAAUUAUUGACCUGAAAAUCAUUUUUGGACAUUAAGAUUCAAUAAUUUAUUUUUAUACUUUGAACCGUUGACAUCCUUUCGUUGUCCCAAAGCUCUCACACUUGAGUUCCCGAAGCAACUCAAAUCCACUACACUUAAAUCAGCAUAUUGCAUUCUAUGUUCUUAUAGGAACCUCUCCUUUAUGAACUAAUCGUUCAUAAAACUAAAUUGAACUUGUAGUUUCAUAUUUAGUGCCUUUGAAAUCCAAAGUUUCAUUCAAAACUUACCACAUGAAACAUGUAGCUUUCAUGCUUAAAUUAAACCAAUACAUGUUUAUAAAACCCGAUGGCUUUCCAUAUGACUAACCACAUUUUUGUACCCUCUGUUUUAGGGACAUGUCGAACUUGAACAAACUCGAUUUCACUGCUUUGGAAGUAUCUGGAAGAAACUACUUGAAGUGGGUUCAAGACAUGAAGCUCCAUCUCAUUGCAAAAGGUAUUAGAGCCACCAUCGAGGAACCUAUCGAUGAUGAACCCAUCAACGAAGCUGAGAAAGCUAUUGUUAUGAUCUUCAUUCGAAGACACAUCCAUGAUGCACUGCAGACGGAGUACCUCGCUAAGGAGGAUCCACACACCUUCUGGCUUGCUCUGGCCGAUCGUUUCGAUCACCAAAAAGACAUUUACUUUCCUGAAGCAAGAUACGAAUGGCAGCAUUUACGCUUCCAAGACUUUAAGUUCGUGAAUGAAUACAACUCUGAAGUUUGUAGAAUCCGAUCACUGCUUAAGUUCUGUAAAGUGGACUUAACAGACGAGGAUCUACAUUUUUGAAAAUGAAAUCAACAUUGUUUUAUCAUUUGAAAUGUGAAUUUUUACUUCAUUUUUGCAAUAUAAUAAUUCUGUUUUACAAACUAAAAUCAAUAAAGAUACAACAAUGUUCUGUACACAGUGAAUUAUACAAUUGAUCUUCUAUUUCAUUUGCUGUGGAAGGCCAUUGAGCAAUUGAUUUCUCCCAGCCAAAACUUUGUCGAAGACGGAAUCCACCUCCUUUCCCAAACCGUCCACAGACUUCUCAAACACCUCUAAUUUUCUUCUCAAUUCCUCGGCUUCUGCUCCGCUGUUCUUUCCAAUUCCGAUUGCUGCUGCAAGGCCCGUCACUGCAUCGUUAAGCUCCUUCACCUCCUUCAAUCCACCAUUUCUCUCCAUUAUUUCACUCACUCUCGAAUUCAACCCCGAAAGCAACGAGUCAACAAACCUUCCACCCGAAUUCCUCACCUCCAAGUAUGGCUUGGCAUUCCCAGCUAAUCCAGACAUCAAAAUCCCACCUAGCCAGAAUACCAUUCCCUGCAUAACCCCCAAAGCUUGUUGAAUCACUGUUUCCUUGCUAAUCAAGCAACUUCCUUUCCCAACUUGUUCAUUUCCUUGGAAUCUGAUUCCCUUGCUCAAUCCCUUUGGUUGGAAUUGGAUUGCCUUCAGAUGCUCCAAAGCCGAAGAAGGCGACGAUUUCUCCACCAGGCUCAAACCAUGAGCCAGCGAAACCCUAGCCUUCCCAAGAUUAGACAGAGAAGAACUGACAGAAUUGCAAAGCUCCAACAAACUCAAACUGUAUUUGAGAUACUCAUCCACAGAAGCGGCUUCCCAUCUGCUCAUGGGAAAAUCUACUUCCACAACCAGCUUUGCAAAAGCACUUUGGACGAUGGGUAGGAGCUCAAAGCACUGUAGAAUCCAUGGAAAUGAUGGAAUCUCUGACCCUGCAGAUUUUGAUGCACUCAGAGGCAACAACUUUUUCAAGGAGUUUGAAACAUGGGUUUGGAAGGCAUCCAGAGAUGCCGAUAAGGUGGGUUCCGACGGGUGGUGGUGGUGGUGAUUCUCGAGCUUGGAGUAGAUUUGGUUAAACUUUUGCACCAAGAGAACCAUUGCAAAUUAAUAAGGGUUUUGGUAUGGAAAUUUGGUUUGUGCCUUGUGAGUUUUUGGAAAAUGUGGGAUUGUGUGUUAUAUAAGUUGUGGGGUUUUGGGUUAAAAAAGUCCACAUGGCGUGUUAGUUUGACUGAACAGAUGGACACGGAAAAGAGUUGAAACCAGGUGCGUGCCAUUAUCCCGUUGCCAAUUGAAAAUUAUAAAAAACUGAGGAGGGACAUUGGCGGCGGUCAAAUGUUCUUAUCUUGUUUGUUUCUACUAAUCCUUGAAAGAUUUUAAGACACGAUUGGAGAACUGCAAUUGGAUCCACUUGUUGCCUUCAAAUGCAAGCUAACAUAUAGGAAGGAUCGAGAAAUGGAGAUUGUCUAUUAUUUGUCUUGCAAAGUUAGCAUCUAAUUAAGUGAUAUGCUCUUUAAUCUGAACACAUUUUAUAUAAGUGAUGUUACUUAGUUUGGCACGUGCAUAACACAUAUUAAAUGACUUAAAAAUGCAUAUUGUUGGACAGAGUGAUCGUUGCAUUUUUCUUUCAUCAACAUGCGUAUUUUAAUUUAUUUCUAAUCUUAAAUUUUGAGAAUCUAAAGAAGUUAAAAGAUAGAAACAAAAAAAUGUGUAGGAGAAAACGAUAAUGAAAGCUACUACUGUUACUUGAGAGUAAGAACGAUAUCCCAAUAGAAUGUUAUCGUACAACUCAAAAUCACCUGUAUCAUGACACAUGAUGUACCGACUUGUGUUUUGUGUACACGAAAAAUUCUCUCCAGAUGUAGCAAAUUGGUUCCUUUGUAUAUGUUUUUAUUGGUCGCGGUUACUGCAGCAGCACAUUGGUUUAUUAGUCCUGUAGCUUAAACCAUAACGUUACUUUUAUUGUUUCACAGCUUUACUAUAAUAAUAUUACUUUAUCAAUGUUUUUGCUUUGUUUGUACAGCUCCUCUCUAUUGGUCGCCAUCGAUUUUUUUAUGCCAAUUAACUGGCAAACUAUGAUUGUCCAUAUAAUCUAAUCGUUUUAAACACGCGCGACAAUUUACUAUUUUGCACGUUAUUAUUUAUUUACUUCUUGUUUAAAUUAUGUUUUUAUAUUUUUUUUAUUUAAAAAGUUAAAUAAAUAAACAAAAACACUGCCCACUACGAGCUUUGUUUUUAUUUAUGUCAUCGUGGUAGUACAAGGCCUCCCUUGUUAAAGACGAUUGGCUUGGACAAAACAAGAAAACUGACGUUCAUUUAUUCUUUCAAAAUGUCUUUAAUACAGUGAAUAUCAUAUUCAAGUCAAUUUCUCUAACAAACAAGUUCUGAGUGUUUUUUUUUGGAAGUUCACGUUUGGCUCAAUCAGUGUCUGAAAUUUCUUUGAUAUUAUCGAUAUUUCCAUGGUAAUAUAAAAAAAAUCUUAGAAAGAUAUGGAAAUGGAGGGUGAAGUCUAAAUUUCAUCUCAUAUCGAAGAAACUCUCAAGUUUAUGCUAAAAUCAACAGAUAUCGUAAAUAUUUCUUACGCACAUGUUAAAUAACGGAAAAACUUUUAUAUUUCGUCAAAACCAAUGUUUGACAAUCCCUAAAAUUUCAUUUUAAAUUUCCAUAAUUUUUAUCGAAAGUAACUUAUAUCGAUAUUUGAUAUAUCCGUUGAUAUUUUUAUAAAUUUGCAUGUAAAUAUUUUUUCCCAUACCGCUAUUUUAAACAAUAGGCUCAAUUUGAUUGGUACUAAUAGUAGAUGUGGGAAACCGUCAAACUCGGAAACAGAGUUAUGAGAGGAGUAGAGGAUCCUCAGAACUCCCAAAUGUAGGGAAGGAAGAAAGAAUCUGGAAGUAAGGAAAGGAAAGACAAAUUUUGUUCCAUACAAAGAAAACACGUACAGACUACAAGCUAUGGCUGUACUGAAGCUAAAUACUAAAAUCCCUAGUCAACACACGUUUUUGUUUUCCAUGAUGCACCUAUUUGCACCCACUGAACACAAAACUGCGUGCGUGGAAACGUGCAUUUACCACUUAAUUAGUAAACGUGCUUCUUUCAGUUUUUUAAGUUGCAAUUUUGCUAACUGUAUUUUAUAAAGUCAAUUGUUUAAACUAAAAGCUCCCAUUGCCUUAAACACAAAAAGAAAAGAAAAGAAAAUAUAAGGCUUUUUAGCUAAAAUGAUUUUUGAAACUGGGAUAACUUCUUAUUCUGAUUUUUGACAAUGAAAAUCGACACAAGUCGUUGAUGAGUUUGUCCACCGUAAAUAAAUUUGAUUCUUCUGUGAAAAUUAUGUCAAUAUCAUUGCUAAAUUGUCACAUGAAUGACUAGGUGACCACCCUUUUAUGGGUAUUCUUGUCAAAUCAACCCAUCUACUUAAUGAAGAUAUUGACAGAUUUUUCACAUAAAGAACAAAAUGAUUUACCGUGGAUAAACUUAAGGACGCUUUUUAUCGAUUUUUGUUGUUAGAGACCAAAGAGAAUAGUAUGACAAUUUCAAAGAAUAUUUUAGCCAAAAUAUUAAAGCUUAUUUUCAUACUUAAUUGGGAAACAAAAGUGAAUUACUUGACACUUUAUAAAGAUCAAGGAAAACCAGGAGCAUCAUCUCCAGAUCCUCUUUAUGAGAAUCCUCAAAUCGUGUCCGUUCAUCGUAUAUCGUGCGACCAAUUUUUGUCAAGUUCUAUUUAUAUUUAAUUUAAAAUAAAAGUAUUUAAAAUAAUUUCCGACUAUACGAUUACAAUGAAUGAAUACGAUUUGAGGAUCCUAGUGUCACGGGCCAUAUGUUAAGUCAUCCCGUGACACUAGGAUCCUCCUGACAAAGCUUUCUCGGAGUUUAUGAACGGGAAUGAGGAUCCUUUCCGGAUCCUCAAAUCGUAUCCUUUCCAGAUCCUCAAAUCGUAUUUGUUCAUCAUACAUCGUGUAACCAGAAAUUAUUUUAAAUACUUUUAUUUAAAAUUAAAUAUAAAUCGUACCUGACAAAAAUUGAACGCACAAUGUACACAACUCUUGCACAACAAAUUCUAAAGCAAAAAUCAUUUUCUUUCUCUUCCUGUAAAAUGUUUAUGAACAGAAAUUAGAAAAUGGAAGGAAUCUACUACUGCCUAAGAACACACCACAUGAGCACCCCAGCGCGCCUCUGUUCAAUACUUGCGAAGUCGAAGCACUAUCCUGUUACCAAAGAGUCAACUUCUAAGUGGCUUAGCCUUGCGUAUGUGACCCAUACUAUUAACAAGAUCUUUCCGGGUACAUACAGGGAAUAUAUUUAUCUUCUUGAGCACUUUCAACCGCCAUAAUACAUAUGGGAAACUAAGCUGAUCACGAGAAGUGAACCGAACCACCUCGUUGAACCAGAGGCACAUAAACAUAUUAGUCAAUGGUGUAUGCUCCCUCACGAUAACAGAUGCUUCAGAUAAAGCUGCACAGGUUAACGACGCAAUGGUUCAGAAUAGGAACAAAAUGCAAGACAAUGAGAUCACCAGCUUUGUAGUUUUGGAGUUUUUCAUAUUAAGUAUGGCUAUUUCUUAAUUCUCAAGUAUCUAAAUAAGCUUGGUGGCAGCAGACUGUGAGGAAGGGCUCAUAACCCACUUUAAACACAAAUUGGGAAAAUAUGAAUCUGAAGUAGACUGAUGGGGAGCGGACUGGCUGCCGGAAUCAGUGUAUGGGUAUGAUGCGCAGAGGAGCAAGUGAAAAUAUGCAGAAUUGAGGCAAUCAACAGAUUGUUCAAAUUACGAACAGACUGAUAAGAAAACAUGAAUAAACAGAUAUGAAACUUGAAUAAACAGAUUGAUUUUAUAUUUCGACUAUUCUUCUCAAUGUCAAAAUCUUAAGAUAUUUACAUUCGGUAAAACCCAGGAGUAAGUCACCUUUUAUGCAGAAUUAAGGAAAGCAAUAAGGCAUGCAGUAGGCUUAACUACUCCUACUUCAAAAAGAUGUACUCAACAAAGAAGCAAAGGAAUUCAAGAAUUGCUACAAUCAUGAAGCAUCAUAAAUAGCAAUAUUUCAUAAGAGAGAUCAAGCCAGAACAAGUGAAAGAAAAAGAAGCAUACCCUUCUUUCCGUUGAACCUCUUGUCUUCUGGCAAGCCAUCAUGGCGGUAUUGAGUCAAUUGCACCUCAACUUCUUCUGGUUUGGCCUUGUUUUUUUUCACAACAGCCUUCGCUUCAUCAUAAACGCUACUGCGAGCUCCAUGUUCUGAGAUAGCAAGUACAGAGUUUGAACGCCAAAGUAGGGCUUCGAGCACACCUAAGGGGUCCCUCCUAAAUUGGGACUUUGAAUCUACCCAAAUGGAAUACUUUGCAUGAGGAAAAAGACGAUGGGGCAACAUCUAACACCAGAAAAAAUAUACAAAGUCUCAGAUAAAUUUCCACAUACACCUAUACAUGAUAUUUGGCUAGCACUUGUAACAGAACUUUUUGGAUAUUUGACAUUUAGCUUAAACCUUUUAUAUCAUGAAGAACAGAUCCAGCGUCCCUUUGAUUAAUAUUGUUCUGCUUAAAUUAUCAUACUUUACUUGACUUAUUAAUGUAAUUACAGAAAAUAGGUUCCAUGUUGCAAUAGCUUUCAUGUAUCAUGAAAACAAAAAUGUUUGCAAAAAUUAAAAAAGUAAAGAAAAUGACAGAUGACAAGAGAUAACAACAUGAUCAGGAUAAAUUUUUUAAAUUUAACUUAAAUAAACUAAAUGACAAUAGAGAAAAAAAUAAUAAUUUAACCUAACCCUGAAAGUUGUUACCUUUGGGAUCUUUCCAUUUAACCUUUGGUCUGAAAAGGGAAGAUCUUUAACAACCACAAUGCGCCAUUUCCCAAUAAAUCCAUUCCCAUCAAUUCUAUGUUCAGCCGCUUCCUGUGUACUUAGAGUAAUUUCAUCCCAAAAAGCAACAUAGCAAACCUGCAUCCAUUCAGUACUCAUAAGAAUUUAUAACUUUGAAGCUAAUUAGUAAUAUUUGACUGAAAAGACAAAAACCUUUCGAAGUGAUGCCUCUGACAUUCCAAUAGGCUGAUAAAGAUCAUCUCCACCACCAAAUGCACAUGUGGACACUACAACCUUGCAACUAUCCAUGUACCCCUUGUCUUCAUUUGAGAUUUUAAACCCUCCAUUUUCACUGUAGAAACCACAGUUCAUAGUAACAGUUUCAUUUACCUGUGAGCAACAAAUUUCUAACAAUAUGAACACCGCCUCACAGUACAAAUUAUUAUUAUUAUUUCUGUUUAAAAUCGGGCAAAAAGUAAAGACCUCGAUGUGCUUCACAAUGAAAAUAACAUCAACAUCAAAACCUAAAGAAGUUAGAUGCGUCUUAAAACUUGACCUUUAACAUGACAAAGACCAAAUAGAAUACUAAAUCAGUUCAAAGUUUCAAAACAAUGAUGCAGUUUAUAACCUUAAACGAUUUUGCUCUCUGAUCCAGAGUUUGACUUCCAGUAAAUGAAUUAAAUCUUGGGGCCUCUGUGUGCUCCUGAGAAAGACUGUUGUUCCCUCCUGAAAACGGAUUGUCAUUCUCUGAUAUGUAUACCACUUUCUUAACAGGUGUAUUGGAAUCUUCGCGCAUAGGAAUUUCCAGAUGCUCAAGUUCUUCAGGAGAUAAGAUGUCCAAACAACCUAACAUUAUCCGCAAAUUUUCGUCACAUUUCAAAAUGCGUCAAUAUUCCAAUCCUAACUAAAAUAAAAUUUUCCAACUACAGUAAAAUGCACAACCCAAUUAUCAGUAACACUAAAGAAACAACAAAACAAGCUCAGCAAUCACUCCGAAUCGUUAAACUAAUGUGGGUGUCAAGCAAUGUAUGAUAAUCGGCAUUUGGGCAGUCACAUUAAUCUAACAGGCACAAUUCUAGCUUACACUCAUUGAAAUUUACAACGUCAUUAGAAAAGUAAGUAACUUACAACACUAUGCAGAUUGCAGAAUCGUUUCCUUAUAUUCUUUAGAAAGAAAAAUUAAAGAUUUUGAACUCGUUCUGCACACAAUUUCGAUUACCCAUUGUACAAUUGCAUCCGAAUCGUAUGGCAAUUAAGCAAGAGUUGAACUUACGUUGUCUAACGCCUCCAACAACCCGAGUCGUAUGAUCGAGCCGAUUCAAAUUCCCAUCCGAUUUCUUCUCCAAACUCGAGUUCUUCACCGUUUCCGAGCCAACCAAACUCGGCUUUUCCGGCUCACUGAGUUCCGACUUCGCCACCAAACUCGGCUUCCUACCGAUCCUCGAAACCUCGUAUAAGAGCAACCCAAGGGCCGGGAGAAAAAUGAGAAGUGCCCAGUACCUGACGAGCUUUCUAGCGACUCGGUGGAGGAACUCGUUCUUGAGUCGGUGGCCGAGUUUCUUGCGCUUUCUUCGAACUCGGACUCGCAUCCGGCCGAGUUCGUCCGCUUCGUCGUCGGAGACUGAGAUUGAUAUGCUGUUGUUGCUGAACAUUGACGACGACGGCUUCGACCGCGGAAAUUGAAAUCAGUGACUUGGAAGUGGAUUUGGGUAAAUUACGGGCUUUGAGAUCAAAUUUUGCAAAGUAUGAGCUUCUUUUUUCUGCUGUGAAGUUUCUCAGCGUAGGAUAGUAUGAGCCGGAUUCGAUUUCUUACGGUAUUUUUUUUAGGAAAACUUUGGAAAAUUUCAAAAAAAAAUUUAGUUUUAAAAUGACAAAUAAAGAGAAUAGUACGAGAAAAAUGUAAAAAUAUAGUUUUUUAUUAAAAGUAAACAGUACAGGAGUAUUUCGUUAAAUUUUUAAUUUUUUUUACUUAAAUUGAAAUUUUGUUGGGUAAAUUACAUAGAAACCCCUCAAGUUUGAGGUCUAUUACAAUCAUAUACAACAUCUUUCAAAUAUUUCACUUUCAUACCUCACGUACUAUUUUAUUUCAAAAUAACAUCUUCGUUAGAUUUUUCAUCCAAUGGUCUGUUAUAUGCUGACAUGGCUGCCAUGUGGCAAAAAAAAUAAUUUUUUAUACAUUAACAAUAUUAUAAUAUUAACCCUAAAAAAAAAAACCAGAAAAACUUGAACCCAACCCAGAUCCCCUUCCUUCCCCCUCACCUCUCUGCAACUCCUAUUUACAAAAUCCCUUCCCCCAGAAGAAGAAGAAACCAAACUCGUCCGUUCCCCCCCCCCCAUGACCCACUUGCCUUCCCCCCACCCCCAGGCGACGGUUGCAAGUAUUUGGGUUGUGGUUUUGCAAGUAUUGUGUUGUAGGGGUUUCUAAGAAAACCAGUAAAAAAAAGCAGAGAAGUGAUUAAAGGUGGGGGCUUUGAGGUGGGAGAGGUGGAGGGGAAUAUGGGUUUUGGGGGAAGGAGAUGCGUGGAGGCAGGAGACGGAGGGUGGCAGGGGAAGAGGCGAGAGAGGGGUGGAAUUCGAAACUCAAACCCUAGAGAGGGAGAAGGAAGGAGGGAAUUGAAAAAAGGGUGUCAGGGAAUGUGUUGGGGUUGGUGUGGAGGAAGAAGAAGAGUGGGAGAGAUGGGUAAGGGGAUGGGGACGGACGGACGGGAAGGAAGAGAUGGGUAAGGGGGUGGGGGUGGGAUAUGGGGUUGAGGGGAAGGGGAUCUGGGUUUGGAUUUUUAUUUUUAAUAGGGUUAAUAUUGUUAAUGUAUAAAAAAUUAUUAUUUUUUGUCACGUGGUAGCCACAUCAGUACAAAUGUGGCAGUCACGUUAGCAUUUAACAAACAAUUGGAUGGAAAAUCUAACGGAUGUGUUAUUUUGAAAUAAAAUAGUACGUGAGGUAUAAAAGUGAAAUGUUUUAAAGAUGUUGUAUAAGGUUGUAAUAGAUCUCAAACCUGAGGGGUUUUUAUGUAAUUUACCCAAUUUUUGUUUGAUAAUUAUAAGGUUUAUAACCUCUGUAAUUUAUUAUUUUUAUAAGAAUGUUCUUCUAUUCGGUCUCUAAAUUAGAAUUUGAUUUAAAGAUGAUGAUUUGAUGUUCAACAGGGUUUAAAAUUUCUGUAAGAGCUAUCGGAGCUUGAUCUCCAACAAAAUAGGUUUAUUAAGAGCUCGUUUGGAUGUACUUUUAAAUGAGUGAAAAUAUUUUUAGUUAAAAUGUUUUUGGAACUCAUCCGUAGUAAAAAUGCAAAUGAAUAAUGAAAAAUCACUUAAAAUGCUUUCUAGAAUGAGCACAUAACUGGUGCUUCAUGCAGAAAGUACUUGAAGUGCUUUUGAAGCAGAAAAAAUAUUUUCUCUAAAAAUAUUUUUGAUCAUUCUAAAUGCACAUCUAAUCGAGCCAUAAUAAUUUCUCAUGGGGGUUGAUUUUCGACUUUGGUGUGAAUUAAACGACACGUCUGUUUGUUAAUUUUUCACUGAGGUUAAUUUGGGGUUUUUAGUCAACCCUACUUAUGGGUUCUAGAGACCUGAGAGCCACUACUAGGGUUCUGGGGUUUGCCGUUAGAAAUCGUUCGUCGCCGGCAGCAUCUAACAUGGUUCUACUCUGCAGCUCAAAGACCCCCAGGUUAUACUCUUUAAUAUUUUCCUCUCCAUUUGCUUCCAGAAACAAGAGAUUAGUGAUUGAAAAUGUAAAACCCUCACUUUCUUCUCUUCAAAACCAGUUGCUUUACAGACCCAUCACCUCAAAAAUCCCAGAAAACCAACACAAUUUCACCGUCGAUUACCUCAUAAGGUCAUGUGGGUUGUCCCCAAAAGCUGCAAUUUCAGCGUCCAAAAGGCUCGAAUUGCAAAACCCAGAAAGGGCAGACUCUAAUGUGGCUCCGAAUAUUGGGCUGUUGAGAGAAUUGGGUGUUUCCCGAUCAUGCAUUUCUCUGAUGCUAGCUCAAUGCACCCAAACUCUGAUGCUAAAGCCUGAAAAUUUUGGUAAAGUUGUGGAUGAGGUGAGGGCUAAGGGACUUGAUCUUGGAAAAGCGACUUUCAUGUUUGCACUACGCUCAUUGUCUGGUAAGAAUAGUAAGUUGAUAUGGGAUCGAAGUCGGGAAGUUUACGGGAGUUGGGGUUGGUCUGAGGAUGAUAUUCUCUUUGCUUUCAGGAAAAACCCGCAGUGUAUGAAUCUAUCUGAGAAAAAAAUAACGCUAGCAAUGGAUUUUUUUGUCAACAAGAUGGGAUGGCCAUCGGGACUACUCAUAAAGUGCCCAGCGGCUUUGUGCCUAAGUUUGGAGAAUAGAAUCAUCCCAAGGUGUUCAGUUGUUAAAGUUUUGUUAUUGAAAGGAUUGAUAAAUGAAAAUUUUAGCUUGAGUUAUGUGUUAUUGCCGGUGGAGAAGCAGUUCUUGGAGAGAUUUGUGACCAGAUACCUAGACCAAGUACCUCAACUGUUGAGUUUGUAUCAAGGGAAAGUUGAAAUCGAAGAUGUAUGACGUCCAUAAUGUUAAACUGGAUGAUAUUCUAACAGUUUUAGCCAUUUGAUUCUGUACCACUCACUUGUAGCAGCUAGCUUUCGGAGCUAUAUUGUAAGGUACGUCGUGUCCUGUAUCUUACAAGAUUUGUUCGUAAGUGAGGUUUUCUUAAUAAAGUCUGCUUUAAUUAUGCAUACUUUCUCAUUAGGAAACCAAUUCAUAUGAGUUGGGGUUGCCCUGCUCUCCAUGGUCAUGGUGCCACCAAUCUUUGCAGACUUGCAGUACAAGGCUCUUGACUUUGGCUUGGUCUGCAAAAUGUGCUUACAUCAAUUUGGGUCAUUGCAGGUGUCGUUGGAUCAAUCUCAACAUCCACGAGGCUAGAAUGAGUGGGAGUAUUUGCCAGGAGUAAGUUGCAGGUGUCGUUGGAUCAAUCUCAACAGCUUAAAAAGAAAAAAGUCCCCUUACGUUACAACCAGAGGGGGAGAGAGAGAGAGAGUGAGAGGGCAACUUGGAGGAUAUCAGCAAGGUCUAUAUUUUGCGCAUAAUCUUCAGAGAGAGACCUGCACAUUGUCUGGUUUGCUUGCUUUCUUUCCCUUUUUGUUUUUUUUUCCAUUCGUAUUCGAAGUGUACAAAUAGAAACCGAAAUAGACUUCUCAUUUUUCAGACUUGAGUUGGUUUUCUUGUAUUUGUGGAGAUGAAAUUUCAUUCUUGGGUUUUCUUCUAUUAAUUGUCAAUUAGCGAAACCCUAAAACCUGCUGCACAAUGCCAUAGGUUUGAUGGACAAGGAAGCCAAAACUGUACUUGGUUUUUAUUUCUUUUCCCAGAAAAACUGAUGCUCGAGGAGGACUUUAAUUAAUUUAGGGUUUGAUCCAGGACAUUGGGUUGUUGAAUGGGUAGUUAAAAAGAUAGCAACUUGUCAUUGGAAGUAUAUAUUUUUCUAUACUAAUCAAUUUAGUAUGUUAUAUCAUCUUUGAGAUCGUUUCAAUUUAAUAUGUAUUGUCUCAAAUUUUAUAAAAAUCACAAAUUGUGUUAUUAAGUGAGGUUUUGUUUAUAGUUGACAGAAAGCCUGCUUGAAGUAUGUAUACCUUUUUCCCGUUAGAAAACCAGUUCGUAGGAGUUGGGGUUGCCCUGCUCUCCGUGGUCGCGGACUCACGGUGCCGUCAGUCUUUGCUGACUUGCAGUACAUGGUUCUUCUGUAACGACCCGUCCUUGAAUUAUAGUAUUUUAAAUCCUUAGAGUGGGAGAAUGACGAAAAUACCCUUACUGAGUAUAUGUUGACUUAGUCGUCGGGCACGUGAUGUAUUUAUUUAGUAUAUUAUAUAGUAUUUGUCGCUACGAACGCGUGGCACAAGCAAAACGAGAUUUGGACUUCAAAUGAAGUUUUUAUGGAACUCUGAUUGCUUAGAUGGGUUUUAGUGGGACCCACGAGGAAUUGCCGGUGGACGAAGAGAACUCUGCACCGUUGAUUGGUGGGAGCGCCAGUGGACGAAGUGCGUGAAUCCGUUUUGGAUCGGAAGAAAAUUUUAAACCUAGGAAAGGAUUCUUCCAAUCCGAAACGAAUUCGUGCAUGCAAAGCUCGAAUUUUGGCAGAAUGGAAAAUGGUGUUGUGGCCCGUGGUUUUUAGCAAGAAGAAUGGUGGCGGUGGUUUAGAAUAAGCAAGUGUCACCGUCACACUUUCGAUUGAGAAGUUUGCCCGUGUUCCUGUGUCCGCUGCUCACCCCGAGAGCGAAUCGUUGCUUAUUCAGUUGAAAGUGUGAAACCAAGCACUUGGGUUCGGUGCGGAGCUUUGCCCCGCCUCCUUCUUUGGUUCUGAAUUCAUGUCCUACUUCUCCGGCUUUGGAACUUUGUUCUUGCUGGUUACCGGGUAGUGGUUAUAGCAGUGAGGUUUGGCUUCUCCGUUCGGUUUGUAGGUUUAUUGGUGAUAAUUUUCAGUUUUGUUUUGGUUUUUAUGAUGUUGUUGUUAUGUGGUUUAGCAUUGUUAUUUAUUUGGGACUUGUGAAGGUCUGUGUAUGACCUUGAUAUAGGGGUGAAUAAUUGUUAUUUUGUGGUGUGAAUCUGACGGUGUGGAUUGGCGGCCAUUUAUGGCUUUCAAGCAACUGCGACGGGUGAUCUCUCAGCUAGGCUUGUAGAGUUUUCUCUAUUAGCCACCUUUGGGCCUCCACUAUUUGAAUCCUUGUGGAGGAUUUGUAUUUGGGUUGAAACCGUUUCAUGUUUAUUUCCUUUGUGUACUAUUUGUAGGCUGUUUUUUUUUCUGUAUGCCGAUCUUUGCUGACAUCUGUCCGUUUGAAUUUUAUUUUAUAAAAUUUCUCUACUUCUGAAUAAAAAAAAAGUGUCACCGUCACACUUAACACACAUUAGCACCCUCGGGCAACAGGUGAUGGAAGAAAAAAAAUUGUGAAUUCACUUUGCUAAACAGAAAAAGCCGAACUUUGGCAGUAAUUAAGGGCAAUUUUGUCAAAUCACUAUUAUAAACAGUGCUUUUCAAUUUCGUUUUAGCAUAGAAUAAUCUCAACUUCUCAUAUUCGUGUCAGUUGCACGUAUUUUUAUUUUGACAACUUAUUGCCCUACUUAAGUAUCGGUUAACCAACAUGGAAAAGGAUCCUCUUCGGAUCCAUUUUGUGAGAUCCUAAGGAUCUUAACAUCUUAAUCGUUCAUCGUACAUCGUGCUUUAAGUUUUCGUCAGAUACUAUUUGUGUUUAAUUUUAAAUAAUAAAAAUUAAAUGAUUUCUGACCGUACGAUACACGGUGAAUGAUUAAGAUGUGGUCGGGAAUUCUCGGAUGAGAUCCAAUUCCAACCAACGUAAAAAUAAUGAACUACGUAUUGAAGCAUAAAAUAUGUACAAGGCUAUUCUUGAAAUUUCAUAUACAACUUUUACCAAAUUUGUACACAACGGUUAAUGUUUAUUUUUUAUCGAAAAAUUGUGUUGCGAAAAAUAUUAAAAUAUAUGAGAUUUCUAUGUCCUUAGAUGUUACAUUCUUAAAAAAAAUUGCACUUACCACAAAAGUUGGCACGCCCAAGCUACUAUGUGCUACAUUAAAAGAAUCACAACCAUCAAAUUAUUGGAGGAAAGUUAGUAGGUGAAAAAUUAUGAUUCUAAUUGUAUCAAAUUCUUCCUUUUGCAAAAUUACUUUUUAUUUUUACAUAUAACCUAUGAAUGUCGAAGCAGUGUUUGGAUUGGGAGUGGAGUUGUAUGUUGAACCAUGUUUUAGUGUGUGUCCUUAAAAAUAAAAAAAGUUGGCUACAAAUUUGUUAGCAAAAGAUAGUGUCAUCAAAAUAUUUUUAGUUAAACUCUCUUAAUUUAUUUAGCAAAUGGCUCAACUCAACAACAAUUAACCCGUGAAAUCUCGACAAUGUGUAGUGUGCUCAACUCAACAACAAUAGAAUAGAACCGGCAAAAAGUAUGUUGAAAAAGAAGAAGCAAAAAUGAAAAAUAAUAGAAGGUACAAGAAAAGGAACACAAAAGACUUGAACUUCUUACACUAUGAGGUUGAAGGAGAUUUAGUAAAGAGUUGGGGAAAUUUCCCUCAUGCAACAUGCAUUCUUAUCCUAUUUUAAAAAGACAUAUUUUUAUUUUUGCCUCUUUUCCUUCUUUGUUAUUUCUGUUUGGACAUGUCAACUGAAGACCUAUGGAUGCUCUGAUUAAAAAAUACGAUUAUGAGACAAAUACUCAAGGCAAAAGAGGUAGAUGAAGACCUAAGAAGAUUUGGAAAGAGACUCUAAGAAAAUACAUCGAGUACUUGGAUCUAAUGCAAUACUUAGCACAAAACCGAACGCAAUGGCAUUUUAGGAUUCAUAUGGCUGAUCUUACUUUGUAGAAUAAUGCUUUGUUGUUAGUUUGUUUGUUUCCUUCAAUGUUUAUUCGAUAAUUAUCCCGUAAUUAAUUUCCGUUUCUGUUUUUUUGGUUACGGAAACCCUAUAUAUAAAUACCUUUUUUGGUUUCUGGAUAAGUAAGCCCUAAAAAUAAUUUCCUUUUUUUGCUUGUUGGUGCAUGCACAAAUAAAGAAAAAGAAUUAAAGAUAUUAUUGCCCCCAUAUACCCAAGAACAAUCAUAGGGCAAACAUACAAGGGAAGGAAUUCUGGACAUAUGCAGCCUGUGCUAUAAAUACCUCUCUAGCCCUGGCUCAUAUAUCAUACCAAUCCUCUUCUCUAUAUUAUCUUGGCUAUAGGUAUUGUCUUAUUCCUAAUACCCUGAGCCGCCAUGGAUUUCAGCAUAGCCACCUCCAAGAACUCGUCCAAACAAACCCGAACGAAUAAUCUGUCCAAACAACGAUUGCGGCGCAAACUAAUGAGCCUGUCCAGAGACGUACGGGAGCUCAAGGAGGCAACAGGGAAAGAAGUCACAUUUUAUGUAGAGACUAAGGACAAGAAGCUGUUUUGUGUCACGGGGCAACACCGUGUUGAAGACAUGCUAGCCCAGCAUGUCGCUAAGGUGGAGGUUUCGGACGACCAGGAGUUAUCAGAGAGAAAAACCCUAGGCCAAGUGGUGGAUCAUGACAAGUGUGAUCCGCAGUGGAUUAAGCCGAUUAAGACCAUGGGAGAGGAGGAGCUUAAGCUGUACAAGAUAAGCUUGUUGGAAGUGAAGAAAGGUAUGGAGAAGGCUACCGAACAGAAGUCCACAGCUGCUGGUGGUAGCAGUGGUUUGACUUCUGAUCGUGAUGGCAGUGCUACUGCCACUGUCUCCCGUGAGCGUCGAUGUGGAUUAGGACAACGUCGCAUGAGGCCUGGUUGUGAGUGAGGCAGAAGUUCAAUAGAUGUGUAUGCUUUGGUAGCUAUGGCUACUCCACAGUGUUUUUGUUUCUUUAAAUUUGUUGCUUUCAAGAGAUGAGGGAGAGGGAUAUGUUUGGUUGAUUUGGUAUGGGGGUUAAGAGUUGUUUCUUGUUUUCCAGUUCGACCAAAAAAUAAUAAUGUUGAAUUUUGGUUUUCAUUUUCGAGAAGAUUGGCUGCCCUGCUUGUGUUCUAAUUAGAAUAACUUUUAUGUUAUAGUAAUAAAUAGAUGUUGAAUGUUUUGCUCUUUUUUAUCAGUAUUCCAAUUGAAAAUUCUUCAAUAAUCUUCUUGAAGUAAAUAUAAUUAAAAUUUUGGGUGAUGUAAACUAGUAUACAAAAGUAAAAUCAGUGUUCUAGUUAAUCACAUUUUGUAGUGUUACCUGAACGAAUUUUGUAAAUCGUCGUGUAUAGAAAUUCAAAAGAUAGUCGGGGUAGGUUGGAUAAGAAAUGAAGUAGAUGAAAUUAUCAUAAAAACCGUGAAUUAUCACAUUAAGGGCAUUUUUGGGAUUUCAUAUAUACACAACGUUCAACGAAAAUGAGUUUUCUUACAAAUAAAAGAAAUUGGCAUAGAUACGGAAAUUCCACGUUUGAGAUUUUACGCUUCUUAAAAAACACACAUUCUGUCUUUUAGUAUUAUAGUUUAGUAGUAUUUUUCUUCACUUGUAAGUGAAAGGUCUUAGGUUUGAUUCUAGUCAAAGGUGAAUUUGAACCACAUUAUUACUAACCUAUUGUAAGGCUAAGCCUACAUACUCCCGUAUAGAUAAUAUCGUUUGUUUAAAAAAAUGCACAUACCAAAAAAAGUUAACGCGUGAAAAUGACGAGAUAUCACUUUAACUGAAUGUCCUAAUUGAGAAAAACUACGAAUUAAAUUGAUGGUGCGUGCACCAACAGCUGGCAAUAUGUAGUAUUAUGCGGGUCAUGUGAAAAUUAGCUUAAUUCUCAUGACCUAUUAAGUGACACAACCUGGUUCGAAAUGUCCACCUGGGCACCCCAAUAGAGUUGUACUGGCUGACACCUAGAAGGUGAUGAAGCCAUCACAACUUGAUUCGGGCGCCUACAUGGACAUUCUGAGUUCAAAUGUGUCAUUAAGCUUGCAGAUGGAAAAUCCAAAUACGAACAUGACCCGCAAAAAUAACCAGUAACAGAAUAUAGAUGACUCAUUCACCAAUUUUUAAAAUAUGUAAUCAUUUUAAAAUAGAUGUUUUCUUGGUCAUUCGGUAACAAAGAAAUAUAUGAUCACUAACAGUUAGAUUUAAAAUCAAAGAUAGAAAAAAUAAAUAGAUGCGUUUUAAUUAAUGUUUUAAUCUCAAUCUCAAUAUCAAAACUAAUGGUGAGUGACAAUGAACUCUAAAGAUCAAGAGAAGGUGAAUCUCAUUUUAAACACUUGGUACAUGCUCAUCUUGAUAGACUUAACAAUGUUUCAUUCACCAAAAUGAAAGUGUUAUUGUCAUCAUUUUGAAAAGGAGUAUUGUGUAGAAUUUAGAAGUACUACAACUCUAAGCGUUUGUGACUCGCCAUAUGAUGGUGGACUUCAUCAAUGGGAGCAUUUUGAGUCAUGCGUUUGCAAUUGAUGUAAACAUUUCCAUUCAAAUUUAAUCAACACUUUCUAUAUUUUGACAAAAAAAAGUUGCAAUAAGUGUCUUAGACGGUGAUGACCAAAGAGUACGUAACUGGUUAACAUCCGUAACGAAUUAAAUUCUAAAGCGAAUUUUGUUCAUGCAAAUUUCUAAAAUAGUGAAAUUAAAAUGAAUCUGGAUGCAAGUGGAUUUAACUUAGAGGUCGGCCGGUAUACCAUGCAUGUGUAAGCCAAGUACUCGAAAAUUACAUUCACUUCUCAAACACUCUCGAUCAAUGUGAUUAGUGACUAGCUAAGUAGUAAGAACACGUCGUAGAAAGGAUGUUGUCCGUACGUAAAAUUACAACAGUGUGUAAUGUCCAUUAUUUGGGAAAUGUAGGACUAUAUGAAAUAAACAUUUGAAUUCACAAUUAAGUAAUAAUUCAAUUAUCAACAACCACAUUUUAUUGUUUACAAAUUAUAAUUUAAAUAACUGGUCUUCCUAACAUUACCCAUAUAAAAACUAUUGAAAAAAAAGGAAAAAUAAUAGGUAAAAGAAGAAAAAAAAAAUACACAAAAGACGGCUUGAGUUACAAAUUAAUGUAAACUAGAAUGAAAUACCUAAUUGCCACCGAUAAGGAAUUAAUUUCUAAUGUAAGGUUUGUUAAUGCAACAUGCAUAUUCUUAUCUUAUUUAAAACAAAUAUAUUUUUGUUUUUAUUUUUGCCUAUUUUCCUUUUUGUUUUUUUAGUAUGUAGCCCUAAUUUCCCUUCUUUUUUUUUUUUUUUUUUUUGCGUAAAUAACCCUAUAUAUAAUUUCCUUUUCAGCUUUUUGGUGCAUGCACAAAUAUAGAAAACAGUAAGAGACAUUAUGACCCCCAUGUACCCAAGAACAAUUAUAGGGCAACAUACAAGUUCUGGGAAAGAGAUCAGCUCCGGUUCUUUCCCUCCAAAGUUUAAAGAUCAAAUAAUCUGGGCCUUUAAAAUUUGAUCAAAUGGCUAAAAACAGAGAAGUUGGUAAAAACUUUUAAAAACUAUAAUAAUUUUUAGAUGUUGGAUAAAAUUUUAAAGACUCGGAUCACUUGAUCCUUGGGCUUUGGAGGGAGAGAUCUAAAGAGGAUCUCAGGGGUUUCUCCAUUUUAAUCUUUGAUACAGAUUGAAAUUCAAUUAAAACCUUAUGUUAGAUUAUAUAUUCGUUAUAGUCCUUUGACUAAAUUUUCAUGUCAGCAUAAAUAUUAAAAUUUAUUUUUUCUUGUUUUGAAAUAUUUAAUGCAUUUUUUGGGUUCCUAUAAUGCCCCUAUUAAAUAUUUGAUUUUAAUUUGCUCCAUAUUUUUGGCAUUGAUUAUUGUUUGACUUUCUAAAAUGAUAAACAUAAUUCAAAAAAAUAUUAGUGAUUCGUUACAAGAAUUAACAAACACCUAAUUCAAAUUAUUCAUUAUCACCAUUCAAAGCAUAGAGGAAAUAUAAAUAGCCAAAUCAUAUAUUUUACAUAAUCGAAUGCACUUAAACCAUGUCCUAAUGUGCUUAAAUCAUAUAACCUAGUCGAAUGCACAUAAAUCAUAGUACCAAGUCAAAUGCACAUAAACCAUGGUACUUAUAUGAAUGCACCUAAACCAUGGUACCUAUAUGAAUGCACCUAAAUCAUGGUACCUAUAUGAAUGCACCUAAAUCAUAGUACCUAUAUGAAUGUACCUUAAUCAUUUAGGUACUAUCAAUUAGGUCUUAUCCAUUCGGUAUGGUCGGUUAGGUACUAUAUAGUGUAUGUCCGAUUAAUUUGGUACGGUCAAUUAAGUUGUGAUUUCACAUUCUAUUUUCUCAAUUUGUAUUUUUUUUCAUUUAUCUCUGGAUUCACCUUCAAUUUGGCAUCUAAAAGCCCCUUUUUCUCCUUUCUUCCGAAUACAACAAGAUUUUUGGUUUGUAAGUUUUAUGGCUUUUUUUGUUUGAUCAUGGUUUCUGAGUUUUCUGGGUUCUUUGAUUGGAAUAACACAUGGAGAUUUAUGUUAUAACAAACAUGUUAAUUAUGGAUCUAGUUUAAUUAAGCAUUCUUGAAAAAUUAAUUAUAUAUUUGUUUCUCUAAUUGGUUUUAAAGAGUAAUAAGGGUAAAUAGGGAAACUAAAAAUGCAAUAAAUUUAUUAAAAAAUGAUUAAAUGUGACAUGGAAUACUAUAAUCUGACAUGGAGGACUAUUUUUAGUUUUUAAUCUUACAUACGGUAUUAUUGAAAAAGCAAUCUUAUUUAGGGAUUAAAAUGAAGUUUUCUAAUCUCUUUAUUCCCAAGUUCUGGACAUAUGGAGCCUCUGCUACAAUUACGUUCUCUAGGCUUGGCUCAUAUAUCAUACUAGCUAGCCCUUCUCUAUUCUCCUGGGUAGGUAUUGUCUUAUUCCUAGUACCCUAAGCCGCCAUGGAUUUCAACAGGGUCACUGCGAAGAACUCGCCCAGCCAAACCCAACUGACCAACCCUAAAGUAACCAAACAACGGUUGCGCCGUAAGCUAAUCAGUCUGUCCAGAGACGUCCGGGAGUCCAAGGAAACGACCAGGGGAGUAGCCACCGUCUUUGUAGCUACCAAGGACAAGAAGCUCUAUUGUGUCACAGGGCAACAUCGCGUCCAAGACAUGCGAGUCCGCUCUGUCCCUAGGGUGGACGUUGACCACCAAAUAGGUGAGUCGUCAGAGACCGAAACUGAGAACAUGGGAUCGUUCGUAAUCACAUGACCAAUCUCUAACGUCGUUAGACUAUUGAUUUACUAUGAGGGAGUGUCAAGGGAGAAAUAGUGUACUAAAGGGAAGAUGAGAAUCCAUUUCAUGUUGGAUGAUCUGCCUGGAGGAAUGAAUUCUCCUUUUUAAUUAACUUCAUCUUUCCAAGAGUUGUGAGACUUCUUUGAAUGGUUUUAUCCUUUCAUGAUAAGACACAUCAAUUAUAGAAGGGUAUAACCCUUAUGAUAAGUCAUACCUCUUAAUACAAUCUUUGCUUAAGUGUAUAUCAAUAAACCAAUCAUAUGGUGCACCUCCACACAUCAAAUACACACAUAGUAAAACCAACAUCAUCAUGAUCAUAUUCCAACAUCUCCCACUUGAUCUUGAUGAUGUAAAAUCCCGUUGGAAAAUAAUCCUUUUGGUUCUCCUAUUAGAAUUCACAUAGAACAUCCAUUUAGUCUCUUUUUCAAAUUAUAAGCGGUAAAAAUCAGUUUACAUAAGUCAAAUUUCAUAUAAAAUAGGACAUCUUCUUUUUAUAAGACUUUUUGAAUCACCAGCAUUACAAUCUUUUUCAUCCUCAUGUUCUUACAGACUAGACGUGGAUUGGGCUGUGAUGUGCGUCCAAAUGCUGAAGGGCGGCUGUAAGCUAGAUGGAGACACUAGUAUUAGUGCUCGACCGAAUUGCAAGUUAGGCCAAGAUCCAUAAAAACCAAGACAUAUUACAUAAUUUAAAACGUAUAAUGUAAUGGAAAAUAAAUUUUGUAUGCAAUAAGCAAUAUCUUGUUCGUAAACUUUUUUUUUUUCUAUCGUCGUUGGUCACGGUUGAACGACGAAACAAGUAUUUUUCAUUCCAGAAUAGUUUUGAAAUUUAUAAUUAAUCAGUUGACAACAACAUUAAGGGCUCGUUCAGAAGUGUUUUCAAAAUGACUAAAAACAUUUUUAGCAAACAUGUUUUUGGGUUAUAAUAGCACUUGAAGUGCUUUGUGCAAGCUUCUUGCAAGAAGCACUUUAAGUGCUUUCACUUGUAUUUUUAUUAAGAAUUGGUUCCAAAAAUAUUUUCGUCAGAAAGGCUUUCAGCCAUUCUAAAAACGCUUUCAACUAUUUUAAAAACGCUCUCAAAAGAGUUUUAAUACCUCUCAUAUGUUUUCUUCUUAUCUGUUUUGUGUUGUUUUCUAGAUACAAAUUGAUCAAUCAGUUCUUAAUAAUCAUCACAUCAAAGCGUUAUGGACGAGUAUAAGCGUCCAAGAGAAAAGUCAAAAGUAUGUUUCUUUCAAUGAAGGAAUCCCUAACCACACCCAUCCUAUACAAUGUAAACCAUAUAUCAGUUAUUCACUAUGAUUGAGGAUGGGAUGAUAAUACAUUUUUUAGCUUUCUUUCUCAUCUUGUAGUUUAGUUUUAGUGAUUAGAACCGUCUACUCUAUAGAUCACCAUUUAAAGAUUAAUUAUGUAAAAAAAAAAAAAAAAAAAAACCAGAUUAGAAAGGAUGACCUAGAAAAUAGAGUAGAUGAUUUAUUAGAUAACCGUUUAGACUAUAAACAGGUUUAGAUUAGUUAAUUUUUUAAGAGAUGAACUUUAAAGGUGACCUAAAAAGUAUCGGUUCAGAACAUCGUGAAAUAUUACAGAAUGAGAAGAAUAAUCGAAAAGACAGAUCAAAAUGGUCUAAAUGAGUAUAUUGCUAGCAUUCUUCAAAAGAAAAAAGGUUCCACAUACACAUACUAGCACCUUGGUGCCUUAGGCCAUCUCCAAUGGAGAGGGCUAAAGGUCCAAAUGCCAAAAAAGACCUGAUUUUUCUAUAGAGCCCACCAAACCAUUAUUCGGCCAAAAGGGCAUCAGGCUGGCCAAAUGUAGCCCUCUCUUAGCGCUUUUUUUUAGAGCCUAGCUCAUCAGUUGCAAUAAUUAAUUUAAAUUCAACGGUUAGAUUUGAAAACAUUCAAAGGUAGUUUAAUUAAAUUAAAUUAUAAACUUAAAACUAAUAAAUUAUUGAGGUGACUAUGUUUGGCCCCUUCGGUUGAGAAUGGUAUAUAAGUAUGACCUAAUAUUGUUCAUUAAAAAAUAAAUUUUUUAAAUAACUAUAAUUUUGAACAUGACUAUAUUUAACUCUUUUAAUUGAACAUGGCCUUAGUUUUAAUGAUUGCAUCACAGUCCAAACCCAGUUAUCCUCUCACCUUUUGUUUUCAUUCAAUCUUUUGUUCUUUCUACUUCAAGAAAAGGAAAAGAGAUUGUAUCACAAAAAAUAAAAAAUAAAACUAAAGAAAAGUGUUUGAAAUUUUUGAGUUUUAAUAAUAAGGAUAAAAUAAAUGGUAAAGUAAAUAGUACAAUAAUUAACUUAUUAAUGUAAAAAUAUAAUUUUUUAAAAAAAAUAAAUAAUAUCAUGAAUUUUUCGUUAAAGUUCUUAAAAAAAAAAAAAAAACAUGACACACACACACCCACCUUUUUUUCAUCAGUUUCAGGUAACCGUUUUCAAGGGAUCAUAAGUCAUAGCACUUAUAUUAAUUUAUUGGAAUUUGGAGCCUAAUUUUCUGUUAUAUUUAUAGGACUGAUGGCGUAGUGAUUAUUCUUACACUUUGAUUGAAAAUGCUGGCUGCUGCUGAAGUUUCAGUGGCUGUUGAACAAUUAUUGUGCGAUCUGAUCUCUGUAGCUAUCUGAUAUGAUAUCUCCGUGUGUCAUUCAUUCAUUCAUGGGAACUUGCAGAAGUUUACGAUUGCAUCUCUAGUCAAGUCAGAAUAAAAUGACAUAAUGAUAUCUCAAUCGAGUCAAUUUAAUAAUAAUAAUAUUAUUAUAUUAAAUUUAUUAAUUGAAUGGAAAUUAGAAAUGAAACAUUUUGGUAGAAAAAUGUGUAUACUCAAAUGAAGAGUUGCAACUUUUGACUCUUCAUAAAUAGUCAUAUGCUUUCCAAAGAUGUAUGUCACAUUCUAUAAAUAGGGAAGCCAACUAUAAUCACAAAAUAACUUUUCAUUGUUUUACAUAAUCAAACCUAUAAUGCACUAAAUAUUAGAGUCUCAUUGAGUCCAUAUGAGAGAGUUUUUAAGACAAUCGUGGUUCAUGGAGCCUUGUGAUUUGGAAUGCUACUAUUAGAAGGACGUGAUCGUUGUAUCUUGGGAUACAUGUGUCGAUCAACCAUGAGCACCGUAGUGGGGUGUAAACUUGUCUUAAGGACAAAGUAUCCAACACUUGCCUCGACCGUAAUUUCUAGGUUUUUCUAAUCCAUUAUGUCAUGUUCAUUUUGACACACCCUAACCCGAAGACUAGGACGUGCUGGCCGUCACGUGAGUGUGACGUAACCAUAACGCAAGCGGAAACGAUUUAAUAAUAAAAUACGAGUUAACGAAAACCACUAAUUGCAGUUAUUUACAACCUAGCAUUCUAUGUGCAUAAGAGUGUACUAAACACACAUAAACAGAGCAUAAGCAUCUAGGUGCAGUCAAGUAGGAACAUAACUAAUUUACAACACCCUCGGGUGAAUCCUACAUUUAUUUAGUCUGUCAGAACGCCGAAGCAGUCUCGUAGGCCACCAACGCCUCAACUAUCAACUAGAACCUGGAGGGGCGAAAAACAGAAAACGUGAGUGGGCGAAAAUAAAGCUUUUCCAAAUCAUUUUCACAAAUCCACAAUUAUAACCCCUUUUUGGAAAACCUGUAUACUUUCCCAGAAAAAUAGUAUAUAGCAUAUAUAUCUCAACUGUCUCAAUCAUCAAUCUUAUAACAGAUUCAAUAAAGAAUGUACCAUGCCAAUUUCAACAGUGUAGUAUGAAUGCAUUAACAUAAUAUAAUCAGGUAAAAAGAUAGAAAUCAAUCGGAGGCCCUCUAAUAGCCCUGAACGAUUGAACCUAGAGCUCAACAUCUAUCAAUCUCACUCUCUGCCGGAGUCACUCCGCGUGACCUGUCCGACCUUCUGCACAUAAGUCGGAACCACCUAAUGUAGUUUGAACGACUCAUGGUAAUAUUCGCUCUAGUGCUUCUCUCAUCAAUCAUCUGUAUACAAUAACCUAAGGUCACCCACCAGUCAUAAUCUCACUAACACUCUACGACUGGCCCGUCGUACCCACUCCGCGUGGACUGUACGACCAGCAUCUACUUGGAUCCAAGGCGAGCGUGCGAUGCGGUGAAUACUAUAAGCACUAAACCAUGGUGCAGGAUAUGAGCUCAAUAUAUCAUCAUCAUCAUCAUAAUAUUAAUUAAAUACUUACCUGUGCUUCCACAGCACCAUCAUACAUAUAUGCAUCAUACGACAGUUCAUAAUAUCCAUAAUAUUCUAUGCAUGGCAAUCACAUCAUAUUUCACUUCAAUAUACUUUUUCAUUUAAAUUUGAUUUCUGGGGAAAUCGAGUAUAUAGGUAUAUAUAUAGAAAGCAAUGCCCACUCACUGGUAUGUCGCCGGGUCGUAACCCCCUUGACGCCCCUGGAUGUGCUCGUCCUCGUUAAAAGUUCCACCUAGAAGUGAAAUAACUUAAAACAAUCAUUUAACGCACAAUUAACGCACCUAAACCAAACUAGGUAAUUAAUUCUUCAUACGAUGCUCAAAUUGGGUAUAUGAAUAUACCACAGUGACCUACACAACCUCAGGAUCAUCCCCAUAUUUUUAAAAUAAUUUUUGGAGUCCUCACGCGCCCCCACGCGCCUGACGUGGCACGGACCUACGCGCGGCCCACGCGCGGACGUGACAUGCACACUGACGGCUACAGUGAACGGCGUUAGAGAAUAUUCCGUCAAAUCCUAGAAUAUUCCGUUAAAAACUAACGGUUUCCAUUAAAGUUAACUAACGGCGUCGGAAUAUUCCGUCAAACUUGACGGAAGAUUCCCUGUCUUCUCCGGCGAGUCACCGGUCGCCGGCGACUGUUCGCCGGUUUCUGGAAAAUUUUCAAAUCCACUAUUCUCCUUCGUUUUUCAACCAAUUUCUUCGCAUUUUAUACCAAAAUGAAGCAUUUAACAAGUACUAUCACGUUGGAAGGGUUUUAAGGCCUAAAAACAACUAGAUCAUACCUUCCAAAAUUCUUCAAUUUCGGCCAAACUCGAACCCGACGAUCCCGACGUCCAUUUUGUUCAAACGAGGCACUCCGAGCCUCCUUGGAACUUCCUAAGACUCGUGGUGAUCUUGCUUUAGCCUAAAACACAACCAAAAUUAAGUUCGUGAACAGUGCCAUUACACGGGGUGUUUUAAAACUAGGGUUCUCGAAAUAGAACUUACCUAAAACUGGUAUUCCCGUGCUCGUGAGGUUCCCAAGAUCACGAAGAUGAUCUUAGAUUGGACGUUGGUGUAGGAUUGUGAUUGUUCUUGGUGUUUGUCCGAGAGCUCGAGUGUAAGAGAGAGAGAGAGUGUUUCUGAGGGAGUGUGAGAGAGACUGAGGGAGAGACGAGGAAGAGAGAGAGAAUGAGACAUGGAUCCAGAGAUUAGGGAAUGAUUUAGGGGGUAGGGUCCCACCUAAAGUCCAAACACAGAUAAAUUAACACAUACUAAUAUAAUUCUAACCCUAGUUUAGGAUCUUAGUGUAAAACAAAUACCAAAUUUACGCACCUUAAUCCCGUUUAAGGGCGUUUUAGUAAUUUCACGUCCUCGGUAUUUAGUAACUCUGGGACGGGCUGUGACAAUCUCCCCUCCUUAUAGAAUUUCGUCCCCGAAAUUCCAAUCACUAACCAGAACAUCAAAAGUCAUAGAAUAACCUCGGAUACAUAUCUCUCAUCCGAUCUUCUGUCUCCCAAGUAGCUUCUUCAGCUGAAUGGUUUCUCCACAAUACUUUCACCAAGCUCACGGUCUUAUUCCUCAAGGUCUUAUCUUUCCAAUCCAGUAUAGUCACUGGUUCUUCAUCAUACGUCAAGUCCGGAUUAAUUUCCAAUGGUUGAGGAGGAAUCACAUGUGAAGGAUCUGAAACAUAAUGCCGAAGCAUCGAGACAUGGAACACAUUAUGUACCUUAGACAACUCUGGAGGUAGCUCCAACCUGUAAGCAACUUCACCAAUCCUCUCAGUGAUCUCAUAAGGUCCAAUGUACCUGGGACUUAGCUUUCCUUUCUUUCCAAAGCGAACCACACCUCUCCAAGGCGAUAAUUUCAGAAAAACAUAGUCGCCCACAUUAUACAUUCUGUCCGUGGUAUGUCGAUCCGCUAGGCUCUUUUGUCUAUCCUGGGCCACUUUCAGGUUAGACUUAAUUACCUGAAUAUUCUGAGUAGUCUCAUCCACAAUCUCUGGCCCUUCAAGUAUUCUUUCACCAACCUCUGACCAACAUAAUGGCGUACGGCAAGCUUUACCAUAAAGUGCUUCAAAUGGAGACAUUCCAAUACUCGAAUGAAAACUAUUAUUGUAGGCAAACUCCAUCAAAUCCAAGCGAUCAUGCCAAGAAUCACCAAAUUGCAUCACAGAGGAUCUCAACAUAUCCUCGAGUGUCUGAAUAGUUCUCUCCGACUGACCAUCUGUCUGUGGAUGAUAAGCUGUACUGUAAAGCAAUCUGUAGUACCCAAAGCUUCUUGAAAAGCUAUCCAAAACUUAGAAGUAAAUCUUGGAUCUCGAUCAGAAAUAAUAUUCACUGGGACACCAUGAUACUUUACAACCUUCGAUAUGAAUAACUGAGCCAACUUAUUUAAAGAAUACUUCUCCCUUACUAGAAUAAAAUGUGCUGAUUUGGUAAGUCGAUCUACAACCACCCAAAUGCCAUCAAAACCAUUUUGUGUACGUGGCAGCUUAUACACAAAAUCCAUCGUUAUAUUCUCCCAUUUCCACUGGGGAACGGGAAGUGGUUGCAAUCUCCCAAACGGCUUCUUUCUUUCAGCCUUAACCUGCUGGCAGACAAUACACCUACUCACAUACUCUGCAAUCUCCCUCUUCAUACCCGGCCAAUAAUAGAAUGGUCGAAUGGUAUGAUACAUUUUAGUUCCUCCUGGGUGCAUAGCAUAAGCCGAACAAUGUGCUUCAUCCAAGAUUUCUUUCUUCAGUUCCUCAUUAUUAGGCACAUACAUCCUGUUCUCUUGCAUAAGCAUACCAUCUGAUCCUCGGAUCUUGAGAUCUUUCUUCUUCCCUUCAUUUCUUAAAUUGAUCAAUUCUUGAAUCUCUUCAUCCCACGAUUGAGCUGCAAGCACCCGAUCAAUUAAAAUUGGCUUGACUUGAAAACUGGCAAGAAAAGCUUCACUUUGCUCUUCCCAUUCUAACUCUACUCCAGUAGAUCUCAACUCUGCCAGAAGAGGAACACGACUGGCAUACAAAGCAUUAAGUCGCCCUUGAGGCUUCCUACUCAGAGCAUCAGCUACCACAUUUGCACGACCCGGAUGGUACUCAAUCGUGCAAUCAUAAUCACUUAACAAUUCCAACCAUCUUCUCUGACGAAGAUUAAGAUCAUGCUGAGUGAAAAGGUACUGAAGGCUUUUAUGAUCGGUAAAGAUCUUACAUUUCUCGCCAUAGAGAUAGUGUCUCCAAAUCUUCAAAGCAAACACAAUAGCUGCCAACUCAAGAUCGUGAGUCGGAUAGUUUCUUUCAUGAGUCUUCAACUGCCUAGAAGCAUAGGCAAUCACUCUACUAUGCUGCAUCAAAAACACAACCCAAACCAUUCAAAGAAGCAUCACUAUAGAUCUCGAAGUUACCAUUAUCAUCAGGAAGUACUAACACAGGUGCAUGAGUAAGGCAAUACUUCAACUGCUGGAAACUUUGCUCACAACUUUCAUUCCACUCAAACUUAACAUCCUUCCUGGUUAACUUCGUUAAUGGCAAGGCAAUCAUAGAAAAGUCUUGAACAAACCGUCUAUAAUAACCUGCCAAACCAAGGAAACUCCGCACCUCAGUGACCGUUCGAGGUUGUUCCCAAUUUUCCACUGCUGCUAUCUUUUGAGGAUCCACUUGAAUUCCUUGAGCUGAUACCACAUGUCCCAAAAAUGCCACUUGAUCCAGCCAAAAUUGACAUUUACUAAAUUUGGCAUAUAACCGGUGUUCCCUCAAUUUCCUUAACACCAAGUUAAGAUGUCGAAUAUGGUCUGAUUUCGACUUAGAAUAUACCAGGAUGUCAUCAAUAAAAACAAUAACAAACUUGUCAAGAUAUUCCUGGAAUACUUCAUUCAUCAAUCUCAUGAAAGCUGCAGGAGCAUUCGUUAAUCCAAAUGGCAUCACCAAAAACUCAUAAUGCCCAUAACGAGUCCUGAAAGCUGUUUUAUGAACAUCCUCAUCUUUAAUCUUUAAUUGAUAAUACCCAGACCUCAAAUCGAUCUUAGAAAACACACAGGCACCUUUGAGCUGAUCAAACAAAUCAUCUAUACGAGGCAAUGGAUAACGGUUUUUAAUCGUCACCCGAUUCAAUUGCCUGUAAUCAAUGCACAAUCUCAAAGUUCCAUCUUUCUUUCUUACAAACAACACUGGAGCUCCCCAAGGUGAAGAACUAGGCUGAAUGAAACCUUUAUCAAUUAACUCUUGCAAUUGAAUUUUCAACUCUCUUAAUUCCGCUGGUGCCAUUCUAUAAGGAGUCAAAGAGAUAGGAUUCGUACCUGGAAGCAAAUCAAUCGAAAAUUCCACAUCUCUAUCUGGAGGCAACCCAGGUAAAUCAUCUGGAAAUACAUCAGGAUAGUGUCUGACUACUCCGACUUCCUCCACACUACCGGAAUCAACAUCAUUCAAAACCACAUGUGCCAAGUAUCCCUGACAACCCUUGGAUAACAAUUUCUUCGCCCUUAUGGCGGAAAUAACACCAUGCCUCACCCCACUUCUUUCACCCACAAAUGUAACCUCGGGUAGUCCAGGACGAAGAAAAGUAACUGAUUUCCCGUAACAAUCUAUAUGGGCGCGAUUUAUAAUGCAACCAAUCCGCCCCUAAAAUCACAUCAAAAUCCACGAUGUCUAACGGGAUAAGAUUAGCAGGCAUAAUGACAUUAUCUACCAUCACUGGACACCCAGAGUAAAAACUAUCAACAUAACAUUUAUCCCCUCUAGGCAUAGCAAACUCUAAAUCAAACCCUAGAGGUGAAGGAUGAGGUUGCGUUAUUUGAGCAAAUGUAUGAGAAAUCACAGAGUGUGUAGCACCACAAUCAAUCAAGACUCUAGCAAAAUGACCAAGAACAUUCAACGUACCCAUAAUCAAGUCUGGAUGGUUCUGAGCAUCUUGCAGCGAGAUGUGGUUAACACGUCCCUGAGCUGGCUGUCGUCCUCCACGACCUCUGCCACUCUGGUUACCUCGUCCCUGAUGAGUACGUCCUUGACCUGCCUGGGCAGGCGGCCUAAACGACCCUGUACUACUAGCAGCAACUCCGCUCUGUUGGGGCUGACCCCCCUGAUACCACUGAGAUCCGCUAGCAGGCAUAGACGGAUAUGAAGUAUAACCUCCUUGAUCCUGAGAAUAUCCACUCUGAAAAUAAGGAUCCUGGGAAUAAUGAUACUGUCCCGGAGCAUAAGGAGCAGCAUCACCCUGAUAGUGAUAAGCACCACCACGACCACCUUGGCCAUAACUGCCUGAAUUAAAGUUCUGUUGAGUCGGUGCUGAUGUUGGCAUAACAGGCUGCUGGGGCCUCUGCUGAUUCUGGGGACAAUACAUAGCUCUAUGUCCUGUCUGACCACAUGUAAAGCAUGCACCACUGCUUCUCCUACAUUCCCCAUGAUGUCGGAAAUUACAACGGCGACAUAACGGAGGACCCGAACUACCAGUACCACUAAAGCCUCUCUGACCAGAAAAUCUAGGUCCAUUACCAAACCUACCACCUCCUCUCCUCGGACCUGUGGCACUAAAUCCACCACUGGAAGAACUCGAACUCAUUCCACUUUUCUUGAAAUUCUGCAUCUGACGAGGUCCUGGAAUGGAAACACCUUUACCUUUCUCAUUUUUCUUCUGACCAUUACUCUUAUCCUCUUCAUCCUCACUGUCCGGAAGAUUAUCAGAGUCUUCCAUCCUGACCAGAAUCUCAAAAUACUCAUGAUAAUCGGCACAGGGAAGUGCAUUGGCAAACGUUCUGUACUUCUUCUUAGAUCCUAGCUUGAAACGACGAAGCAUUUCUGCUUGAUUACCCGCUAAAUCAGAAUCAUAACGGGAUAAAUCAGUAAACUUCCUGUAGUACUCAUGUGCAGACAUAUUUCUCUGCUUCAGACUGGUGAAUUCCUGUUUCUUGCGAUCUAUAUAUAUUCCGGAGGAACAAAUCUCUUCAUAAAAUUUUCUUUUAAAUACCUCCAUUCGGCUGCCCUUUCAGGAGUCAUGUGCCUCGACUGAUUUAUCCACCACGCAGCUGGCUCACGGCCCAAAAACCAAGUGGUAGUCUCCACCCAUCUAUUAGCUGGCAGGUUUCCCUGACUUUGCAUCACUUGAAAGGUCUGCUCAAUUCGAUCCAACCACUUUUCUGCCCCUUCAUAACCUUCAUUUCCCUCAAAGGUUUCCAGUUUCAGAUUAUACAUCGUCUCUACGGGCGUUCUCUGAGGAGGACGGAUAUUAGCCUGAAAAGCUUGAGCCAUUGCUGCCCCUAACUGAGUUAUAUCGGGGAAAUUAGGCUCAGCAGCACGGCGAGGAUCUCUACGAGGCGGCAUAAUUCUGACAGAAAACAUCCAAAAAUCAAAUAAAGAACUCAUUAGUUAUACAGGACUGCAACCUAUGCUCUGAUACCAAACUGACACACCCUAACCGAAGAAGAAGACUAGGACGUGCUGGCCGUCACGUGAGUGUGACGUAACCAUAACGCAAGCGGAAACGAUUUAAUAAUAAAAUACGAGUUAACGAAAACCACUAAUUGCAGUUAUUUACAACCUAGCAUUCUAUGUGCAUAAGAGUGUACUAAACACACAUAAACAGAGCAUAAGCAUCUAGGUGCAGUCAAGUAGGAACAUAACUAAUUUACAACACCCUCGGGUGAAUCCUACAUUUAUUUAGUCUGUCAGAACGCCGAAGCAGUCUCGUAGGCCACCAACGCCUCAACUAUCAACUAGAACCUGGAGGGGCGAAAAACAGAAAACGUGAGUGGGCGAAAAUAAAGCUUUUCCAAAUCAUUUCACAAAUCCACAAUUAUAACCCCUUUUUGGAAAACCUGUAUACUUUCCCAGAAAAAUAGUAUAUAGCAUAUAUAUAUCUCAACUGUCUCAAUCAUCAAUCUUAUAACAGAUUCAAUAAAGAAUGUACCAUGCCAAUUUCAACAGUGUAGUAUGAAUGCAUUAACAUAAUAUAAUCAGGUAAAAGAUAGAAAUCAAUCGGAGGCCCUCUAAUAGCCCUGAACGAUUGAACCUAGAGCUCAACAUCUAUCAAUCUCACUCUCUGCCGGAGUCACUCCGCGUGACCUGUCCGACCUUCUGCACAUAAGUCGGAACCACCUAAUGUAGUUUGAACGACUCAUGGUAAUAUUCGCUCUAGUGCUUCUCUCAUCAAUCAUCUGUAUACAAUAACCUAAGGUCACCCACCAGUCAUAAUCUCACUAACACUCUACGACUGGCCCGUCGUACCCACUCCGCGUGGACUGUACGACCAGCAUCUACUUGGAUCCAAGGCGAGCGUGCGAUGCGGUGAAUACUAUAAGCACUAAACCAUGGUGCAGGAUAUGAGCUCAAUAUAUCAUCAUCAUCAUCAUAAUAUUAAUUAAAUACUUACCUGUGCUUCCACAGCACCAUCAUACAUAUAUGCAUCAUACGACAGUUCAUAAUAUCCAUAAUAUUCUAUGCAUGGCAAUCACAUCAUAUUUCACUUCAAUAUACUUUUUCAUUUAAAUUUGAUUUCUGGGGAAAUCGAGUAUAUAGGUAUAUAUAUAGAAAGCAAUGCCCACUCACUGGUAUGUCGCCGGGUCGUAACCCCCUUGACGCCCCUGGAUGUGCUCGUCCUCGUUAAAAAGUUCCACCUAGAAGUGAAAUAACUUAAAACAAUCAUUUAACGCACAAUUAACGCACCUAAACCAAACUAGGUAAUUAAUUCUUCAUACGAUGCUCAAAUUGGGUAUAUGAAUAUACCACAGUGACCUACACAACCUCAGGAUCAUCCCCAUAUUUUUAAAAUAAUUUUUGGAGUCCUCACGCGCCCCCACGCGCCUGACGUGGCACGGACCUACGCGCGGCCCACGCGCGGCCACGUGACAUGCACACUGACGGCUACAGUGAACGGCGUUAGAGAAUAUUCCGUCAAAUCCUAGAAUAUUCCGUUAAAAACUAACGGUUUCCAUUAAAGUUAACUAACGGCGUCGGAAUAUUCCGUCAAACUUGACGGAAGAUUCCCUGUCUUCUCCGGCGAGUCACCGGUCGCCGGCGACUGUUCGCCGGUUUCUGGAAAAUUUUCAAAUCCACUAUUCUCCUUCGUUUUUCAACCAAUUUCUUCGCAUUUUUUAUACCAAAAUGAAGCAUUUAACAAGUACUAUCACGUUGGAAGGGUUUUAAGGCCUAAAAAACAACUAGAUCAUACCUUCCAAAAUUCUUCAAUUUCGGCCAAACUCGAACCCGACGAUCCCGACGUCCAUUUUGUUCAAACGAGGCACUCCGAGCCUCCUUGGAACUUCCUAAGACUCGUGGUGAUCUUGCUUUAGCCUAAAACACAACCAAAAUUAAGUUCGUGUGAACAGUGCCAUUACACGGGGUGUUUUAAAACUAGGGUUCUCGAAAUAGAACUUACCUAAAACUGGUAUUCCCGUGCUCGUGAGGUUCCCAAGAUCACGAAGAUGAUCUUAGAUUGGACGUUGGUGUAGGAUUGUGAUUGUUCUUGGUGUUUGUCCGAGAGCUCGAGUGUAAGAGAGAGAGAGAGUGUUUCUGAGGGAGUGUGAGAGAGACUGAGGGAGAGACGAGGAAGAGAGAGAGAAUGAGACAUGGAUCCAGAGAUUAGGGAAUGAUUUAGGGGGUAGGGUCCCACCUAAAGUCCAAACACAGAUAAAUUAACACAUACUAAUAUAAUUCUAACCCUAGUUUAGGAUCUUAGUGUAAAACAAAUACCAAAUUUACGCACCUUAAUCCCGUUUAAGGGCGUUUUAGUAAUUUCACGUCCUCGGUAUUUAGUAACUCUGGGACGGGCUGUGACACAUUUAGCAUUAGUUACUCAUGUACAUGCAUUACUUUGAUAUAUAAUUGCAUGAAUUAUUUCUUGAUUUUUCAUGUGAUUUAAUAUAGCAAUUAGACCCUAUUUUUCCAACAUCUCAGGCCCUAGGGAUUUUAGGGAUCUCGCAAUCAUGAUCAUUCAUCAUAUAUCAUGCGCUCAGUUUUUGUUAGGUGCUAUUUAUCUUUAAUUUGAAAUUUGAAAUUUUGAAAUGAUUUCUGGUCGCAAUAUGUAUGAUGAACGAUCACGAUCGCGAGCGAGAUCCUUAAGAUCCCUAGAAAAAAGAUUUGGUCCAUGCAUUGCACAUAAUUCAGCCUUCGACAAAUAGGUAGCAUAAACUUGUCAUUUAACCUUUCGUUAAAAAUAGUUAGAAAAUAAGACAUGUGAGCGAAAAUAGAAACUCCCCUUUUUAAUCAUUGAAUCCUAAAUUUUAUAUAUAUAUGCAGGUUCUUUAACAAGAGGGAUCCCCAUUUAAAAAAAAAAUGGGGAUACUAUAUUGACUGUUAGAUUUGGUUUUAAUGAAAUUCUGUGGUUGAGAUUAAAUCACAGGCCACAAAAUCUCAACCACAUAAUUUCAUUAAAAUCAAAUCUAACGGUCAAGAGGGUGUCCCUAUUUUUCUUUUUUUUUUUUUAAAUGGGGAUCUCUUUUGUUAAAGGAUUCCUAUAUAUAUGUGUGUGUGUGUGUGUAUAAGGGGUGUUCAAAUUAGGGCGAAAAAGGAGAUCGACUCAUUAAUUAGGCUCUGAUGAUCUUCAUCGUGAAGGUGAGAUAAAAAAAGAUGGUGCUAUUCACACUCUUAAUUUUAUUUUUUACAUAUACCUCUCAAUUUGUAGCCGUCGAAUCGAAUUAGAAUCGAAUUAAUUGAAGAAGAUCAAUGGACAAAAUUUAAUAAGGGUGUGUGAAAGGUAAAAAUGAGUGUGUGAGUAGCACUACCCUAAAAAACUUAUGAAGAAAAUAAAAAUGGUUACACAAUUUAAUAUUAAAAAAAAAUUGUUUAAAAGCAUCUCCAAAUGAGAUGUCAAAAUGACCACAUCAACAAUAACAGUCAAAAUAACACACAUAUUUUCCAACCGAGAUGUCCAUUUCUAUGCAGCAUGACAUGAAAUUAGCAGCAAGGCGGGUUGCUGUCAAAUUUGACAGCAGCUAAUAUUACAUCAUUUAUGUUUAAAAUUCAAAUUUGAGACAACUAAUAUUAGUACUCGUUUGUUCAUUGGGUUUCAUAUUACAUAAUUUAUGUUUAAAAUUCAAAUUUUGAGACAACUAAUAUUAAUGUUGACCAUGAUAUACCCAAUUAAUGGAUUUUCAACAUAAUCUAUAUGUACUUUUAACACUUUUUUUUUCUCUCUCUCUAAAACCUUUUCUCCCCUCUACUUUCAGGAAAAAAGAAACCCUUCUAGCCGCCGCUCCUUACUCUGGCUUGGGGUCGGCGGCAGCCCAACUCCCACAUCUUUCUAGCCAUCCUUCCCACUUUCUCGUCCGUCUCCACCCUCUGCAUCUUCCCUUUUCCCCCAUCCUUCCCCCAUCUUUCCCACCUUUUUCUAGCCCUCUUUCUCUCUUUCCCAUCCAUCUACACCUUCCACAUCUUCCAUCUUCCCCCUUCUUUUCCUCAUCCUUCCCUCAUCAUUCCACUAAAAAAGUUUUUAAUUUCUGAACUUUUUCUCUUUUGGUCUUUGUUUUGGCUUCCCUUGAGCUUUGUUCUUUGAACUUUGUCUCAAUUCCCAUGAGUUGGUCUCAGAUCUGGACUUUCAUGGCCCUCUCCUGCUCUGGUGCUACUUUACAUCGCGUGUUCUCAACCACCGGCCUCUGCUACUCGGCCUGUGUGCUUCUCAUCGGGUGUUGGGUGGCUAUUAAAGUGCUUUUAACAAUAUAUGGUAGGAUUAUGAGAGCGGCUCACUGCUCGGUUGGCUUAUUCACCUCAUUUUUUGUUGAUCUAGUUAUUCCGUUGGUUUGUUCCCUUGGUGGUGGUGAUGGCCUUGUGAUACGAUGGAGGCGCAUCUGGUAGCUGCUGGUUUCCAUUCCAAUCUUAGUGUUUUUUUGUUAUUGUUCAGCUGGCCACUUUUAGGCUUGUCUAUUGUAUUUUCUUUUUUGUUGUUGGGCUUGUAUUUAGGUUGUAGGUUGCCUUUGGGCUCUCUUUUCCUUGUACUUGUCUUUUUAUUUAAUGGAAGUAAUUUAAUUUGACUAAAAAAAGAACAUAUUCUAUGUUUGAAAAAUUAACUAAGCUUAGCGGAUGUGACAUUUUUAAUAGGCUGGGUACUUGUUUUGGAUGUUUGAAAAGGCUGAGAUCAAUUUGGAAUGACACUAAAAAGUUGAGGGUUUUAGGUACCUGAUCCUAUAAUUUAACAUUUAUGUUUAAAAUUUGAUAUAUCAGGUAGAGAGAAAAACUUUAAAAGAUGUCAAAGUGCCACAUAAACUAUUAAAUUUAAAAUUUAUGUUUAAAUUUGAAUAUCUCCUUUAGAGGUGGCCUAACACUCUAAAAAAGGCGCAUGUACAACUCUAAAUGCAAGACCGAAUGAUAUAUUUUUAGAGUGAUAAUAGUAAUUUCUAAACGUAUAACAAUUAUAGGCGUUGCAAUUGGUGAAAUGGAAUUAAUACUAGAUGGAGAAGAAAGAAAAGGGACAAGAUGCAACAGGAGAAUGGGGAGAAGAAUGGUGCAUCAGGUCUUCAGUGAUGAAGCAAGUACAAUUGAUGAAGUCGUUGACACAAUGAGCGAAUGCAAGUCUCAUAUCAACGGAAGAAUGCAUAAAAAGUGAAACUCACAAAACCUUGCUAUGGUAAACCCAAGGUGGGGAAAAACCUAUAGUCUACGGAUAAAGGUGAGAAGUUGCAUUAAGUCAAAACUAUACGUCUUUUGGAUACAAGUAAAAAAGCUCACAAGGGUAUGAUCAGCCCAUGAUGUGUGCCUCGUUAAAACCUAGUUAGGUAGCAAAAACCAGUGGAAAAAAUGCUUCUAAUCGUAGGGAAAAAGAGUACAUUAAGAUCAAAUGAGUAUACUUCUGGAUACUUCCCCUGAGUUUUACAUAACUUCCAAAUGAGAACUACAAACAUUGCAUACGAAUAGUUAGGCAUACCAAUUCCUUAGACAAGUUUCUGGAAGGUUGACUUUGGUAGUGACGUCGUGUAGAGGUCGGCAAGGUUGUCUGGGAUUGGCUUGCAUGACUUCAAUCUCCUGAUGCUUUGCUGUUUUGAUGUAGACGCAAUAUGUCUUGGCGUUGACUUUGUUGAUGUAUCAUGGCUUGGUCGGGUUGAUACAUGCGGUAUAAUCUUCAUGGAUCGUUGUUGGGACUUAAUGAUGGAUGAAAACAUAGCAAGUACUUCGAAUAUGCUCAACAAGAACUCCUAACCAUGUCUUACUUGUGGCUUAGAUAAGUGAGGUGAGUCUUGGAACGAUUCAAAGAUUUCACAACUAAGGUCAUAUCAUGGACCUCUAAGAUAUUGCGAUAUCCCUAAUGGUAAAGACAUAACCAUUUGGGGAUUUUGCCUUGUGCAGGUUUAAUAAGUGACAUGCGUUAGCAUAACAAACAACACAAGCAUCAUUUUAAGGAUCAGGGGGUUGGAUCCGCUGAGAUGCGUUGGGAUUUGUCCUCGUAGUACCGUCAGAGUACGUCUUUAAUACCAAUUCAGUGGUUGCGUGUAGGCCCGGUGCUGCAUCUUUACCAAGAUCAACACUGAAGGAAAUUUCCUGUCUAAUACAAUAAGCUAAGUACAACAAAGCGCAAAGUUGAACUUAUAUAUGGAGUUUUGGAUUCCAUAACCUCUUCAAGGGUCUCAUUUUCAUAUAACGUAUGGACGAUCAAAUGUAUACUCAAAGGUAACACAUUCGAAGUGUAGUUUGACUGGUAAACCAAGGUACCGUCGGAACAAUGCUUCAACUUCAGGUCAAGGCAUAAACAAGUUUUCCUAAGAUCUUUCAUCUCAAAUUCCAUCUUCAGGUGUGAGGCAGUUUUCUCCAGCUCUUCUAGAGUCUUAGUGAGAUUCGUGUCAACGACAUAAACUGUAACUCUAGUAAUUUGGAAUAAGACUUCAUAGUUUAACACGCAAGGGCAUAAUUCAUCCUUGAUUGAUCAAAUAAUCACUUAGACGGGUAUACCACAUCCGUCGGAUUAUAAGUGAACGCCUCAACAAUUUAAGAGGGACUUCCGUGGUUUUGGAACUAUUUGAACUAGUCCAUGUAAUUCUUCGGGAACUUACAUGUAACUCUUCGUAUCUAUAUCCCCAUGAAGAAAACAUUAAUCAAAUUUCAUAAUGCUGCUAUCAAUCACAUGACGUUUUGAGAAAAACCUUGCAUCGUAAGGCGUGCAUGAUAUCGCAAUAUUUCAUUCAUCUCAUAACACUUAUUUUCUCACUUGUAACACAAUAAGAUUACCUUGGGCAAUGUAGGAACGACAGGUCCAAACACACUUUGGUAAGGAAUUUGACCUGGAUUGUAAUUUCGAUUGUCCAAUCAAUUCUACGUUGUCACUUAGUCAAUUGAACACGGUUCAAUAUUGUCGCUUUUCAUUUAUGUCGGUAGCUACCAUAUAAAUGAAAACAUCAUCGAUGGUAAUCUCAUUUCAAUUCCAUUUAGCUCAUCCAAACUAGUAUACUAGAACAAGAACUUCAUGUCUCGGGAGUAAUCCAGAAUGGAAAUGAUUUGAGACAACGAUCGAGUUUAGAUUCAUUGUUGUGUCGUGUCUUCCUUUUUCUAGGGAAGUGAAUCCUACGAAUUAAGUGAUAUGUCGUGCUCCAAGCCAAGAUCGAUUGAUUGGAUAUCCACCGUUGUACCAGACCGUCUAACAGGGGCGGAACACCCUCUAGGGAUGUUGACUCGACGUUCGUUAAGUACGUCUAUCCUUGCAAGCAUGUUUGCAGCUGGUAUAUGAUCUCGUCACUUUAGCUAGAUUAGAGGAAUGCGUAUGGAGCAACAUUCUGAAAACUAGAAUUCAUCGUACUUGCUUAUCAUACUUGUGCGGUAUGGGGAUUGAGAUGAGACAUAGUGGGUAAUGUCCACGUAACUUUGCGUCAUUCUCCAGGAACAUUGAUGUUCUUAUCUCCCCCUAAUGGCAAGAAGACUGUCUUAUUAAAGUGACAACCCGCAAAAUGAGUGGUAAAGAGAUCGCGUGCAAAGGCUCGAAGAGAGCUAGUGUGAAGGAGAAUCAUGAUCGACAAAGAUUCACAUCCUUCUUUGAGGACUCAUAUUGGUACGUUGCGGUGGUGUAACUUGGCACAUGAAAUGCACACCCAAAUGCGUAAAUACAAAAAUCGUCAGGUUCGUACCUAGUAACCAACUAUAACAUCAUAUAGGUUGGGUGGCAAUGGGCCUCAAGGCGGACCAACAUAACUGAGCACAAGAUUGCAUAGCCCUAGGUAGAAACCGAAAACUUGGUACGUUUACUAUGAUUAAAGUAAUUGAUUAAUGUGACUUGAGAAUAACAUUGUGCUUCGUUGGUUCUUUGAUAUGUUACAUACUAUGAUUUGCGGUAUUAUGUGAAACAGAGUGAUUUAUAUGAUGGAUGAAUUGGAAAGUAUCUGUGUGAGAAUGGGUUACAUGUGUGUAUGAAAGAUGAUAAUUGUUGUUUGACGUAAGGUUGAUGUGUAAUAUGGUGCAUUAUGAUUUUCUGUUAUAAGUAUUUUACGGAAAGAUUAGAGUUGACGAUUGGUGAACUACGAAUGGCUUGAUCCCUUUUGAGAGUAUGUAGGCAGUCUAACGAGGAGGUUAGAUGCAUCCAUAAAGUAUAAGAAAAAUUAUCACGAAAUUCGAAUCUUGAGUUAUGCAUUGUCCAUAUCCCGAAGGCGGUAUGUGAGUGAUACGGGUAUUUGGUAACGUCACGUGUCGAUCCUGGACGUAUGUCGGGAUCGGGGUAUGACACCUACCUAAUCACGUGUUUAAUUGAAUUGGUCACAUGUAUUAAGAAACAUGAUUCAAUUAACUCAUAUUCGAGGACAAUAUCAAUAAGAUUAUCCAUAAGUAAAACAUACACCAAACUUGAAUCCAAGAACAUGGGAAAAUGUUCACAAAGUAAACCAAAGUUACGAGGGUGGAUUCGGCCAACAAGGCCAUUCAUGUCAAAAUUCUACUCUUCUAACGUUGUUUGGUGGAGCAAAAUUAGUCUCACAUGUUGACUACUAGAAUGGUACUUCUUAACAACAUUGGUAAGGGCACGAACAUGUGCAUAACCAUUGAUCUAUUCCAUCGAGAUGGAAGUAGAUUCUAUAGGGUUAAGGUUUGGGAAUACUAUCCCUUAUUCUUGAAGUUUUAGGUCUUAGGUGCCAAUGAUCAUGCUUUGGGCAUGAUGCCACACCUUGGCAUGCCCUGAUUCUACCAUAUGUUUGUGGUAGUAAUCAGAUUCGAGAAUUUGGUAAACUUCCGCUUUCUACACUUGUUGCUUCAGGGGCGAGUUAGAAACAUGGAAGGACGAGACAAGUAUUCUCUAGUCAAAAUUUGAUCGGAUUUAUAAACUUCGGAAUUGUACUCAUUCAUGGACGUAAUCAUGAUGUACUUCGGGCAAUAUUUUUCAUGAUUAGACGGUCCAUAAGAGCAAGCCAAAGAGCCACGGAAUCCUCGUUCAGGAGAUACUUUCAUUGGUAAUGCUUCGGGCAUAAGUCUUCGAAUGAAGAUCAUAGCGGAGGCUUAUUCAGCUCUUCCAUGCCAUUGUUGGCUUCAAUGGUUUCUUAGCUACCUUAAUACUCAAGUAGAGAUUCACGUCUUGUAUCCCACAUAAAGUGGUUUUUAAUAGAAAACGUCCAUAUCAGGAAAAUCAAACUUGUGACGGUUCGACAAUCCACUGAAUUGGAGGGAACAAGAUUAUGAUUGGUGUUAUGGGAAUGAAUCAUCCAUAAGCAUCAAAGUUAGAACAUUCGAGUUCUAAGACAUGAUUUUCAUGAAAAAUGUCGGGCUUUCAUGGGUGUAUUGUUUUAUGAAAACUUCAAGUUUCAAAGGCAUUAAAUUUGAAACUACAGGUUCAAUUUAGUUUAUGAAUGUUUAGUUCAAAAAAUAAAGGUUCCUGCAAGAACACAGAAUGCAAUAUGUUGAUUUAAGUGUAGUGAAUUUGAGUUGCUUCAAGAACAAGUGUGAGCGCUUCGGGACUACGAAAGUGAGUUAACGGUUCAAAGUAUAAAAAUAAAUUAUUGAAUCGUUAAUAUCCAAAAGUGGGCUUCAGGUCAAUAAUUUGGAUUAAUUAUCAAAUUAAUGGACUACAUGUCACUUUUAAUUAAUUCAAUAGAUUGAGACCAUUCGGGGUCGAUUAUAGAAGCAAAAAUAAUAAUAACAUUUGGGUUAAAAUUAUUUAGAAUGCUAAAAAUUAGCAUUGGAUUGAAAAAUAUAGCCCCAAAAAUAAUUUGGGCUCGGGUUGGCUACAAUAUGCAGCCCAUGGAUGGUUUCAGGCCACGGGCCGAGAGCAUGGAGCCCAGCAGCAGCAGUUGCUGGCUCUUUGGGCUAAAUGAGGGGCAUGGAUCAGGCCCAACGAAAUGCUGGUCUGCGGGUUGGCUGCAUGAGAGCAGGCCACGGGCUGAGGGGGACAAAGGGCCCAACAACAAACUGCUCGGUUAAAUGGGCUGAGAGAGAGGCACGGGUGUAGGCCCAACAAAAAUGUUGGCCUGGGUUGGUUCCGAGAAGCCCAGCCGAAGUUGAGUUUCUAUGUUUUGGGUCUGAGGCAACCUAAGCCUAGCAGCCCAAGCUGCUGGCAAGCAGGUCAAGACUAGGGCGAAGCCCAGUGAGUUCACAAGCCAAGGGACAUGGGACAAUGGGCCAAAAUCUGUUGGUUUUGGGCUUAGGGACUGCAAGCCCUUUAAACAGAGGUAGGCUGAAAGGCCUAGUGGUCUAGGUUAGCGCAGCAAAGCCCUAAGGCUGCUGCCGUGAAGGGUCCAAGGUGUCCGCAGUGGUGGUGCCGCAAGUGCCUAUAUAUUUUUUUGACAUAAUUAGGGUUUGAAAACCCUAAAUUUCUUCUAAUUUAUUUUAUAUAAUUUGACUCACAAAUUCCACAUAGAAAAUAUAAUUGCAUAUUGCAUGAACAAAUAUAUAUAUUGACAAAAUAUAUGAAACAUAUACAAUAUAUAUAUCGAAAGGUAAAUAUAAAUGUAGAGGGUUCAUGCAUAAUGGGGAAUGUUUUCAUGCUUCAAGGUCGUUUCAAAUAUCUUACUUUAUUUUAAGCGUACCUGAUUGGCAAAAAACUACAAAAACCUUUGAAUUUGUAGAAGAUCCUUCUUAGAAAGCCGGAAUUGCAUCUUGAAUGCGUUGUAUCACGUUCAAUACAGGAAAAUUAAAUUGAAUCAAUAGCAUGUAGAUCAAUUCAAAAUAAUAAAUUAAUCACAAAAAGAAUGAUUAAAACGUAAUACUCCCCUAAUUGAAGAAUAAACUUUAUUUAGCGCAGCGUUAAAAGCGUGCUGAUAACGUGUUGUAAGCAUAAUUUACUGAACAAUUAUGGAGGCCAUAGAGAGGGAAUGUGCGGCAUAGAGAGAGAAGAGAGAGAUGUGAAAUUGUGAGGUGUGUUUUAUUCCACCCCAUUGUGCCUUUAGUUAUAGUAGUAGGAUAGGUAAAAUCAUUUCCCUUUAGGAUUACAAUAUUUAAUAGGUAAUCAACUCCUAAUAGGACUAUAAAAUACAUUCUCAUAUCUACUAGGAUUUACACAAUCACAUUCAUAAUUUAAUAAGACUGCAACAUUAGUGUUAUUCUUAAAAUUGCCAACAAUUGUAAGAAUUUGUGUUAUAUCGUAUCUUCGACCAAAAAAUUUACAUAUUAUAGAUUCUAGUAUAAAAGGGAAUAUUUUUGUUCACCACCCUAUUUAUUACCGUUCGAUGAAUUUAAGUUUCGAGCUUUAUAUAGUGGACAUACACACAAAUCUAGGGAUGUCAAUUCUAACCGUUAAACCCGAUAACCGUGGAUAACCGUCCGAAUUGAUUGGAUUUGGAUAUGAAAAUUCGGGUAUGGUAUGGAUAUGGGGAAAAACCGUGAACUUUAUUCGGUUAUGAUUUUGGAUAUGGUUAUAGGGGUCCUCAAUCCGUAUCCAAUCCGAAAAUAUUUUCCGUCCGAAUUUUAUUCAAUUCCGACCUCUUCCUAAAUAUAUUUUAUAUAAUAUAAUAUAUUAAUUUUAUUUUGUUGGCAUACCGAACUCAACCUCAUCAAUUCAAUUCAUUAUAUGCAUACAAAACUCCUAUAUUAAUUCAUUUAAUCAUUUUGCACCAUGCAUGGGGCAUACCAACAACCUCAUCAAUUCAAUACUCUUAUUAUUAUACUCAACCAAAUUAAUUCAUUGAAUCAUUUUAUAUAUCAAUUAUCAAAUGUUACAAGUUUAUCAGAUUCAUCUCUAUUCAAGAGUCUCACUAUCAAGAAAUUGGUGCAUGUUAUCAUGAACAACUUCAAAUAUAUUGUUAUGUUUUUUGUAAUUGGAUGUUGCUAUUUAAUAACGGAAUUAGUAUCUACUAAAAUUUAUAAUGCGUCAAUUGGAUGAAUAUAAUUUUUUUUGUUUUUUGACGAAGAUGGAUAUAAUCGAUAACUGAUUGAAAAUCCGUUACCCGAUGGAUAUGAUUAUGGAUAAUCCCCGAUGGUUAAUUUGCGGUUAUGGAUAUGAUUAAUUUUCGUGGUUAUGAGGAUGGAUAUAGCAUUUCUGUCCCCAAACCGAACCGUUGCCAUCCCUAUGACAAAUCUUAAAAUUUAGACUCAUAGAAUAAUAAUAAGUUGGAUACGUAGUUAGCAUUACCAACACUUGAAGAUAAUGAACAAAAAUACACCUGUAGUAUUAAUGUUAGCAUACGGUAUUUAUUACAAUAAUUUAAUACACCACAAAAAAAAAAAAAAAAAACCCACCGAAAUGAUAAUGAUGUAUUGAAGUUAAUGGUUGUGUGCAUCCUACUAAUUGAGUGCAAGUAAUAAAAUAUGCAUCUUUAUCCAUUAUCUUAGGUGUAGCAGCUUCCUCGUGGAAACGGAAAUGAGCGAAGAAAGAUAGCUAAAAAGAUGGGAGAACAAGUGGUGCAUUUCAAGUCCCACGCAAAUUAUAAGAAUUAACCUGUUGUGGUCAUCAUCUUGAAAUGGACAAUUUUUUUAGGUGGGAAGCUAAUCAUGACCAAGAACACUAAUAAUAUAAAGUUUUCAAGGAAGUGGGUGGUUUGUAGGAGAGCAAUUUCAACGGUACGAGUACACAACUAUCACGGAGUAGUUUAGUAGUUGUAGAUGAAUUUUAGGCUCGUGUUUCACACGGUACAUUUUGAAUUCGACUCCUAGUACUGGUGAGUGGGGGCCAAAUGAAGACUAAGAUGCCUCUAUGAGACCUCUAACCCUUGAAAGAAUGAAUUGUCGUGACAAAGUUACCAAUUGGUCUCUCUUUGAAAAAAAUAGUAUGAACAUACUAUUAUUUUGGCGUCAUUUGCUAUAAUGAUACAACGUUACUUGGAUCUAUAAUAGUAUACUUUUUGUCUUGUAAGAGAAUGUAUACUAGACUGAGUGGUCGAGGAUGAAAAAAGGAAUCUUGCUGAAGGCGGAUUUUCCUUAGAAGUAUACUUUUUGUCUUGUAAGUCAUUCUCAGUUUGUAGAGUCAAGUUUUUAAUGAGUGACUAUUAAGUCCGAGAAUCUUGCUGAAGGCGGAUUUUCCUUAGAAGUCGGCCCUUCACACACACUUUUUGUUUGUCGGGUUGGAUUAUUUCAUUUACAUAAUUAACUGCAUGUGUUCUUAAAUGACCCCAAUCACUCCCAAAACACCACUCACAUGGCAUAACAUGAUUGGUGACUAACUUUUGUCUUAUAAAAAUGAGUGAGCUCUCAUAACCUUUCCUGGGAAUUUCAUCGAAAUUACCCAAACAUUGAAAACAAUCAUUCUUUCUUUGGAUCCAAAACCCAGAAGCCCUUUCAUUCUUUCUUUCUCUCUAAAAAGACACCAAAAAUAUGCUAAUACAAUGAAUACAAUCAAAAUGCAAAUAAUUAGGCCUUGUUUGGCAAUUUUCUCUCUUCUCAUUCUUUCUGGCUUCGCAACUCAAAUCCAUGGAAGCAAGCAAUCGCAAGCACUUUCACAGCUCCACAGAUCCAAAUUGAAGAACGUCGCCCACAUCGACAAGAGCCCCUUCGUGGCAAUUCUUCACGCAAACGCAACCAAAACUCAUCCUCAGGAAGGGUUGAAGGUGAAGGAUAGGAUCGUUAAAUUGCCUGGACAACCCAACGUGAAGUUCUCUCAGUAUGGUGGGUACGUUACGGUGGAUAAAAAAGCCGGCCGUGCAAUGUUUUACUAUUUAGUUGAAGCUGAGCAAGCUAAGGAUUCUUCACCUCUUCUUCUGUGGCUCAAUGGAGGUAAAUUACUAUCCUACGUACCUGCAAAUUGUAAUAUCAAUGCCACCAGCUCAACUGAUGAUGUUAUAAUUUGUCAUUUGCUGCGAAAGUUAUGGGUGGUUAAUUGUGAUCUCUUUGUCUAAGUAUACAUUAUUUUCCUUUAUUUUAAUUAUUGGUGAUUGAUAGAAGUCGAAAUAUAUGAAGUAUUCCACUAAAAUCCCAACUAAAUAGCUGGCUUAAGCUUAGCCAAAAUAGCUAGAGCAAUAUGCUCAUUUUUCUGCAGUCAAAUUCUAAUUUCUAAUCUCCUUUCUUAAAAUUUUGAUAAAUUAAUGUAAAAUAUCACUUGUUUAAAAACAAAAUUCCAAAAAAUGCUUCUUGUAUGGUACUAGCUACUCCAAUAUAUCUUUUUUUUCUGUAUUUCCCCACUCUCUUUGUAGUGUUCCCACACCUUUGCAUGAUGGUUCCUAGUUUUUCUUCGGCCUGAUAUGAUUAUAAAAAGAAUAAUGUUUUAUAGCUAAUUAUGUCCCUCAAUUAUUGAUGCCCUAAACAAUAAUUUUCAUUACCCAAAAGGUUAAUUGUAAUCAAUUGCUUGUCUUGUAAAUUUACAUCAUUAAUUUUUUUCAAUGAUUUAGGCCUAACAACCACAUAUUGUAUUGCGAUAGUCGCACCAAACACACGCAUGACUCUUUGUUAAUCUUGACGUAUGUGAAACUUAAUGCAAAUUCCCCAGAAGGCUAAUCCUGGCACCUCUCCUUAAUUUUCGGAAGGGGUGGUCCCUUGUGGAGGAUAUCUCGGCGCUCAUGCUGAAUCUAAUACGUCUCUCUAUUGGAAAAUAUACAUAAUAUAUAUAUGGACGUUGAAAAAGUUUGUGAUUUGUAUGUUGAUAACAUGCAGCUCAAUUAUACAUCAGAUAAAUACAUAUAGGUUAGUUGUCCACAUGCCACAUGAUCAUUUUUAUUUACACAAUUGGGUUACCAUCUUCUCCUUUCUACCAAUGAUUUGGCAUAAGACUGUUGCCAUACACCUAGUGUACUGGUAUUUAAACGGUUAGAUUGCAAUUGUAACAAUUCAAUCAUACAAAUUUAGUCAUCCAAUGCACCGAUGCAUCUCAUACACCAGUAUAUAUAGAAUUAUCUUAGAACAUCAUUCUAGUUUAGUCUUACUAACUUCCACUUGCAUCCUGUGUCAAUUGGAUCCAGUGACAUAAAUUACUAACUACUACUUUGAUGACAUUUUAAUAAUUUAUUACCUAUUAAUUGGUACAUAUUAACUGACAAUAAUAUAAGGUUGCCAUUGCUUAAUAUUUUCACAGGACCUGGUUGUUCUUCUCUUGCCUAUGGAGCAAUGCUCGAGCUUGGACCAUUCCGAAUCCACAGCGAUGGAAAAACACUUUACAGAAACAGAUUUUCAUGGAAUCAUGGUAUAUAUUUAAAACACAAUUACCAGACCUUAAUUUAUAAAUCUUCAAAGUUUAAUCUCUUUUUUUUCUUCAGCUGCUAAUGUGUUGUUCCUUGAGUCUCCUGCUGGGGUGGGAUUUUCAUACUCAAAUAGAACAUCAGAUUACGAUGCAAGCGGGGAUAGAAACACAGCUGCAGAUAAUUAUGUAUUUUUGGUGAAUUGGUUGGAGAGGUUUCCUGAAUACAAGGGCAGGGAGUUUUAUAUCUCUGGGGAAAGUUAUGCAGGGCAUUAUGUACCUCAACUUGCACAUACCAUUCUCUACCAUAAUAAAAGGGCUAACAAGACCAUUAUCAACCUCAAGGGCAUAAUAGUAUGUUCCUCUCUCUCUCUCUCUCUCUCUCUCUCUCAAAUUGGGAAGUCCCAACUCUAUGGCAAACAAUUUUUUGUUUUAUAUAUAAGCGAUAUUGGAGGGGGGGGUUUCGAUACGGAACUAUGAUUGUAAGGGAAAAUGCUCUUAAUCAACUGAGCGAGUCCCUUAAUUGGGAAGCACAAAUCUAUAGCAAAUAAUUAGAAUUUAGACUUCAUGUGGUUCUAUGUUCUUGGAUUCUUGGUAGUUGGUGAAAGUUGUAAAAAGGUCAUAGGAAAAAUGCCUGCAUUGGAGGUGAUUGGUCGCUCCUGGCAAGGGUUGACCAACUCCCACAUUUGGUGGUGCAAAAUGGUAGGCUAUUUGUCAUCAUAUAAUCCCUUUUGCUCUUGGUUUUCCAUAAUUCUUGGUCUGGUCAUCAUGUUUGUUUUUUAUGACUGGUGUUACCUUGCCUAAUUUUAGUGGGUGGGUGGGAAAUCUGCUUAUUAUAUGCUUGACUAUCACUUAAUGAAUUGGGUAAAAAAAAGGAAAAAAACUGAGAAUUUAUUGUAUGAGAAAGUAUUUCUGCACUUCUUUUUCAUUAAGAUCAUCUCCAAACUUGGGCUAAAAGCCAAAUUACCCCCUCAAACACUCUCCAACUCAUGUUAAAAUUUUAGGCUAAAUGUCAAAUGUUAUUUCUGGGCCAAAUACCCCACAGCUUUCCCCGGGGCUAAAUACCAAAUAUUUAUCGGAAUUUAAAUUUUUUUAGAUUAAAAUGUUCAUAAAAUUAAUUUACAAUAAUCAACAUAUUUAUUUAAAAAAUUGAUUUAAGAAAAAAAUUAGCCUAAGUUAAUAAUUUCGGGCUAAAAUUUUAGGACAGAAGGGUUGGAGCAGAAAAGAUGUUUCUGGGCUAAAAGCUAAAUUUUUCGGGCUAAAAAAUUUGGCUUUUAGCCCAAGGGUUGGAGAUGGUCUUAUUUUUUAUAUUUUGCAUUGGGACAAAAAAUAAAUAGAUGCGUGCAACAUGAAAAGGGGUUGCCAAAAUCAUUUUCCUUUUUUAUAAUCCGGAGCACUAUGCUGGCCACUCGCUCUAAUGGAUGCGAGAUUCAUUGGCACAUAUUUAUUUACUUAUUAGUACCAUAUCCUAGGUCCAUCAAAUAUAUAUUUACCAUGUCGAAUGUUUGUAUUACAAUUAUCUAGUACGACGGUGUGAUGGUUAACAUCCAAAUUUGUUGUCGCUAUGACAUGUUCAAAGCACUGGUGACAAUGAAGCAUAUAAAGUUCGCUAAAAUUUUGGCAACAUUGCAAAUACCCUAUCUCACUUCUUUACUCAAAGCUUUCUUUAAUUGUUACAUGAUGCAGAUUGGGAAUGCAGUGAUCAAUGAUGAAACUGAUACAAAAGGAAUGUACGACUACCUUGCGAGCCAUGCUAUCAUUUCAGAUAAAACUGCAAAUGAUAUUAAUAAGUACUGUAAUUUUGCACCUACUGUCACUACCGAUCAGCAUAAGGAGUGCAGUGAUGCCACUGAUGCUGCUGCUAAAGAUACCUAUUACGUUGACAUUUAUAACAUCUAUGCCCCUUCAUGUUUGUCUACCAACCUCACUGCAAAACCCAAAAAGACUUCAGUAAGUUAAAACAAGACCCUAAAAUUUUACCGCAUAUAGAUAUAUGCAACUCUGCUAAUUGCAAAACAUAAUCUUGCGUUAAUAUAUUCAUCGUGCAGAUAUUCAAAUUUGAUCCGUGUAGUGAGGACUAUGCGUAUGCAUAUUUGAAUCGGCCUGACGUUCAACAAGCUCUCCAUGCCAAUGUCACCAAACUCUCUCACGAUUGGGAACCAUGUAGUGAUGUUAUCACAUGGGGCGAUAGCGCAUCAACCGUACUACCUCUUUUACAUGAGUUCCUGGAGAAUGGACUUCGAGUGUGGAUUUUCAGGUGAAGUUUCAGACUUUUUCUUGUUCGUAUGUUAUAUAUUCUUAUAAAUGCUAUGCAAUUUCAAUACUUGAGGAAAAGGACAUGCAGUUUUAGUGUUAGGAGUAGAAACGAUCUUAUUUUUAUGAAAAUAUUGAAUGCAGUGGCGACAUUGAUGGGAGGGUACCAGUCACUUCAACAAAGUAUUCUCUUGACAAGAUGAAUCUUCCAGUAAAGACUGAGUGGCACGCCUGGUUCCUUAGUGGAGAGGUAUUAUUAGGAAUUGGAUCCACUCCUAACCUUAGUGUUCGGAGUUUAAGGAUCAACAUAUCUAGACCGCAUAAAUUGAAUCUGACAGUCUUCAUUAACUCAUUUUGUUGGCCCACCACACAUAAACCAACAUCUCUUAUUUCUUUUACACACCAAUCAACGGCCCAGAUGUGUUAAUCCUUAAGCUCCAGACACUGAGGUCCGAAGCGGAUCCAACUCCGUAGUAUUAUACGACAUUAUUUAUUUAUUUUUUCUUUCUACUGUUCUUUGUUUCAGUAAUUGAAUUUUCAGAAGACCUUCAAAAGUCUUCAUAAGUUCUAUAUGUGUCGUUGAACAGGUUGCUGGGUACACACAAGUGUUCGAGGGAGGCCUAACAUUUGCUACAGUGAGACACGCAGGGCAUCAAGUUCCAAGCUAUCAGCCUGCAAGAGGACUUUCACUCAUCAAGCACUUCCUUGAUGGCACACCUCUUCCCGAUACUAAAAGAUAUAACUAGCUAGCUAAUUUCUCCAAAUCUUUCUACCUAUUCGACUGGCAUUACCUUGUUAAUAAUUUUUUUUGGUCCACACAAGGUUAAUUAAUUGAUUUGUCAAACUUCAAGUUGUAAUUUAUUGUUAUUGAAAUUAAUAAAAGUUCACUGCAAUUUUUCAUGUCCUCUCGCUAGACUAAUAUCUCAUGUAGAAAUAUGACUUCUUAGAUUAACAUUUACUUGAUAUACAAGGAACAGUAACUAAGGAGAAGAAUCCAGAAGUAAGGCCGCUAUUCUAACACCUCAGGAUUACAUACCUUGAUUUAUUUGUAGGAUUAUAUGACGUUAUGUAAGAUCAUAUUCCUUUUGAUUCUAAACUUUAGAUCGCAAAGUUUAGAACCAAAAGGAAUAUGAUCUUACAAACAAAAUGAUUACAAAAUUUAUUUUGUACACUCACUUUAGAAGCUCACAACAAUUUUGGGGUACAAAUUUUUUGAUGAUGUUAUCUCUUCUCGCAGUGCAGGUAUGUAUAACAAGUUGCAUGAGUGGAGUGCAACCUAAUACCAUCGGUUAGGAAUUCUACGAUAAGAGAAACUAUAUGAAAAAGAUGAACUAUAAAAUCAAUCAUAUAAUUGUAUUUAUAGCACAACGGAAGGUAUUUAACAAGGCGAAUGAUUACCUUUGAAUAUAGAAAUUUGAGAGAGAAAUUCUUGAUUUUCGAUUAAAUAAUAUGAUAAGAUGAAAGCUACGAAUUUCAUACUUUCACUUGAAUGUUAUAAACAUUAGAUAAUCUGAAUUCACGAAUCCACGAUAAAAGUAAUAAUCCAAACUAAUCUAACUCAUUCAUUGUUACACAGCGGGGAAUAACUUUUCGAAAAGUACAAUUAAAUAAGUUAGUUAAUUAUAUAGAAAACAUAAAAAACCUAAUUUGUAGGAAACUCUAGAGGUUCCACUUCCAGACCAUUCUUAACUAUUUGUCCAGACUAUUCUUUUAACUAUUUGUCCACCAAGAAAACAAUCAUAGGCCCAAACCAAAACCCAAAAUUAAAAAAUUAAAAAUUAAAAAUUAAAAUACCAAACUUUCUUAAAAGCUCUUAAAACCCGGAUUUUGUUUAUUCUCCUGAAUACUGAAUGGGAUCAUUGCAUCCCCACUACCAUCACCGUCCGCACUACCACCAUCUCCGUCAUCAUGGUCACGACGACCACUACUAUCUGCCAUCAUACCUCGCCACCGCCACCUCCACCAUUUCCAACUCGAUCACUUCCGCUACCUCCUAAUCACCAUCACAUCACCACUCUUAACCAACAUUGUUACCACAACACCCUCCGCUACUAUUGUUGCGGUUACUAAAUAAUCAUAGGUCACCAUUGUUGUUGCCGCCACCACCACCAUUCCUCGCUAUCAUCACCAUCUAUACCGCCACCACUCCAACCACCAUUGCCCCCUCAGACCUGGCAAUUGCACCACACACAUCCAACAACCAUCGCUAUUGCUACUUAGUACUAUGGUUUAACACUAUUCCCUAUACACUUCCAAGUAAGUGGUUUUACGCUCGAAUCUCGUAAAUGGCAAGUUCGAUUCCAAUUUAUUUUGCACUUUGUGCUACAAAUAAAUCGUUGUAUAAAAAAAAUAUUGUCACCAUCUCAAUUAGAAGUUUGAGGAAUUUUAAUGAAUUAACAAAUUCAUAAUUUUUAUAGUGUUUAAUUGAUUUCUCAAGAUUCAUGUAAAAAUCCCUAAAUUUAAGAAGAAGAAAAAAAUCCCUUAAAAUGUUUCUAAAUACAUGGACGUUGUAUUCAUGAAGUUUAUGGAGUUCUAUAGACUCCAUGUGAACUUUAGCUGAAUUCAACAGAAAUCUUAAGAAAAAAAGCACGAUUUUCUAAAGUCUAAAAAACACGGAUAAUUCCUUCCAAAUCCAUUUAAAUUCUUCAUUUUUCAAAAUACUUUAAAAUAAAAUCUUAAUUGAAUAUACAUGAAAUUUUAUAAAUUAUUUUAAAUUCAAAAUAAAUACAUUCACAUUUCUAUACAAUUUUACAAACUUUUUCAAAAUUUAAUUGAAUAUUCGGGAACUUUCAUAAUUUAUUUAAAUCUUAAUUGAAUAGUCAUGAUUUAUUGAACUCUUUUAAACUCCUAAUCGAAGAAACCUUGUGUAUAACGUUGCUAAACUCAAUUUACCGACAGAUUACGAGCAAAGAUGGAUAUCUCUCUCACCGGCGACAAGAAGAGGCGGAGCAGCAGCUCAAGAGCAAGAUCUCCGACCACAAUACUCUCUCUCCAACACGAAAUCCUUUGCACCAUCUUCUCUUUCCUCGACUUCUUCGACCUCGCAAGUUGUUCCGCCGUAUGCAAAACCUGGUACUCGAUUUCAACUACCCUUCCUUCGGAAUUUUGUAGGUAAAUUUGAACUGGGUUUUUGUUACUUUUAAUGCAGGAGCACGGUGAUCAACAAGUCUAAGUUGCUCCGAGUGUUUUGCCGCAAGCAAUGGCAGAUGGGUCUUGCGGGUUCUAGCAAUGGGUCUAGUGAUGGUCCUGAGAAACCUUGGGAGGUUAUUUUGGAGGAGAUGGCUGUGGAGCGUCAUAAACUGGCGUUACAAGAUGGUCGAAUUCGAGUCGAUCACUUGAGGGGUCACUCUGUUGGGUAUUGCCUUUAUCCUUCUUAAUGUUCAAUUCACUUUUCUUCGUACACUUUUCGGUGUGAUGCAACUUUUGUGAAUCAUAAUGUGAAGUUUUUGGAUUUCUCUGUGUCUUUUCAUUGUGCAAGAAGCAGCCUAUAUAAUGCAUUGAAAGUUUUGAUUGUGUCAAUUGAGGGCUGAAUCGCGGGAAUGAAACAUUCUAUAGAAUUAAUUGAUUUAAUCUAGAGUUUACGUAUAGAUGAAUUUGGAGCGGCCGUUGCUUGAGAAGGCAUUUAUUGAAGAAAUCGGUUAUCUCGUUAACCGAGAGGGGCAAAUGAAUAGUUGAAUACGAACGUCAAUGCUUGUUAAACCUCACGAGAUACUUCACGCCUCAUAUUUCAAUUUUAAUUACAUUUAAGAUUAUACUUUCUGACUGUAGAAUUAUAUAUAUGGUAUUAUUAAAUGCUGCAGCUGGGGUGCCAAACAAAUUCUGGUUUAGUUGGCUGUGUGUGUAUGUAGGCUCAUAGCUUGAUGAGGGAAGGGAUCUGUGUUAGUUCUUAUCUUAUGCCUAGGCAUACUGCUCUCUGCGGGGAUGAUAUCAUUUCCUAACCUUGCUUUGUCUUAGGGUUGGACAGUGUCGAAAGAAGAUGGGGUUGCUUCUCACUGGCGGCGGUGAUAAGGUAGUUUCCUUUGUAAACAACUUACAAAACUAGCAUCUUUAUGUAUAAUAAAAUAUAUUGAAGUUUUUUGACCGAAAGGUCACAGGUUCAAGUCGUGGAAACAACCUCUUUGUAAGGCAAGGGUAAGGCUUUGUACGAUAGACCUUCCCCCUGAUCCUCGCAAAGUGGGGAGCCUUGUUGGCUUGGGAUCGCUCCUUUUUUUAACUGUUAAUUAUCCAAAAGCACAAAUAUUCCCGAGUCCUGAAUCUCUUGAUGUACUUCCAAACUGGGGGGAGCUUGAAUAUUAUCCUUGAAUAUGUUCCUAGAUCACGAUUCCUCCCUAUAUUUUGCCCAUUGUGAUAUUUCAACUCUAUACUAUAAUGUGACAACUUCUUGAGGCAAGAAGUUAGUAUCGUACAUGUUAUUAUUAGGUUUUGGAUAUGCUUCAGACGUAUGGACGUGUUCUAAAUGUAAUUUAAAUGUAUUUGUAUCUGGCCUCCAAAUGUGUCAUUUGUACAAGCACCGCCCACUUGGCUUGCAAAUAUGCUUGGAGGAUCGUAUUAACAAAUGUCAAAUUCAAACUAAAUGAUAUUGGCUGUGGAAUAAGUUUUUUAUUUGACUGAAAUUGUAUUUUUGAAUAAAUGGUCCAUCUUUUCAGUUCUCAUCAGCUCAACUUGCAUGCAUUUUGCCUAUUCCCACUUUAUACCAUCCUUCACGUUUUUCCACCUAAGCCAAGGCAUCAAGCGCUUUGUUAGACUUUGCACUUGGCCCUAUCGUAUCUUUUAACUAAGUAUACCACUCUUCGUGUCCACGAACCUUGGAAUUUCUUUGUUCAACAGACCUUGUUCCGCAGGGCCGACCCUUUCUUCUCUUGAUAGCUUGUAGUAAUAAACUCAUGAACUUGUUCAAUUGUUGUUAAUUAUGUGGUCAUGAGGUUUUCUCUUCAGUAUAGUUCUUCUGACUUUUGACAUGGCAAUGAUGCUAGGUUAUGCGUCUUUGGUCAUUGGAAAGCUAUAAAUGUGUGGGAGAAUAUCCCACUCCAGACAAGGUCCAUUUGGUUGACUUUGAUUUUGAUGAAAGCAAGGUAAUUCAAACUUAUUACUUUUUCAUGCAAACGAGACUCAACUUAAAUGCUAUCAUGUUACAGACCACAUAUUGAUCUGAAGCUUAAUCUGGAUAUAUCAUUGACUUACCGUUCAGAUUGUGAAGCAAGACUGUGACUUCUGUUGUUUUCUGGACAUCUUGAUAAAGGAUUGCAAUGCCAUGCAUUACUUUUUCAUUCAAACAAGACUCAACUUAUAUGCUAUCAUGUUACAGACCACAUAUCGAUCUGAAGCUUAAUCUGGAUAUAUCAUUGACUUACCGUUCAGAUUGUGAAGCAAGACUGUGACUUCUGUUGUUUUCUGGACAUCUUGAUAGUGGAUUGCAAUGCCAUGCACGCACCUUAGUUUAACAGAUCGACCUAGGAGUGAAAUUGUAGCAUUAACAUCAAUUUAUAUGACAGAAAAUACAAGGGCUUUUGAAAUAUGCUAUUGAGCUUAUUGCAUUCUUCAACCUUACUUGGAAAUGUAAAUAGCAUGUAUGCUGUUCAAUUCCUUUCAUCCAGUUUAGAGACUGGUAUGGAUGAUUCAUUGUGAUAAUAUUGUUGGAUCUUUAACCUCGAGUGUGAAUAGCUACCUUAUUUAAUAGUCCUUAGUCAAAGCAUGCUGCUUUCUAUAAUUAACGGAAUUUCAGACAUGACUGACUUAGUUUUCUGUAGAUUGUAGGUUUGGUUGGCACUCGUAUAUGCAUAUGGAGGAGGAAUGCGAUGAGAAGUAUAUUUCCCUCAUGUGAGGGCACCUUUCCGAAGGGUUUAUGCAUGCGGUAUGCAGAGAAAAUACUCUCAUUAUUUUUACUUUUAUUUUGUAAGUGCUAGAAUGCAUUACUUCAUGAGCAGCAAUAUGCAUGGUAAAGACCAAUAACAUAAAAUUGGAGAUUUAUUAUUUGAUUUCUUUCACCAAUUGGUUGGGCAGGGGAUUAUCUGAAUAUUUUACAUUUUGAGCUUCUAUCAAUGGUUGUUCUGAAAGUUUCUUGUUUUGAUUGAUUGUAUCUUAUUUAUUUGUUUACUAAUAUUGCCGUUACUAUUGCUUUUGGACUUUAAAAAAUUCCUUUGUUGCUGAAGGCCUUUCAAUUUUUUUUACGGUUGUUUUUACUUGAUCAUUUCUGUUUUGGAAUAGAAUGCUAGAUAUGUAUGGAGGUUUACUUUUGAUGGUUUUCACAUUCUGUUCUGAUUGUAGUUACUGCGAUCCUGAGGCUGUGGUUGGAUGCGAGGAUGGGACAGCUCGUGUAUUUGACAUGUAUAGUAAACAAUGUUCUCAAAUCAUUAGGUAUGUACUACAAAGAAUGUAGCUUCUAGAUUGGUGUUUGUAUUUGUUUUCAUUUUCCUUCUAAAUAAUACAGUGAAUUUAUACAGCUUAACAAGAUACCUUUUGACUUGUAGACAUGCAUUUAAAUUUCUAGAGACAAAAAAGUUCCUGUCUGUAAAACGAAAACAGGAAGUAUAAGUUAGAAUUUAGAAUAAUUUCUCUUCUGGCAUAGAAUGUUCAGUAUUUGCUGUAAUAUGAAUAUAUAUGCUACUCAAUGGUUUAUGGAUUUUCUUUUGAUUCCUGAUUGCAGAACGCAUGCGGGGCCAGUAACAUGCUUAUGUUUGAGUGAUGAUCAGUUGAUACUUAGUGGUUCAUCUCUUGGUGGUAUCACAAUAUCUGGACUUUCAUCUGGCGAGCAGGUUGCGAAAUUAAGUUCAAAUGAUUCCUCAGGUUACACUUUAUGCGUGCUCUACCAUUGUUAUGAGGGACACCUACAUUCCAGUUAUAACUUCUGAUACAUAAAACUAAAAUAAAUUUGAAAGCUCAUCAGGACACUAAUUACAUUCUUUUUUUCAUCCUCCACCACUCAGUCUAGUAUAUCUGAUUCACUGUGUGCUGGACAACUCAUUCCGUCGUACAUGUCGACAGAGAUACACUAUACUUUGUUCAUAUAAUUUUGAGUACUUCAUCAAACUGCCAAUGGGAUCAUGUAGAAGUCAUAAUUGCACUGUCUCAUAUUUGUUUCGUGUCUUAUAACUGCUGGGUGUACUCUUACUACUUAUGCCCUUUUGUCCUUGUUGAAUGAAAUAUAUUCAUGUGAAAGCGAAAUCAUAAGGAUUUUGAUUGCAGUUGUUUAGAAGUGUUGGCACUUAACAGUACAUCAAUAUUCUAAAUAACAUAUUUAUGGGUUUUGAGCAAUCCUCGAUCUUGGAGUGAUAAGGACAUUAUGUUCAUGACAGAGAUCAUAAAUCUAGUAUCAAUUUUUCAAUGCAGGCAUAAAGACUUUGUGUUUCAACCCAGGCUCUCACUUAGUAUUUGCUGGAUCGGCUGCUGGAUAUGCAUUAUGUUGGGACGUUAGGUAUGAAAUAUGACUUAAAAUGCUUUUUAAGAAUUUUAAUUUGCCUGGAUGUGCACUUUAGCUUGAUCAUAGUCUAUGUUAUAACCGUUUCCAUUUUGCACCUCGUUACAAUUCGAAUACAAGGUUUGGAUUACUUCAAAUAUUCUGUAGAUGAUAUCAUUGGUAGAUAGAAAGCUUGUAUGCAACUAGUCAGUUACUUAUCCUUUCUACAGAAUGAGAGUUGCUUCAAGAUGAAAACUUCAAUAAAAGCGACUAUGAAAAAGUGUGUAGACCCCCAAUUUUUUGCCCUCCAUCGUUCACCUAAUGGAAGUGUCCAUGGUUAUGAGACACCAGGCCACCUCUCUAAUAGACAAGGGAUUUUAAUCGAAGAUAGUGUCUGACAGCCCUUAGUGUGUUUUGAAGUGUCAAUUUAACGACAUAUUCUGAGGUGAUUUCUGAUAAAAUGCCUAUUUAACUGUACAUUAAUUAUCAUUAAAAGAAAACCCACAACUUUUAACCAAAAGAAAAAAUCUUAAAACGCAACGAAUUAAGGCAAAAAACUUGAGAAGCUAACCAACCAUGGAUAGGGCAACUGACAAUGAUAUCAACAAAGCGACAUCCAAACACAUGUGAACGAACAUCACAUAUACUUGUUCCAAUUCUAGAAAAUAUGUUUCUUAGAAAUAUAAUCUCGAUUCUUUUGGGGCUGAAUCUUCACUGUUUCGCUGAAACCAAGGGCUGAACACUAGUGUUGCUGAAAUAUUAAGCCUUAAGGUUUAGAGUGGUUUAUCAAUUUUCAUUUCGGCGUCUAUUCUUUAUACUUUUGUGUGACGUGUAUUUCUCUGGACAGAUGCUAAAUAUAUGGUUGUUUUAUCACCAACGGAUUUCAGCAUAAAAAUCUGUAGUUUUUAUAUGGUGGUUUUAUUAUCGUAAAAUUUGUAUGCAAAACUUACCCUUUACGUCCUAGUUUUCUCUGUCUCCGCCCUUUAUUUUACUGUCUCGAUUGUUACAGAUGACGUAAUACAGUUGUGUGUUAAUGUUCUUCUGUUAUAUUGUAUGAUUCAGGACAAUGAAAUGCUUAUGGGAGACACGAGUGAGUCCAAAUAGGGUAUACACGUUGCAGCACAUGAGAAAUGAUGCAUCGACGUUGGCGGUUGGUGGAAUAGACGGUGUGCUGCGUCUUCUGAACCAGUGCACAGGUGAAGUAAUUUCAAGAUGCGUCUUGGAUGGAUAUUUAUCGUCAAGUUCUCAAAGCACGAUUGGGGCUACCCAAAGAAUGAGAGGAACAAGGCUUUCGGAAGAUACCCCCGUUGAGAGCAUUCUUAGUACCAGACGGCCUCCCAUUACGUGUUUGAUUGUCGGGAUGAGGAAGGUUAUCACCACGCAUUACGAUAAGUACAUCAGAAUCUGGAAAUUCGAGUAAGACGACCACUCUUUGUUUGCAAUGACAUGUAUGUGAUAUUCAUGAUAAUGUAUAUGUAUAAAGUUUAUUUAUGGUUCGUGUACAAACUGCAACAAAUUCUUGAUCUUGAAGUAGAAACCGGUUUUCCGUCGAGUCCUCCGAGAAAAAUAGUAGUUUGAUUUUACUGAUGGUUCCAUAAUUGAACCGAUUGACAAGAAAUUUAGAAUCGAAACCGGAAAUUGCAGAUGAUGUCUUGAAAAUGAAUGUCGGAUGGAAGAAUUUGAUCUUGGAGGGUCGGUACUCAUAUUUCCAGUUUGAUUAUUUCGCCAGCUUCCCUAAUUAUGGCCAAUUUCCCACGUGGAGUAUUAUAACUGGUCAAUUCCCGCAUUACAUCUAAUUAUCGGUCCAUAAAACUCUCGUCGGUUACAAAAUAUUAUUUGUUGUUAUUUUCUCUUUCUUUAAACAAGUCAGUUUUAAUGAAAAGGUAGAUCAAUUACGGAGAAAGAUAAUGGUACAUGGAGAUAAAAGAAUGAGGAAAAUAAAAAUUCAGGAGAAAAAUCGACGAAAUAUAUAUAUUUUUUGUUUUUAAUUUAUUCGAAAGGUAUGGACUUUAAGCCCAUGUUUAAAUUCAUCAAGUCCAUGACUCAGCCCAAGCCCAAUCCCAUUAAAAAUCCCACAACACCCUAUAUUUCUUUUGACGUCACUCUUUUUUCUUCUUACCCAGAAUCAAAAUUCCCACGCCAAAACCCUAACCCUAGAAACUCCAGAAGCUCCAAAAAUGGUGUGCAUACGCAAGGCCACAAUCGACGACCUCUUGGCGAUGCAAGCCUGCAACCUUUUCUGCCUCCCUGAGAAUUACCAGAUGAAGUACUACCUCUAUCACAUCCUCUCAUGGCCGCAGCUCCUCUACGUCGCCGAGGACUACAACGGCCGCAUCGUUGGCUACGUCCUGGCCAAGAUGGAGGAGGAGAGCAACGAGUGCCACGGCCACAUCACCUCCCUCGCCGUCCUCCGCACCCACCGCAAACUCGGUCUCGCCACCAAGCUCAUGAGCGCCGCCCAGAACGCCAUGGAACAGGUGUUUGCGGCGGAGUACGUGUCUCUUCAUGUGAGGAAGAGCAAUCGGGCAGCGUUCAAUUUGUACACGGAGACUUUGGGGUAUAAGAUUCAUGAUGUGGAGGCGAAGUACUAUGCCGAUGGGGAAGAUGCGUAUGAUAUGAGGAAGGAGCUCAAGGGAAAGAAGGUGUAUGGACAUAGUCAUGGGCAUGGGCAUCACCACCAUCAUCACCAUCAUGAAGGUGGGUGUUGCUCAGGGGAGGUGGCAAAACCAGAUAAGGCAGAGGCGAAAAAGGUCGGGAGAGGGAAUGCCAAGGCGGAGGCCAAAGCGGUAUGAGAGUGCGAGGUAAAUUGAGUUAUUUGGAGGAAGUGCAUUUUCUGUUGUUUUACUUUAUCUAUGGUUUUGAUGCUUAGUGUUUGUACUGCAAUUUGGAAAAUGCAUUUGAGGAUUCGGAACUUUCAUAGUUUUCAUCUUAAGUCAAUGUUUGAAUGCUUACUCUGCUUUGAGUGGUCUAUGCUGUAAUUUUAAGUUUAUUUUUCUGUUCAUUGGCCUGGCCUCUUUUGUUCAUAAUUUGGUUGAAGAAUGCAGUGUUGAAUCACAAUAAUGAUUAUACAUUGAUUAGAGAGUUAUGUUUAUAUUUGAGUUUGUUCCGUUUGAUGAUGUGUACCGCAUGUCAUGUUCUUAACAUGUAAUGCUAAAUCUUUCUUUAUCAAUACUACUGAAUUCUAUUGGUGGCAGAAUUUGCGAAUGAGACUGGAAUUGAAUAGGAAAAAUGGCUAGCUUAGUAGUUGUUUUGCUUGGUUAAGUUAACAACAAACCCACACUCCCAUAAUGCACUAAACCCGCAUCUUGCUAUUUAGCCUUGCCCUUUCGAGGGAACAUGUGCUAUUGUGCCCAAAGGUUAGAAAAUGAGAUUAUGAGAUAGAGGCUCAGGGAAAAAGGGGUCGUGGAAAACCUAGGAAGACUUGAAAAGAGAGUUUAAGAAAAGACAUUGAAGUACUUGGAGCUAACAAAAGACUUGACGCAAAAUUGAGCGCAAUGGCGUUCUAGGAUUCAUAUAGCCGUCCCCACUUAGAGGCAUAAGGCUUUGUUGUUGUUGUUGUUGUUGUUGUUGUUGUCGUCGUCGUCGUUGUUGUUGUUGUUGUCGUCGUCGUCGUAGUAGUGUGUAUAUAUGCAUGUACACAAGAGUAGCACUUUGGCAUUGAAAAUGAAGAUCAAUAGCUUUUUGAAGUAUGAGAUUGUAUGUGAAGUUAAAUUGUUUGAUGAUUUGCUAUCCUGCUUUCUCUGGCUUUUCUAAAUUGGGGAGGAAUAAAAGGUGUUUUCUAUUUUGGGCACUUGUCCUUUGUUACAAAUUUCUCUCUUUUGUCCUCCUAAUCAUUUUGUUUGGUUAAUGCUUGCAGUUUUAAGUUGUUUUGAACAUGAGUUUCUCUUCAGAAAUGUUUUAAAUCGGAGCUGUCUCUAUGUUCAUUAGUUAAUCACCCAAGCAUGUUGGCAUGAUGGUGAAUUUCCUUGGAAGUGUGAGGUGUCGAAUGACUAAACAGGUCCAGUAAAGUAUAGAUUUAAGAAAUGACCAAAUAUAGAACCUAGUUUUGACUAAGAGCGCCGAAGAUUUUUUAUCUACGCACUGAACAAACACUCUGAUAUGUUGUAAUGCAGUGGGCAAAGAGAUUGAAUAGAAAAUAGGAUGUUUUCCAACUGACAUUCAGAAAUGAGCACCCGAUUAAAGUUCCUAGUCCAUCACUUGCACCAGGUAGGGUUCCAAUGUAUAAUGAAUCAAGUGAUCGCGAGAUAAGCUAAUCGAAACAGCACAAAUAUGAAGGAAAACAGUUUCUGCUUUCUUAAGGUAUCAAUAUUUUUGAAGUUUGGAGGCUUAUGUCAAUCUAUGACAAUUGUUCGAAUUGUUGUAUCCAAGUAUGCAUUAUACAUUCAAUUGAGCGAAUGACACGUGUGCCAACGAAUUUCGAAGAGUUUGGCGUGGUUUUCUCUCAUUGAUCUUUAAUAUGAAAGUGUGAGGCACCUGUUCGUUGACUAAUUGAGUCCAUUCUCCAAGGUUUUAGUAGACAUUGGGUCGCUAUAAUUUGCUCUUCUGGAUAAGAAACAAACAGUCAUUGAAGGGAGAAGAAAGUGUACAAAAACCAAGUUUCUGUAAGCUUACACUCAUAUGCCUAAUAUUUUAUUUAUAUCUUUUCCUGGCAGGUAUUUUCAACAAUAGAUGAUAACAGUUUUAACACUAGGGCCUUUAACUUAAGCGCCCACUUGACAACCAUAUCGUUUAUUGUUUUUGCAGAGGUUGGAAUAAUUUUCCCUUGACUGGUAUGUUGAUAAGUUUGUUUUUGUAGAUACCAGAGAAGAUCUCUGUGUGAAUAUAAAGGUUCGUACUUUUCCCUUUUUAGUUCUUGGCUAUACAAGCAUCUUCAAAAUUUUGAAGAAAACUUGAGAAAUCAAUAGAAUUUGAUUGCAGAUUAAGAAAACUUAAGAGACCGGUUCAAUUGGGUAGAUGAAAAAAGGAAAGAAAAGAAAAAUAUUUGUAAACAUACGGUACGUUUGAAGAAUUUGUUUAUACUUAUGGAGACCAUUUUAUUGCUAAGGAAAUCGAGGAAAAGAAAACAAAGAACUAAUUAAGAGUUGUUUGAGUUGUUUAUAGAGAGAGGACUUGGUAAAAACAACUAAUAUUUUUGUUUAUCUAAUGGUUGUUAUUUGCUUUACUGAGAAUGUAGCUUUUAUUGUGAUUAGUUUCGGGUUUUGGAGCAGAUAUUUGUGUCCCGAGCCGUAUCUAGUAGAUUUUGGAGAUAUAGUGCAUUUUCAUUUAAUAGACGUAAUUCUUUUUACCAUUGUUUUGUGUAUAAUUAUGCAACUUAUAUAUUAUGAUGUGACAGAUUGUUUCGCUACCAAUGCAUCAACAUAUAUUAAAAAGAAAUAUUUAAAGAGGGCUGGAAUCCAGUCAAAGUUGGGAUGCUAGGCCCUCACGCCCAUAUUAUAUUAUUGAAGAAAAAACAUUACAACAAGGGGGACAUAGUACCUAAACUCCGAUGAUCAAUAGAAAAAUUAUAUACAACCACUCCAAGCAGUUAACAUGGCCAUCACAUAUUGAAUUUGAAUCCAAAAGGUUGACGUAUUAUUUGCUGCAUAUGACUAAUUGAAAAGAAGGAAAUUAAAGAGAGAUUCAUAAAAAUAUUUUAAGUUGAAAGUGUGGACGACGAAAGGGUAUUAUGGUCCAAUCAUUAAAGCUCCCUAUAUAAAAACACCUAAUUAGCGCUCUCCUGCCCAGAAGCCCCAAAUUCUCUCUCUCUCUCUCUCACACACACAAACAAAACCAUGGAGGACCGCUGACUCGAAGACACCAGGUCCAAUUUCAAGUCCCUUGACGGACCGAAGAAGCUCCGAGGUGAGAUCCGGACCGCUCCUUCUUCUCUUGGUAUGCUUUUCAAUUUUGUUUGUUUUUGUUUUUAGGGUUUGUGAGGACGAAGAAGAUUAUCUGAAAUUUCGAAAUUUGCAGCUCAAUUAACUCGAUCCAUAUGUUCUUUGGGUUACGGUGCUUGAAUUUGAUUAACUAGAUGCCUACUUUUUUGUGUUCAUUAUUAUUUCGCAUGAAUUAUUUUUGUAUUUCAUUUAAUUAUUAAUAGCUCUAGGGAUUCAUAUCACAAUCAAUUAGUUAUCGCAAUUUUGUUUAAUUUGCCUGUUUACCGAGUAGAAUUUUAAACCAAAUUUUGUAGCUAAGCAAGAUUUUGAUUUCAGAAUCAAUUAAGUAUAUUCACUAUUCUGUUUGAUUUGCCCGGUUACUUUACUUGUGUAGAAAUAAUUCUCUACAAAUUUCCUAGUUUACGUAGGAAAGUAGCUAUUGAUACAUAUUUAGGUUAUCCUAAUAAAUUAGCCGGCCCAGACACAGUAGAAUGUAAAUUAGCAUGAAGCAUUUGGUAGUAAGUAUUUGAAUGAUUUCAUGAGAUGGAGAAUAAUAUAGUGCCCGGCCCGAAUCCAGAUGGCUUACUUAGCUUACACACACACACACACACAUAUAUAUAUGUAUAUUAAUGUAUCUCUAUCUACAUUUCCUGAAACACACAGAUAUGAAGAAAACGGGUGUUAAAGACUCUCGGACUCAACUCAAAAAAGAAAGGGUGGUUGAAGAGGCUAUGGCUCGACUCCAACUUGACGAGGAGAAUACUACUAUUCCAAAAUCACAACCCCUUGUAAAGUUUGCUAGACCUUUCAAAUUCACAGUCCCUUGUGAAGUUUGCGGAGUGGUUGGCCACUAUAAUGAUAGAUGCCCCUACAUCGAAGUAGGCCUCCCAGACAACGUAACUGAGGCUCCCAAGGGCUAUGAAAUAGUUACCUUACGUGGUGGGAAGCGUGCUGUUAGGAUCAUGUUUUGUGGUUGUUGUAAAAUGCUCCGUGACCACAAGAUCAAGGACUGCCCGAAUAAGAGCAAGAUGACUGCAAUAAUGAACUCUAUUCUGAAGGCUGCUCGCCCUCCUGCAGGUCCGCUGACCACAGGAUCUUGCUGAUGCUGAGGAUUGGGAUGCUGCCGCUGUUGGAUGGUUUAUAUCUAGUCUUGUCUUGGAAUGUUGCUGUCCUCUUUAUAUUCUUUGGGUUUUAGCACUCAGUAGUCGGUCUGUAUGUACGUAUGUCAUGUAUGUCUUUGAACACGCACGUUCCGUCCGCUGUCAUUCUAGUGGUAGUUGUGUCUCUUUAUAUACUAGGAAUAUUCUAAUGUUGUUAUUUCUGAGUGGAAAAACCCUCUGCUUGUCUUGGUUUUGGAUGACACACAACUAACUUGGUGACAUUAAUGAAACAAGAAGGAUCGAUCCUGUUUCAUGGACCAAUUGAUCUAACUGUUUUUGUUUCAUUGUUCACUAGAGAAAGCCCCGUCUUGGAUGUGCGGUGCCUAUUUGGAUCGAAGCUUUGCUUUACUAUGCUGUUUGAUCUCUGUUGGCCUCUGCUUCGCUUUACUUUGGGGUGGUGUUUUUAAUUCACUUGAUCUCCAACACAAUCUUGCAACUACAUUCUACAAGAAAUACAUUCCUCACAGUAAAAACCAUAUAACCUUGGAACGAUCCAAGCAUCCUCCUUGCGCAUAUAAUUUCACUCAAUCUGCUUAUGAGAAAUUAGUACAUGCAAUUCUCGAAGACAAGUAAGAUGUUCAACUCCAUGAGGCAGUUGCUUCGACUCCAAGCAUUCAUCUCUAUGAUCACCACAUUCGGUCAAUCGAGGGGAAUGGUUUAGAGUUUGACUUUCAAGCCUGUUUCUAAUGUACGAAGUUUUUCCUAUGUCUUUCGGAAGCAGCAAUUCAACGAUCGGGAAAGCUUUAAGGUCUAAGACCCUUUAGUAAUAUGAACCCUUCGGUUGAUUCAAUAGAAAAGGAGUGGCCAUGGUAGAAGCAUAUUGUUUAAUUGUUUCUGCCUCAUUGUUUUUUUAACACAAUUUCUCAGCUUUCAAAAUUGAAAGAGCAAGUUAGCGUACAAGGUCAUGCACCUUGCACACUUUUACACUUCCGUGGGGUUCUCUCUUAAGAACAUGUUACACCCUUAUUGACUUAAAUUGCUAAAGCUAUAUUCUGCAAAACAAAAGGUUGCGUGGGUGGAUUGCUUCCUCGCCCUUCAAAUGAGGGCUGGUCCUGAGUUUUCUAGUGCUCGGGACGAACACUCAAAAUGUGCCUUUUUCAAUACAUCAACGUAUAUUGAAAAGAAAUAUUUAACGAGGGCUGGAACCCAGUCGAAGCUGGGGGGCUAGGCCCUCACGCCCAUAUUAUAUUACUUGAAUAAAAAACAUACAACGGGGGGGACAUAGUACCUAAACCCCGACAAUCAAAAGCAAAAUCAUAUACAACCACACCAAGCAGUCAACAUGGCCAUCACAUAUUGAAUCCAAAAGGUUGACGUCCCAUUCACUGCAUAUAAUGUACAGAAGACAACUAGAUUACUACUAAUAAAAUGACUUAACAUUGAGUAAAAAGAAUCAUCCGAAAAGAUGGAACAUAUGCAUCAAUUUUAUUACAGAAGCUAUUCAUGCGCUGUACUUUGAAGAAGAUAAGAAAUACCUGAUCAACAUAUAUGUUGACUAUUUUAGGUGCAAAUUUAGAAGUGAUGCUCCAAGUAUGAUAUUGGACAGAAAAGAGCGGCAACUUCAACUAGUUCUGCUAUAUCUGGCUGGCUGAGAGCAGUUAAGGACAUGAUUGUUCCCUAAUAACAUGAAUAAAUUGAGUAAACACCAAAAGUAGCAGCAAGGGAACGAGAUGUGAAGUAGAUGAAGAGGUGUAAGACCUGUGAAUGUCCAACAACAAAGACUUUGGAGCUUGUUGUCAAAUAUAUGCAGCGCACCAUUUCUGAUGGAUCAAAUAGAGCCAAUUCCUGCCAACUCCAAUCCUAAAAAUCCUACAAUAAAGCAUAAACAUUAUUCUCUUCUGAUGAAGAUGUGUGUUCAUGACUCCAACGUGUUCCAUGCGCAUUCCCUACCCAUACAUUGAAACCUUCAUCUGCAAGGACGAAUCCCAGCGAUUCUUCUGGAGAAUUUAAGAACCAUGCAUCACCUGGUUAAGAUCAAGAAAAGCCAGUAACCAAGUUCAAUUGAGUUUGAAGCACCAUUAGAGCCUAAUUUAAAAUUUAUCCCUUGGAUGUUCAUCACUUUACCCAAUAGUUAGUUUCAAGAAAGCAAAUUUCAACAGAACCUGAAAACUUCAGAUCAGGGAGCACCAAAUAGUGAGCUGUACAUUCAAAUUUUAAAAUGAUUCAAUGAACGGAUCUUGUAGAGUAUAAAAACUAAAGUAUUGAAUUUAAAACAUUGAUGAUGUUGGUUUAGUAUCAUUGAAUUCUCAUUGAUUUUGAUUCAAAACUUUUGAACAUUUCCACAAAAUGCAACUCACACAAUGCAACUUUUGUAUUUUCAAGGUUAUGGAUUUGACGAAUAAUGAAUAUACAUAUAUAUUAUAUUAUAUUAUAUAUUACUUGGGUUGGAUUUGGAGUCGGCUACAAAUCGGGAAUCCCUAUAACCAUAUUCCAAGCCAAUACCGAAUAAUAUUAACGAUUUUUUCCAUAUCCAAUAUAAAUUCAAAUUUUCAUACCCAAAUCCGUUGUAUUCGGGCCAUUAUCCACAAUUAUCAAGUUUAGCACCUGAAAAAGACAAUUAGAGAAAAAGUUAGAUGGGUAUUUAGAAAACAGUGAAAUAAAAAAAUGUAAAAAUAAAGAGAACUGUUGAAGACUGUUCUGAGGUCCAUUUACCUGCCCUGGGCCACAACAGUAUUUGCUCCGUCACAAUCUUCACAACACUAUAUCACAAAAAGUGCUAGAUGAACACCCUAUUUAUACCACAAUAAAAAACCACCAAAUUCAUCAAAUCAUCCACAUAAGUUGAUUAAUUUAGAUUCCUUUUUUGGAUCAAAAUUAUUAAUUUAGAUGCGAUGAAACAGAAAAUAGAUAAAAGAUGCCGAUGAAGAGCAUAUUAUUGGGUCAAAAUGAUGAUUUCAUUUUCUUUUGGGGUCAAAAUUGGGAAAAAAGUUGAAGUUAGUGGAUAAGGAAUGCAUACCGCUUGGCUGUGGAACUGGUGUUGCUCAUUGAGAAAGCAGAAGUGUGGAUAAAAUCUUUGAUGCACAUGAUAUGUCAUCUGAAAACGAAAAUAAAAUGUUGGUAAUGAUGAAUGAAGAAUAAAAUUAAGAAACGAGAUUCGCAUUUCAAUAUUUCACGGUUAGAAAACGCACCUUAAUCAAUAGUAAGGUAUGGGAUGUGAGCAACCUUGUGCCAGUCCUUACCUGUUUCUUUCUUGUAUCUUUGGAGUAACAUGGGGCAUUCAGAAAUGUACAAUGCAUUUAAACAGGGGAAUCCACGAAUCCCUUCUGGCAGUGAUGCCAAAUUAGAGCAAUGAGUAAUGUGAAGACGCCGCAAUGACGUGAGAUUGCUUAUUUCUUCCGGUAGUGCUGCCAAAUUUGGGAAAUUAUUAAUGGAAAGCGAUUGUAGUGAUGUGAGGUUGGCGAUCCAUUCCGGUAGUGCUGCCCAAUUUGGGAAAUUAUUAAUGGAAAGCGAUUGUAGUGAUGUGAGGUUGGCGAUCCAUUCCGGUAGUGCUGCCCAAUUUGGGAAAUUUCCAAUGGAAAGCGAUUGGAGUGAUGUGAGGUUGGCGAUCCCUUCCGGUAGUGCAGCCAAAUUUGGGAAAUCUCUAAUGGAAAGCGAUUGGAGUGAUGUGAGGUUGGCGAUCCCUUCCGGUAGUGCAGCCAAAUUUGGGAAAUUUCCAAUGGAAAGCGAUGAUCCCUUCCGGAGUGCAGCCAAAUUUGGGAAAUCUCCAAUGGAAAGCGAUUUGGAGUGAUGUGAGAAAUUUGGCGAUCCCUUGGUAGUGCAGCCAAAUUUGGGAAAUUUCUAAUGGAAAGUGAUUGGAGUGAUGUGAGGUUGGCGAUCCCUUCCUGUAGUUGCCAGGGAUUUUUCUGGGAAAAUUGGGAUUGGAUUGAACCCUUCUGUAGUGCUGCCAAAUUUGGGCAAUCUUCAAUCCUAAGCGAUUGGAGUGAUGUGAGGUUGGCGAUCCCUUCUGGUAGUGCUGCCAAAAUUUGGGCAAUUCUGGUAGUGGCCAAAUUUGGGCAAUCUUCAAUCCUAAGCGAUUGGAGUGAUGUGAGGUUGGCGAUCCCUUCUGGUAGUGCUGCCAAAUUUGGGCAAUGGUCAAUUACAAGCUCCUGAAGUGACGUCAGAUUGCCCAUCCCUUCCAACGGUAUAAAUUCCAAAUCCUCAAUUCCCCAGAAGUGACAGAUGAUUAAUUUGGAGAGAUGAGGGGAAGAAGAAGAGGCAGAAAACAUCAACACAUCAUGUGUAAUAUCAGAUGCUCCUCUAACAAACAAGGAUUCAACAACCUUCCAGCUGGUAUUCCUAAGUUCUAUGCUCUCCACAUUUGGAUACAGAGGCAUGGAAGUUAGAUUAGGACAAUUCCUGACAAUCAAUCGAGAAAGACGGGGAAAAGAAGGCAAGGACAAAUUUUCCGUUGAUGAAGAAGAAGCAGUGUUAUGAGUAUGGGCCCUCCACCAUCCCUUCAGAACAGGGCACUGAGAUAUAAAGAGAUUUUCCAGGGAGGGAAAGAAUGAGAUCCUCAUCAUCUCAUCACUCAUACUAUUACUGCUCUCUUUCUCUGAUAUGUACUCCAACUUCUCCAAACUUCGAAGUUCAAGUUUCUUUAAGGGAAGGCAAAUGAUCCAAGGGUGGAAGAUGUUGGCAUCUCUUACAAUUACUCAAUUUGAGAUUAACAAUAUUAAUGAGAGAAGAAAACCAACUCGCAAACCUCACACCCCUAUAGUUAUACACGGACAACUGCUUUAGAUUAGAAUGGGGUUGCAAUACUUCCAUUGACUUUAUAAUAUCCUCCUCAUCAACGGCCUUUACAUCUUCUUCCUCUUUCCACCACAAUUCCAACGAAUGGAGAUGCUGUUUGUCCUUGAGAGGUGUACCAACAUUUGAUUCUGACACCACAUGCCUCAAAUUCCUUAUCUCCAACUCUCCCCUUAAUUCGUUAAGGGCCCCCAGCUCAGCAAGACCAGCACUACCGCCCCUCCCCAAACAAUUGCUUUCGCUCAAAACAAAUCUAUUCAAUGUACGAACACCAUUCAAUUCACCAAUUCCACGUGGCAUUCCACUCAACGAAUUACAGCCUUCCAAGAUGAGAUGCCUUAAGUUGAUCAUUUUUUUAAUGUCUUUAGGCAAUUCCACAAGAUACUGACACCAACUGAGAUCUAGUGUUUCCAAAUUCGAAAGUCCAACUAUCCAAUCUGGAAGUCUCUCCAUGUGAUUCCUACUAAGAUCAAGAUAUCUCAAAUGUUUCAUUUUUCUAAGAUAAUUAGGCAAUCUUUUAAUUCCUAAUCUAUUGAGACUCAACAUUCGUAAUGACUUAAAAUUUGAAACAAUUGUAGUAUAAAAUGCAUUACGUGAGGAACUUUGGGGAUCACGCUCCACUGGUUGCCAAAGAAAAAGAAAGGUUCGUAUCUUGCUUGCUUUUAGCAAGGAUGUUGGCACUUCCCAUUUCGACAAAUCAAUUUCAAAAUUGAAAGAUACAUGACGAAGCUUUUCAUGAAAAUUCUUUCGGUUCAGAUCAAUUACGGCGCUUCCGACCCCCGACACUAAGAUUGCAAGUUCAUUCAUAAGAUCGUGCAUUUUACAACUUUCUACUCUACCAAACUUAUCUAUUUUUUCUUCUUGAAAAAACGAUCUGCACAACAAUUCCCUGUAAUAUUCAAACGCAACAUCCUCCAAACCCUCGUUUUCAUCGGAUGACUUAAUAAACCCUUGCGCCACCCAAAGUCUAAUCAAUCUCUGUACAGAGAUCUCAUAAUCGGGUGGGAACAAGCUACAAUAAGCAAAACAAUGCUUCAAAUGUGAUGGGAGCACAUCAUAACUUAGUUUGAGUGUUGGUAAAAUUUCAGUUUCUUCUUGACUUAUUUUUGAAAGUUUCUUUUUUUUGAAAUUCAACCAUUCUAUUUCAUGAUGUUUGGUGCGCAGCAUCCCACCUAUCGUCCUUAUAGCGAGUGGAACUCCUUGACAUUUUCUCGCAACCUCCUCCCCAACUGCCUUAAUUGUUGGAUUAUGUGGCUCAUUUCCAUCUUCAAAAGCCAUUUCCUUAAAUAAAGUCCAACUUUGCUCUUCAUUCAAACCCCCCAAGGUGUAUAAUUUAGUUGUGUGUGAUGCCUUUGCAACAAUUUCGCUACGAGUGGUAAUUAGUAUUCUACUACCUUCUCCACCACCCACUAACAAGUCCUUCAAGCUAAGCCACUUCUCUUGAUCCUCAUUCCACACGUCAUCCAGCACAAGUAGGUACUUCUUCCCAUCUACUUUUUCUCUAAGAUUAUUUUGCAGCUGAUCCAUAUCAAGCUUAUCCACCCUCUCAAGAUGAUGCUUAUCAAGCUGUUUUAGGAUUUUCUUAGCCAGUAUAUCCAACUCGAAUACAUUAGAGACACAUGUCCACAUUUUCAACUCAAAAUGAUUUUGAAUCUCCUGAUCAUUGAAUAUGAGUCGGGCAAGUGCAGUUUUCCCCAAUCCUCCAAUUCCAACUAUGGAAAUGGUUGACACAUUCUUAGUUGAGAUGGGAUGCAACAAAAGUUGGAUAAUUGCCCUAGUAUCUUCGUCUCUCCCUAUAAUAUUUUCCUUGGGGACAAAUGAGUGAGUGACACUCUCUCUCUUUAUAAAUCGUGUAUCUUCACAAUUAUCUUUUAAGUAAUUGGGUCUACGAGAUGCAACCUCACUAAUCCUCUUGUUAAUAUCUUUUAUCCUGUGACCCAUCAUUAGCCCAAACACAAGUUGAUUUGAGCUAGAAAAGAAAAGGCGCACCUGUAAGAAUUUGAAUAGAUAAUCAUUAUUUCGAUAGGACGGUAUUAAUUAAGUUAAUAAAAUUUUGUAACGGUAGGUUAUAUAAAACAUUCAAAACAAUAUGUAGAAGACUUAUUGCAGUUAAUUAUGAGUUAUUUAUAAAUUCAUUCUAAUUUUUUUUUUUUAAGAAAAGAGAACAAAAAGCCGAACAACCAAGGUCAACCAUCGCAACUCGCCAAACCACUACCCCUCUCCAUACCUCCGCCGCCAAAAACCCCCUCUUUUCCAAGCGCUAUCUCUCACCUGCACCAGUAUACCAACCCCCCAAAGGGCCAAACCCACUCCCACCCAUCAAACAAAGAAAUCAAUUCCUCUCAACUACAGACUCUGAGACUCAUAGUCUCUGUCUUUCUCUCUCAAAUAAACCUUUCACAGUAGGUAGAUUAUGGAUUAUGGGUGUUUGGGGAGAGUGCAAGAAAGAGAGGUGGAGAGAGAGAGAGAGAGAGAGACAGAUGGAGGUUUUACAGACCGGACGGGAUAGCUCAAGAGAUUGGGUGGAUCGCUGGAGAAAGAAAAGUGGAGAAAAAAAGUGGCUUUUUUUUUCUUUGAAGUUUUCAUUUUUCAAUAUUUUGUGAAGUUGACAAUGUUUUUUUCUUUGUUGGAUAUUUAUUGACGUUGUUUUAGAAAUAAAGUGAGUGAAAAGUAACAUUUUAAUUUUUUUCACUGGGUUAGAUUAUAAUAUGGGUAAAAAAAAAUGACAAUAUACAGGGUCUAGCAGCACUCAAAACCAUUGCAAUUGUACCUAUUAUAUUUAUAGGGAAGAUAUAAUGUAUUUACUUGUUAAAAGAAAGUACCAAUAAAAUUGCCAUAUAUAAUUAUGGUGCAAUUCCUACAUCCUCCCAAAAGUAAAUUGUUUUCAUACGUGUGUACCCCUAAUUUUUUUAAUAAAAAAAUAUACCCGUAUAAUUAGAUACAAAUUUCAAAAGAAUGUAGCCAUUUAGGAAAAAAAAAAAAGGUAUCCAUAAGAGUUCUAGCAAAUAUAAUGGACCCAUGAUUAUUGAUAAAAGAUUGAUAAAUUCAGUCAAACGAAAAAUGAGAUGAAACUAUUCGAACGUAUAAAAAUUCAAAUUUAAAUUUCAAACUAAAAGGAUGUUAGGGAUAUCUAGCUGCAAUAAAAUCCCUUAAAUUAUGUAAAUAAUCAAUUAUCCUAAACAGAAAUGACAUAAAAGGAAAUGAAUAAACAAGUAUAUUUAAAUAAAAAGAAAAGGAAAAUCUGACAUGAGAUUUGAUUAAUUUUAAGAAUUUGAUAUGGACAUAAGUAAAAGGACUUCAAACAAAAAUUUAAAACUAAAAAUGUUUUAAUCAAGAAAUAUUAGUGACUAGGGACCGGACCUAAUUAUCCCCAUUUUUAAUCUCAUGACCCAUUUUAACUCAAAACAAGUUGAUUUAAGCUAGAAAAGAAAAGGCAUAUAUGUAAGAAUUUGGGUAGACACAAUCAUUAUGUUGAUAGAACUGUAUUAAGUAAGUUAAUAGAGUUUUGUAACGCUAAGUUAUACGAAACAUUCAAAACAAUAAUGUUGAGAAUUUAUUGCAAUUAAUUACAAGUUAUUGAGAGACCUAUUGUACUCCUAAUAGGUGGAUAUCCAUGGGCUAAUGUGAUUAUGAAAAGGUUCUAUAAGAUGCAACCUCACCAAAACCUCUUGUUAAUAUCUUUUAUCUUAUGACCCAUUUUUUAGCCCAAAAGCUAGUUGAUUUGAGCUAGAGGAAGAAGAGGCGUACCUCUUUACAUAGCUUUGAAUUUCCAGGCAUCAUUUGUCUCAGUUGAUUUUCAGUAUUAUACUCAUCCAACACGUCAUCGGCUUCAUAGACUGCUUCUUCUACGCUUUGGAGCCACUCUUUGACUUCAUUGUUGGCUUGCUUUUGCUCAGCGUCAAGAAGAACAGCUUGAAAUCCGGCAACUGUCACCUUGAGCUUCUGGAACUCAUCACGGGCACCCCAAAUCAAUCCAAUCUCUUGGGAAGCAAGGGGGCCUAGCCUCUCAAUGAUCCCUCCGGCAACGUUGAAGAGAACUCCUUCCGCCAUUUCUUGGAUUCAGGACAAGAAAAACACAAGUGAAGUGAAGUAGAAGCUUGUAAGUGAGAAAAUGAUUUUGCGUAGUGAAAGAUGGCUCCUCCUGCUAGUCUUUAUAUGCCGACACUUACAUAUAAUUCCAUGUAUAAAAUGAUCAUUCCACUCAAUAAUUGAACUACUUUAGUCUAGUGGCUUAAUAAAGUAUUGAUCGAUUACAAUCAGACAAAUGGGAAAACUCAAUCAUUCAAUUUAGUGAGGGAAAUUUUAUUUAAACACAUAUAACUUUUUUCCACAUUCAACUUAUUCUCUACAUCUAUAUUAAUUUCAAUUAAACUAUCAAUAUCUCCUUAAACUCAAAUAUCUACCUAAACCCAAUUCAAUAUAUAAAUUUAUCUUUACACCCAUUCAAAAAAUAAACCCAAAAUCAGUUGGAGACAGCUCUAUUUUUGAAAUUAUUUUCAUGUCUGAUUCUUAAGUGUGCGAACCUGCUACUCCAAUAUUUCUCAAGAAGAAAGUGCCCAUGCAGGAUGGUGAUCCUUUUCUCUUUUUUCUCGCUAGAGUCGAAAAUAUAGUCACAAUGAUAUACAUUGUUCUCAUUUGUAUAGGACGGAUGAUACUCGUUAUCAUCAAUGUCCCAAUCUUCUUCUGUUUUAAUGCCACGCAAGAACCAUAUUUGCUUAAUGCAUCAAUCAUAUGCUAUCUGUUGAGUUCAUGUUCAUUGGUUUAAACUAUUCUUGAAUAUAUAUCAUAGCAGAACUCAAGGGCUUUAUCAAAGCCGUAUUUGCUAUAUUUCAAGUUGUUAGAAGUAAGAACAAUUUUGCUAAUUAUCACUAUGUUCCGGAUUUGGACUUCACUUUUGGAGAUGAAUCCUUUCGCAUUGGUUGAUGGAUGACACAACUGCUUUCAAGAACUUCAAAAAGUACAUUUCUUCACUCCGGUUGUUUUUACCUUAUAUGUUUUUCUUAUGUAUAUGCCAAGCUAUUCACUAGCGUUUUAGCUUCAGUAUUUUUAUGUUUCAGUUGGUGGCAGUAUUGAAUUCCUAAUGCCUUUUGGAAGAGUUAUGAGUCCUAUAGAGAAAUUUAUUCACGGGUUAACAAAGACCUUCUUUGCACGCAAUAUACUUUUAAACUCUAAAAAAAAUUAAAAAAAAUGUGCAUAAAUCGAUUUAUAUCUUAGUUGAAGGAUUUGGAACUUCAAAAUUAUCAUCCAUUAGUCAAAAUGAACAUAUGAUAAAGAUUGAGUGAUGGUAAAGUUUGAUUAUUGAGUAUGGGUUUAUUGAUAACCUUUAGUUUUAUUAUUAAUUUCUUCUUCUACUUAAUGGUAAUUAUGCAAUAGUAAAAAUGACAAUUAACAAUUAAAAUAUAAGUUAGGUGUAGAGUGAAACUAUGUAGGUUCAAAUAAAAUUUCUCUUAGUCUAAUAAAUUAUUAGCUAGUGCUGUAGUUAAAGCUUGUGUCGUGGGGAGUGGACCCGUAAGAAAACGCAAUUACAACAAUCAUGGUUUUGUUUGUGUCUUCCACUAAUGACGGGAUUUGAUUUCCAGCACAUGUUCUCUCUCCCACACGCUACUAUAUACCCGCCAUUAGACUACACCCCAACACUGCACGUUUCUACCAUUAGCGCAUUUGUAAACCUAGCACUGCACGUUUCUACACCCAACACUUUCAAAUAGAAGCAAUCAGUCCAAUUUUUCACUACUAAUUUAUUCAUCGAUCCUCACAUUUAUUGUGUAAUUAAUAACUAAUAAUUAUAUAUUGUAUUGUUUUUUAUGUUUGAGCAACUGAGAAAAUUAACCUACUCCAACUUCUGAAGCUUUCUUUCAGCUGAGAAGAUUUGAUCUACUCUAAUUUCUAGUUUCAAAAUGAGGGUUGAGAAAAAACAAAUAAUAAUAAUGCUACUCUUUUGCUAAGUGUCUUCAUCUCAUAAGGUGUAAGAUGAAAUGCUAAAAUUGCUUGAUAUAAGCUUGAAUACUGCCAAAACUACGUAACCAUUAGAAGACUACCAGUGAAACAACAUUGUAUACUAAAAGUAAAGGGAUGAUGAGAUAUCAUAAUGUUCAUUUAUGUUGAUAAUAUAAUAUACACUAGGAGCUGCAAAGAAUUAAUGGAUGAAUUUAAAUUAGUUUCCAGAAUCUACAAUAAAAGUGAUGAGAUAUUAGUAUUAUUAUUAUUAUUGUUAUUAUAGAUUGGUUUCUAGAAUUUUAGUUUAUUUAUCAGAUGCUAUGAAAUUAGCCUGAGGCCAUCAUACAAAUGGAAGCAAGUACUCUGAAGGCUCUCCAUUUUUAAUGUCCUUCUCAGAGGACAAAGGCUAAAAAUAAAUGUUUUAAAGUAAAUUUCAAAAAACUCUAAUAAUCUCACACAAUUCGAAUACUUUUUUUUCUCCAUCUCGCAACUUUCUCUUGGAGUCUUGAUUUUCAUGAGUAUAAUCACUGAUUUUGAGUGAACUCCACCUAUUUUUUCACUCUUAAAAAGUUAUUAAAUGAUCAAACUGUGGAAUCAAAUUCUAUUUUUUCACUCCCAUUCCACUUUAGUAAACAUACAAAAUACAAAUAUACCAUUCCGAAGAAAUUUCAAAUUUAAAUUUUGGUUCUCCAAUUAAUUAAACAAAAUUAUAACCAACUUUUUCACAAGUUCUGAACGGUUACAAUCAGACAAUUAAUUUACAGACCAUCUUAUGUGGCCCCACUAACAUGUUAACACCUGUAAUAUAAGAUUAUCACCAAACACCAUCCUAUCUUGCCAACCAAACAUCCUCCACUUCCUUUGAACCUAUAACCAAACAUCAUGCUUCAUCCUUCACCUCCCAAACUGCCAUGCAAGGAAGAAAAUAUCGGUAAUAUCGGAAAUAUCGGUAGUCCGAAAACACGGAAAUAUCGAUGGAAAUAUCGGGAUAAUAUCGAUAUCGAUAAAAAUUACAUGGAAACCACGGAAAUUGUAAGAAAAACUUGGAAAUUUUUAAUGAAACUUUGUAGGAUGUUUAUUUAGUCAAUUAUCUAUUAGUUUAUCACAAAAAAUUGGAAGGAAAUGCAUUGCAUGAUGGAUUUAACUGAUUUAAGUUGAUUAUAUAGCGAGCUGGCAAACAUUGUGAGUGUAGAAAAUAUGUAGUAAUUAAUGAAAGAAGUUUAAACACACCAUAAUCAUUUAUAUAUAAUUAAUUAGUACAAUAUUUGGAGGUUUUAUUUAGGAUAUUAAAAAAAAAAAAAGGGAAGUGAAUAAAAUGAUGAAGAAUAAUGUGCCGAAUUUGACAAUUUAAAUUUCUUACACAUAAGCAUGCGUCUAGGCGUUGAAGUUCCAAAUUAUAGUAUAUCAAUUAACGAUUGAAAAUCAAUACAUUGAAUAAGAUUAAACUUUAAUUUGGAUGCCGAUUAUGUUUUUUCAAACUUGAUAUAAAGUAAAAAGUAUUGAAUUUUUGGAAGCUAGGAGUGUGUCAAUUGAAUUUUGGCUGACGUGCAAGGUAUCAAUCUCUUCGUCUCUUCGAGGGCUACAACUUUCCUUUUUGUUUCACUCAAUUUCGUUGCGUAUUGAAAAAGUUAUACUCAUUUGAAUCUUACCCAGUUUCCGGCGACCUCAGUAGAUUUCGAGGCAAUUUCCGGCCAAACCACAACGAGUCAGACGUCGUGUGAGGUACCAUUCUCUUCGCGUCUCUUCGAGGGCUACAACUUUCCUUUUUUGUUUCACUCAAUUUCGUUGCGUAUUGAAAAAGUUAUACUCUCAUUUGAAUCUUACCCAGUUUCCGACGACCUCAGCGACCUCAGUGACUUUCGAGGAAUUUUCCGGCCAAACCACUACGAUUCAGACAUCGUGUGAGAUACCAUUCUCUUCGUCUCUUCGAGGGCUACAACUUUUCUUUUUGUUUCACUCAAUUUCGUUGCGUAUUGAAAAAGUUAUACUCAUUUGAAUCUUACCCAGUUUCCGACGACCUCAGCGACCUCAGUGAUUUUCGAGGCAUUUUUCGGCCAAACCACUACGAUUCAGACAUCGUGUGAGGUACCAUUCUCUUCAUCUCUUCGAGGGCUACAACUUUCGUUUUUGUCUUGCUUGAUUUCGUUGAGUUUUGACAAAGUUAUGGCCGUUUAAAGUGGGUGUAAAAUUUCGGCCGAAAUUUUGAUUUUUUCCCCCAUUGGGCGAGUCCCACAUCGCCCAUGCAAGGAAGUGAGCAAUGAAUUUUUCCUAUAAAACUCACACUCCUCUGGUGAGAUAACCAAAACUUGUUUGGCCUUUGGGCCAUGAUCAAGUUAACUAUGUGUUAAGUUUUCUCAACAUAUUUAAGUAUUUAUUUAAUAAAAUAUGUUGAUAUUAUCGAUAAUUUCAAAAAUAUCGCGAUAUUAUCGAUAUUAUCAAUAAUAUCGCGAUAUUUUGACGAAAAUAGGUUGGAUUGUUAAAAAAAUUUCGGAACUUUAAAAAAACGAUAAUAUCGGCGAUAUUUUGCCGAUAUUAUCGAUUUUUUCCUCCUUGCUGCCAUGGCAUAUUUAUCGACGUCGUACACACCGACCCAACGCCAUCACCCCCUCUAAUCUGAUGCCUUCCUCGUCGACCCAACCAACCCACCCCUAUUUCUCACCUCCGUUGACCUUCCUUCGUAACACCCAUAUUAAACCAAUAAAUUUGACCGGCAAAGAGGAGUGGGGUAUCUGAAUAACCAACUCGUCGCCGUCGACGAGGAAUGGAGUGGGGUAUCUGAAUAACCAACUCGUUGCCGUCGAUGAGGAAUGGAGUGCGGUCGCUGUCGAAGUGCACUGGAGUGGGGUCGCCAUAAAAGAGAGGGUUCGACAUGGGUUCGCCGGUGAACAGAGGCGUUAGGGUUGUCGAGGUCGUCGGAGAAGAUAUGGGCGGAGUGGGGUCGCUGGAAAAAGAAGAGAUUGGUGGCGAUCUCGCCGAAGAAAAGAAGGGUUGGGGGUGGGCUUUCCGGAGAAGUGAGGGAUUGGGUUGGUCUCAACGGAGAAGAGAAGGGGGAGAAUGGAGGGGGAUGAGGGUUUCCAGCACAUAGACAGGAAAGAAGAUAGAAGAUGGAUAGUGUUUGGUUACGGAGAUAGUAGGAGUUUGAGAGAGGUUUGAGAGAGAAAUUUCUUUUUUUUUUUGGUAAAAAGAGAGAAUUUUCUUUGACUGGUGUUAAAAUUUUAAUGGGACACGUAGGAUGGUGAACAAAUUGAGUACCACCCGGUGAGGACCCAAGGAUUGUCCGACAAAGAAAGUCAUGAAAUGGGAUCCAUUUGGAACGAGGAAAUUUCAAACCUCAAUCCAAUGUCGAUUUCAAUCAGACAAUGAGGAUCCAAGGGGAUCCUCUUCCGUACUUUUUAUACCCAUUUAGUCUAGUGGUAUAAUAAACUAAAACAUAAUCAUUCUACUUUAGGGGAUUUGAUUUCCAACAAAUGUUAUCUCUCCCACUCCCUGGGGGCCUACACGCUACUGAGAAAAUUAGAUCUACUCCAAUUUCUAGUUUCGGGUUGAGAAAAAAACAAAUAAUGAUAAUACUACUCUUUUGUCAAGUGUCUUUAUCUCAUAAAGUGUAAGAUGAAAUGCUAAUAUUACUUUGAUGUAAGCUUGAAUACUGUCAAAACUGUAUAAUCGUUAAAAGAGUACCAGUGAAGCAACAUUUUACACUAAAAGUAAAGGGGAUGAUGAGAUAUCAUAGUGUUCAUUUAUGUUGAUGAUAUAUCUUCGCUAAGAGAUGCCAAGAAUUCAUGGAUGAAUUUAAAUUGGUUUUUAGAAUCUACACUAAAAGUAAAAGGGAUGCAAGAUAUUAUUAUUAUUAUUAUUUAUUGGUUUCUAGAAUUUCAAUUUAUUUAUAAGAUGUUAUGAAAUUAGCGUGAGGACCAGCAUCCAAAUGGGAAGAAAGCACCCUGAAGAGCUCUCCUUUUUAGAGGAUAUAGGCAAAAAUAAAAGUUUUUGGGUAAAUUUCAGAACUCUCUAGUAAUCUCAUACAAUUCAAAUACUUUAUUUCUCUCCAUCUUGCAACUUUUUCUUGGAGUCAAUAUCUCAUGCCCCCUCAGUAUUAGAAUUAAUGAUUUUUCAUGAGUAUGAUUAUUGAUUUUGAGCGGACUCCGCCUAUAUUUUCAUUCCUAAAAAAAUUAUUAAACUUUUAAAUCGCAGAAUCAAUUGAGAAAGAAUUCAAUUCCCGUUUUUCCACUCCCAUUCCACUUUAGUAAGCAUACCAUUAAUCUAUGAACAUUUUUGUUCGACAAAAUCUUAAAUUUAAAUUCUGGCUCUCCAAUUAAUAAAACAAAAUUAUGAUCGAUUUUUUUUUCACAAGUUCUGAAUGGUUUAACAUAUUGUGACAGCCCGUUCCGAAUUAAAAUAUAUUUUAUCUUUGAAUGCAUAGAAAUGACGAUUUUACCCUCGUAGGGCUUGUGGCGUGGAUAUACGUAAAUAAUUUUAAAUCAUUUUAUGUGGAUGAAAUUAAAUUAUAUUUGAUGCCACGGGAGUAUCGACAUUAAUUAAGGGCCUAGUUGGGUUUGUAGUGGAAAAAUUGUGAAGAAAUAGGGGGAAUUUAGGACCAUUGAAAUUGCCCAAUCCGGGCAUGUACACACACACACCCACACGUGCACCCCAUCUCCUUCUCUCUUUCUUCUUACCCUCUCUCCCCGUCUGUACAACCAAACCCCAUAACCCUUAAACCUCACUUUUCAUCCACAUAUCGAGCUUGAGGACAGUGCUUCCCUUGACCUUACUAGUCGAGCCGUACCGUUGGUUUGAGGAGAAGACCGGUAAAAUCCGAAAUACCCGAGCUUCGGCGAGGUACCCUGUUACUCCGACGUGAUUGUGGACGUUCCACGGUAUUUUAAGGCUCAUAAAGGGUCCUAAACAAUUAUUCUAGGAUCCUGGGUUAGUUUUGGAAUGGUUAGAAUGUCGAAAAUCUUGGAUUUGUCGAGGUUCAAGUUCGGCCGGUUGUGUCGAGUUAUUUUCCGACUGUUUUCCGUCGGUGUUAAAACUUCAAAUUGUUUCUGGCGACGCAGAUGACGGCCAGCGGCGGAGUCCGGCGAACCACCUGAGAAAAAGGAGGAAUAUUCUGUCAACUUUGACGAAAUAUACUUAACGGCGUCAAGUGAGACGUUUUGGGAGGACGAGCGCAGCCAGGCGUGACUCAGGGGUUACAACCCAGCUACAUACCAGUGAAUGGGCUUUUGGUUUUCUAUAUAUACGUAUAUAUGCUUACGUUUUCCCAUAAAUGAAUUUAAAUGGUUUUACGUUUUAAAAUGCGAUGUCAUGUUUGCUUUACAUUUUAGCAUAUGAUUUAGUAUAGCUUUGCAUAAUAUUGCAUGCUAUUGCGGAGGCUAAGGUAAGUUCAGGUAAGUACAUAUUGUUGGUAUGGUUGCACAGUAGUUAGUUAUGAAUCGAUGUGUGUAGAAUUCAUUGUCCUGCAUCCCGGUGUUAGUGCUUCACCCGAAGCCAGGACCUAGCCUUCACGUGAUCGUUCACCUCCCACACCACACGCUCACCUUGGAUCUAAGGCAGGUGCUAGCCUAUCGUACAUACCACAUUAGGUGGUUUCGACUCGUAGGUGACUUGCGAUACUUCGCAUAGCCUUCACUUGAUCGUAGCACUUGAGCAUAUUUAUUUACACCUAACCUGUCGUACAGACCACAUUAGGUGGUUCCAGCUCGUGUGCAGGACUUGACUGAUGAGUUAUAGACUCAGCCGUACAGGUCAUGUUAGGUGACUCCGGUUGAUAUGUCAUUUAUUAUUAAUUCAUUUCACUUGGUUUACUUAUGCAUUGUGGAGAUAAUUGACAUGGCAUACUUGGAGUUUUUACUACUAUCGAGCAUAGUUCUUAUAUAUGUACGUAGUACUAUUUUCUGGGAAACUAUACGGGUUUUAUAGUGAGGGGUUAUUACUUUUGGAAAGAUAAAUUGUUUUGAAAAGCUUUGUUUUCGCCCACUCACAUUUUCUGUUUUGUGCCCCUCCAGGUUCUAGGUAGAAGUUCGUAUUGGUGGCUCACGAGGACUCAUCGGCGGUUCUGACAGACAUCUACCAGUGUAAGGUUUCUAUCAUGUUCUGUAUAAUCAGUAGUUAAACUUCUGGACUGCAUUCUGAUACCUAUGCUCUGAAUAUGUGUGUAUCUACACUCUAAAUACUUUCCCUAGUACUUAUAUACUAUACUAGUGUAAAUUAGUUAGUUGGUUUUUAUUUUAUCCGUAUUUUUAUAUCACGUACAUUUCUGCACAGCGCACAUGGCUGCGUCACCCUCACGUGAUGGCCCGCAUGCCUCGAUCGAGGUCGGGAUGUGUCACACAUUCUAUAUCUUUUCCAAAAUCUAAGGUUAAAAGCCUAAAACCCUCAAUUAUGAGAGUUGAGAUCCUCUUCAGAUCUCUCUUGAAAGGCCCAAACUCCCGAGUCCGGCUAUUCUGGACACAAAAAAGGACAUUUGUUUAUGUCUUCCACCAAUCAGGGGAUUUGUUUACGUCUCCAAUUUCUGACGCUUUCAUUUUUUUUUCAGCUGCAAAAAUUAGAUCCACUCCAAUUUUUCUAGUUUCAAAAUGAGGGUUGAGAAAAAAAAAACAAAUAAUAAUAUUAAUUAGAUUUUAUUUUUCAAUGUUGUUUGCUACAUUAUCGUGUUACUUUAUUAUUAAUAAUACUAAUUUGGUUUUGUAGAUUAAGAUUUUUAAGCGAGAAACAAGUUCAAAAUUCAAUUGAGGUAUGAAUCUUUUUGCUUUUUUGGGCUGUUGAAUUCAUCCUAGCCUUUACUGCAUUUUUUUUUUUUUACCGCUUCUCUCUGCAUGCUUCUAGCUGUUGUGUGUGUGUGUGUGUGUAGUAUUCAAUUGUUUUGCAUUUAUUUUUUGGAGUUUUAACGAAAAGCCCGCGGUACUCUUCACUUUAACGAAAAAUCAUAUUUUUACACUAAAAAGUCAAACCUGAUAUUAUUUACUUUACCCUUUAUUUUGUCUUUGUCGUUAAAACUCAAAGUUUUCAAGCCAUUUUCAUUAGUUUCCUUUUUAUUUUUUCCUUUCAUUUUUACUCAAUUUUUGUACUGUUUCUCCAUGUGUUGCUUCAUGUAUGUUUCUCGAUUGUUUGAGUUUACUCUUUGCCUUCAGUUUUUAUUGAAUUUUUUGACUUUUUGUGCAUGAAAUAAUCUAUUUGUUAUAUGUCAUGGUUAAAGGUUUGGUUUCUUUCUUUUUUCCCUUUUAUCAAAAGAAAACUAAUGAAAAUGGCUUGAAAACUUUAAGUUUUAAUGAUAAUGACAAAAUAAAGGGUAAAGUGAAUAGUACCCAGAUUGACUUUUUAGUGUAAAAAUAUGGUUUUUCGUUAAAGUGAACAGUACCGGGUGUUUUUCGUUAAAGUUCCAUUUUAUCAAUCCUCUCUCUUUACAAUUUAAGUUGAAUUACCAUGGGAUGUACAACAAGGGAGGCUAAAAAGCAGUCUAGCCCCAGGAAAAGGCCAUAAACAAAGAAAGAGACCAGUGCUUAAAAGAGGCUAGCGAUGGUUAAACUUAAAAGAGGCUAAGUAGUCCGAAAGAGAUUUAACAAGACAUAAAACGCAACUUUUGUCCAAAUCCUAGACAUCCCACUAACCCAAAAAAAGUACAAAAUGACAGCUGGCUACUCCAACGUGAUCAACACCUUUGGUUCAUUUUCCACGUUGGUGGAUUACCCUAAGCCCCUCAAAUAAUUAACAAAUCAUCCAAACGUGUUUCACGUUGGUGGGUUAUCCUGAAUCUCUUAAUAAUUAACAAAUAAAUCAGCAUGCUUUCACAGUGCAUCUGCACAUUUUGGUUCCAGGAAGUGAUAAAACUGAAAGUUGAACAAUGUUUUUACAUCAGCUCCACAACAUCAUUAACUUUUGACACCUUCAAUUAUUUUGAAUUAAUAGCACAAUAAUAAAGCUACUUUAAUUUUCUUCUUUGGGAUUACUUUAAUUAUGCAGGCAUCCUUGGUUGCAUUGCCUUAAAAAUGCAUGCAAUCUCGGACACUUAACAAAGUUGCUUACUUUGAUGAGCAAUUUUCCCCCAAAAAAGAAUUGAGUGCAUCAGGCACAGAUCAUGGCCCAUAAAUUAUAAAAAUAGUUACGAAAAACUACAAAAGCAAGUGCCCACUUAAUAUACGUCUAAAUGUGUGUCUAAAAAUUUAAAGGUGUGGUUUACUAAAAAUAAUAAAUAAAUUAAUUAAUUAAAUGUGUGAACAAAAGUUUAAAAUUAUGUGAAAAAGUCUAAAGGUGUCAAAAAAAUAGUAUAAAUGUGUAUGUAAAAGUCUAAAUAUGUGUGUAAACGUCUAAAGCUGUGUGAAAAUAAAGACUUUUGAACACUUAUAUUUUAUGUUGUCGUGUAAAAUCUCUAUAAAAGAGAUGUCUAUGUAUGUUUGUAAUCAAUCACAUUCCAGCAAUACGAAAAUAAAAUAUUUUUGUUAUCAGAAGAAACUUGUUGCUAAUAGUCUGAAAAACAUUCAAACUAAUUUUCUAAAACCAGUGAAACAUAAUUUCACACUAAAAGUAAAGGGGAUGAUGGCAUAUCAUAGUGUUCAUUUAUGUUGAUAAUAUAAUCUACACAAGGAGCUGACAAGAAUUAAUGGAUGAAUAUAAAUUGGUUUCCAGAAUUUAGGCUAAACGUAAAAGGAAUGUUGAGAUAUUAUUAUAAUUAUUAUUAUAGAUUGGUUUCUAGAAUUUCAGUUUAUUUAUCAGAUGCUAUGAAAUUAGCCUGAGGGCUAGCAUCCAAAUGGAAGCAAGUACUGAUGGGCUCCAUUUUUAAUGUCCUCCUCAGAGGACAUAGGCUAAAAGUAAAAGUUUUACGGUAAAUUUCAAAACUCUCUAAUAAUCUCAUGUAAUUUGAAUACUUUUUUUUACUCCAUCUUGCAACUUUCUUUUAGAGUCAAAAUCUCAUAGCACCUAAUGAUAUUUAUUUUUAUUUGUAAGUGAAAGAUUUUAAGUUCGAGUCUCGAUUCUCAAAUUAAUUAAACAAAAUUAUAACUAACUUUUUCACAAGUUCUGAAUGGUAUUCAUAUUGUAUCCCUUUUCCACAAUAUAGGCUUAAACGCCACAAUUACAGGGACAAAGAAAGUCAUAAAUUGGGGUCCAUUUGGAAUGAGGAAAUUUCAAUGCUCAAUCCAAUAUUGACUAGCAGAGAGCAUACACUUUGUGUGUAUGAACAACCGCCCACCUCUUCUCACGUUCUCAUCAAACGAAACUGCUUCAGUUCAUUCAAACUAUCCAAAAAAUAUUAUGAUUUCACUUACCUGUAUGAAAAAAUGAGAGUGGGACAAUUUUUCUUAAUAAGUGCAUAUUUUUUUAUUUUAUGUAAAUAUUUUGAUACAAAAUUACUAUUUUACCCUCCUCAUCUCAACAUUGUGUAUUCAAAAGUGAGAGGCAAAAUUAGAAAAAAUAGGCAAAAAGGUUGAUAAGGUGUAUUCUCUUAAUAAUAGUAUAGAUUACAAUAUGAGGAUUCGAGGGGAUCCUCAUCCGUACUUUUUAAACCCAUUUGCAAUUUUAUUGGUAUUCACAGUUUUAAAUUUACCCAUCGAUCCUCACAAAUUAUGCUAUUAAAUUUAGUACACUACUAGCCUUCACGCACGUGCGUGAGCGCGAAGAAGGUUUUUUUUGAAUCACAGCGCAACAUGCGUGCGUUUUAAAUGUAUUUAUAGACGUAAAUUGACAAAAGGAAAAUUAAAUAUUUGAAGUAAAUGAAUAAUUUUCAAUUAUGCUAGAACAAACCUCUUAUAAACCAAUUAAAAUCGUUGAAUUAACAUAAUAAAAUCAAUUUCUAUAGAAUUUACAUUAGGAAUAGAGAAAAUAAUAUUUAAUAAACAAUUGAUUGAAUCACAUUAUUACUAGCCGAUGUACUAAUUAUUAAAAAAACAAAACAAAAAUUGUACAGGAAAAAGUUAAAUAUUAAAAAACUGUUUAAAACUGUACACUGAAUAGUUAAAUAUUAAAACACUGUUCAUCACUGUAGACUAUAUAGUAAACUAUUAAAACACUGUUUAUAUGACGAAAAUACCCCUGCAUUAUUUGUUGUAUUAUUUUGAAUUACUUUGUUUGGAGGGCAGUUUGGUCCUUGUAGAAGCUGAAACACUGUUCACACUAUUCACCUUUCCUCCGGCUUUCUAUAUAAAAGAUGAAAUUUCUUUGAUUGAAAUCCCAAUCAUUCUCUAGUCGCAUAAUGAACUAAAACGUAAUCAUUCUACUUUAGUCUACAGUAUUUGAUUUCCAAGAAAUGUUCUCUCUCCCACUCCCUGGGCCCACACGCUACUGUGUAUUGCAUUGCGUUUAUGUUUGAGCAACUGAGAAAAUUAGGUGAUCUCCAAUUUCUAGUUUCAAAACGAUGGUUGAGAAAAAAAGAUAAUGAUAAUACUACCCUUUUGUCAAGUGUCUUCAUCUUAUAAGGUGUAAGAUGAAAGACUAAUAUUAUUUUGAUGUAAGCUUGAAUACUGUCAAAACCAUGUAACCAUUAAAACUUAAAAGAGUACUAGUGAAGCAAAAUUAUACAUAUUCUAAAAUCCAACACAAAAAGCACUGUUCAUUAACAGUGAAAGGCCUGUAUUAUAGAUAUGUUUUUUUAUAUCAAAUUUUAAAUUAUCGGUGUUAAUAAAAUUGAUUUGGUUUUCCAGAUCAUAAUUUUUAAGCAACAAAAUCAACCUGCAAAUUCAGUUCGGAUAUGAAUGCUUCUGCUUAUUUAGAUUGUUGAAUUGAUCUUUACCUUUACUAGAUUUUAUUUUUCAAUGUUGUUUGCUACAUCAUCGUGUUACUUUAUUAUUAAUAAUACUAAUUUGGUUUUGUAGAUUAAGAUUUUUAAGCGAGAAUCAAGUUCAAAAUUCAAUUGAGGUACGAGUCUUUUUGCUUAUUUGGGCUGUUGAAUUCAUCCUUGCCUUUACUGCAAUUUUUCUUUUUUACUGUUGUUUGGUACAUUCUGGUAUUGAUUUCAUUGCAAUUUUUCUCUUUGCCUUCAGUUUUUAUUGAAUUUAUUGACGUUUUGUGCACGAGUUAAUCUAUUUGUUAUAUGUCGUGGUUAAAGGUUUGGUUUCUUUCUUUUUUUCUUUUUAUCAAUCCUCUCUAUUUACAAUUUAAGUUGAAUUACCAUGGGAUGUACAACAAAGGAGGCUAAAAAGCAGUCUAGACCCAGGAAAAGGCCAUAAACAAAGCAAGGAAAAAGACCAGUGGUUAAAAAGGCCAAGUAGUCCGAAAGAGACAUAUAAACAAGACAUAAAGCGCAACUUUUGUCCAAAUCCUAGACAUCCCACUAACCCAAAAAAAUAAAAAAUGACAGCUAGCUACUCUAACGUGAUCAACACCUUUGCUUCAUUUUCCACGUUGGUGGGUUACCCACCCUAAGCCCCUCAAAUAAUUAACAAAUCAUUCAAACGUGUUUUAUGUUUGUGGGUUAUCCUGAACCUCUCACUAAUUAACAAAUAAACCAGUAUGCUUUCACAGUGCAUCUACACUGUUUGGUUCCAGGAAGUGAGAAAACUGAAAGUGGAACAAUGCUUUUACAUCAGCUCCCACUAUAUCGUUAACUUUUAGCCCUCAAGUCUUAAUUAAGUUUUUUCUUUGUUAAGUUUUGUCUGCAUAAAAACAAAGUCACCAGCUCCCACUACAUCAUUAACUUUUGACACCUACAAUUAUUUUGAAUUAAUAGCACAUAAUAAAGCUACUUUAAUUUUCUUCUUUGGGAUUAGUUUAAUGAUGCAUGCAUGAUGCAUCCUUGGUAUUUUCUUCUCUGGGAUUACUUUAAUUAUGCAGGCAUCCUUGGUUGCAUUGCCUUAAAAAUGCAUGCAAUCCCGGACACGUAACAAAGUUGCUCACUUUGAUGAGCAAUUUUCCCUAAAAAAAAAUUGAGUGCAUCACAGUCACAGAUCAUGGCCCAUAAAUGAUAAAAACAGUUACGAGAAACUACAAAAGCAAGUGCCCUUUAGUUUACGUCUAAAUGUGUAUGUAAAAGUUUAAAGAUGUGAACAAAAGUUUAAAAUUAUGUGGAAAAGUCUAAAGAUGCGUAAAAAAAAAAAGUAUAAAAGUAUAUGUAAAAGUCUAAAGCUACGUAAAAGUAAAGACUUUUGAACACCUAUGUUUUAUGUUGUUAUGUAAAAUCUCUAUAAAAGAGAUGUCUAUGUACGUUUGUAAUCAAUCACAUUCCAAUAAUAAGAAAAUAAAAUAUUUUUGUUAUUGAAAGAAACUUGCUGCUAAUAGUCUAAAAAACAUUCAGAGGAAGCAGCAUGCUGUUAGAAAAUUAGUCUGAAAGUUUUUCUUACUAUUAGUCUUCCGAUUACAAAAACAUUCUCUUUUUUUAUUGUUGGAAUGGGAUCGAUUACAAACAUACAAUGUUAUCAUUUGUUGUUCGAACUAGAACAAUGUUUCUCCAUAUGUUUUGCAUGUGAAUAGGCCAUUAUAAGAUCAGUACCCCAAUUUUUUGUGUAAAAGGACAAUCUAAUGUUUUCAAAUCUUUUAUCUGCAACUACUGAUGUGAAUCAAGAACUAGGAUGACUGCCAAGGGAGAAUAUCAUAUAUAACCAUCUGUGUAUGUCAAUGACAAAGUGUUUGCUAAUUUUUUUUUUUUUGUAUAAAAUGUAUAAAUCUAGACAUUGGCCUGUAAAAAAUAUUUGCUACAUUAUCUAUACAACCUUCAUUAUCUUUGUGUAAAUAGUAUUAGCAGACACUCACAUAUAUUUCCAUGUAUAAAAUGAAACGAAGACCAGUCAAUAUGUUACUGCUGGUCUUAAUAAUUGAAAGUUGAUUGUUUGCUAGUGCUCUGGUAAAUGGGAAGCCACAAUCAUUCUACUUUAGUCUAGUAAGUAUUGAUUGAUUACAAUCAGACAAAUUGGAAAACUGUUUGGGCUCAAAAUAAUAGUUUGGCCGAGGGUAGGAUCAUUCUCGGCCCGGGAGGCCGUGCGGCGAAAGGGCCAUGGAUCGUUCAGCUCAUGGGCUUCCAAGCCUAGGUCGGUUAAAUCAGAACGCAAGACGAGUCCUAGUACAACAGGGAGUCUCGACGGGAUCAGUAAUCCAGAAAGUGAAUCCGGCUCAGUUAAAGACUAGGUUUGUAGUCCUAGUGAAGAUAGGACUGGUCGAGGUGAUGUUGAUCCGGAGAGGGAAACCUAGUCCGAGUAGGAUUUUAGCUCGGACUCAAGGUCCAGUGCUAUAAAUAAGGGAAGCUGUGCAUCAAGGAGGGCCCUGCAAAUCAAUACAAAAUUGCCCUGCGCAAAUUCUCACAACUUGGGAUUUUUCUUUUUCCUUUUUCGCUGACACAUCUUCCGUUGGCAUCAACAGCACUGUGGAAGCAACCGGUGAUAUCUUAAGUCGGCAUAGAUAGCUCUGUCACCAUAGAAUUAGUCGGUCUCGCAGUAACUUCUGUUGGCAUUAACAACACUGCGGCGAGAACGAUUGGUUACCUAUCCGAGUCUCGGUCGAGAAGGAUUUCUGAAUCCUUAUUAGCCGAGGUCAUCUCAUCAGCCUCCUCGGUGAAGUGAGGUGUUACAAGUGAUUACAUUCGGCACGUUGAAAGCCGAAUUUGAUAUUGAACUUCGUAAAAAUAGUAACCUUGUCUUCAGGUUCGAGAACCCAAGAGGCCGAGACGUGUUCCUUUCUCGGCCGCAAUCGCAAGACGCAGAAGUCAGCCGCACCCAACGCAACAUCAACAAAUUUACUCCUCGGCCGAGCUCGGCAUACGAGUUGGCACGCCCCGCAAUCACCGAAGGACGUAGUUAGCUUAUAGAUUACUCGGCCUGCGCGCCACGUAGGCUUGGUAGUUUCUAGGGUCAACAUUUUGGCACGCCCAGUGGGACCCAGUGCUAAACUACGAAGUUCAUGCCAAUUGAAACACGAUCGGUAAAAAAGAAAACAGCUAUGGGAAAGUCGACAGCCGAUUUGCUGAAUCAAAGCACGGGACAAAGUGUGCCACAGACGCAGAAUCCCCUUAGCGCUGUGACACCUGAGUCCACAAGCGCGACCCGCCGAGAGAGAGAAGUUACUCUCGGCGGUCAGCUCCGCGGUCUAGAAAUCCCUAACAGAAACACCUGCGUUUUCACUGAAGGGAUAGUCGAGCAGACGUUUAGUCGAGGCAUUAACAAGCUGCAUGACGUGAUACUCAGUUCCAAUGAGUGACAAACUAGAUUGCUCGAAAUGCUGGUUAGUAAAGUCAGUGAAAGCAGGCCUUUCGAUCUUCUCCAGCACUUACCACCAGGAAACAAUCCGUUACCAAUUGUACCAGCCGAGCCUAUUCCUGCUCGGCUCAAACCAAUUAACUUGGAAAAAGGAGGAGGGUCGAAUAGUAGGUCAGACGGAACCGACCAGAGAGUCGAGGCAACACCUGUCGAUAUGACCGAAGUCCAGCGGAUGAUCGACUCGGCCAUGAAGAAAGGGCCGAAGUUUCCUAAGUUUAUUCAUCCGUACCCAUCUUACGUGGAAACGUUCGGAUACCCGAAGGGUUUCAAAAUCCCAGAUUUCAGCCUUUUUGCCGGUGAAUCAUCCCUGUCUUCGUUGGAGCAUGUGGCUCGUUUCACCGCGCAAUGCGGGGAUGUUAAUAGUGAUUUCCAUAAGUUACGGCUGUUCAAUUUCUCAUUGACCGGAUCAACAUUUGCCUGGUAUAUCAAUCUUCCUCCUAAUUCCGUCCAAAACUGGGAGGAGUUGGUCGAGAAAUUCCACGAGCAGUUUUAUCGGCCAGGGAUUGAGAUGUCAGUUUCUUCAUUAGCACGGAUGGCUCAAGCGUCUGAUGAGUCACCAAUGGAUUAUCUUACCAGGUUCAAAUCAGCCAGGAAUUGGUGCCGAGUGCCUUUACCUGAGGUCGAAUUUGUCAGGCUUGCUUUGAACGGCCUCGAUGUCGAAUACAAAAAGAAAUUAUUGGGGGAAAACUUUCGGGAUAUGUACGAAUUAGCCCAACAUGUCGAACAAUAUGAUUAUUUGCUCCGCGAGGAAAAGACUUCGAAAGCUCCAACUCGGGGGACGAUUUACAAGAAUCCUACUGUCAAUUAUGCAUCAACUGAGGAUGAAUAUGUUAGUGUGGAUGCAGCUGAGAUAGUGAUAGAUAAGCUAUACGUUUGCAAGGCAUUGACUCAGGUUGAUUCUAGGGAAGUCAAAAGCCGCUCGGCCACGGAAGGAACAUUGAAACCGUCAAAAGUUUACAAUUUUGAUAUUACAAAGGCUGACGUAAUUUUUGACCAACUGUUAUCAGCAAGAAUCAUCAAGCUUCGGCCUGGUCACAACAUUCCCAAGGCCGAAGAGCUUAAAGGAAAGGUGUAUUGCAAGUACCACAAUUCAAGCAAACAUACGACAAACAAUUGCGUCGUGUUUCGCGACAACGUGCAAAGCUGAAUUGAUAACGGCAAACUGAAAUUUCCAGAGAAGAAGAUGAGUGUUAAUACUGAUCCGUUCCCCACGGCAACAGUAAAUAUGGUCGAUACGUACCUACUUAAGGACAAAAGGAAAGGAAAGGCUGAAGUUGUUGCAACGCAAUGCUGGCGAAAUCAGAAUUCUCGGCCACGGUUCAUGGUCGAUUUUCGUGCAAACGAACCACCUACAGCUUUAACAGGACCCGCUAUUGUCAAACCUAUGAUGGAUUAUAGCACCGAUGAAGACAGUGGGACGGCGGUUUUGUGCAGAAAAUGUAGAGCAAAGGUCGACAGUGAGCCAGGGGAGAAGCCCUCUUCGCUUGUAACAGAACGACCUAUGGACGCAACCCGGCAAAAGGUAACUAACGUAGGCCAACAUCAAAGGGUUUUUGAUAGGCUCGGUCCUAAAGUACGGAUGGAAGAGACACCCCCGGUCAAGCGGCGCCUCGAUUUUGAUGCUUCAUUCUAUGACGAUGAUUACUAUAAACGUAAUUCUAGCAGUUCAAAAUCAUCGCGGAGCCAAAAAACCUUCAAACCUCCCGAGCCUAGAGAUCAACGUUGGUAUACAUAUCAUUCUUCGAAAGGUGUUUACACCGCGUUGUCCAAAUCCCAGAAACGUCGGCAUCAAAGGAUAGAUUGCAUGGCCCGCCGACGGGCCGCCCAAGAAACUUCGGUCCUUAAAUGGCGGCCGAAGGACACAAUUGCUACUGAUGAUGAAUGACCACCUCCAGCCAUUAUGACAGAGUUGGUUCAAGGGAAACGGUUGGUCGACCAAGAUGUUGAAACCACGUUUGAAGAGGCCGAUAAACGGAUCAAACUUCUUUUUCGACCAGGGGAGAUGAAGGCACGCCUUGAACAUUUCAGGCAAGAGGCCGAAAGCAAAUUAGCCCCGCCGGCUAUACAAGAACCUUUGAUUAAGAUUCGACGGAAUUUGCACCCCCCGUUCCUUGGGGAGUCUUUGGAAUAUAUGCGCGAAUUCCAUAAGAAACAUUCGGCCAAUGAUCUGUAUGGCUUGCCAAAGGCAUGCCAGGACACCAUUGAUCUAGUCCUGACUUGUCCUGAUGCCGAGCGAAUCAUCCAGAAAACCUCAGACACAGGGCUGAAAGCAAGGUUCCAGCACAUACGAGAAGCUCGUGUCCUUGGAUUUGAAGUCGACCCAUACACUGAUAUUGAUGCAGCCGACCUUCCUUUCUCAAUGGAGGACCUUCAGUAUUUACGAUAUCACUUCGAAGUAUUCUCGGCGAUUUCGCUCUUCGGCCUUACGACCGAUGAAAUAGCACGUGUUGCACGUCUGGAUGCUUAUCUCGACACUAGGGAUGCCCGGCUACGUUACCAGGAGCAGGUCCUGACCCCGAGCACACUGUCGAUCUCAACCUCACAUGAGGUAGGUACACAGACCCAACAAGUUGCCAAAGCAGCACCGCAGGAUCAAACCAUCGAAGAAGGAACAGAAGAGUCUUGUUGUCCAACCUUGACAGCAACAGAGUUCGUGGUUGCCGACCAGACAAGAGAUGAGGAUAGUGAGGAGGGUCCUAACCCGAUGGGCUCGUCAGUCUUGGAUAACAUGGAAAUCAGUAUGGUCCAUGUGUUACCCGCUGAUUUUCAAUCAAGCACGACCCAACCGAAUUUCCUCGAUGGUGACGUAGUCGCUGAAGAAGCCGGCCAUGUUGAUUUUGUAUCUGUUGCUGAAGUUGAAUCAACGACAAAAGCUGACAGUCUAAAGGCGGCUUUGGCCGAAUUGUUUCCUCGUUCAUCAUCGGCCAAACUUCGCCAUUUAAAGCCUUUGUAUGUGACGGCCCAUAUCGAGGGGUAUCCAGUUUCUAAAGUUUUCGUCGACUGUGGAACUACCGUCAAUAUCAUGCCUCUAAACAUCAUGAAGGCCUUACGUCGCUCGACUGACGAGCUUAUUCUGUCAGGGAGCACAGUGAGUAGUUUUGUCGGCGAAAAAUCCCAAACCAAAGGUGUACUUCCGUUAACUGUAAACAUUACCGGUCGCACUCACAUGACCGCCUUUUUCAUGGUUGAUUCCAAAACCGAGUAUAAUGCACUGCUCGGUCGAGACUGGAUUCAUCAAACCAGUUGUAUUCCUUCAUCAUUGUAUCAAGUGCUUGUCUUUUGGGAUGGCAACUCGGUCACUGUUCACCCGGCCGAUAGCCAGCCCUUUGAAGCUAAAAUGAUCCAAGCACGGUAUUAUGAUGACCACGUCGACUACAUUACAUUGCAAGGCUUCAAUGAAGAAGGACGGCCGACUCGGAUUUCGGUUCAGAAAGCUAUCGAGGUUGGUGCCGAGACUGUCCAGCAGGAUUCGGCGAGACUCGGAUUAGCCAAUUUCCUCCCCGAAGCUGAUGUUUGACACCGAUCGGGAAACACGUAGGGCCGCGGUUUCAUCUACUAUGGAACGACUGCUGGCCCAUUGGUAUACUAUAUCCAAACAACCAAAUUCGGGCGUUAACCUCGUCGAGUUCCUUACCGAAGGAGAUAAUGGUCCUGUCUUGUCUCUUGAUAAAAUUCAAGCCGCCCCGGCCGAACUCGAAGAUCAUCGGCCCCAAGUUAAGGACCCCUUGGAAGAGAUUAAUAUUGGGAUGGCCGAUGAUCCACGGCCUUUGUUUGUUAGUGUGUUACUUCCCCAACAAAUGAAUGACGGGUUUCGUGCCUUGCUUACGGAGUUCAAAGAUUGUUUUGCUUGGAGCUAUCAUGAAAUGCCCAACUUAGAGCGUACUCUGGUCGAGCAUGAAUUACAUAUUAAGCCCGGAUGCAAACCUUUCCGUCAGCCACCUCGUCGAUUCUCGACCGAAGUGCAACUCGGCAUCAAAGACGAAUUGGUUCGGCUUUUGAAAGCCAGGUUCAUUCGGACAGCUCGAUAUGUUGAAUGGUUGGCAAAUAUCGUGCCUGUUUUAAAGAAAAAUGGUGCACUACGCAUUUGUAUCGAUUUCAGAAAUCUGAAUCUGGCAACUCCCAAAUAUGAGUAUCCAAUGUCGAUUUCAGACCUGUUAAUCGAUGCUGCGGCAAAUCAUGCAAUCUUAUCCUUUAUGGAUGGACACGCCGGAUACAACCAAAUAUUCAUUGCUGAAGCCGAUGUGCACAAAACUGCUUUCCGUUGCCCGGGGGCACUCGGGACUUACGAAUGGGUUGUUAUGCCGUUCAGCCUCAAGAAUGUCGACGCCACAUACCAGCGGGCGAUGAAUACCAUCUUCCAUGAUUUAAUUGGAACCAUCAUCGAAGUUUACAUCGACGAUGUUGUCAUCAAAUCUAAACGCCGACAGACACAUCUGGACGAUCUCCGACAAGCUUUCCUCCGCAUGUGUCGGCACAACCUCAAGAUGAAUCCUGCCAAGUGUGCCUUCGGCGUAUCGGCCGGAAAUUUUCUUGGCUUCCUCGUGCAUCACCGUGGGAUUGAAGUCGAUGAGAAUAAGGCCCGCGCAAUCAUCAAUGCCCCACCCCCAACUACGAAGAAACAACUCCAAUCCUUACUAGGACAGAUCAAUUUCCUCCGCCGAUUUAUUGCCGACUCAACAGGUAAAAUGAAAGCGUUCUCCACGCUUUUGAAACUCAAGGACUCCGAUAAAUUUGUGUGGAACGAUGAGCAUCAGGCGGCGUUUACGCAAAUCAAAGUCUCCCUCACGAACCCACAUGUCCUGGUUCCUCCUCGGCGCGGUAAGCCUCUUAAGCUCUACAUCUCGGCGGCCGAAGAGUCCAUCGGCUGCCUCCUUGCGUAAGACAACGACGCCGGACGAGAGCAUGCUAUUUUUUAUCUCAGCCGCAAUCUCAGUCAACCGGAGAUCAAUUAUCCAGCCGUCGAAAAGCUGUGCCUGGCCGUGUUUUUUGCCGCUUCCAAGCUUCGACAUUAUAUGCUCCCAUCAGUCACCCAAGUUAUUGCUCAGACCGACGUCAUCCGCUACAUGCUCACCCGACCAAUCGUAAAAGGCCGCAUUGGGAAAUGGACCAUGGCACUGUCCGAAUUUAGCUUGCAGUACGUAGCCAGAAAGCUAUCAAGGGCCAGGCACUGGCUGAUUUCCUUGCUCAACAUCCCUCCCCAUACGGUUUUGGGGGCAACGACGUUGAAAUCGGCAUUGUUCAGACGCGCGACAACCACUGGACGAUGUACUUUGACGACUCCAGUACGUCAUCUUCGACGGGCGUGGGAAUUGUCAUUCAAUCCCCGAACCACGAUCACUGGUUAUUUUCGCUUAAGUUGGAUUUCGAAUGCACCAACAAUCAGGCCGAAUAUGAAGCCCUAAUCGUCGGCCUUGGAAUUCUUCAUGACUUGCGGGCGACCCGCGCCCUAACAUUAUCAAGUUGAUUAUAUAGCGAUCUGACAAAUAUUGUGAGUGUAGAAAAUAUGUAGUAAUUAAUGAAAGAAGUCUAAACACACCAUAAUCAUUUAUAUAUAAUGAAUUAGUACAAUAUUUUACACUUUAGUACCACAUAGAGUUCCUAUGAGGUUCAAAUUUUUCACUAUCUUCAUCAUCUCUAUGUGUAGAAUGAGUGUAUUGUGAAGAGUAGUUAUCAAAUGAUAAAUCCCCAAAAUAGUUUUGCAUGUAAUUGUUAAUAUGCCACCCAUAUGGAUCCGAGAUUGGUUGAGGUUGUCCAUAAGAAAAAACAUUUGAAGAUUGAGGCUGGGAUUGUUUCCAUGAGUCGCUCGAUUCCAUCCCAACAGGAAUGGGAUAUGAAGGGUAGGGAAAUGGUUGGUUAUGAGUAUAACCAUAGUUACUACUUCCCAAUCCAACAGAGUCUGAAGUUCUAGAUAACGAGUCAUCUUCUUGACUUGACAAAAUCCCCUUGCCUCUUUCUCUGCGAGUAUAGUCCUUCCCUAUGGCACCAAUUCCUGGUCCUGCCCGCCUACUGCCAUGGUCAUCAUCCUGUGUUGCAUGCGUGAAGUUUGCCUCACCAGUGAAGGGGCUCAUAUAUCCGGGAGAUGGUGGUCCAUAAUAGUUUCCAUAUCCACCACCACUACCUCCAACUCCACUACCUCCAGCUCCAUUAUGUCCUUCAUCAUUCCCACCUCCGGUGGUAGGUGAGUCUCCUGAUCUUGUACUAGAGCUAUCAUUAGUAUGAGCACGAUGUUGUGGUUGUGUAGGAUUGGAGAAGGUGGAAUUCCAGUGUUUCUUGGUCUUGGGUGCAAAAGUUCUUCGAAAGAGUUAGAGCUGCUAGAUCCCACAUCCUCCUCUAAUACUCUUUCUACAUUUAUCCCUUCAUUACGUGCUUCUUCAGCAACUCUGGGAGCUGGGUUGCCUUCAUCAUCAUCUAAAUGAAGAGGUCUAAUCCAUUGAAAAAAUUGGUUACCCUCCGUAUCAUCAUCUUCACCAACAAUAUCAAACACAUCUAGUGGGUCACCACGGUCGACAUGAUCGAUUUCUGCUUCCUUAUCUCGAAUUUGAAGCUUCAUGUUGUAGUAGCAAUAAACUAAUUUUUCCAAGCUACUAUGAGCCAACUUAUUUCUUUGCUUUGUGUGUAUGAGUGCAAAUGUGCUCCAAUUUCUUUCACAAGCAGAUGAGGAAGCUGUUUGUGAUAAUACUUUUAUUGCUAACUUUCUCACAGUUGGUGCAUCGGUCUCAUACAUGAUCCACCAUUCAGCUGCAAUGAAAAAUAAUGUUGAUAAGCCUAAUAACUCCAACAAAUUCUAUCAUAAACUUAUAGUGAAAUAUGUUUAUACUCACUAGGAGACAUAUUUGUUCGAGCAGCAACUGAUGUUGGUUCUCCAAAUGUUCUUCUUGCAUCUUUAAACCAUGUUAGCUGAAUACAAUAAAUUAUGUUAGUUUAAUCCAACAAAGUAAUUAUUAUAAAUUAAGUAAUUGUGUACCUCAUUUCCAAAUUGGCCAACUGCUGGUGAUGCAGGGUCUAAUUUAGAGUAUACAUUAUGUACAGCACGUAUAAGGUCACCAUCAUCUCCAACACCGGGUUUGUAUUGGUAUCGGGGAUUCAAAUAAUAUGCUGUUCAAAGAAACACAUACUCUAAUAAGAGAAAUAAUACUUAUGCAACUAAAGAAAUGAAUUGCAAAUUAUGACAUAAUUUAUACCUGUUGCAUGCAAAUCAUGGUAUAAUGUUUUAUACCAUCGGUCUUCAAUUAUUUUUAUGACCCACCUUGCACCAUGUUUUCUUUCCAAUUCAUCCUUCACUACACGCAUCAACUCAUAUACUGCCCCCAUAGUAGGAUACACUUCUGUGUCAACGAUCCGUAAAACUUUGUAAAGAGGUUCAAACACUUGACACACAUGUUCUGUUUGAGUCCAAAAAGCAUGAUCAAGCACUAUACUUUCCACCAUACGACCUGUAUUUGAGCGGCUGAAAUUGUGGUUGGCCCAAUCGUCACUAGUGAAUAGUUGCUUCAACCCUGCUUUCUUCUUGAGUAGGCUGUUUAAUGCAAUAUAGUUGGUGGCGAAUCGAGUGGUAGCUGGACGAAUAAUUUCUCCUCUGCAAAAUUCAAGCAUCUUUGCCAACAACCAACCGUGAUUGUAAAUAUAAUUUGUGAUCGUUCUAGCUCUUUUGACCAUAGUAGCAACAGUCUCUCUCUUCCCCAUUGCCUCAAACAUGAGAUCAAUACAAUGUGCUGCACAUGAUGUCCAAAACACAUUAUGAUGCUUCAUUAACUUUUUUCCAGCUUUGACAAAUGCAGAACCGUUGUCGGUCACGACUUGGACAACAUUAUGCUCUCCCACCUCCAUGAUUACAUCCCUCAAUAAUUUGUAAAUAUACUUGUAAUUCUUUAUAUGGUCUGAAGCAUCAACAGACUUCAAAAAAAUUGUCUUUCCCUUGGAGUAUACCAUGAAGUUGAUGAUAGAUAAUCUGGUCGGGCCGGUCCAUCCGUCACACAUGAUUGUGCAACCAUUAGUUUCCCACUUUGACCUCAACUUGUUAACAUACUCGCCAAUGUCUUUAUACUCCAUAUCCAAAUAUUUGUUUCUUAUCUCAUAGGGAGUGGGAGGUUGUACUCCAACACCGGCCUGUUGACAUCCCACUACCAUAUUUUUGAAAUGAUGUGAUGAUGCCUUCGCAGCAGGGACAUUUUCAUAGAUAAAGAACUUGCUAAUUAGACGCCUCAUUCCCUCCUUCACAUUACCUCCCUUGAAAUAACUCCAAACACUCUUUUGACGUGCGUUGGAUGACUUAUAUAAACUUGGGGCUAUUGGUGGUGUUGGUUGUGAUUCUCUAAGACUGCCUCCCCGUCUCAUUUGUGAACCACCACUUGUCCCGGAACCUUGUCCCCUAUUAGGAAUUUUAUGAAGGUGUUCUCUUUCCCAUGCUGACUGUUUGGAGGCACGUAAUGCUUGUUUCAAACUGCGUCGUUCUUCAGGUCCCAUGUCAUCAUUACAUUCGUCCUCAUCGUCAUCAUCAUCACUGUCAACCGCUUGGCCAUAGAUUUCUCCCCGUAGCCCAGCUCGAAUAUUUUCCAUUCCCUGUGUUAUCUUUUCCUUCUGCUGUUUUUUAUUUUUUAAUAAUGUGCUGAUGAAUGCCUUCACUUCUGGGGGGACAUUAUCGCAUCGUUGGACAUUUUUUGAUGGAUCUAAUCCACCAAGAUGAUACUUCAGUCGUGUCACUCCGCCACUCUUCAUUACCCGACCACAAUAUUUGCAAAUUGUGCCAUGUUUGUUUCCGUCUAUUGGGUCUCCAUAUUCCCAAGCUGGAUCACGUUUACUGGACAUCUUAAACGUACCUAUAUUUAUUUUUCAUGAAAAUUAGACAAUUAUUUUUUGAUAAAAAUAAGAGAACCUAAAUAAUAAAGUUAUUCUACAGAAGAAUUAAAUACAAAGUAAAGAAAAUGAUUGUAAAAAUUUAAGUAAUUAUACAAAUAAUAUGGAAUAAUAAAACCUAAUAUUAAUGAAUAAUAAUCCAAUUUGAUAAUAAUUCAAUUUAAUGAAUAAUAAUCCAAUUUGAUAAAAACAAAAUCCUAAUAUAAAACAUGGUGAUGAAUAAUAAUCCAAUUUGAUAAAAACAAAAUCCUAAUAUAAAACAUGGUGAUGAAUAAUAAUCCAAUUUGAUAAUAAUCCAAUUUAAUGAAUAAUCCACCAAUUUGAUAAUAAUCCAAUUUAAUGAAUAAUCCACCAAUUUGAUAAAAAAAAAUAAUCCUAAUAUAAAACAUGGUGAUGAAUAAUAAUCCAAUUUGAUAAUAAUAAUCCAAUUUGAUAAUAAUCCAAUUUGAUAAUAAUCCAAUGUAAUGAAUAAUCCACCAAUUUGAUAAAAAAAAAUCCUAAUAUAAAACAUGGUGAUGAAUAAUAAUCCAAUUUAAUGAAUAAUAAUCCAAUUUGAUAAUAAUCCAAUUUAAUGAAUAAUCCACCAAUUUGAUAAAAAAAAUAAUCCUAAAUAUAAAACAUGGUGAUGAAUAAUAAUCCAAUUUGAUAAUAAUCCAAUUUAAUGAAUAAUCCACCAAUUUGAUAAAAAAAAUAAUCCUAAUAUAAAACAUGGUGAUGAAUAAUAAUCCAAUUUGAUAAUAAUCCAAUUUAAUGAAUAAUCCACCAAUUUGAUAAAAAAAAUAAUCCUAAUAUAAAACAUGGUGAUGAAUAAUAAUCCAAUUUGAUAAUAAUAAUCCAAUUUAAUGAAUAAUCCACCAAUUUGAUAAAAAAAAAUAAUCCUAAUAUAAAACAUGGUGAUUAAUAAUAAUCCAAUUUAAUGAAUAAUAAUCCAAUUUGAUAAUAAUCCAAUUUAAUGAAUAAUCCACCAAUUUGAUAAAAAAAUUUCCUAAUAUAAAAGAAUAAUAAUCCAAUUUGAUAAUAAAAAAACCUAAUAUUAAUGAAUAAUAAUCCAAUUUGAUAAUAAAAAAAUCUAAUAUUAAAGAAUAAUAAUCCAAUUUGAUAAUAAAAAAAACCUAAUAUUAAUGAAUAAUAAUCCAAUUUGAUAAUGAAAAUGGUAAGGAAAAUAAAAUAAUAAAUAAUAUUAAACAUAUUAAAAUUAUCCUAGGGAAUAAUUAUACAACAUUACUUAAUUACUUAAAACAAUUAACAUUAACAUUACUUAAUUACUUACAAAAAUUAACAUGCAAGUAUUAAUUACUUAAAAAGAUUAACAUACGAGUCCACACAAAUUUAUUUGUUGUUGUAUAAAUUACAAUAAUAUAAAUUUAAGUUUGUAAACUUACCUUAAAUAUGGAAGCCUUUGUGUUCAAGCUUUGGAAUGGAUUUGGAAUGAUUUUGAAAAUGGUAAGGAAAAUAAAAUAAUAAAUAACAUUAAACAUAUUAAAAUUAUCCUAGGGAAUAAUUAUACAACAUUACUUAAUUACUUAAAACAAUUAACAUUAACAUUACUUAAUUACUUACAAAAAUUAACAUGCAAGUAUUAAUUACUUAAAAAAAUUAACAUACGAGUCCACACAAAUUUAUUUGUUGUUGUAUAAAUUACAAUAAUAUAAAUUUAAGUUUGUAAACUUACCUUAAAUAUGGAAGCCUUUGUGUUCAACCUUUGGAAAGGAUCUGGAAUGGUUUUGAAAAUGGUAUGGGAAGAAGAAGAAACGAAAUUUCUGUGAAUGCUUCUGAUACUCCACUGGGUGAAAGAAUGUAAGUAUAUAACAGACAUUGACACUGUUUUGCAUGUGAAAGACUCUUACUGACUGUCACACGAUUUCAUUAUGAAAGCAGUAUUAUUUGUUGUCCAUGUUCUGAAAUUGCAAAAAGUUAUUUGGAUCAUUGGAUCAGAGAGCUAGACAUAGGUUUGGAAUGAUUUGGUUUUGAAUAAUUUGGAGCAUUGGAUGCUUUUUUUUUCUUACACGCCACCACUCAGACAGUAAAAAAGAGUGAGGAACUCACACUCCACCACCACACACACUUCGAGACCCCCCACACCACACCACACACGCACACCACACACGGAGCUCAGUCUCUCUCUCGAUCAUUCAUUUCCCACUACCAUAUUCUCGAAUCCUCUCAAUCUCUCUCUUCUCUCUUCUCUCUCUCUGAGGUCUGAGCCUUCGUUCUCAUUGAGAACUUCUCAGUCUUCUCCCUCCCUUACCCCUUCUCCAGUUCUUCCACACACACACAGAGACAUCAUCUCUCGAAUCUCGAUCCAUCUCUCGAUCCUUCUCGUCCGUGUCUCCGUGUCUCCCUCUGCUCCUCCCAUAUCACCCGCCCUAAACCCAGCCGUCAACACCACUCGAUAACCGCCUUCUAAACCACCUUGAUCCAUGGAGAUCGACCGGAAAUCAUCGUAGUCCCAGCCGUCGACACCACUGAGGAGCACGACGUUGUCCCAGCCGUCUUGGAUUCGUGAGGAAGACGUGUUCCCAGGCUCCUACUUCUCUUCUUCUCGGCUUUUACUUUAAAUUUUUGUACAGAUUUCAAUUUUUCUGCAUGUUGCACCUUUGUUGUACUGAAAUCGAUUUUAGGGAUUUAGGAAUUAGGGUUUCUAUUUUUGUACAUAUUGCGAUUUUUCUGCAUGUUGCUUGAUUUUUGUACUGAAAUCGAUUUUAGGGAUUUAGGAAUUAGGGAUUCAGUUCAUUUGCUUUGAAUUCGAAUUUGGGGAUUUAGGGAUUCGGUUAAUUUGCUCCGGCGUUCUUCUCGGCUUGUAAAUUACAAUUUUUGUACAAAUUGCGAUUUUUCUGCAUGUUGAUUUUUGUACUGAAAUCGAUUUUAGGGAUUCCUGUAUUGUAGAUUCAGUUCAUUUGCUUUGAAUUAGAAUUUUGGGAUUUAGGGGUUUGGAUUAUUUGCUCCGGCUGUGUUCUCCGAUGAGUCCAUACCAAAUAUCGCGAUAGUUUCGAAAAUAUCGCGAUAUUAUCGAUAUUAUCGAUAAUAUCGCGAUAUUCUGCCGAAAACAAGUUGGAUAGUUAAUAAAAUAUCGGGGUCCCAAAAAAACGAUAAUAUCGGCGAUAUUUCACCGAUAUUAUCGAUAUUUUCUUCACUGGAUGUGACUCAAAUUUUGAAUAUUCGAGCUGCCUACGUAUCCCUCCAAAGAAGAGAUCAAGUCGUAACGUAGUUCAAAUACAUACAUAUUUUUUUUUGGUACUUUCUUUUUGUGCCGUUUGCAAUUUUAACUCAUGCAGGCAAGGAGUGUUGGUGUCGUUUGCAGUUUUAACUCGUGCAGACAAUGAGCAUUUGGUGCCGUGUUGCAGUUUCAACUCGUGCAGGCAAGGAGCGUUGGUGUUGCCUUUUAUGCUCGUGCACACCAGGAGCGUUUGGUGCCGUGUUGCAGUUUCAGCUCGUGCAGGCAAGGAGCUUCGUGUCCUACAGUUUAGGCUCGUGCGGACAAGGAGCUUUUGGUUCGUGCAGUUUAGGCUCGUGCGAACAAGGAGCAUUGUGUCUUGCAGUUUAGGCUCUUACAGACAAGGAGCUUUGGUGAAUUUGUCAAGCAAUUUUGGAGAGGCGUUCCUCACAAUCUUCAUAGCAAGGAGCCUUGACCGAGUGAUUGAAGAGGUCUUCGGGUAAGAAAUCACGCAUCGUGAUGGGGAUGGGUGAUCUAUAUGUCGAAAUUUCAUCAUCUUCAACACGUUCACGUUGCUUUGAAGGUUGACAAGAGAUGCUUUGCCCCCUUUCCGAUUGGCGGACUUGUGGAGGAGACGUAUGCUUCUUGUGCAAUUUCUUAUGAGUGACUUGAGUCCAUCCUUCAACUUUGCUUGUCUUGGAGGAUGCCCCCAAUGGUUGAGGUGAAAACUUUGAGUCGGAAGAGCCAAAAGUGAUGGUGGUAUAGUUUGACUUCACCACAUCAUCAAGAUCUAGCUCGAUGAUUCCUUUCUAAGCCAGCUUCAUGAUGAGAUCUUUCAGCACGAAGCAUUUUUCUGUCGGAUGACUGAUAAAGCGGUGGAAUUUACAGUAUCUUGGACUGUCGGUACGAUUCAUCUCUUCCGGCCGUCUGCACUCAGGUAAACCGAUCACCUUCUUGUCCAACAGGUCAUCCAGCAUGGCAACCACAUCAGAGUCGGGGAAUGGAUAAGUCUUCUCCUCAAGCUCCUUCAAAGUGCGUCUACGCAUCUCUUGAUCACGAAAAGCUUCGACUUGAAUCGCCUUGCCUCGUGUAGAGAUUUUGACGGGAGAUGUGUUGACCGUCAUCGCUUCCUUGGUGGGUUUCCAUGCAGCCUUCUCCACCUUUGUCUCAAGAACUUUGUCGUUCUUGUAGUCGGCGAUCGGUUCUUUCUUCCUAUGAUAGGCGAUGCUCAACUCCAUGUCAUGGGCGCGAGUGGCCAAUUCCUCGAAAGUCCGUGGUUUAAUGCCUUGGAUGAUGUAUUGCAAACCCCAUUGCAUGCCUUGGAUGCACAUCUCGAUUGAAGAGGUUUUCGAGAGCCUGUCUUUACAGUCGAGGCUUAGAGUGCGCCAUCUGUUGAUGUAGUCAAUGAUUGGCUCGUCCUUCCACUGCUUUGUGCUCGUUAGCUCUAGCAUGCUCACAGUGCGGCGUGUGCUGUAGAAGCGAUUAAGGAAUUCCCGUUCUAAUUGCUCCCAGCUGUUGAUGGACUCAGGCUCUAGGUCCGUGUACCACUCAAAGGCGUUUCCUUUCAGCGAGCGCACAAAUUGCUUGGCGAGGUAGUCUCCAUCUGUCCCCGUGUUGUUGCAAGUUUCGACGAAAUGUGCAACGUGCUGCUUUGGGUUUCCUUUUCCAUCAAACUGCAUGAACUUUGGUGGUUGAUAACCCCUUGGCAUCCUUAGGGCAUCAAUCUUCUUGGAAUAGGGCUUCGAGUAGAACAAGGAGGUAUGUGAGCUCCCUUCGUACUGUGCCUUGAUGGUGUUGGUGAUCAUCUCCUGCAGUUGCUGGAUAGAAAGAGAUCCCAUGAGUGCCGCUGCUUGGUCUGGCUCCGGCUUCCCAUCGAUUUUCUUCACCAGGGGUUCUUCGUCCCCGCCAGCUCCUCCCUUUAGUGGAUCAUCCUCUGGGUCGGGUUUAUCGCCGUCAUGCGCCUCCAGUCGGUUGACUAGUGCUGCAAUUUGCAAGUCUUUUUCUUCCACAGUUCGGGUUAGCCUUGCGAUUGCUUCAUUCAUUUGAGCCAGCUGCUCAUCGAUUGAAGUUGCUCCAAUGGUCAUGACUUGCAUGGCUGAACUGUCGCUUGAAUCGGCAUCAGAGAGCAUGGAUUCGGAGUAUUUCCUUGGGCUUUCCCCCCUUGGUGCCCUUAGUAGGCUAAGGUGAUCAAAGGCUCGUGCCUUGGGUGCUUUUGUUCCCUUGGCAGAGUUGAUGCAGAGGUGAAAGAGGCAGCAGAAGUAGAUCUUGCCAUGCUUCGAGUCGUGAUGCCCAAAGUGACACCAGUUGCGACGAGGACGCUUUUGUUCUUUGCGUCGGUUGCGGGAACAGUUUGAGCCUUCCUUGAUGCCAUUAAUUUUGGAAGUGCGCUUGAAUUUCUUGAACGGAGAAAGAGAUGAGAGGCAGAGAUGGUCCCACUGGGCGUGCCAAUUUGUGAACACGGAAAAUUCCUGAAACGAAAGAGACAAGAACAACGCGCACAAACAAAUAUUUGUGUUUGAUAAUUUUGGGUUACAAUCUCUCUCUAUUUUGAUCCUCUGAUUCGAUCUCCAUAAGGUGUGUAUUUGUGGAUGUGUGAUUGAUCCAAAGGGCCGUUGGGCUUGAUCUAAGGAUGAACGUUCUUCAAGGGCCGUGGACUUGAUCUUGAAGGUGGAUUUGAGCGGAUCUUCAAGGAGCCGUUGGGGCUUGAUCUUGAGUAACGGUGAUGAACGGAUCUUCAAGGGCUUUUGGGCUUAAUCUUGAAGAAACAGUGAUGAACUGAUCUUCAAGGGCUUUUGGGCUUAAUCUUGAAGAACGGUUGGAUGUGUGUGGAUUUGUCGACGUUUGUUGAUCCAAAGGGCCGUUGGGGCUUGAGCUUGGAUGAACGGAUGAUGAACGAUGGUGCUUUCUUCAAAGGCCGUCGGGGCUUGAUCUUGAAUUGGUGGAUGGUUGAUCCAAGGGACCGUUGGGGCUUGAUCUUGGAAGAACGAUGAACGAAGAACGAGGAACACUUUCUUCAAGGGCUGUCGGGGCUUGAUCUUGAAUUGGUGGAUGAUUGUUGAUCCAAAGGGCCGUUGGGGCUUGAUCUUAGGAUGAACGAUGAACGAAGAACGCUUUCUUGAUUCUUCGGGAACCUGGAUGCUUGAGAGCUUCGAAGUUUCAGAGCUUCAGGGCUUCAAGAGUUUUGCCUAAUGAUUUUGGUUCCCCCCAAAUGAAUGAAAUGGGCUUGUAUUUAUAGAAAUUUCCAAGGCCUAAUUUUGAAUAUAAUAUUCCAGAUGAAAUAAGUCGUUUCUGCCAGGUGUUGACACGUGUCCUAUUUGAUGACUUUUCCAACUCAUUUCAAUUUUCGUUGAGUCACACGCUACGUGUAAAAUUUAUGUAAUACAUGAGCGUUGAAACUUUGAUUUAUCGGUCAACAUUUAUUUACCGAAAUUUCGAUGUCUACAGCAGUACCUCGACAAUCCCAAUGGUAAACAUGAUCGCAAGACGAGAGUUCACGCCACAAACUAUGUCAUGUAUCAGAGCGAGUUAUACCGAAAAGGCGAAGAUGGUUUGUUAUUGCUAUGCCUCGGCCCCCAAGAGAGUGUUCGGGCGAUUACAGAAGUCCAUGAAGGGAUAUGCGGAGCUCAUCAAUCCGGACGGAAAAUGCGAUGACUACUUCGACGGCACGGCUAUUUUUGGCCAAGGAUACUAAAGGAUUGUAUCGAGUUUGCACGAGGAUGUGUACAAUGCCAAAUCCACGGGCCUAUACAAAGGGUCCUGGCCGAAUCUUUGCAUUCGGUCAUAAAGCCAUGGCCGUUUCGAGGAUGGGCCAUGGACGUAAUCGGCAAAAUCACGCCGUCUUCUGGAGCCGCUAAGCACGCAUGGGUAAUAGUCGCAACUGAUUACUUUACUAAGUGGGUCGAAGCGAAAUCAUACGCCGAACUAACAUCUAAAGAAGUUUGCGAUUUCAUGGAGGAACACAUCGUGACCAGAUUUGUCGUACCAGAAACGAUCAUAACUGACAAUGGAACAAUCUUCACAGCCGAGAGGUUUAAAGAGUAUACGGCAAAUUUAAAAAUUCGGCUCGAACAGUCUACACCGUAUUAUCCACAGGCGAAUGGGCAGGCCGAGGCAAGUAAUAAAGUGUUGAUCGGCAUCCUCGAAAAAAUGAUAAAAGAAAGGCCUGACAUGUGGCAUUUGAAGUUGAACGAGGCAUUAUGGGCAUAUCGAACAUCGCCCCGAUCGGCGACUGCGACAACCCCGUAUGCAUUAACCUACGGACACGAUGUAAUGUUACCAGUCGAGUUAAGCAUAAAUUCGUUGCGAUUAAUCGAACAAAGUAGUUUGUUUAGCGCCGAAUAUAAUCAGUCCAUGAGACAGGAACUCGAAGAUUUGGAAGAAGUACGACUUGACGCUUAUAACUUACUGGUGGCACAAAAACGGAUUGCCGAGCGAGCCUAUAAUCAAAAGGUACGACAGAAAACAUUCGGCGAGGGUGAAUUAGUGUGGCAAACGGUGUUACCCGUAGGACUAAAAGACCCUAGAUUCGGCAAGUGGUCGCCAAAUUGGGAAGGACCGUUCGUUGUGCAUAAAGUAUACGGAAAAUGGGCGUAUCAUCUUAAAGACCGGACCAGUUUGGUUCACAGAUUGCCGAUCAACGGGAAGUUUUUAAAAAAAUACUACCCGGUCACGUGGGAAAUGCGGGAAUAGAAAAUUAAUUUAUUAAUGUGCAAGACGACUGAAUUGAUCGUUUUUACAUCCAAGUGCCUUUAAGGCGAAGAGGGUAGGAGGGUGCCGAGCAGGGCCUUCAACUCCAACCACCGCACCUCGGCCAUGAUAACUUCAGCUUGCCGAUUCCUCUUGUCCAGCUUCAACCGCUCGACCCGUUUUGUGGUCGCCGCGUACUCAGUUAGGCAAUCCUUUCCGCCCGAUUCGAAGUCUUUAGCAAGCUCGGAAGCAAUGGCCGACCGACGUUUUGCUAGUUCGGCCAUCUGACGGUCGAGCUCGGCUAAGGCGUCUCCUUUUGCCCUUAGAUCGUCGAUUUUCGGACGGAGAGUGUCUUGAACGGUCGUGGUAGCUUACAGGUCGUGUUCGGCCUUUAGAGCGGUCUGGAAGAUACUAAAUGUCUCCCGAACCCGUUCCAAGGCAGACGAUGCCCGAACGAUGGCAUCUCCGCUCAGGCGACCGUCGGCUCCAAGGUCGUUCAGACAUACGCCAAGCAGAUCAAGACCGUUGUGCUUGAGUACUUGCGACGUUGAAAGCGACAAGACUUCUCGCAACUGAGUCAGAGCGCUUGGAUCGGCAGCUUCAGUCGUAGCGGCCGAAGGACCGGACUCUGCAGUUGUGCUGGAGAUGAGGGCUUUGAAUUCGACCUCCCACGAAGCCUGCACAUACAAAUCAGGUUAAGCUUAAAAGAAGUCAUGACAAGAAUAGCAAGAAGGUUUCAUUUUUUAACCUGCCGAGAGGAGACCUCGGCCAUAUCUCCAGGAUUGUUGCUCGAACCUAAAGAACUCAAUGGCCGAGCCCAGUGUCUCAGGGUGCUUCUCAGUUCACGCGGCCGAUGGAGGUUAUCUACGUUUGAUGGCCACUGAGGCGACCAAGAAAUAUAGAUAACGCCCUUCGGUGCGUAGAAUUUUCGAUGAAAAGAGUGUACAGGCACCUGACAUUUAGUAUUUUCUUCGUUUAGAAUUCUAAAGUAGAAAAGCAAUCAAGGAAAGACGGUAGAAGGUACUUACGAAGGCCGAAGUAACCUCCUGCGGAGGAAUGUAGAAGCCCUGGUCUUGAGGAUGAACGGGCGACUCCGCCGUUGCCUCGGGUUCCUCGGCCGGUCGUUUGCCACGGUCGGCUAUGGAGGGGCCGACCGGGACAGCCGCUUCGGAUGAGGCAGGGACAUCCUGGUCCUGAGAAUGAGCGAGGGGUUCGGCCACAGCUGUUGGUUCCUCGAUCGGACGCUUGCCACGAUCAGCCGUGGAGGGGCCGGCUGGAACCACCAUCUCGGAGAUCGGAGGAGGUUGUCGGCGAGUAUGAGGACGAUUUUGCAAGUGGGACCUCAUCGCUCCCCUCACUCUCUUCCAGAAUGAAGACCGAGGGCUUUGGAUUUUUAGGGGAAGUUCCCUCGGUCACAGAAACCGCCUUUUUCGGAACAGGUGCCUCCUCGACAGAGGGAGGCACAACUGGUGUACCAGCCCCAGAAACAGGCCGCGUUUGAACUGUUUCUACGGCCGGAGCUGGCGGUUUCUCGACCAAGGGUUGACCGACAACAGGAGAAUGGGAAACACUGGGAGUCGUCGCCCCUAUAGUUUGACUGGAGAUGAUGUGGAUCUCCCGUGCGCCCUUCUUUGCCAGCUGUUUUACCCGCUUGGCAGGCGGCGGAGGUUCGACGGCCGGCUCGGCCUCUUGGCGAGGCCGUUUGGUCAGCGCGGCCCGACCAGCAGUUUUGUCCUUCUUAGUUACGACCAAUUUUUUCUCGGCCGUAGCCACGGCAACUGCCUCCGUUUUUCUCAAAGGGUGACUACCUGAGAAGAUAAAAGCAAUUCAGUAAAGCAAAUCAAUAUGCAAAGUUAAAAAAAAAAAAAAAAAAAAUUGAACAGGUACCUGGAGCUUGGGGGGCCGGGGCCUUCUUAGGUCGAUCACUGAAGAGUUUCCCCAACACAUCUUCGACCGGAGCACCAAAGAACUCCUGGGUGUAAUUUUCCCACCAAUCACCGAAGGUGUCAGUGCAAAGGGUUUCUGGGGUGGCCGGUCGAAGGCGGAAUUUUUGGCAGUGCUCUUGGAACUCCCUCGCAGCAGUUUUACAUUCCUUCUCCGAGGAACGAGGUUCACGUCCACGGCUUAGGACUGUUCGGGAGGAGAGAAGGGGAACCAAGCAGCCCUGGAGGUAGCCGAGCUGUCGAGCAAGGAAGUUCGGGUGGUACACUUCCCAACCCGAUCGUUUUCCAUCGCAGCCGAGAGGGAGGUCGCGAGUGAGCACAAACGACCCCCAGGUCUGAUGAAGAUCGGCAUCCUCCCCCGCGCCCCACAUGGAGGUAGGCAGUCUGAUGGAGGAAGGAUAGUCUCGACGACGACAUAUCAGGAAUUCGUCGUUCGAAAGGUCAUCAAGAGCGAAGAGGUACCGAAAUACCUCUUCGGCUUGAUGAUGAGGUGUUGGUCGGGAGGCCAGCUGAGGUCCAAGCGCCUCUGUUGGCGAGAAGUCAGCUAUAGCCGGCCGAAGGGAAACGAAGUAAACUUGUAACAAGAGUUGGAAGACCCAGAGGGGACCAUUCUGGUGUGGGUCAAUCUUGUGGAGGGUCGCCUCAGCCAUGCAACGGAAGAGAUGGGCGAGAAUGUUGGAGCUCAGUGCCAGGACGUGACCACUAGCCAGGGCCUCGGCUACCGGCAUGUUCUCGACCAAGCAUUUGUUUGACUUGGUACAACAAAUGUACUUGUUGUACCAAUAGAAGAGGAACGCUUCAUGUUCCCCUUCUCGCAGGUCCUCUUCUCCUCGGCCGGCGAAAUGGAGAUAGAGGGUGUUGUAAUUGAAGAAGUUCUUGUGGAGCUUCUGAAUGUCUUCUUUCGACGGGAUUUGACCUUCACGAUUCAACGUCUCGAAAGCCUGUCGAUCAAAAAGCGUCUUCAGGUCGAUAUUCGACGGGUACCCAGAGAGGGCCGCGUCGAUAGGGAUCCCAGUUGCCGAAGUGCCCAGAAUGGCGGUAACAUCAAGAAUGGUGGGACCGAUGGGCCCAAAAUAAUAGUUUAGGCCGAUGGUAGGAUCAUUCUCGGCCUGGGAGGCCGUACGGCGAAAGGGCCAUGGAUCGUUCAGCUCAAGGGCUUCCAAGCCUAGGUCGGUUAAAUCAGAACGCAAGACGAGUCCUAGUACAACAGGGAGUCUUGACGGGAUCAGUAAUCCAGAAAGUGAAUCCGGCUCAGUUAAAGACUAGGUUCGUAGUCCUAGUGAAGAUAGGACUGGUUGAGGUGAUGUUGAUCCGAAGAGGGAAACCUAGUCCGAGUAGGAUUUUAGCUCGGACUCAAGGUCCAGUGCUAUAAAUAAGGGAAGCUGUGCAUCAAGGAGGGCCCUGCAAAUCAAUACAAAAUUGCCCUGCGCAAAUUCUCACAACUUGUGAUUUUUCUUUUUCCUUUUUCGCUGACACAUCUUCCGUUGGCAUCAACAGCACUGUGGAAGCAACCGGUGAUAUCUUAAGUCGGCAUAGAUAGCUCUGUCACCGUAGAAUCAGUCGGUCUCGCAGUAUCUUCCAUUGGCAUCAACAGCACUGCGGCGAGAACGAUUGGUUACCUAUCCGAGUCUCGGUCGAGAAGGAUUUCUGAAUCCUUAUUGGCCGAGGUCAUCUCAUCAGCCUCCUCGGCGAAGUGAGGUGUUACAAGUGAUUACAUUCGGCACGUUAAAAGUCGAAUUUGAUAUUGAACUUCGUAAAAAUAGUUCAAUAUCAAAUUCAGCUUUCAACAACGUGCCGAAUUUGAUAUUGAACUAUUUUUACGAAGUUCAAUAUCAAAUUCGGCUUUUAACGUGCCGAAUGUAAUCACUUGUAACACCUCACUUCGCCGAGGAGGCUGAUGAGAUGACCUCGGCCGAGACGUGUUCCUUUCUCGACCGCAAUCGCAAGACGCAGAAGUCAACCGCGCACCCAACGCAACAUCAACAAAUUUACUCCUCGGUCGAGCUCGGCCGACGAGUUGGCACGCCCCGCAAUCACCGAAGGACGUAGUUAGCUUAUAGAUUACUCGGCCUGCGCGCCACGUAGGCUUGGUAGUUUCUAGGGUCAACAAAAAACACAAUCACUCUACUUUAGUCUAGUAAAGUAUUAGCUGGUGCUCUAGUAAAGCUUGUGUCGUGUGGACCCGUAAGAAAACGCAAUUACAACAACCAUGGGAUUGGUUUGUGUCUUCCACUAAUGGCGGGAUUUGAUUUCUUGAGAUUUGGAUCCUCUCCUGAGCCCAAUGAGAGGAUCCUCCUGACGAACACACGUGGGCUGUUGGAUUUUUAUCCAACAGCUACAAACAAAUGGAUCUUUUUAGAGUUAUAAUAAUUAUAAUCGUUGGAUGAAAAUCCAACUUUCCACAUGUGUUGGUCAGAGGAUCCUCUCCUGGGACUCGAGAGAGGAUCCAAAUCCGAUUUCCAGCACAUGUUCUCUCCCAUUCGCUGGGCCCACACACUGCUAUAUACCCGCCAUUUGCGUAUUUGUACACCCAGCGCUGGACGUUUCUACACCCAGCACUUCCAAAUAGAAGUAACCAGUCCAAUUUUAGUGGUAUCUUCACUACUAAUUUAUGCAUCGAUCCUCACAUUUAUUGCGUAAUUAAUAACUAAUAAUUAUAUAUUGUAUUGUUGUCUAUGUUUGAGCAGUUGAGAAAAUUAAUCUACUUCAACUUCUGAAGUUUUCUUUCAGCUGAGAAAAUAUAGAACUACUCCAAUUUCUAGUUUCAAAAUGAGGGUUGAGAAAUAAAAACAGAUAAUAAUAAUGGGGCAAAAGACUGUUUACUACCUUCAUGUUUCGUGGUUUUCAAUAUUUAGUAUAUCAAGUUUUUUUCAUCCCAAAAUCAUACCUAAAGUGUAAAUUUUGGGACAAUCUCAUACAUCCAUUAGUCAAAUUGUUAAGUCUCCCGUUAACUGUGACGUGGCGCCCAUGUGGACAAUGACUGGGCGCCACGUGGAAAUUAAAAAUUAAAAAAAAAACUCAAAAUUUCAAAAUUCAAAACCACCUUCCCAUUCCUCCUCUACAACACCAAUUCUUCUUCCAAUCCGCCAACCCCACCACCACCAUGUCCCAAAAAUCCAAAUCACGAUGCAAAAACGCAAAACUCAAACAAAGCCCAGCACCUCCAAUCUAAAACCCGACCCCUCAAAACCCUAACCCACAUCGCCGUUAAGUACAUCGGCGCCGUAGCCUCAGUCUAGGCCUCCUACGCCGCCAUGGCCAAGCUCAUCAACACGAACGUCUUCGACUUCGCCAACGCCUUUCCCUUCAUCUUCCCCCACCUUCUCUAAAUUUACCAUUUCUCCAGUCCUCCAUGGAACGCUCUCAGGCGUGAAUCGUCACUACCAGAAGAGGGUUGACGCGGAAGCACGAAUAAGACUUCAGAGAUGAAAUGAUCGAGGGAGAACUGGAUCGGAAAGUUCAAGCCGUCGUCGAAACGCGGGACGAUCGCCCAGAUCUCGUCGGUGGGUUUGCGAGCAGGUCCGGAUUCUGGAGUCCAUAUUCUCAUCCGCGUAACCCGACCGCCCAUGGCCUCGCUCUCACCGCCAAAGAAGGUAGCAUGCUCGCUGUUGUCUUUUAUUUUGGCCAGUGUUCUUGGAGUUAACUGUUUGUUCAUCUUUAAUCUGAGCGAAAUCUUGUGAGAUUGUUUGGGGCUUAGGUUUUUUUUGGUAAUUUGUAUGCAGAUGAGCUUGUGGACAUUGUGGUGGACUGUGGAGCAGUUCCAGCGCUUGUUAAGCAUCUGUAGGUGCCUCCGCCGGCCACAGACAACCGAAAAAGCCCGAUCCCGUACGAGCACGAGGUCGAGAAGAUGGUGGAGGGAUGGAGGGCGAGGGAAGACGAAAAGGUUAUGGGUGUGUGUGGAUGAGGGAGAAGACGACUGUUUUUUGUUUGUUUUUUUUUUAAUUAUUUUUUUAAUAUUAAAGUGGCCCUAUAUUGACACGUGGCGCCCAGUAAUUGUUCGUGUAGGCGCCACGUCAUCAGUUAACAGAAAUUCUAACGGAAAACUUAACGGAUGUAUGAGACUGUCCCAAAAUUAAGACUUUAGGUAUGACUCUGGGACAAAAAAAACUUCAUGUAUUAAAUGUUGAAAACCACGAAACUUUAGAUUAGUAAACAGAGUUUAACCCAUAAUAUUGCUACUCCUUUGCCAAAUGUCUUCAUCUCAUAAGGUGUAAGAUGAACAGCUAAGAUUGCUUUGAUGUAAAGCUUGAAUACUGCCAAAACUAUGUAACCAUUAGAAGACUACCAAUAACAUUGUAUGCUAAAAGUAAAGGGAUGAUGAGAUAUCAUAACGUUCAUUUAUGUUGAUAAUAUAAUCUACACUUGGAGCUGCCAAGAAUUAAUAAAUGAAUUUAAAUUGGUUUCUAGAAUCUACAGUAAAAGUAGAAGGGAUGAUGAGAUAUUAUUAUUAUUAUAGAUUGGUUUCUAGAAUUUUAGUUUAUUUAUCAGAUGCUAUGAAAUUAGCCUGAGGGCCAUUAUCCAAAUGGAAGCAAGCACUCUAAAGGCUCUCCAUUUUUAAUGUCCUUCUCAGAGGGCAUAGCCUAAAAAUAAAAGUUUUAGGGUAAAUUUAAAAAAACUCUAAUAAUCUCACACAAUUCGAAUACUUUUUUCUCCAUCUCACAACUUUCUCUUGGAGUCAAAAUCUCAUGCCCCCUAAGUAUUGGAAUUCUUGAUUCUCAUGAGUAUAAUUAUUGAUUUUGAGUGGACUCCGCCUAUUUUUUCAUUCUUAAAAUGUUAUUAAAUGAUCAAACUGCAAAAUCAUUUUAGAAAUAAUCCAAUUCCUUUUUUUUUUCACUCCCAUUCCACUUUUUUUUUUUUUUUUUGGAGAAUUGCAUAAUAGCAUAAUCAGGGCCGAAGCCAGAGAAGUACAGAAAGCCACCACUGGCCAACACGAAAAAAUCUCAAAUAUACCAUUCCGAAUAAAUCUCAAAUUUAAAUUUUGGUUCUCCAAUUAAUUAAACAAAAUUAUAACUAACUUUUUCACAAGUUCUGAAUGGUUACAAUCAGACAAUGAGUAAUGAGGAAAUUUAAGGCUAAAACCCUUUAUUAUGGGAACAAAGAAAGUCAUAAAUUGGGUCCAUUUGGAAUGAGGAAAUUUCCAACCUCAAUCCAAUAUCGAUUACAAUCAGACAAUGAGAAUCCAAGGGGAUCCUCAUCCGUACUUUUUAAUACUUUAUUCACUGAUCCUUACAAAUUAUAUUAUUAAAUUUAGUAUACUAUGAAAUUUCUUUUAUUGUAUCCCCAUCAUUCUACUUUAGUCUAGUGGCAUAAUAAAGUAAAACAUAAUCAUCCACUUUAAGAUAAAUUUUUAGUUGUGACAGAAAUACAAGUGGUACACCACGUGUUUUAAUAGGAGUGGCAAGAAAUAUUAUUUUCUAAGUUAUUAACUUUUUAACACACAUAUCCCACCAUUUAUAUAGAGACACAUGGUGUAUUACCUGUGUACCAGUCAUACUGAAAAACCUCUCUCAUACUUUAAGGGAUUUGAUUUCCUUCUCUCUCCCACUUCCUGGGUCCACACGCUACUAUAUAUUGUAUUGUAGUUUAUGUUUAAGCAACUAAGAAAAUUAGAUCUACUCCAAUUUCUAGUUUCGGGUUGAGAAAAAAACAAAUAAUGAUAAUACUACUCUUUUUGUAAGUGUCUUCAUCUCAUAAGGUGUAAGAUGAAAUACUAAUAUUACUUUAAUGUAAGCUUGAUUAUUGCCAAAACUAUAUAAUCGUUGAAAGAGUACUAGUGAAGCAACAUUUUACACUAAAAGUAAAGGGGGAUGAUGAGAUAUCAUACUGUCCAUUUAUGUUGAUGAUAUAAUCUACACCAGUGAAGAAAAUAUCGAUAAUAUCGGCGAAAUAUCGUCGAUAUUAUCGUUUUUUUUGGACCCCGAUAUUUUAUUAACUAUCCAACUUGUUUUCAGCAGAAUAUCGCGAUAUUAUCGAUAAUAUCGCGAUAUUUUCGAAACUAUCGCGAUAUUUUCGAAACUAUCGCGAUAUUUGGUAUGGACUCAUCGGAGAACACAGCCGGAGCAAAUAAUCUGAACCCCUAAAUCCCCAAAUUCUAAUUCAAAGCAAAUGAACUGAAUCUACAAUACAGGAAUCCCUAAAAUCGAUUUCAGUACAAAAAUCAACAUGCAGAAAAAAUCGCAAUUUGUACAAAAAUUGUAAUUUACAAGCCGAGAAGAACGCCGGAGCAAAUUAACCGAAUCCCUAAAUCCCCAAAUUCGAAUUCAAAGCAGAUGAACUGAAUCCCUAAUUCCUAAAUCCCUAAAAUCGAUUUCAGUACAAAAAUCAAGCAACAUGCAGAAAAAUCGCAAUCUGUACAAAAAUAGAAACCCUAAUUCCUAAAUCCCUAAAAUCGAUUUCAGUACAACAAAGGUGCAACAUGCACAAAAAUUGAAAUCUGUACAAAAAAAUUAAAGUAAAAGCCGAGAAGAAGAGAAGUAGGAGCCUGGGAACAUCGUCUUCCUCACGAAUCCAAGACGGCUGGGACAACGUCGUGCUCCUCAGUGGUGUCGACGGCUGGGACUACGAUGAUUUCCGGUCGAUCUCCAUGGAUCAAGGUGGUUUAGAAGGCGGUUAUCGAGUGGUGUCGACGGCUGGGUUUAGGGCGGGUGAGAUGGGAGGAGCAGAGGGAGACACGGAGACACGGACAAGGAGGAUCGAGAUUCGAGAGAUGAUGUCUCUGUGUGUGUGGAAGAACUGGAGAAGGGGGAAGGGAGGGAGAAGAUUGAGAAGUUCUCUCAGUGAGAACGAAGGCUCAGACCUCAGAGAGAGAGAAUAGAGAAGAGAGAGAUUGAGAGGAUUCGAGAAUAUGGUAGUGGGAAAUGAAUGAUCGAGAGAGAGACUGAGCUCCGUGUGUGGUGUGCGUGUGUGGUGUGGUGUGGGGGGUCUCGAAGUGUGUGUGUGGUGGAGUGUGAGUUCUUCACUCUUUUUGACUGUCUGAGUGGUGGCGUGUAAGAAAAAAAAAGCAUCCAAUGCUCCAAAUUAUUCAAAACCAAAUCAUUCCAAACCUAUGUCUAGCUCUCUGAUCCAAUGAUCCAAAUAACUUUUUGCAAUUUCAGAACAUGGACAACAAAUAAUACUGCUUUCAUAAUGAAAUCGUGUGACAGUCAGUAAGAGUCUUUCACAUGCAAAAACAGUGUCAAUGUCUGUUAUAUACUUACAUUCUUUCACCCAGUGGAGUAUCAGAAGCAUUCACAGAAAUUUCGUUUCUUCUUCUUCCCAUACCAUUUUCAAAACCAUUCCAGAUCCUUUCCAAAGGUUGAACACAAAGGCUUCCAUAUUUAAGGUAAGUUUACAAACUUAAAUUUAUAUUAUUGUAAUUUAUACAACAACAAAUAAAUUUGUGUGGACUCGUAUGUUAAUUUUUUUAAGUAAUUAAUAUUUGCAUGUUAAUUUUUGUAAGUAAUUAAGUAAUGUUAAUGUUAAUUGUUUUAAGUAAUUAAGUAAUGUUGUAUAAUUAUUCCCUAGGAUAAUUUUAAUAUGUUUAAUGUUAUUUAUUAUUUUAUUUUCCUUACCAUUUUCAAAAUCAUUCCAGAUCCAUUCCAAAGCUUGAACACAAAGGCUUCCAUAUUUAAGGUAAGUUUACAAACUUAAAUUUAUAUUAUUGUAAUUUAUACAACAACAAAUAAAUUUGUGUGGACUCGUAUGUUAAUCUUUUUAAGUAAUUAAUACUUGCAUGUUAAUUUUUGUAAGUAAUUAAGUAAUGUUAAUGUUAAUUGUUUUAAGUAAUUAAGUAAUGUUGUAUAAUUAUUCCCUAGGAUAAUUUUAAUAUGUUUAAUAUUAUUUAUUAUUUUAUUUCCCUUACCAUUUUCAUUAUCAAAUUGGAUUAUUAUUCAUUAAUAUUAGGUUUUUUUAUUAUCAAAUUGGAUUAUUAUUCUUUAAUAUUAGAUUUUUUUUUUAUUAUCAAAUUGGAUUAUUAUUCAUUAAUAUUAGGUUUUUUAUUAUCAAAUUGGAUUAUUAUUCUUUUAUAUUAGGAAAUUUUUUUAUCAAAUUGGUGGAUUAUUCAUUAAAUUGGAUUAUUAUCAAAUUGGAUUAUUAUUAUCAAAUUGGAUUAUUAUUCAUCACCAUGUUUUAUAUUAGGAUUAUUUUUUUAUCAAAUUGGUGGAUUAUUCAUUAAAUUGGAUUAUUAUCAAAUUGGAUUAUUAUUAUCAAAUUGGAUUAUUAUUCAUCACCAUGUUUUAUAUUAGGAUUUUUUUUUUUAUCAAAUUGGUGGAUUGUUCAUUAAAUUGGAUUAUUAUCAAAUUGGAUUAUUAUUCAUCACCAUGUUUUAUAUUAGGAUUAUUUUUUUUUAUCAAAUUGGUGGAUUAUUCAUUAAAUUGGAUUAUUAUCAAAUUGGAUUAUUAUUCAUCACCAUGUUUUAUAUUAGGAUUUUUUUUUAUCAAAUUGGUGGAUUAUUCAUUAAAUUGGAUUAUUAUCAAAUUAGAUUAUUAUUCAUUAAAUUGGAUUAUUAUUCAUCACCAUGUUUUAUAUUAGGAUUAUUUUUUUAUCAAAUUGGUGGAUUAUUCAUUAAAUUGGAUUAUUAUCAAAUUGGAUUAUUAUCAAAUUGGAUUAUUAUUAUCAAAUUGGAUUAUUAUUCAUCACCAUGUUUUAUAUUAGGAUUUUUUUUAUCAAAUUGGUGGAUUAUUCAUUAAAUUGGAUUAUUAUCAAAUUGGUGGAUUAUUCAUUAAAUCGGAUUAUUAUCAAAUUGGAUUAUUAUUCAUCACCAUGUUUUAUAUUAGGAUUUUUUUUAUCAAAUUGGAUUAUUAUUCAUUAAAUUGAAUUAUUAUCAAAUUGGAUUAUUAUUCAUUAAUAUUAGGUUUUAUUAUUCCAUAUUAUUUGUAUAAUUACUUAAAUUUUUACAAUCAUUUUCUUGACUUUGUAUUUAAUUCUUCUGUAGAAUAACUUUAUUAUUUAGGUUCUCUUAUUUUUAUCAAAAAAUAAUUGUCUAAUUUUCAUGAAAAAUAGAUAUAGGUACGUUUAAGAUGUCCAGUAAACGUGAUCCAGCUUGGGAAUAUGAAGACCCAAUAGACGGAAACAAACAUGGCACAAUUAGCAAAUAUUGUGGUCGGGUAAUGAAGAGUGGCGGAGUGACACGACUGAAGUAUCAUCUUAGUGGAUUAGAUCCAUCAAAAAAUGUCCAACGAUGCGAUAAUGUCCCCCCAGAAGUGAAGGCAUUCAUCAGCACAUUAUUAAAAAAAAAAAACAGCAGAAGGAAAAGAUAACACAGGGAAUGGAAAAUAUUCGAGCUGGGCUACGGGGAGAAGUCUAUGGCCAAGCGGUUGACAGUGAUGAUGAUGACGAUGAGGACGAAUGUAAUGAUGACAUGGGACCUGAAGAACGACGCAGUUUGAAACAAGCAUUACGUGCCUCCAAACAGUCAGCAUGGGAAAGAGAACACCUUCAUAAAAUUCCUAAUAGGGGACAAGGUUCCGGGACAAGUGGUGGUGCACAAAUGAGACGGGGAGGCAGUCUUAGAGAAUCACAACCAACACCACCAAUAGCCCCAAGUUUAUAUAUAAGUCAUCCAACGCACGUCAAAAGAGUGUUUGGAGUUAUUUCAAGGGAGGUAAUGUGAAGGAGGGAAUGGGGCGUCUAAUUAGCAAGUUCUUUAUCUAUGAAAAUGUCCCUGCUGCGAAGGCAUCAUCACAUCAUUUCAAAAAUAUGGUAGUGGGAUGUCAACAGGCCGGUGUUGGAGUACAACCUCCCACUCCCUAUGAGAUAAGAAACAAAUAUUUGGAUAUGGAGUAUAAAGACAUUGGCGAGUAUGUUAACAAGUUGAGGUCAAAGUGGGAAACUAAUGGUUGCACAAUCAUGUGUGACGGAUGGACCGGCCCGACCAGAUUAUCUAUCAUCAACUUCAUGGUAUAUACUCCAAGGGAAAGACAAUUUUUUUUAAGUCUGUUGAUGCUUCAGACCAUAUAAAGAAUUACAAGUAUAUUUACAAAUUAUUGAGGGAUGUAAUCAUGGAGGUGGGAGAGCAUAAUGUUGUCCAAGUCGUGACCGACAACGGUUCUGCAUUUGUCAAAGCUGGAAAAAAGUUAAUGAAGCAUCAUAAUGUGUUUUGGACAUCAUGUGCAGCACAUUGUAUUGAUCUCAUGUUUGAGGCAAUGGGGAAGAGAGAGAAUGUUGCUACUGUGGUCAAAAGAGCUAGAACGAUCACAAAUUAUAUUUACAAUCACGGUUGGUUGUUGGCAAAGAUGCGUGAAUUUUGCAAGAGGAGAAAUUAUUCGUCCAGCUACCACUCGAUUCGCCACCAACUAUAUUGCAUUAAACAACCUACUCAAGAAGAAAGCAGGGUUGAAGCAACUAUUCACUAGUGACGAUUGGGCCAACCACAAUUUCAGCCGCUCAAAUACAGGUCGUAUGGUGGAAAGUAUAGUGCUUGAUCAUGCUUUUUGGACUCAAACAGAACAUGUGUGUCAAGUGUUUGAACCUCUUUACAAAGUUUUACGGAUCGUUGACACAGAAGUGUAUCCUACUAUGGGGGCAGUAUAUGAGUUGAUGCGUGUAGUGAAGGAUGAAUUGGAAAGAAAACAUGGUGCAAGGUGGGUCAUAAAAAUAAUUGAAGACCGAUAGUAUAAAACAUUAUACCACGAUUUGCAUGCAGCAGGUAUAAAUUAUGUCAUAAUUUGCAAUUCAUUUCUUUAGUUGCAUAAGUAUUAUUUCUCUUUAUUAGAGUAUGUGUUUCUUUGAACAGCAUAUUAUUUGAAUCCCCGAUACCAAUACAGACCCGGUGUUGGAGAUGAUGGUGACCUUAUACGUGUUGUACAUAAUGUAUACUCUAAAUUAGACCCUGCAUCACCAGCAGUUGGCCAAUUUGGAAAUGAGGUACACAAUUACUUAAUUUAUAAUAAUUACUUUGUUGGAUUAAACUAACACAAUUUAUUGUAUUCAGCUAACAUGGUUUAAAAAUGCAAGAAGAACAUUUGGAGAACCAACAUCAGUUGCUGCUCGAACAAAUAUGUCUCCUAGUGAGUAUAAACAUAUUUCACUAUAAGUUUAUAAUAGAAUUUUUGCACCCAAGACCAAGAAACACUGGAAUUCCACCUUCUUCCAAUCCUACACAACCACAACAUCGUGCUCAUACUAAUGAUAGCUCUAGUACAAGAUCAGGAGACUCACCUACCACCGGAGGUGGGAAUGAUGAAGGACAUAGUGGAGCUGGAGGUAGUGGAGUUGGAGGUAGUGGUGGUGGAUAUGGAAACUAUUAUGGACCACCACCUCCCGGAUAUAUGAGCCCCUUCACUGGUGAGGCAAACUUCACGCAUGCAACACAGGAUGAUGACCAUGGCAGUAGGCGGGCAGGACCAGGAAUUGGUGCCAUAGGGAAGGACUAUACUCGCAGAGAAAGAGGCAAGGGGAUUUUUGUCAAGUCAAGAAGAUGACUCGUUAUCUAGAACUUCAGACUCUGUUGGAUUGGGAAGUAGUAACUAUGGUUAUACUCAUAACCAACCAUUUCCCUACCCUUCAUAUCCCAUUCCUGUUGGGAUAGAAUCGAGCGACUCAUGGAAACAAUCCCAGCCUCAAUCUUCAAAUGAUUUUUCUUAUGGACAACCUCAACAAAUCUCGGAUCCAUAUGGGUGGCAUAUUAACAAUUACAUGCAAAACUAUUUUGAGGAUUUAUCAUUUGAUAACUACUUUUCAUAAUACACUCAUUCUACACAUAGAGAUGAUGAAGAUAGUGAAAAAUUUGAACCUCAUAGGAACUCUCUGUGGUACUAAAGUGUAAAAUAUUGUACUAAUUCAUUAUAUAUAAAUGAUUAUGUGUGUUUAGACUUCUUUCAUUAAUUACUACAUAUUUUCUACACUCACAAUAUUUGUCAGAUCGCUAUAUAAUCAACUUGAUAAUGUUAAAUCCCUCAUGCAAUCCAUUUCCUUCCAAUUUUUUGUGAUAAACUAAUAGAUAAUUAACUAAAUAAACAUCCUACAAAGUUUCAAUAAAAAUUUCCAAGUUUUUCUUACAAUUUCCGUGGUUUCCAUGUAAUUUUUAUCGAUAUCGAUAUUUUACCGAUAUUUUCGUCGAUAUUUCCGUGUUUUCGGACUACCGAUAUUUCCGAUAUUACCGAUAUUUUCUUCCUUGGUCAUGCAUUGGGGUCCAUUUGGAAUGAGGAGAUUUCAAACCUCGAUCCAAUAUUUUUAUGAUUUCAUAUAAUAUGGCAUGCUUAUUUAUACAUAAUAGGAACAAGAAUAAUUUCGAUUCUUCAGUUUCACGCGUUUACUAAAACAGGACAUGUUGUAUUUAUAGAGAAUAAGAAUUAAAACAUUUCGACGAGCUCACUACUAGUUUUAUAGGUUUUCUUAAUUAACUCAAUCAUAUAGUAAAAAUUCAAAUCAUUAUGUUUUAAUCACUCCAUCCACGUGGACCCUUAAAUUAUACCGGUACUGAAAUAGGUUUAAAAUCACUGUUCACCUACAAUGAAAUGACUGUUUUGCGCCUAUUUCACUCUACCUAUAAUAUGAUUAUCUUUCCUCAUAUUACCAUCAUCUUCUUUCACUUCUCUUAGACCAUCUCCAACCCUUGAGCUAAAAGCCAAAUUUUUUAGCCCGGAAAAUUUAACUUUUAGCCCAGAAAUAUCUUUUCUGCUCCAACCCUUCUACCCUAAAAUUUUAGCCCGGAAUUAUUAAAGAAUGAAAUUAGCCUAAAUUUUUUUCUUAAAUCAAUUUUUUUUUAAAAAUAAAUAUGUAGAUUAUUAUAAAUUAAUUUUAUGAACAUUUUAAUAUAAAAAAAUUUAAAUUCCGAUAAACAUUUCACAUUUAGCCCGGGGGAAAGCUGGGGGGUAUUUGACCCAAAAAUAGCAUUUGGCAUUUAGCCUAAAAUUUUAGCAUGAGUUGGAGAGUGUUUGGGGUAAUUUGGCUUUUAACCCAGAGUUGGAGAUGAUCUUACACUUUACUUUUUAUCUUUUUCUUUAUAUAAAAAGUUAUAUAAAAAUGUUAAUAUAAUUUAAUCAUAAUUGUCUAAAUAAAACAGGAGAUAAAGGAAAAGAUAUUAGAAGGGAAAAGAAUUUUACAGCGCUCCCGAAUUCUUAAUUCCACCUCUCUCGAUGAAAACACUACGACCAGAAAACCUCAUCAAGUUGACCAAAAAAAAAAGGGUCUCUCCUCUCAACCUGCUAUUCCAUCUCUCUCGCAGCGGAAGUGAGAUUCGUUCAAGGUAAUUCCAGUUCAGAAGGACAAAUUUUUCCAAUUUCUGGGUUUCUUUUUGCUUCUGUUCUGUUAAACUCAUCCUGAAGUUAUUUGUUCAAAGACUAAGUAUUGUUGUUCAAUUAAAGAUUUUUGGGUUUCUUUUUGCUUCAUUUCUGUUAAAUUACUCAUCUUGAAGUUAAUUUUGUUCAAAAACUAAAGUAUUCUUCUUCAAUUAAUCUUACAAGAAAGCACAUGAGAACGUGGCACACUAGAUGUUCGAUGAAAAGUGUCAAUAUUUCAAUUUCUAAUUUCUGUGUAUAUAAUUUGUGACGAAGCAGAACGAGUAAAGCCAGCAGCUGUGAUUUGUAAAGUGGAAGAUUGGAUGUGUUGAUGUGUGGCAUGCUCUAAUUAGGUAUAUUUUUGUGUAGUAAGAAAGCCAUAGAGAGAGAGAGAGUCGCGUUUUUUUUUUUUUUUUUUUUUUUUUUCGGAUUAGGUUGAUGUUUCAGUCGUAAACUUGAUUAAGCAAUGAAAGUUGAGGACAUACAAGUGACACAUGUAAUUGGGAAUUUGUAAGUUACAUGCAAAGCUCAUGGAAAGUAAGCUUUUGUAAUGUGUCUCUAAUGUCUACUCUACAACGAUUGUCUUCGAACACUGUUGUCACAUUUUUGGGGAGAAAUUUCAAAGUAAGGUGUUAAUGUCUGAUGUAAGACUAUGUUGAAAUUUCGAAGUAAAACGUUUAUUUAAUUGUUUCGUUUUUUAUAUGAAAAAACAUUUACUAUUGAAAUUUUUCAUGGUGCCUUGUUUUAUAAAAGAUUCAGGGCGGGAAUGAUUUAGAUUUCAUUGAUUGGCAUCGUUUUUCAAGUUUUGUCUGUGCUUUUGUUUGUAGGAUCAACUUGCAAAAGAACAUAGCAGAGAACAAACAUUGUCAAUUUAUUUGUUGAAGUAUUGCAGCUAUCUGCACGACUCCAACAAGCCACACCAAGCAUACAAUGGAAAGCUCCAUCUCCCUCUUUCCCUCCCUCCAUUUUCUUCUUAUGAGUUUCCUGCUAACAUCAAUUUGUAUAUCGAUAAAAUACGAUUUGAACAACUCUUUAUAUGUAUAUAGAGUUGUCAACAACUACUGUAUAUUUAUAUAUAUAUAUACUUUGGCACUCGUUUUGGCACACCAUCUAAAAGAUUAUGGUGGUGACGGAAAAUUCACAAUUGGAACUCAGUAAACAAAGCAAAAUGAGGAUCUUGUCUCACGGUUUAGAACAGUUCAAAUUUAUCACUGUAUCUUUGAUCCCAGCGAAAACUAUUGGCAUGUAAACUCCCUCCCGAGACGUAAAUGAGUGAACCUUCAAGGUCACAAAUCACAAUUCAUAGUCUUGUUUAUUAGCAAGUUCAGUACACGAAUUUCCUCAUUUAUCAUACAAUUCAAAAGCUUAAGAUCUUUGACCACUCAGCUUUAUGGGUUUCGCGCCUGAAGAGACGACAAACCAAUGACAACAGCCAGUGCCAAAGAUCUGCUCUGGCUUUUCCUCGCCUAAAUAGCGCUUUGACAUUGUUUUCAUCCCCUGCCAGUACCUGCGAGCAUUCAUUCAUCCAAUUACAGUUAACACAGUUGCAUUGACAAUUUAAGGGUAUUCAUGAUGAGGUAAAUAUCUGCCAACUCCAAGCGAAACAGAAAAAUCAAAUAAUAGACGUUAGUUGCCUUGACAAUGUACGGGUAUUCAUGAAAAAGGUAAAUAUCAGCCGACUCCAUACUACGCAGAAAAAUCUAAUAUUAGACGUUAGUUGCAUUAACAAUUUUAAGUCAUAACAGCCAUAUAGUUUGAACAACAGGAUGAAGCAUGGUUAGUAACAUACCAAAGAGACCGUCCGAGUACCACAGGACCUAAAAUUCGAUUAUUGACUGAAGCAUGGUUAGUAAUAGGUUUUGUAACGGUAGUUUUAUGAAACAUUCAAAACAAUAAUGUAGAGGACUUAUUGAAGUUAAUUAUGAGUUAUUGAUAGACCUGUUGUACUCCUAAUAGAUGGAAUAAACCCACAUCUCGCUCUUUAGCCUUGCUCUUACGAGGGAACAGGUCACUUUCAUGCUGGAUUAAGAAUUACUCUUUUCAGUAGCGUGUACGUAUCAUACAUACAAGAGUAGCAUUUUGGUAUUGAAAAUGAAGAACAGUAGCUUUUUGAAGUGCGAGAUUGUGUCUGAAGUUAAAUUUUUUGAUGAUUGGCUAUCCCGCCUUCUCUGGCUUUUCAGAACUGGGGAGGAUAAUAAGUGUUUUUAUGUUUUGAGCAAUUUUUCUUUGUUACAAGCUUCUCUCUUUCAUCCUCCUAAUCAUUGUGUUUGGUUAAUGCUUGGAGUUUUAGUUGUUUUGAACAUGAGUUUCUCUUCAGAAAUGUUUUAAUUCGGGGCUCUCUUUAUGUUCACUAGUUAAUCACCCAAGCAUGUUGGCAUGAUGGCGAAUUUCUUGGGAAGUUGUGAGGUGUCGAAUGACUAAACAGGUCCAGUAAAGUAUAGAUUUAAGAAAUGACCAAAUAUAGAAUCUAGUAUUGAUAGAAAAUCACUAAGAGUGCCGAAGAUUUUUUUAUCUACACUGAAGAGAACACUCUUGAUAUGUUGUAAUGCAGUGGGCAAAGAGAUUGAGUAGAAAAUAGGAUGUAUUCCAACUGACAUUCAGAAAUGAGUACCCAAUUAAAGUUCCUAGUCCGUCGCUUGCACCAGGUAGGGUUCCGAUGAAGUUUUUCGUGGCCGUGACUGUAUCAAGUUCUAUUUCUGGAAAUAGAGAAGAGUGUAGAAAACUUAUUAUGUUGUAGUCUGCAAAGUCAGCCUUGGCACUGAUGUAAAUUGAAGUAAACUUCACUAGGAAGUUGGUUUAGCAUAUAGUGAUCGAGGCACUAAUGUAUUUGCUUUCAUUUCAUUUCCUUGUUUCUACUUUAUCUUUUGUCGUAAAAAAAUUUACAAUCCAAAAUAGGAGGUUUUUCGAACUGGCCUUCCGAAAUGAGCAGCAAAGAAUAAGUUUCUAUUCAAUUUCGAGCACCAGUUGGGUUUCCGUAUGAGUUUUUGUAGCCAUGGUAAAAUGUCAAGUUCGGCCUUGGCACUGAUGCAAACGGGUUAACUCCCACUCACACUCCAGUUCAAUAUGAUCGACGUAAACAUGUUCAAGUUAAUCAACAUUUUAAUUUAUUUGACUUUUUGUAAAGUAUGAGGAUCAACUGACAAACUUUCCAAUUGAGUUUAUCAUAGCUCACUAGAAAAAGAUGGGCAUUGAUUUGUGCACUCCUCAACUGAGGUUACUUAGGGCCUAUUUGGAAUCUUAUUUUGUCUAAUUUUUUGUUUAAAUAAAUAAUAAAUGUAGCUAAAUUACUUAAUACGCAUUAGUUUCAAAACAAAAAAUUGGAUAAAAAUAUAAUACCAAACAUCCCCUUACAUAUGAGUUAGUUUGAGCAAGAGGUUUCUAUAUCUCAAGAGAUUGACGCCAAAUUAGUAAGAGAUGGAUUGCAAAAUGUGAGAUUGGAGAGAUUAGACCAUUACAAAAGCAUGUAAGAGGGUUUUGGAUGCAGUUGAAUAUCAGAGUGCGCAACGAACGAGACUAACAAAAUAAUAGAAAUAUUAUUAAACAACCGAGAAUGCCGGAACGGCUACAAAACCCUAAGAGAUUACAUUGUGACUAACUUGAUUUCGAAUGAAUAACAAAGCACUUUAUUUAUAAUAAACUAACCCUAAACCCUAAUGCUAACGGGCUAAGCCCAGAAAACCAAAUAUUAAGUAAACCUAAAUACUAAUAUUUUCCAACACCCCCGUCAAACUCAUGGCGGUAUACGACAUGGGUUUGCAAACAAGCAGAUGCGGACUGGCUCCGUUAGGCGGACAGACAGACAGGCAGGCUCUGCCGCAACGCGGACAGACAGACAGGCAGGUAUGCAAACUUGACUUGACUUGACUUGCGAACUGGUGAACUUGCGAACUUGACUUGACUUGACUGGCAAACUGGCAAACUGGCUAGUAUUGAAAGUAUGGAGAGAACCCAUCAAUAAACGGACGAUAUUUCCAUAUCUCAAUUGUACCAACAAACAAACAACGCCUACAACUUGUGUGGGCCAUCAAACCAAAAAAUGGGUUGCAAACAGCCAACUGCCCGUGUGGGCCAAAACAAACAGCCAAUUUUAUUUAUUUUUUUGUUCUUUUUUCUUUCUUCCUUCUCUUUGUUUUUUCUUUUCUCCUUCCUUUCAACCACUCUUUCUGGGCUGUGGUUUUCUAACAAACAAAACAACUGCGAGUGCAGUGAUUAGAUGGAGGUGCGCAUACAGUGGGUAUGAGGAUGGCGUUGGACAGAACAGCAGCAAACUGGUGGGGUGUGGGGGCGACAGUGACUGGGUGCAAGUACGGUGCUGGUUCUGGGUUUCCGACUGACAACGAAGGAUGAAUGGUCGCUGCGAUGCGGGUGCUGAAUAAACAAACUCCAAACUUCCUUUUUUUUUUUUUUUUUUUUCUCAACUGGGCUUCUUCAUACCUGCAAAACAAGCACAGCAGAUGCAGGUUUGGAGGCAUGACAGGGUUGCGGCGGGACGAUUAGGCAGGAAAGGGGAUGCGGGUACCAUGCAAAGACAAGGCAGUGGUGGGUAGAUCUGAUUCUGCGAUGGUGAUGGCAAUGGUUUGCGGAUCAGAAAGGCGGCGGAUCAGCGGGGGUAACCUACGGGUUCAAUCUUCAAGUUGCUGGCGGCAUGGUGUGGGGUUGAUGCGAGUGAAGUAACAAGGCACAGAUGCAGACGGGUCGAACUUUUUCCAGGCUUUUUUUUUUCUACCAACAAUCAAACACAACUAGACAUUCCGAACACGACAAAAACAAGCAAACAGAUACCAACCAAAGCAGAUUAAAUCCCGAAGAAUGAAACCUGCUCUGAUACCAAGUUGAAUAUCAGAGUGCGCAACGAACGAGACUAACAAAAUAAUAGAAAUAUUAUUAAACAACCGAGAAUGCCGGAACGGCUACAAAACCCUAAGAGAUUACAUUGUGACUAACUUGAUUUCGAAUGAAUAACAAAGCAUUUUAUUUAUAAUAAACUAACCCUAAACCCUAAUGCUAACGGGCUAAGCCCAGAAAACCAAAUAUUAAGUAAACCUAAAUACUAAUAUUUUCCAACAGUGUAGGUAUUCAGUUUUCCAACAUAUUGUUAGCAAAACACAGUGUAUAAGUAAAUACAUAUUAAUUGCUUGGUAAGGAAAAAUCUAGAUUAAAUCAUGAUCAUAGGAUUGUUAUCAAUUGUCAAUAUUAAAUAUAUGUUAAUGAUACAAUGUCGCAUGACUUGAGCUGACUUUAAUUUAACCAAAAAUCAUAUAACAACUUUAUUUAAUGAAAAGGAUAUAAAAAUUAAUGAUGAGGACAAGCUAAAAGAAAACAAGCUUAAAUAAAGGGCCACAAACUGGAACUAAGUCCAGCGUGCAAAACAUUUUUUCUUUUUCAAUCCAUGCCACUGACGGAACAUUACCUUCCAUCAGCCCAAAUCGUUAAAUUUUGAAUUUCAAACAGGAACUAAGUCCAGCGUGCAAAACAUUUUUGCUUUUAACGAUGACGGAACAUUACCAAAUCGUUAAAUUUUAAAUAAAGGCAAACUGGAACUAAGUCCAGCAUGCAAAACAUUUUUUCUUUUUCAAAUCCAUGCCACUGACGGAGCAUUACCUUCCAUCAGCCCAAAUCGUUAAAUUUUGAAUUUCAAACAGGAACUAAGUCCAGCAUGCAAAACACUGCUUUGAAGCUCAUGUCGACUUAUUGACCAAAAGACUUGGAGAGCUUGUUCAUCCAUCACAUGUCGACUUAUUCUUUGCUCAUGGACCAAAAGAUUGCUUUGAAGCUCAUCAAUAGAUAAGGUGUCCAGUGUUGGAAUAUAUUAGUAUUCUAAGUAUUAUAUUGUUUGAGUUUUCUUAUAAGUUUAGUUUGGGCUUAACCUGUUAGCAUUAGUGUUAGGGUUAGAGUUAGUUUAUUAUAAAUAGCAUGCUUGUUAGUCAGUUGAGAACAAGCUAUUCACAAUGUAGUCUCUUAGGGUUUUGUAGCCGUUUCGGCAUUCUCGUUUAUUUAAUAAUAUUCUUAUUUUGUUAGUCUUGUUCGUUGCGCACUCUGAUAUUCAACUUGGUAUCAGAGCAGGUUUCAUCAUUCGGGAUUUAAUCUGCUUUGGGUUGGUAUUCGUUUGCUUGUGUCCGUUGUCGUUCAUGUUCAGAUUGUCUAGUUGUUUUUUACAGUUUGCAAGGAAAAACAAUGUGUUAAUUUUUUUCAGUUGUGUUGACGGCCUGCUGUUUCGCCGCCGUCGUCGACCACCACCCAUUGCCAGACCCACCUGAACAAUCCACACCUGACCCAUCUCUGUCAAGCCGUACUAGAUCCUUUUGCACCACUUUGAUCCGCACCUAUUAAACCUGCAUCUCGCUCGCCUCGAACCAGCCUCGCCACCUGCUUGAAUCUCCCGCGCCGACCCAUCACCUGCAACUCAGUCCUAAAUCUCUUCGUCCUCGCUGCACUUGCUCGCACCCACCAAGCACCAGCACCGACAGAACCAUACAUGCUCCAUUCGAACCAGACCACCAGCCAUCCUCGUACCUUGCACACCUCCAUUUGAAUCUGUUGCACUCCCUGUACCCGCAUCCUCGCCGCUGCUUGAACCGCUGCACUACUUCCGCAAGCCCAGACGACAUGACCUGCUUCCUGUUGCUAGAAUCACCGAAGCCCGUAUCUGCACCUGCGUUUGUUUUGCACGAAUUGAGCAUAGAAAAGGGUUAAAAAAAAAGGAAAAAAAAAGUUAUGGAGCCCACGAUCCGUUGGCUAUUACAAUUUGUUUGAAGUAAUAGUAAUUUGUUUGUUCGUUUGUUGCUACAAUUGAGAUAUGGAAAUCUCGUCCGUUUAGUGACGGGUUCUUUCUAUACUCUCAACACUAGCCAAUUUGAACUAGAAUUAGUUUGCCAACAAGAAUCAAGAAUCAAGAAUCAAUUGUAGAUUUGCCAGUCAAGUCAAGUCAAGAAUCAAGUCAAGUCAAGUUAAGUAAAGAAUCAAGAAUCAAGUCAAGUCAAGUCAAGUCAAGUUUGCAUGCCUGCCAGUCCGCCUAACGGAGCCAGUCCGCAUUUGCUUGUUUGCAAACCCAUGUCGUAUACCGCCAUGAGUUUGACGGGGGGUGUUGGAAUAUAUUAGUAUUCUAAGUAUUAUAUUGUUUGGGUUUUCUUAUAAGUUUAGUUUGGGCUUAGCCUGUUAGCAUUAGGGUUAGGGUUAUAGUUAGUUUAUUAUAAAUAGCAUGCUUGUUAGUCAGUUGAGAACAAGCUAUUCACAAUGUAGUCUCUUAGGGUUUUGUAGUCGUUUCGGCAUUCUCGUUUAUUUAAUAAUAUUCUUAUUUUGUUAGUCUUGUUCGUUGCGCACUCUGAUAUUCAACUAGAUCGUUGGAUUCCUCAAUGGAGCAAACUACAUAAUCAUAUUUCGGGGUCAUGGACCUCAAAAUUUUCUCUAUGAUUACCACAUCAUCCAUCUUCUCCCCAUGAAUUCUCAUCAUGUUUGCUAUAGCAAGUGUUCUCCCAAAAUAAUCAUUGACUGUUUCUCCAUUCUUAAUGUGCAGCACCUCGAAUUCCUUGCGAAGAGCCUGCAGUUGAGCACGUUUUACACGUGCAGUUCCCUGAUAUUUUUGUUUCAAAGAAUCCCAUAUAUCCUUCACAGUAUCCUUCUUCAUGAUGGUCUCCAAUAUUAACCGAUCUAUGGCUUGGAACAAAUAGUUCUUAGCCUUCAAGUCCUUCAGCUUCAAGUCAUCCAGAGUCUUCUUCUGUACUUCACUGGAUUCCAAACCUCCUGCAGCAGUGAUCCCAAACUCCACCAAGUUCCAAUACUCUUGGAACGAAGAAAGUUUUCCAUCAGCAUACUCCAAUGGUCGUAGUGUCCAUCGAACCUUGGAAUGACUGGUUGCACAAAACUGUUCUCAGACGCCAUGUCUUGUUUCUUCACUCUAGCACCUAGGUUGCAAGCUUUUGAUCAGGCCCCGUAGUGGGGCUCUGAUGCCAAAUGUUAGAACCAAGAAAAACGCAGGAGUUUCUGCAAUGCAACACUAGAGAGCUUUCAUGAAAUCAGGGAGAAUUUCUUAUUCAGUGAAAACUACCAUCAUGGCUAUUACACUUGAACUGAAAGGAAAUAACAACUGCCCACGAUUUUACAGUUCCUAUAAUCGUGGUAAAGACUACGUCAAAACAGAAAAUGCAUAGUUAUCCCUCAAGAAUAGGGAUUAUUGAAUAACAACCCUUAAAACUAGGAAUCCUAGCUAUACGGGGAACCCUAGCAGUAACGAAAAACCCUAACAACUUUAACAUGGUGAGGCUUAUGUUACUGUUGAUGGGUUUGGUUAACAGGGUUUUCAUUCCUUUUCAGAUUUGUUUCGACACACACUUCUCGAAAUUUGCAAGAUGCUAUGUGAUAUAAUCAAAUGAACAAUUUGAUGUCAGUAGUUUGAGGGAUCUGACCGCAACACACAGCAGCAGCGAUGGGGGAGGAGAAGCGGCACCAGUUGAUGCAGAACCUAUUCGGUGAUCAAUCUGAAGAGGAAGAGGAAGAGGUUGAUUCCGAGCAUGAGUCCAAUCCCCAGCCCAAUUCUGUAUGAUUCUCUAAUUUCAAGUUUCCUAUCUAUUCUGAUUCCAAAAGCAUGUUUGGGAAUGAUAAGGGUUUCAAUUUCUGCUUUAAUCUUUUAGCUGAAGGAAGAUAUAGGUUGUUUUUCUGUUAAUGGCGGUGGAUGAUUUGGAUGAAAGUGUGAAUCUUGGCGAUUUUUUUUGCUUGCAGUUGUUUAGGCCUAACUCCGCCUAUGUCUUACAUGGCCGGUCCCAAGCCCGGAUAAAAGAGGAGGGGGAGGGCGUCAGGUAGUCGACAGCCGGCACUCCAUGAUCACGUCGAAUCCUUAUGAAAAUGAAUCCAGAACAAAAUCGCGCUAAAGCUAGGGCGUCACCCGUAAGUGGCGCGCUGUGUGGCCCGAGCACAGUGAUAAGUGAGCAAGGGUCGCUGUAUCUCCAUCGGCACCCGGAUGCAGUGUUAAAUGAGCAAGGGGGCCAUAGAAACUUCUUUUCGAACGACUCCACUCAAAGUUGUUUGGGAGCAUAUGCUCCUAUCAACUUUACCCGGGACACACAAAAGAAGUACUUUGAUCCUAUUAGACGGGGGAGGGUGAAGAAGCUAGGACAGAAGGGUAGAGUUUAAGAGAGCAAAAUGCGUUUAGGAACGUGGAAUAUAGGAACCUUAACGGGAAAAUCUAUGGAAGUAGUGGAAGUUAUGGUGAGGAGAAGGAUAAAUAUUAUGUGCCUACAAGAAAACUAAGUGGGUUGGUAGUAAGGCAAAGGAUCUAGAAAACUCAGGGUUUAAACUUUGGUAUUCGGGCACAAAUAGAACGAGAAACGGUGUUGGCAUCAUCGUGGACAAGACCUUGGUACAAGAUGUUGUAGAUGUCAAGAGGGUCGGAGAUAGAAUCAUGGCAAUCAAGAUUGUAAUAGGACAAGAACUUAUCAAUGUGAUUAGUGCGUACGCACCUCAAGUAGGGUUGGAUACGAGUUCAAAGGAGAAAUUUUGGGAAGAUCUUGGAGACUUGGUGCAAGGAAUUGCUCAGACGGAGAAGUUAUUUAUAGGAGGAGAUUUAAAUGGACACGUGGGCAGGGAGACAGGCAACUAUGGAGGUUUUCAUGGUGGCCAUGGUUUUGGGGAGAGAAACGAGGAUGGGGAAGCUAUCUUGGAUUUUGCAAUGGCAUAUGAUCUCUUCUUAGCCAACACCUUCUUUAAGAAGAGAGAAGAACAUGUGAUCACCUACAAGAGUGGAUCGUCAAAAACACAAAUAGAUUUUCUUCUAAUGAGGAAAGGGGAUCGUAUAACUUGUAAGGAUUGCAAAGUUAUACCAGGAGAGAGCGUGGCUAAUCAACAUCGCUUGUUGGUGAUGGAUGUACAUAUCAAAAGAGUAAGACAAAAGAACAAGACUUGGAAGUGCCCAAGGACUAGAUGGUGGAAUCUAAAAGAAGAAAAACAAGUCAUUUUCAAAGAGAAGGUAAUCACCCAAUGUGUGUGGAAUAGAGAGGGGGAAGCUAGCCAAAUGUGGGAUUCCAUGGCUAGUUGUAUCCGAAAAGUAGCAAAAGAGGUAUUAGGAGAGUCCAAGGGCUUUGCCCCACACCAAAAGGAAUCUUGGUGGUGGAAUGAGGAGGUACAAACAAAGGUGAAGGCUAAGAAGGAAUGCUGUAAAGCCUUAUACAAGGAGAGGACCGAUGAAAAUGGUGAAAGGUAUAGAAAAGCGAAGCAAGAGGCGAAGAAAGCUGUCAGAGAAGCUAAGUUAGCGGCUUACGACGAUAUGUAUAAACGACUAGAUACCAAAGAAUGAGAGUUGGAUAUCUAUAAACUAUCUAGAGCAAGGGAAAAGAAGACAAGGGACCUAAACCAAGUGAGGUGCAUCAAGGAUGAGGAUGGAAAGGUUCUUGCUACAGAGAACGCGGUUAAAGACAGAUGGAGAGGUUAUUUUCAUAAUCUUUUCAAUGAAGGACAUGAAAUGAGUGCUUCUUUAGGGGAGUUGAGUAACUCAGAAGAGUGUAGAAACUACUCUUUUUAUCGUCGAAUCCGGAAGGAAGAAGUGGUUGUAGCUUUGAAGAAGAUGAAGCAUAAAAAAGCAAUAGGCCCAGACGAUAUACCAAUUGAAGUGUGGAAACUUUUGGGAGAGACAGGUAUAACAUGGCUCACUGACCUUUUCAAUAGGAUUUUGAAAACGAAGAAGAUGCCAAAUGAGUGGCGAACGAGCACUUUGGUGCCUAUCUACAAGAAUAAAGGCGACGUACAAAAUUGCAUGAACUAUAGGGGUAUUAAGCUAAUGAGUCAUACAAUGAAGCUCUGGGAGAGAGUCAUUGAGCAUAGAUUGAGGCAAGAGACACGGGUUUCGGACAACCAAUUCGGGUUCAUGCCAGGGCGCUCAACCAUGGAGGCAAUCUAUCUUUUACGAAGAUUGAUGGAAAGAUAUAGAGAUGGGAAAAAAGAUUUACACAUGGUCUUUAUAGAUUUGGAAAAAGCGUAUGAUAGGGUCCCAAGAGACAUUCUUUGGAGGAUUUUAGAGAAGAAAUGAGUACGAGUAGCAUAUAUCCAAGCUAUAAAGGAUAUGUAUGAAGGAGCAAAGACUGCCGUAAGAACUCAUGAAGGACAAACCGAAAGCUUUCCCAUAACUGUAGGAUUACAUCAAGGCUCAUCCUUAAGUCCUUACCUUUUUACGUUGGUAAUGGAUGAGUUAACAGGACAUAUUCAAGAUGAUAUUCCUUGGUGUAUGCUUUUCGCAGACGAUAGAGUGUUGAUAGAUGAAACUCAGGAAGGGGUAAAUGCAAAGCUUAACCUUUGGAGAGAAGUGUUGGAAUCUAAAGGUCUUCGCCUAAGCCGAUCAAAGACAGAAUAUAUGGAGUGCAAGUUCAGUGCAAAUGGAGGCCAAAACGAGUUAGGGGUGAGGAUCGGAGAUCAAGAAAUACCAAAGAGCGACCGUUUUCGUUACCUAGGAUCUAUCUUGCAAAAGAACGGAGAAUUAGAUGGAGAUCUCAACCACCAUAGAAUACAAGCUGGAUGGAUGAAGUGGAAGAGUGCAUCCGGCGUGUUAUGUGACCGCCGUAUGCCACUGAAGCUCAAAGGAAAAUUUUAUAGGACGGCAAUAAGGCCGGCGAUGCUGUAUGGCACAGAAUGUUGGGCGGUGAAACAUCAACACGUACACAAAAUGGGUGUAGCGGAGAUGAGGAUGCUUCGUUGGAUGUGUGGGCACACGAGAAAGGAUAAGAUUAGGAAUGAGGAUAUCCGGGGUUAAAGUAGGAGUAGCCGAAAUUGAAGGAAAGAUGAGAGAAAUCGGUUACGGUGGUUUGGGACAUGUGUGGACAUGUGCAAGAAGGCCUACUGACGCUUCGAUUAGAAGAUGCGACUAUGGGACAGAGGUUCAGGGCCGAAGGGGUAGAGGAAGACCUAGGAAAACUUUGGAAGAGACUCUAAGAAAAGACUUAGAGUACUUGGAUCUAACGAAGGACAUGACACAGGAUCGAGCGCAAUGGCGUUCUAAGAUUCAUAUAGCCGAUCCCACUCAGUGACUUGGAUUUUCCAAGUCUCCAACCAAGAAGUUUUCCUCACUUGAAAAAUUAAGGGAACACUACCCCAACCUACAUGCUCCACUCAGAAAGCUUCAACAUACAAGCUUCAACAAAAGAAAAUUCAAAGAACUUAGCGAAGAAGGCUUUGGUGUAUUUAACACAAUACGUUGAAAUGAAGGAAAGCUUAUUUAUUGAUAUCCCCGAUAAGCUACAAAUAUGUCCAUAUACAUGAAUCAAAAUAAACACACAAGAGGGAGCCUUCACAAAGGUUGCUUAGGAGAAGUCUGAGCAGUCGGUAGAGCUCCAGAAAGAGAAGGCACCGGAGGGGGAUCAUUUGGAGCCUCAGUACUGGACAGAACCUUAGAAGGAGGAGGCAUCAGAGGUUGAUCAUUUGGAGCUUCAUUACGCACUACAGCCCCAGAAGACGAAGGCAAUAAAUGCCUUUGGAACAAACCCACAAAUCUCUGAUGAUCAAGUAAAACCUGACCAUCAGUUUCCUUCAUCUGGUCAAGCUUCCUCUUCAUGUUUGUAGCAUAGUCAUGUGCGAGCCGGUGCAACUGUUUAUUCUCAUGCUUGAGCCCCCUAAUCUCCUGUUUGAGACUCAUCACUUCAGCCGCCAAUGAUUCAACUUGGCGGGUUCGAGCAAAUAGGCGUUGGGCCAUAUUAGACACAGAACCUGCACACUGAACACUAAGAGCCAGCGAAUCCUUAACAGCUAACUCAUCAGACCGUUUGGAAAGUAGUCUGUUAUCUUUGGGAGUGAGAAGGUUCCUGGCCACCACCGCAGCGGUCAUAUCAUUCUUCAUCACGGAAUCCCCAACGGUAAGAGGACCAGUAGGGGAGACGAAGGAUGGGCGCCAUAUGUUGUCUGGAGAAGGCGGGGCUGCCUCUUCAACAAGGUUCAAGUCAAAACGACGGUCAGAGGGGCCAGACAUUUUCAAAGGUGUUGAAGAGAGAAGAGGUCGGACAAAUCAAGAUCUUAGAAGUGCAAGAAUGAAGCUUCUACUGGUGGAGAUUCAAGUGUGCUUUGGAACUUAAUGCUUGAUUUAGCCCCUAUAAAAAUCUGCACUCGACGGAGCUUCAGAUAUCGAAGAGGCGCCUGCUCAGAAAUCGAAGAGGCGCUUUUCUUUGAUUCGAAAGCUCAGGCUGGCUUUGAGAAUCAAAGAGAAUCUCAGAAAUCGAACAGGCGUUUGCUUUCUCAAAAGUUGGGGCUGCUCAAAGACCACGAAAGCCGAUCUCAGAAAUCGAAGAGGCGUUGCUUUCUCAACUUCAAAGACUCACGGGGCCGAUCUCAGAAAUCGAAGAGGCGCUCGCUUUCUCAAAAGCUGGGCUCCCAGAGACCACGAGGGCCGAUCUCAGUAAUCGAAAAGGCACCUACUUUUCCAACCUUGUCAGCACCUGUCACACGCACACUCAGCUUUGCGGAAAUUAUGGGCAUUCUGUCGAAGACUUCUGGGGAAGGUAGAAAACACAUGAAUCUUACUGUUCAAUCACCCACUUCCCACACGCAACAAUAGCUCAUGGGUACCGCAGAUAACUUUGCCAAAGUUCUCUGCCAAAGUUGAGCACGUGAAGCUUGCAGCUCCCACUACAUCGCUCUGACCAAGAAGGGUAAAAGAAUAGCAAAGAAACAGCACUAACAAAGUUUAGACCCAUAAAUUUUGAAGGUCUAGCUACCAUAUUAUUACCCACAAGGGUAAAGGAACAGUACCACUGCUGGAUAAUUGGAAAGUCCCUGUGUGUCAACCUCUGUGCUUCGCGGCAAGAUAGACUAGCAAACAUGCCCAACCUUUACUCACAUUCGAGAAAACACUCCCAAUAAGAUUGCUUGCUCCAAAAUCGAAGAGGCACCGUCCUCCGAAUCUCGAGAACUAAACUCCCAACAUGACUACUUUCUUAAAAAUCGAAGAGAGGGUAAAGGAACAGUACCAUUGCUGGAUAAUUGGAAAGUCCCUGUGUGUCAACCUCUGUGCUUCGUGGCAAGGUGGACUAGCAAACAUGCCCAACCUUUACUCACAUUCGAGCAAACACUCCCAACAAGAUUGCUUGCUCCAAAAUCGAAGAGGCACCGCCCUCCGAAUCUCGAGAGCCAGACUCCCAACAUGAUUACUUUCUCAAAAAUCGAAGAGACAUUGCUCCCCGAAUCUUCGAGAGCCAGACCCCCAGCAUGAUUGCUUUCUCAAAAUCGAUGAGGCAUCGUUCUCCGAAUCAAUCGAAGAGGCGCUCGCUUUCUCAAAAGCUGGGCUGCUCAUAGACCACGAGGGCCGAUCUCAGAAAUCGAAGAGGCACCUACUUUUCUAGCCUUGUCAGCAUCUGUCACACGCACACUCAGCUUUGCAGAAAUUAUGGGCAUUCUGUCGAAGACUUCUGGUGAAGUAGAAAGCACAUGAAUCUUACUGUUAAAUCACCCACUUCCCACACGCAGUAAUAGCUCAUGGGUACCACAGAUAACUUUGCUAAAGUUCUCUGCCAAAGUUGAGCACGUGAAGCUUGCAGCUCCCACUACAUCGCUCUGACCAAGAAAGGUAAAAGAAUAGCAAAGAAACAGCACUAACAAAGUUUAGACACAUAAAUUUUGAAGGUCUAGCUACCAUAUUAUUACCCACAAGUGUAAAGGAACAGUACCACUGCUGGAUAAUUGGAAAGUCCCUGUGUGUCAACCUCUGUGCUUCGUGGCAAGGUAGACUAGCAAACAUGCCCAACCUUUACUCACAUUCGAGAAAACACUCCCAACAAGAUUGCUUGCUCCAAAAUCGUAGAGGCACCGUCCUCCGAAUCUUGAGAGCCAGACUCCCAACAUGACUACUUUCUCAAAAUCGAAGAGAGGGUAAAAUAACAGUACCAUUGCUGGAUAAUUGGAAAGUCCCUGUGUGUCAACCUUUGUGCUUCGUGGCAAGGUAGACUAGCAAACAUGCCCAACCUUUACUCACAUUCGAGAAAACACUCCCAACAAGAUUGCUUGCUCCAAAAUCGAAGAGGCACCGCCCUCCGAAUCUCGAGAGCCAGACUCCCAACAUGAUUACUUCCUCAAAAAUCGAAGAGACACUGCUCUCCGAAUCUCGAGAGCCAGACCCCCAGCAUGAUUGCUUUCUCAAAAAUCGAAGAGGGCAUCGUUCUCCGAAUCUCGAGAGCCAGAUACCACAGACCAUUUUUUCAAAAGUGCUCUGACAGAGUUAAAACAUGUGAAACUGGCAGCUCCCACUACCGUGCUAUGACCAAACAGGGUAAAUGAAUAGCAUUACUACUUGUUGUUAGGAAGACUCCUAUAUAUGUCGACCCCCAUCCCCAACGGACAGGCAGACCUGCAAAAAUGCUCAACCCUUCAUCAUAUCUGAGAGGACACUCCCAACGAAGCCUUUCGAAAUAUUCAGCUUUCUUUCCCCCCGAUAAUACCUCUACAAACAAGCUAUACUAGAGCAAGAAUAUCUCAUAUCAUCAGGGUUAAAAGCAAGAGUAUCCCAUAUCAUGCUUUUUCCCUAUCUUUUCCUUUGGCCUUGUUUUUACCUGCAAGACAAGGAGAAAGAGAGCAAUCAGUCAGCACUUGGAAUCAAGCUUCCAGCCAGGAACUGACUGCCUGGAACCCCUUACCUGAUUACUUACCUGGCAUUGCUCUCGAGUACUCAUCUUCAACAUCUUAUGUUUCCAGGGAAGAUUCCGCAUCUGCUUGAGGAACAGAUAGGGCAAGUGCGAAGGAUAUAAGGAAGCAUGUGGAGACAAGCGUAACAGCACACGUGCCGAUACAUCCAUUACUCUGUCAAAAGCAAAAGUAUCCCAUAUCAGCAGGGUGGAACGUACUCUAGAUUUGAUGGACUUGUUUUGACCCUCAAAUUCUUCAGUCGGCCUUAUACUCUGGAGGAAACCAGAAAACCCUCCAGCUCAGUUCAAGAAUAAGCCUGUGGAAAGUUACUUCUUCAAAAGCAAAAGUAUCUCAUAUCAUCUCUUCUCAUUUUUCUUCUCUUUAUCCUUCAUGCUGCUGCAAGAUGGGGAGAAGGUGAACAAUCAAUCGGAGCUCUGAUUGCUUACCUUGUCUGUCACCUCUUUCAGCAGACUCCUUAGCUCGGCGACUUGGGGGACUCCUACUACAUGGUUUGUAUCGCGCUUGACCAAGCCUGAAACUACAAGUAAGCUUCAAGUGAAAUUGAUACAUUACCUUGUGCAUCUCCACCAGUUAAAGAUACCACCCCUGGAUGGAGGAAGAGUACUUCCAGAGAAGAUGCCACAUCUACCUAUGAGACAGAUAAGGCAAGUCAAGACAACACCAUACUCCGAUACUUAGAAGUUUCGUGAUUACGAGAUCAUUCUCACACAAUAUUUCCUAAUGUCAUUUGUACUAAAUCAUUCACUUGUACUCACUAAAGGAGAGCUUGAACCUAUGUACUUGUGUAAACCCUUCACAAUUAAUGAGAACUCUUCUAUUCCGUGGACGUAGCCAAUCUGGGUGAACCACGUACAUCUUGUGUUUGCUUUCCUAUCUCUAUCCAUUUAUAUAUUUAUCCACACUAAUGACCGGAGCAAUCUAGCGAAGAUCACAAAAAGCGACCGUUUUCGCUACCUAGGAUCUAUCUUGCAAGAGAACGGAGAAUUAGAUGGAGAUCUCAACCAUAGAAUACGAGCUGGAUGGAUUAAGUGUAAGAGUGCAUCCAGCGUGUUGUGUGACCGUCGUAGGCCACUGAAGCUCAAGGGAAAAUUUUAUAGGAUGGCAAUAAGGCCAGCGAUGUUGUAUGGCACAGAAUGUUGGGCGGUGAAGCAUCAACACGUACACAAAAUGGGUGUAGCGGAGAUGAGGAUGCUUCGUGGGAUGUGUGGGCACACGAGAAAGGAUAAGAUUGGGAAUGAGGAUAUCCGAGGUAAAGUAGGAGUAGCCGAAAUUGUAGGAAAGAUGAGAGAAAAUCGGCUCCGGUGAUUUGGACAUGUGCAAAGAAGGCCGACUGACGCUCCGGUUCGAAGAUGUGACUACGGGACAGAGGUUCAGGGCCAAAGGGGUAGAGGAAGACCUAGGAAAAUUUUGGAAGAGACUCUAAGAAAAGACUUAGAGUACUUAGAUCUAACGGAGGACAUGACACAAAACCGAGCGCAAUGGCGUUCUAGGAUUCAUAUAGCCGACCCCACUUAGUGGGAAAAGGCUUUGUUGUUGUUGUUGUUGUUGUUGCAGUUGUUUAGGCCUGGACUGAAGAAGUUUUGUAGAAUGAGAUUCUUAUGAGUAGUCAAUUUUAGUGGGAUUGUUGUUUCAAUCUAGAUAAUGAAUGAUGUCGUUUCCCUAUUCGGUCUGUCCUUUGACAGUGUAGCAGAUCUGGAAUUUUGUGAAAUGCUCUUUAUUGAGAAUGAAGAGCCACAAAUUGAAGACGAAUAAAAAAAAUUUGCAUGUUCUGAUUAGAAAUAUAGAAUUGGUUUUAAAUUAUUUUCUUGACUGUUUGGUUCUGAUGUGCUUUACCGAUAAAUCAUGGGUUUGCAAGAUAUUUUUUGUUGUUUUCUCUUGCCGUUGACUGGGGAUGUGGGUGAUCCUGUUACCCUGUACACCGCAGUACAGGGCGGUAACAAGAUUAUCUAUUGUGCUACUGCACUCUCUAUAAUCAGCGGAGACCUCUAUAGGGCUGAUCAAGGAGGGGUCUACAAUCUUACCAAAGCAUUUCAGGUGUGGUCGUUAUUGCCAUAUCCUUGAAAUGCUCCUUUUUUACAUUUAGUAAUCUGUUUCGGUUUUGAUGUCUUUUAAGUUCUUGGGUUUGUUCAAUGUUGGAUUUGAAUUUUACCCUUCGAGAGUCGCUUAUGUGAAGCUUUUGACUGUUUGCAUUGCAGGACUAUAACAACAAAAUGGCGCAAUUACGAGCAGGAAAGAGUGGCAAGAGCAAACUUACAAUUGUAAAGUUCAAGACUCUGGAGUCAGUGGAUGGAUGGGAAGUUCGUCAGGGGACUUAUUUUCAGGAUGUGGUUGCUUCCAAGUAUGAUGGAGGAAUGGAUGCCAAGUUCGAAUUCACUUCACCAGAGAUGCUGUUUUCUUUUACUCUAUUUCUUGCUGCAUUGUAGGAUAUGUUUUCACCACGGGAGGGUAUAUUGAGCUGUCUGAAAAGCUUUCACUUCCUUUGGGUCAAACCCUCGACCGGUAUAUGCCAUAUUUGCAUUCUCAAAUGGAGCUACUAAGCUAAAAGCAGCUUCCCAAAAUAAAAUUCAUGGUAUUUUUCUUAUUAUUAUUUUCUUAGAAUUUGAACACAAAAUGAAUUCAUUUAAUAGAAAAUCAUUUGCAACAGAAAUUACCUGAUGAAUUUGCUGCACAGCUACGACAUUCUAACAACAUUUAGUCAAUUUGAGAAGCAAGCUGUGCAAGUUAAGUUGCAUUCUGUUUACUUAAUUUUCUGUGUUUUUUCUUUUGCUGUUUGGAUUUAGGAGCUAAAACAUUCGUCUUUUGCAAUGUUUUUAGGUGGAUGAUGCUAUCUGGGCUGCUGAAAAAGCCACAUUUAAAGCUGAGAUGAGUGGAAAGAAGCUAAUGCACUCAUGGAACAACUUCAGACAUUUCAAGCGUGGCUUUGGGAUUCUGCAACAGUCCCGGGUUUGAGGAUUACAUAAAAAGAGGGCUGGAACCCAGCUAGUCGAAGCUGGGGGGCUAGGCCCUCACGCCCAUAAUAUAUUACUUGAAAAAAAAGACAUACAACGGGAGGGACAUAAUACUUAAACCCCAAUGAUAAAAAAGCAAAAUCAUAUACAACCACUCUAAGCAAUCAACAUGGGCAUCACAUAUUGAAUCCAAAAGGUUGACGCCCCAUAUAAUUGAAAAUAAGGAAAUUAAAGAGACUAAAAAAGAAUAAUUGAAGUUGGUGGGUGAGAAAGCAAAAGUGUGGACGACGAAAUCUUUGAUCCAUAUGGUAUGUCAUCUGAAAAGAAAAAUAAAAUGCUGGUGACAAUGAAUGAAGAAUUGAAAGUAAGAAACGAGAUUGGCAUGUAUUUCAGAGUUUAUACUGAAUUAGGCUAGUGUAAAUUGAAAUAAGUUAGAAAACGCACCUUAACGAAUGUCAAUGUGUGGGAUGUGUGCAAUCUUAGGCCAGUCCUCACCUGUUUCUUUCCGGCACCUUGCGCUUAAAAUGGGGCAACAAAGAAUGUGCAAUGUAGAAAGACAGGGGAGUGCACGAGUCCCUUCUGGCAGUGAAGUUAGAUUAGGACACCAGUUGAUAUACAACGUAGAAAGACAGGGAAAAGAAGGGAACGACAUAUUUUCCGUUGAUGAAGAAGAAGAAGCACUGUUUUGAGUGUGCGCCCUCCACCAUCCCUUCAGAACAGGGCAAUGUGCUAUGGAGAGCUGCUCCAGGGAGGGAAAGAGUGAGAUCCUCAUCAUCUCAUCACUCAUACUAUUACUGCUCUCUUUCUCUGAUAUGUACUCCAACUUCUCCAAACAUCGAAGUUCAAGGGACUUAAGGGAAGGCAAAUGAUCCAAGGGUGGAAGAUGUUGGCAUCUCUCACAUCCAUUCAAUCUGAGAUUAACAAUAUUAAUGAGAGAAGAAACCCAACUCGCAAACCUCACACCACCAUAUAAGUUUAUGGACAACUGCUUUAGAUUAGAAUGGGGUUGCAAUACUUCCAUUGACUUUAUAAUAUCCUCCUCAUCAACUGCGCUUACAUCUUCUCCAAGUUUCCAGGAUAAAUCCAACGAAUGGAGAUGCUGUUUGUCCUUGAGAGGUGUACCAACAUUUGAUUCUGACACCACAUCUUUCUCCUGCCUCAAAUUGCUUAUGACUAAUUUUCCCCUUAAUUCGUUAAGGGUCCCCAGCUCAGCAAGACCAGCACUACCGCCCCUCCCCAAACAAUUGCUUUCGCUCAAAACAAAUCUAUUCAAUGUACGAACACCUUUCAAUUCACCAAUUCCACGUGGCAUUCCACUCAAUCCCCAACAGCCUUCCAAGAUGAGAUGCCUUAAGUUGAACAUUUUUUUAAUGUCUCUAGGCAAUUCCACAAGACUCUGACACCAACUGAGAUCUAGUGUUUCCAAAUUCGAAAGUCCAACUAUCCAACCUGGAAGUUUAUUGAUGCCAGAAUUACGACUAAGAUCAAGAUAUCUCAAAUAUUUCAUUUUUCUAAGACAUUUAGGUACUCCUUUAAUUCCUAAUUUACUGAGACUCAAUAUACGCAAUGACUUAAAAUUUGAAACAAUUAUAGCACAAAAUGAAUCACAUAAUGACCCAUCUAUAUCACUCAACUCAUUCUGGCAAAGAAAAAGAAAAGUUCGUAUCUUUUUUGCUUUUGGCAACGAAGUUGGCACUUCCCAUUCUGACGGAUCGACUUGAAAAUUGAAAGAUACAUGACGAAGCUUUUCAUGAAAAUUCUUUUGGUCUGGUUCAACUACGACGCUUCCAAUCCCCGACACUAAGAUUGCAAGUUCAUUCAUGAGAUCAUGCAUUUUACAACUUCUUAUUAUACCAAACUCAUCUUUUUCUUCUUCUUGAAAAAACGAUCUCCACAACAACUCCCUGUAAUAUUCAUACGCAACAUCCUCCAAACCCUUGUUUUCAUCGGAUGACUUAAUGAACCCUUGCGCCACCCAAAGUCUAAUCAAUCUCUGCACAAAGAUCUUAUAAUCAGGUGGGAACAAGCUACAAUAAGCAAAACAAUGCUUCAAAUGUGAUGGGAGCACAUCAUAACUCAAUUUAAGUGUUGGUAAAAUAUCAUUUUCUUCUUGACUUAUUUUUGAAAGUUCCUUUUCUUUGAAAUUCAACCAAUCACUUUCGUCAUCUUUGGCAAACAACAUCCCACCUAUCGUCCUUAUAGCAAGUGGAACUCCCUGACAUUUUCUUGCAACCUCUUUCGCAACUGCCUUAAUUGUUGAAUUCUCUGUCUCCUUUCCAUCUUUAUAAGCCAUUUUCUUAAAUAAAGACCAACUUUGCUCUUCAUUCAAACCCUUUAAGGUGUAUGAUUUAGCUGUGUCUGAUAUCGUCGCAACGGUUUUACUACGAGUGGUUAUUAGUAUUCUACUACCUUCUCCACCACCCAUUAACAAGUUCUUCAAGCUAAGCCACUUCUCUCGAUCCUCAUUCCACACAUCAUCCAACACAAGUAGGUACUUCUUCCUAGCUACUUUUUUCCUAAGAUCUUUUUGCAACUGCUCAAUCUCGUCAUGAUUUUUGGAUUGAAGGAUUUUCUUAACAACUAUAUCCAACUCAAAUGCAUUAGAGACGCAUGUCCAUAUUUUCAACUCAAAAUGAUUUUGAAUCACCUUAUUGUUGAAUAUGAGUUGGGCAAGUGCAGUUUUCCCCAAUCCCCCAAUUCCAACUAUGGAAAUGGUUGACACAUUCUUAGUUGAGAUAGGAUCCAACAAAAGUUGGAUAAUAGCCUUAGUAUCUUCAUCCCUCCCUACAAUAUUUUCCUCAGGGACAAAUGAGUGAGUGACCCUCUCUCUCUUUAUAAAUCGUGUAUCUUCAUGGUUGUCUUUUAAGUCACUGGGUCUACGAGAUGCAACCUCACUAAUCCUCUUGUUAAUGUUUUUUAUCUUGUGACCCAUCUUUAGCCCAAACACAAGUUGAUUUGAGUUAGAAAAGAAAAGGUGCACCUAUAAGAAUUUGAGUAGACAUAAUCAUUAUUUUGAUAGAAGGAUAUUAAUUAAGUUAAUAGAGUUUUGUAAUAGUAGGUUAUAUGAAACAUUCAAAAUAAUAAUGUAGAAGACUUCCUGCAAUUAAUUAUGAGUUAUUUAGAGAUCUAUUGUAUUCCUAAUAGGUGGAUAUCAAUAGGCUUAUGUGACUAUGAAAAGGUUAUACGUGAUUUAACCGCACAAAGCCUCUAAUAUCUUUUUAGUCAAAUGACUUUGGAUGUGAUUCCUAGUCACCAAUAGUGUUUGACAGAAACCUUGUUAGCUUUUUUUUUUCUUUCUUUUUUUAAUCAAAAUCAUUGACUUUGUACAUCUCAUUAUAUUGAUAUUAAUGUAUUUCCAUGUCAACUAUCUAUUUUUGAAAUUCCUUAAUUUAUGGACUUCAAACUUUAUAAUAAACUAUUCCCUUAAAAGAGUAUAAAAGAAACAAUAAAUAGUAAAAUUUGAAACCAACAAAACAUUAAUCUACUAAUAAUCAAGCGAGUACCUUCUAAACACAUAAAAAAAAUGUUUACAUAUAAUUGGAUUCUCAUAGACACGAAUCCAAAACAAGAAUUGCAAAAUCAUACAUAUAUACAUAUAUAUAUAUAUAUAUGGGUACAUUUUGCAUAGAAAUGUAUCCAUGAGACUAAAAAAUGCAUUCAACUCAUAUAUCAUAUAUGGGUACAUUCUAAACUCAUAAAAAACAAUAAAUGCUGCUAAAUCCACCCCAUUAUCUUAUUUUUCUACUCACUUUUUAGUGGAAGUGUUAAUUACAUAUUUAUUCUUUUAUAAAAAGACUUUUAGAGCAUCUACAAAAGAUAUGUCAAAUAUAGUAUGUUAAAAUUUUAUUUGAUGGCUGAUGUGGCAAAUUGAAUACAAGUGUUAAAUCUUCUUAUUUUACAAUGGAUGUGUCAAAUAUUUAUUUUAUUAUUUUAUUGUGCCUAGAAUUACAUUAACUACUAAAAAAUAAUCAAAAUUAGUUUUAAUUUGUAUUAUAUUGGUUGUUAAUGAGAUUCAUGCAUUAAAAAAAAUAUUAAAUAUAUUUGACUCCUUCUUUAUUUGCUGUUAAAAAAGGCAGCUAGAAAGCAAAAAGUCAAAUGACUCACAUGUCAUAUCAUAUAUGAUAUAUCUAUUGAAGAACACUUGAAUAUCUUUUAAUCCUAUUUGACAUAUUUAACAUUUCUUUUGAAGAUGGUCUUAGACCCUUAUUUAUAAAUUCAUUAUAAUUUUUUUUUUUAAGAAAAGAGAACAAAAGGCCAAACAACCAAAGCCCACCAUACAUCCCGACUUACACAACCCCUCUCCUUACCGCCGCCGCCAAAACCCCCCAUUUUCCAGGCGCUAUCUCUCACCUGCACCAGUAUACCAUAUCCAGAUCUAAGAAACCUCCCAAGGCGCCAAACCCACUCACACCCAUCAAACAAAGAUAUCAAUUCCUCUCAACUACAGAUCUAGGAAAGCAGUAUACAUGAACUUGGAUGGAGAAGUGUGAGAGAGUAGGUCUUUCUCUCAACACAGACUCAUAGUCUCUCUCUUUCUCUCUCAAGUAAACCUUUCACAAUAGGUAGAUUAUGGAUAUGGGUGGAGAGGUGAAGAGAGAGAAAUGGAGGUUUUACCGUCCGGACGGGAUACGUCAAGAGAUUGGGUGGAUCGGUGGUAAAGGAAAAGUGGAGAAAAAGAGUGGCUUUUUUUUUUCUUUGAAGUUUUCAUUUGAAGAGCGAGACAAUGUUUCUUUCUUUGUUGGAUAUUUCCCAGACGUUAUUUUAGAAAUAAAGUGAGUGAAAAAAUAAUAUUUUAAUUUUUUACGCUUUUUAAGAUAGAUGAGAUUAUAAUAUGAGUAAAAAAAUAUGACAAUAAAGAGAGUCUAGCAGCAUUCAAAACAAUUGCAAUUGUACCUAUUACAUAUAUACGGAAGGUAUAAUUGUAGUGUUUUUAUUUUUGGACAAAGGAAGGUAUAAUUGUAGUUACUUGUCAAAAGAAAGUACCCAUACAAUUGCCAUAUAUAAUUAUGGUACAAUUCCUGCAUCCUCCCAAAAGUAAAUUGUUUUCAUGUGUGCACCCCAAAGUUUUUUUUUUAUAAAAAAAUGUACCCGUAUAAUUAGACACAAAUUUCAAAAGAAUGUACCCAUUUAGAUUUAUAAAAAAAAAAAAGAAAAAAAAAGGAGGGCAUCCAUAAGCGUUCUAGCAAAUAAAAUGGACCCAUGAUUAUUAAUAAAGAUUGAUAAAUUCAGUCAAACGAAAAAUGAGAUGAAACUAUUGGAACGUAUAAAAAUUCAUAUUUUAGUUUCAAAUUAAAGGGAUGUUAGGGAUAUCUAGCUGCAAUAAAAUCCCUUAAAUGAUGUAAAUGAUCAAUUAUCCUAAACAGAAAUGAUAUAAAAGGAAAUGUUUAAAUAAAAAGAAAAGGAAAAUCUGACAUGGAAUUUAAUUAAUUUUAAAAAUUUGAUAUGGACAUAAGUCAAAGGCCUUCAAACAAAAAUUUAAAACUAAAAAUGUUUCAUCAAUAAACAUUAGUGACUUGGGAUCAGACUUAAUUAUCCCCAUUUUUUAUUUUAUGACGCAUCUUUAACCCAGUAACAAGUUCAUUUGAGCUAGAAAAAAAGGGCGUAAAUGUAAGAAUUUGGGUAGACACCAUCAUUAGGUCAAUAGAAUUGUAUUAAUUAAGUUAAUAGAAUUUUGUAAUGCUAAGUUAUAUGAAACAUUCAAAACAAUAAUGUUGGGGAUUUAUUACAAUUAAUUAUGAGUUAUUAAGAAACCUAUUGUAUUCCUGAUAAGUGGAUAUCAAUAGGCUUAUGUGACUACAGAAAGGCUCUACGAGAUGCAUCCUCACCAAGCUUCUUGUUAGUAUCUUUUAUCUUAUGAUCCAUCUUUAGUCCAAAAGCAAGUUGAUUUGAGUAAGUUAGAGAAGAAGAGGCGUACCUUUUUUGACACCUUUGUAUUUUCUGGCACCAUUUGUCUUUGUUGAGCUUUAGUAUUAAACUCAUCCAGCACAUCAUCGGCUUCAUAGACUGCAUCUUCUACGCUUUGGAGCCACAAUUUGACUUCAUUGUUGGCUUGCUUUUGCUCAGCGUCAAGAAGAACAGCUUGGAAUGCUACAACUGUCUCCUUAAGCUUCUGGAACUCAUCUUGGACACCCCAGAUCAAUCCAAUCUCUUGGAAAGCAAGGGAGCCUAGCCUUCCGAUGAUCCCUUCUGCAAUGUUGAAGAGAACUCCUUCCGCCAUUUCUUGUAUUCAGGACAAGCAAAAACACAAGUGAAGUGAAUUAAGGUAGAAACCUAUAACUGAGAAUAUGGUUUUGCGUAGUACUAGAUAGCUCGUCCCUGCUCGUCUUUAUAUGCCCACUCAUCCAACCACUCAUACGUUAUUCCAUGAAUAAAUUAAAAACAAAGACUUGUCACCAAUUCACUAAUGCCAACCUGGUCCUUAACGUUUAGUUGCAUUUUUAAACCCAUCUGCAAUUUUAUCAGUUGGUGAAACACAAUUAUAAAUGGACCAAAACUAAAUAUACGCCACCAAUAUAUAUUGAAUUAAUUGCACUCUUGUCCGACUACCCAUACACCAUUCCAUACAUAAAAUAAAAACAAAGCCUUGUAGCAAUAUCACUAACGCCAGCUUGCUUCUUAACUUUAUGUUGUAUUUUUAAAAUCCACUUGUAAUUUUAUGGUUUUGCGUCGUGAAAGAUGCCCCUCCUGAUGGUCUUUAAUCUCUGUAUGCCCUUCUCUCAUCCAGCCAUUCACACAUUUUGACCGAUGGUUUGGUUCCACUGGUUAAUAUAUUAAAGGAAACUUUAACAAAAAGUUUUCGAUACUAUUUAUUUUAACAAAAAAUCAUAUUUUUACUAUAAAAAGUCAAUCCUGGUACUAUGUAUUUUACCCUUUAUUUUGUUCUUAUCAUUAAAACUUAAAAUUUUCAAAUAAUUUUUAUUAGUUUUCCUUAUAUUAAAUCCAUUUGCAAUUUUGUUGGUAACUCUUGUACUAAUUUAUUUAUGGAAAAAUUAGGUUCUCAUCCUUCAUUUUGCUACUUCAUUGAUUAAAAUCAUAUUCCUUUUCAAAUUUUUAUCAAGGUCCUUUGGUAUUAAUAACAUCAUUAAUUAUUUUAAUAAUAAAAUAUUUUUUUAUUUCUAAAUAUAUUCAUUUAAUUUUAAAAAUGUUACAAUUAGUAUAUUUAUAUUUAUGACUUAAUUUUUUAUCAUAUAUUUUUAGUUUUAGUUUGUACCCAUUUUUAAUUUGUAAUUCUUUUUUAAUUUGUAUCAAUUUUCUUUUCAAUUUUAAUUUGUACCAAUAUAUAUAUAUAUAUUUUUUUUGUGCCCAUAUUUUUUAAAGUUUAUUUGUAUUUGUACCCAUAUAUUUUUUUAUUUGUACUUUUUAUUUUGCUAAAUGUACACAUGCUAAUUAUAUGUACCCAUUCAUGUAAAACUUUUUAAUCUUAAAAUGUACUUAUUCUUAAAUAUACCAAUUUGUUAUAUUUAAAAUGUACCCUUUUUUUUUUAUAUAAAAUCUAUUCAAUUUUUUUCUAAUCCAUUUUUAAACUUAUAUGGGUACAUUCUUUUUUUCUUUGAUUUUAAAUGUAUCCAUGUCAAGUUUAAUCGAAGAAGUUUACUAAUGUUAUUAAGCUAUUAUCUUCUUCUUCUUUUUUGUGAUUUUGAAGAAUGUACCCAUGUUUUGAUACAAUAAUUUUUUUGGUUAAAUUUGAUGAAUGUACCCAUGUUUAUAUAUACACACACACAAUAGUAUAUUUAUAUUUUAAUAUUUUUAAUCCCACAAAUUAUGGUUUUUUAUUUAAAAUCUCAUUUAUAUAAACAACUAAAAUUUCUAAUUUUUAAUUUAAAAAAUAUAGUAACGUACAUAGAAAUAAAUUAUCACAUUAAUUUCAGGGACUUCGAUCAAAAAUUAAAAAUCAACAAGAUUUCAAUAAAAGAAUAUUCAUAGCUAAGGACCGCAUCCAAAGUCUCCCUUUAUUUAUUCAUCCAUCCUCACAAAUUAAUAAAUUAUAGCCGUUGGUUCGGUUCCCCUCCUUUUAUUUCCCUCUACUUUUGUGUUCCCACGCCAUCACGUGGCCACCCCUUAAAUCCGGCUCUCCCCACAGGAUUUAGAGAGAUUUUUCAAUGUGACCGGUAUAUGGGAUGAUACAUCACGUGUCACUAUAUAAAUAGUGGGAUAUGUGUGCUAAAAAGUUAAUAACUUAUAAAAUAAAAUUUCGCACCACUUCUAUUGAAAUACAUGUUAUACCACUUGUAUUCCUAUCAUAAUUAAAAAUUUCUAUAAUAUUUGGAUCCAAAUUCCUCCCCACAUGUUCUCUCCCACACACCCGGCCCACACUCUACCAUAUUAAUAUACCCGCCAUUUGCUCAUUUGUACACCCAGCUAUGCACGUUUCACACUCGGCACUUCCAAACACUCACACAUGAUUUCAUGUAUAAAAUAAAAACAAAGACGUGUCAAUAUGCUAUUGCAUGAGAGAUUUUUCAAUGUGACUAUCACAUGAGGUGGUACAUCAUGUGUUCCUAUAUAAAUGAUGGAAUAUGUAUGUUAAAAGAUUAAUAACUUAAAAAUUAAAUUUUUUUACCAUUUACAUAAAAACACAUGAUAUACCAUCUGUGUUCCCAUCACAACUAAAAAUUUCUCUUAUUUGCUAGUCUUAAUAAUUCAAAUUUGAUUUUUAAUACCAGCUGGUCCUUCACACUUCUUAACUUUUCGGCAGGCUGCUGCACGUUCCUUAUUUUUGGGCAAACCGCUGCACGUUUUUUUUUUUAAUUUUUGGGCAGACCGCUGCACGUUUUUUUUAAAAAAAAAUUUGGGCAGGCCGCUGCACGUUGUUUUUUUAUUUUUGGCAGACCUCUGCACGUUUCUACUAUUUUGUCAAGUAUCUUUAUCUUAUAAGAUGUAAGAUGGAAGAUUGAGAUUGUUUUGAUAGAAGUAUGAAGAUUGCCAAAACUAUGUAAAGUUAGGACACUAGUAGCACGUUUAUUAAUCCGUAAUCAGAUUGAGAGGAAUUGAAUUGAAAAUGAAUUGGAUUGAUGAGAAAUUAUAAUGAGGUGUAAUCAGAAUUAGAUUCUUGUUGAAGUUGUUUACCAAAACUGUCUGAAAUCGGAGUAGGAAUGACAUUGAUGCAUAUAAAUUAUUUACUAAUUCACAUGAAUCAGAAUGAUAACUAAUGUGAUUCCUAAAGUACCCCUACUUAAACUAAUUUAUUGUAUAUGCUAAUUAUUUUUAGUAAAACUUUUAUUCUUUUAUUUUUUUUUUAAUUUUUUACUAGAGAGAAUAAUUUUUUAUCUUUUAUAAAACUUUUAAAUUUUCCUAAUCGCAUAGAUUACUUCCAAAUUUGAUAUGAAAGAAUAGUUUUUUAUUUGCUUCUAACUCUUAAUCACCCUAAACCCUAUUAGAAAUAGGGAACUUUAAUGAAAAGUGUAGACAUCGAAAUUUCGGUAAAUAAAUGUUGACCGAUAAAUCAAAGUGUCAACGCUCAUGUAUUGCAUAAAUUUUACACGUAGCAUGUGACUCAACGAAAAUUGAAAUGAGUUUGAAAAGUCAUCAAAUAAGACACGUGUCAACACCUGGCAGAAACGACUUAUUUCAUCUGGGAUAUUAUAUUCAAAAUUAGGUCUUGGAAAAUUCUAUAAAUACAAGCCCAUUUCAUUCAUUUGGGGGGACCAAUUCAUUAGGCAAAACUCUUGAAGCUCUGAAGCUCUGAAACUCCGAAGCUCUCAAGUAUCCAGGUUCCCGAAGAAUCAAGAAAGCGUUAUUCGUUCAUCGUUCAUCCUAAGAUCAAGCCCCAACGGCCCUUUGGAUCAACAAUCAUCCACCAAUUCAAGAUCAAGCCCCGACGGCCCUUGAAGAAAGUGUUCUUCGUUCAUUGUUCUUCCAAGAUCAAGCCCCGACGGCCCUUGGAUCAACCAUCCACCAAUUCAAGAUCAAGCCCCGACGGCCCUUGAAGAAAGCACCAUCGUUCAUCAUCCGUUCAUCCAAGAUCAAGCCCCAACGGCCCUUUGGAUCAACAACGUCGACAAAUCCACACAUCCAACCGUUCUUCAAGAUCAAGCCCAAAAGCCCUUGAAGAUCCGUUCAUCACUGUUCUUCAAGAUCAAGCUCAAAAGCCCUUGGAGAUCCGUUCAUCACUGUUCUUCAAAGAUCAAGCCCAAAAGCCCCUUUGAAGAUCCGCUCAAAUCCACAUUCAAGAUCAAGUUCACGGCCCUUGAAGAACGUUCAUCCUUAGAUCAAGCCCAACGGCCCUUUGGAUCAAUCACACAUCCACAAAUACACACCUUACGGAGAUCGAAUCAGAGGAUCAAAUUUGAGAGAGAUUGUAACCCAAAAACAUCAUCAAAUACAUAAUAUUUGUUUGUGCACGUUCGUUCUUGUCUCUUUCGUUUCAGGAAUUUUCCUUGUUCACAAAUUGGCACGCCCGGUGGGAUAAUCUCUGCCUCUCAUCUCUUUCUCCGUUCAAGAAAUUCAAGCGCACUUCUAAAAUUAAUGGCAUCAAGGAAGGCUCAUAACUGUUCCCGCAACCGGCACAAAGAACAAAAACGUCCUCGUCGCAACUGGUGUCACUUUGGGCAUCACGACUCGAAGCAUGGCAAGAGCUACUUCUGCCGCCUCUUUCACCUCCGCAUCAACUCUGCCAAGGGAACAAAAGCACCCAAGACACGAGCCUUUGAUCACCUUAGCCUCACUAAGGGCACCAAGGGGGGAAAGCCCAAGGAAAUACUCCAAAUCCAUGCUCUCCGAUGCCGAUUCAAGCGACAGUUCAGCCAUGCAAGUCAUGACCAUUGGAGCAACUUCAAUCGAUGAGCAGCUGGCUCAAAUGAAUGAAGCAAUCGCAAGGCUAACCCGAACUGUGGAAGAAAAAGACUUGCAAAUUGCAGCACUAGUCAACCGAUUGGAGGCGCAAGACGGCGAUAAACCCGACCCAGAGGAUGAUCCACUAAAGGGAGGAGCUGGCGGAGACGAAGAACCCCCGGUGAAGAAAAUCGAUGGGAAGCCGGAGCCAGACCAAGCAGCGGCACUCAUGGGAUCUCUUUCUAUCCAGCAGCUGCAGGAGAUGAUCACCAACACCAUCAAGGCACAGUACGAAGGGAGCUCACAUACCUCAUUGUUCUACUCGAAGCCCUAUUCCAAGAAGAUUGAUGCCCUAAAGAUGCUAAGGGGUUAUCAACCACCAAAGUUCAUGCAGUUUGAUGGAAAAGGAAACCCAAAGCAGCAUGUUGCACAUUUCGUCGAAACUUGCAACAACGCAGGGACGGAGGGAGACUACCUCGCCAAGCAGUUUGUGCGCUCGUUGAAAGGAAAUGCCUUUGAGUGGUACACGGACCUAGAGCCUGAGUCCAUCAACAGCUGGGAGCAAUUAGAACGGGAAUUCCUCAACCGCUUCUCUACAGCACCCGCCGCACUGUGAGCAUGCUAGAGCUAACGAGCACAAAGCAGUGGAAGGACGAGCCAGUCAUUGACUACAUCAACAGAUGGCGCACUCUAAGCCUCGACUGUAAAGACAGGCUCUCGGAAACCUCUUCAAUCGAGAUGUGCAUCCAAGGCAUGCAAUGGGGUUUGCAAUACAUCCUUCAAGGCAUUAAACCGCGGACCUUCGAGGAAUUGGCCACUCGCGCCCAUGACAUGGAGUUGAGCAUCGCCCAUCAUGGGAAGAAAGAACCGAUCGCCGACUACAAGAACGACAAAGCUCUUGGGAUAAAGGUGGAAAAGGCUGCAUGGAAACCCACCAAGGAAGUGAUGACAGUCAACACAUCUCCCGUCAAAAUAUCCACACGAGGCAAGGCAAUUCAAGUCGAAGGCUUUCGUGAUCAAGAGAUGCGUAGACGCACUUUGAAGGAGCUCGAGGAGAAAACUUAUCCAUUCCCCGACUCUGAUGCGGUUGCCAUGUUAGAAGACUUGCUAGAAAAGAAGGUGAUCAGCUUGCCUGAGUGCAGAUGGCCAGAAGAAAUGAAUUGCACCGACAGUCCAAGGUACUGUAAAUUCCACCGCUUCAUCAGUCAUCCGACAGAAAAGUGUUUCGUGCUGAAAGAUCUCAUCAUGAAGCUAGCUCAGAAAGGAAUCAUCGAGCUAGAUCUUGACGAUGUGGGGGAGUCAAACUGUACCACCUUCACUUCUGACUCUUCCGACUCAAAGUUUUCACCUCAACCACUGGGGGCAUCCUCCAAGACAAGCAAAGUAGAAGGAUGGACUCAAGUCACUCCUAAGAAAUUGCACAAGAAGCAUACGUCUCCUCCACAUGUCCGCCAAUCGGAAAGGGGGCAAAGCAGCUCUCGUCAACCUUCAAAGCAACAUGAACGUGUUGAAGAUGAUGAAAUUUCGACACAUAGAUCGUCCAUCCCCAUCACGAUGCGUGAUUUCUUUCCUGAAGACUUCUUCAAUCACUCGGUCAAGGCUCCUUGCUAUGAAGAUUGUGAGGAACGCCUCUCCAAAAUUACUUGACAAAUUCACCAUGCUCCUUGUUCGCACGAGCCUAAACUGCACGAAUCAAAGCUCAUUGUCCACACGAGCCUAAACUGUAGGACACAAAGCUCCUUGUCCGCACGAGCCUAAACUCGUGCCUCGUGCCUGCUUGCCAUGUGUUCGAGUCAACCUUCAAGAAUCAAGCCUCAACGGCCCUUGAAGAAGCUUUCAGCCAAAUUCGAAAUCAAGCCUCGACGGCCCUUGAAGAAAUUCCAAACAAAAGUUCAAGAACAAGCCUCAACGGCCCUUGAAGAAAUCUCAAGCCCAAUUCAAGAUCAAGCCUCGACGGCCCUUGAAGAAAUUUCAAACAAAAGUUCAAGAACAAGCCUCAACGGCCCUUGAAGAAAUCUCAAGCCCAAUUCAAGAUCAAGCCUCAACGGCCCUUGAAGAAAUCUCCAGCCCAAUUCAAGAUCAAGCCUCGACGGCCCUUGGAUCGACAUCUACAGUAAGGGACUUCAAAACGCAUCUCCUACACGUGACAAUCACAUGUAUACGACGUGCUUUGAAGUGGGGGCAUUUGUAGACAUCGAAAUUUCGGUAAAUAAAUGUUGACCGAUAAAUCAAAGUGUCAACGCUCAUGUAUUGCAUAAAUUUUACACGUAGCAUGUGACUCAACGAAAAUUGAAAUGAGUUGGAAAAGUCAUCAAAUAAGACACGUGUCAACACCUGGCAGAAACGACUUAUUUCAUCUGGGAUAUUAUAUUCAAAAUUAGGUCUUGGAAAAUUCUAUAAAUACAAGCCCAUUUCAUUCAUUUGGGGGGACCAAUUCAUUAGGCAAAACUCUUGAAGCUCUGAAGCUCUGAAACUCCGAAGCUCUCAAGCAUCCAGGUUCCCGAAGAAUCAAGAAAGCGUUCUUCGUUCAUCGUUCAUCCUAAGAUCAAGCCCCAACGGCCCUUUGGAUCAACAAUCAUCCACCAAUUCAAGAUCAAGCCCCGACGGCCCUUGAAGAAAGUGUUCUUCGUUCAUUGUUCUUCCAAGAUCAAGCCCCGACGGCCCUUGGAUCAACCAUCCACCAAUUCAAGAUCAAGCCCCGACGGCCCUUGAAGAAAGCACCAUCGUUCAUCAUCCGUUCAUCCAAGAUCAAGCCUCAACGGCCCUUUGGAUCAACAACGUCGACAAAUCCACACAUCCAACCGUUCUUCAAGAUCAAGCCCAAAAGCCCUUGAAGAUCCGUUCAUCACUGUUCUUCAAGAUCAAGCCCAAAAGCCCUUGGAGAUCCGUUCAUCACUGUUCUUCAAAGAUCAAGCCCAAAAGCCCCUUUGAAGAUCCGCUCAAAUCCACAUUCAAGAUCAAGUCCACGGCCCUUGAAGAACGUUCAUCCUUAGAUCAAGCCCAACGGCCCUUUGGAUCAAUCACACAUCCACAAAUACACACCUUACGGAGAUCGAAUUAGAGGAUCAAAUUUGAGAGAGAUUGUAACCCAAAAACAUCAUCAAAUACAUAAUAUUUGUUUGUGCACGUUGUUCUUGUCUCUUUCGUUUCAGAAAUUUUCCUUGUUCACUGGUGAGGCUUAUGUUACUGCUAUGAUUGGUGAGGCUUAUGUUACUGUUGAUGGGUUCGGUUAACUGGGUUUUCAUUCCGUUUCAGAUUUGUUUCGACACACACUUACAGAAAUUUGCAGGAUGCUGUGGUGAUAUUUUCUAUGAUUUAAUCAAAUGAACUAUUUGAUGUCAGUAGUUUGAGGGCUCUGACCGCAACACACAGUAGCAGCAGCGAUGAGGGAGGAGAAGCGGCACCAAUUGAUGCAGAACCUAUUCGGUGAUCAAUCUGAAGAGGAAGAGGAAGAGGUCGACUCUGAGCAUGAGUCCAAUCCCCAGCCCGAUUCUGUAUGAUCCUCUAAUUUCAAGUUUCCUUUCUAUUCUGAUUCCAAAAGCAUGUUUGGGAAUGAUUAGGGUUUCAAUUUCUACUUUAAUCUUAGCUGAAGGAAGAUAUAGGUUGUCUUUUUUGUUAAUGGCGGUGGAUGAUUUGGAUGAAAGUAUGAAUCUUGGUAAUUUUUUUGCUUGCAGUUGUUUGGGCCUGGACUGAGGAAGUUUUGUGGAAUGAGAUUCUUAUGAUUAGUCAAUUUUAGUGGGAUUGUUGUUUCAAUCUGGAUAAUGAAUGAUGUCGUUUUCCUAUUCGGUCUGUCCUUUGACAGUGUAGCAGAUCUGGAAUUUUGUGAAAUGCUCUUUAUUGAGAAUGAAGUGCCACUAAUUCAAGACGAAUAAAAAAAAUUUGCACAUUUUCUGAUUAGAAAUAUAGAAUUGGUUUUAAAUUAUUUUCUUGACUGUUUGGUUCUGAUGUGCUUUACCGAUAAAUCAUGGGUUUGCAAGAUAUUUUUUGUUGUUUUCUCUUGCCGUUGACUGGGGAUGUGGGUGAUCCUGUUACCCUGUACACCGCAGUACAGGGCGGUAACAAGAUUAUCUAUUGUGCUACUGCACUCUCUAUAAUCAGCGGAGACCUCUAUAGGGCUGAUCAAGGAGGGGUCUACAAUCUUACCAAAGCAUUUCAGGUGUGGUCGUUAUUGCCAUAUCCUUGAAAUGCUCCUUUUUGACAUUUAGUAAUCUGUUUCGGUUUUGAUGUCCUUUAAAUGAUUGGGUUGGUUCAAUGUUGGAUUUGAAUUUUACCCUUCGAGAGUUGCUUAUGUGAAGCUUUUGACUGUUUGCAUUGCAGGACUAUAACAACAAAAUGGCGCAAUUACGAGCAGGAAAGAGUAGCAAGAGCAAACUUACAAUUGUAAAGUUCAAGACUCUGGAGUCAGUGGAUGGAUGGGAAGUUCGUCAGGGGACUUACUUUGGGUCGGACCCUCGACCGGUAAAUGCCUGUGUGCAAAGGAUUGUCAUGGCAGCGAGAUCAUGUCGCUCUGGGAAGCUCUUUUGACGGCCGCCGUUGUUGGAGGUCAGUCUCUUCCUCUGCUUCCACUCCACUCCAUUCAUUUUAAUUUUAAUUUUUUGUUUAUAGAGAGAGGACUUAGAAAAACAAAAAAUAUAUUUAUUUUUGUAAUGGUUGUCAUGAAUUUCCUUUUGACUAAACAAAACAUAAUCAGUUUAUUUGCUUUACUGAGAAUGUAGCGUUUAUUGUGAUUAAUUUCGGGUUUUGGAGCUGAUAUGAGUUCCGAGCCGUAUCCAGAGUAGAUUUUGGGGUUGCUUGGGUCUAAGAAUAUUCGGUUACUCUAGCGCAUUGACGAUUAAUAGACGUAAUUCUUUUUACCGUUGUUUGUGUAUAAGUAUGCGACUUAUAUGGUAUAACGUGACAAAGGUUGUUUCUCUUCCAAUACAUCAACAUAUAUUAAAAAGAAAUAUUUAAAGAGGGCUGGAACCCAGUCGAAGCUGGGGGGCUAGGCCCUCACGCCCAUAAUAUUUUACUUGAAAAAAAGAUAUAAAUGGGGGACAUAGUACCUAAACCCCGACGAUCAAAAGCAAAAUUGUAUACAACCACUCCAAGUAGUCGCAUCACAUGUUGAAUUCAAAAGGUUGACGCCUCAUAUAAUUGAAAAGAAGGAAAUUAAAGAGAAACUAAAAAAAAUAAAAAAUAUUGAAGUUGGUGGGUGGGAAAGCAAAAGUGCCGACAACGAAAUCUUUGAUCCACACGGUAUGUUAUCUGAAAAGAAAAAUAAAAUGCUGAUGAUGAUGAAUGAAGAAUUGAAAUUAAGAAAUGAGAUUGGCAUAUAUUUCGUAGUUUAUAUUGAAUUAGGCUAGUGUGAAUUGAAACAAGUUAGAAAACGCACCUUAAUAAUUGUGAAUGUCAAUGUGUGGGAUGUGAGCAAUCUUAGGCCAGUCCUCACCUGUUUCUUUCUUGCAUCUUUCGCUUAACAUGGGGCAUUUCUCAAUCACCAAUGUAUUUAAACAGGGGAGUCCACGAAUCCCUUCUGGCAGUGAUGCCAAAUUAGAGCAAUCCUUAAUUGUAAGCUUCUGAAGUGACGUCAGAUUGCUUAUUUCUUCUGGCAGUGAUCCCAAAUCCUCAAUUUCUUGGAGCCACAUAAAUGUUAAUUUGGAGAGAUGAGGGGAAGAAGAAGCGGCAGAAACAUCAACACCAACAUCAUGUGGAAUAUCAGAUGCUCCUCUAACAAACAAGGAUUCAACAACCUUCCAGCUGCUCCCCUUGAGAAGUAUUCUCUCCACAUUUGGAUACAGAGGCAUGGAAGUUAGAUUAGGACAAUUCCGGAUGGUCAAUGCAGAAAGAGAGGGAAAAGAAGGCAACGACAGUAUUUCCGUUGAUGAAGAAGAAGAAGCAGUGUUAUGAGUGUGGGCCCUCCACCAUCCCUUCAGAACAGGGCAAUCUGCUAUGUAGAGCUCCUCCAGGGAGGGAAAGAAUGAGAUCCUCAUCAUCUCAUCACUCAUACUAUUACUGCUCUCUUUCUCUGAUAGUAAUAUGUACUCCAACUUCUCCAACCCUUCAAGUUCCAGUUUCUUAAGGGAAGGCAAAUGAUCCAAGGGUGGAAGAUGUUGGCAUAUGUUACAACUCUGCAAUUCGAGAUUAACAAUAUUAAUGAGAGAAGAAAACCAACUCGCAAACCUCACACCACCAUAAUACGACACGGUCAACUGCUUUAGAUUAGAAUGGGGUUGCAAUACUUCCAUUGACUUUAUAAUAUCCUCCUCAUCAACUGCCUUUACAUCUUCUAUCUCUUUCCACCUUAAAUCCAAGGAAUGGAGAUGCUGUUUGUCCUUGAGAGGUGUACCAACAUUUGAUUCUGACACCACAUCUUUCUCGUGACUCAAAUUUUCAAUUUCCAAGUCUCCCCUUAAUUCCUUAAGGCUUCCCAGCUCAGCAAGACCAGCACUACCGCCCCUCUCCAAACAAUUGCUUUCGCUCAAAACAAAUCUAUUCAAUGUACGAACACCAUUCAAUUCACCAAUUCCACGUGGCAUUGCACUCAAAAUCUCACACUUAUCCAAGAUGAGAUGCCUUAAGUUGAUCAUUUUUUUAAUGUCUCUAGGCAAUUCCACAAGAUUCCAACACCCUGUGAGAUCUAGUGUUUCCAAAUUCGAAAGUCCAACUAUCCAAUCUGGAAGUCUCUCCAUGUGAUUCCUACUAAGAUCAAGAUAUCUCAAAUGUUUCAUUUUUCUAAGACAAUUAGGUAAUGUUGUAAUUUCUAAUUCAUUGAAACUUAACAUCCGUAAUGACUUAAAAUUUGAAACAAUUGUAGUACAAAGUGCAUUACAUGGGGAACUUAGGUAACCAUCCCAAAAAUCUUGCUGAAGAAAAAGAAAAGUUCGUAUCCUGUUUGCCUUUAGCAAGGACGUUGGCACUUCCCAUUUCGACAAAUUAAUCUCAUAAUUGAAAGAUACGUGAAGAAGCUUUUCAUGAAAGUUCUUUUGGUUCAGAUCAACUACGGCGCUUCCAACCCCUGACACAAAUAUUGCAAGUUCAUUCAUGAGAUCGUGCAUUUUACAACUUUCUAUUAUACCAAACUCAUCUUUUUCUUCUUCUUGAAAAAACAAUCUCCACAACAACUCCCUGUAAUAUUCAUACGCAACAUCCUCCAAACCCUUGUUUUCAUCGGAUGACUUAAUGAACCCUUGCGCCACCCAAAGUCUAAUCAAUCUCUGUACAGAGAUCUUAUAAUCAGGUGGGAACAAGCUACAAUAAGCAAAACAAUGCUUUAGAUGUGAUGGGAGCACAUCAUAACUUAGUUUAAGUGUUGGUAAAAUAUCAUUUUCUUUCUGACUUAUUUUUGAAAGUUUAUUUUCUUUGAAAUUCAACCAUUCUGUUUCGUUAUGCUUGGUGCGCAGCAUCCCACCUAUCGUCCUUAUAGCAAGUGGAACUCCUUGACAUUUUUUUGCAACCUCCUCCCCAACCGCCUUAAUUGUUGGAUUAUGUGGCUCUUUUCCUUCUUUAAAAGCCAUUUUCCUAAAUAAAGACCAACUUUGCUCUUCAUUCAAACCCCUUUAAGGUGUAUGAUUUAGCUGUGUCUGAUGUUGUUGCAACGGUUUCACUACGAGUGGUAAUCAGUAUUCUACUACCUUCUCCACCACCCAUUAACAAGUCCUUCAAGCUAAGCCACUUCUCUCGAUCCUCAUUCCACACGUCAUCCAACACAAGUAGGUACUUCUUCCCAUCUACUUUUUUUCUAAGAUCAUUUUGCAAUUGCUCUAUCCCAUUAUGCUUGGAUUGAAGGAUUUUCUUAACAACUAUAUCCAACUCAAAUACAUUAGAGACACAUGUCCAUAUUUUCAACUCAAAAUGAUUUUGAAUCACCUCAUCGUUGAAUAUGAGUUGGGCAAGUGCAGUUUUCCCCAAUCCUCCAAUUCCAACCAUGGAAAUGGUUGACACAUUCUCAGUUGAGAUGGGAUCCAACAAAAGCUGGAUAAUUGUCUUAGUAUCUUCAUCUCUCCCUAUAAUAUUUUCCUUAGGUACAAAUGAGUGUGUGACCCUCUCUCUCUUUACAAAUCGUGUAUCUUCAUGAUUUACUUCUAAGUGAAAGAUUCUACGAGAUGCAACCUCACUAAGCCUCCUGUUAAUAUCUUUUAUCUUAUGACCCAUCUUUAGCCCAAAAACAAGUUGAUUUGAGCUAGAAAAGAAAAGGCGCACCUGUAAGAAUUUGAAUAGACAUAAUCAUUAUUGCGAAAGAACUGUAUUAAUUAAGUUAAUAGAGUUUUGUAACGUUAAGUUAUAUGUAACAUUCAAAAUAAUAACAUAGACAACUUAUUGCAGUUAAUUGAGAGACCUAUUGUAUUCCUAAUAGGUGGAUAUCUAUAGGCUAAUGUGACUAUGAAAAGGUUCUAUGAGAUGCAACCUCACCAAACCUCUUGUUAAUAUCAUCUUAAGACCCAUCUUUUAGCCCAAAAGCAAGUUGAUUUGAGCGAGAGAAAGAAGAGGCAUACCUUUUUUGACAGCUUUGUAUUUUCAGGCACCAUUUUUCUCUGUUGAUUUUUAGUAUUAAACUCAUCCAACACGUCAUCGGCUUCAUAAAUUGCGUCUUCUACGCUUUGGAGCCACAGUUUGACUUCAUUGUUGGCUUGCUUUUGCUCAGCGUCAAGAAGAAUAGCUUGGAAUCCAGCAACUGUCUCCUUGAGCUUCUGGAACUCAUCUUGGACACCCCAAAUCAAUCCGAUCUCUUGGAAAGCUAGGGAGCCUAGCCUCUCAAUGAUCCCUCCUGCAACGUUGAAGAGAACUCCUUCCGCCAUUUCUUAGAUUCAAGACAAGAAAAAACACAAUGAAGCGAAUUAAAGUAGAAACUUAUAACUGAGAAUAUG
rnacentral:lncRNA from 1 species